rnacentral:lncRNA from 1 species
CUUCUAAGUAGCUAUCAGGAUAGUAAGAAUCCAUUCCAAAAUUUAGUGUUGUUUCAUGCUCUUCUAUAGAUGGCCCAUAGAACCCAAUUUCUAGAAUCUUCUUCCUUUGCAUUGGAAGAGAUAAAUUUCCCAAACAAGAAGGUAUAGGACCAGAAAACAUAUUUUGAGAAAGAUCUAUGAUGCUUAAAGAAUGCAACUUGCAUAACUCAACAGGAACUUUACCAUGAAAAUGAUUAUCUUUCAAGAGAAGAACACUCAAAGAAGAAAGCGUGUAAAUCCAUUUUGGAAUACUACCUGUCAAAUUGUUUCCUCUAAGAUCUAAAGUCACUAUUGAAGAGCUAUUAUAAAAAGCAAGUGAUAGUGGGCCUCUCAGUCUAUUCCCGUGGAGGUGGACAUGCUCUAUGUAUGGUGGAUUAAAACAUGACGGUAUAGAGCCAGAUAAAUUAUUUUGAGAAAGAUCCAAAAAUUCCAACCUAUUCAACUUGCAAAAUUCCAUUGGAAUGGAACCUUCAAAACCAUUGUUGGACAUAGCUAAUCUCUGCAAAAACGAUGCAUUCCCUAUCCAUCUUGGGAGCUUUCCAUGCAACUCGUUGUUACUGAGAUCAAUUUCGCUUAGUGAAUUUGGAAACUCAAAAGUAGACACAUCAACAUUUGUCAUCUCUCCUGAAAAAUUAUUUCCAUCCAAAUAUAAAUACGGCACCCUAUUUGCGCUGAGAAUCACAGGAACUACAUUUCCACUGAGGUUGUUAUUUGAUAGUCUCAAAAUGGUCAGUGAGCCUUUCGUGAUCAACUCUUCUGGUACUUUUCCAUACAAUUGAUUGUUUGAUAGAUCUAAAAAUGAUAAAUCCUUCAUCCCACUUAAACAAAGUGGGAUAAUACCUUCAAAAGCAUUCUUGGAUAAGAAUAACCGCCUCAAAUGUGGAAAAGUUGAACAUAUACCAGUCGGAAUUUGACCUUGUAAUUUGUUUUCAGAUAAGUCAAUUGAAGAUACAUUAGAAAUAAGAGCCGACGAAAGUGAGAGAGGACCUGUAAAUGAAUUACCCUUCAAGAUGAGAUCUUCUAACUUUGUGUUGUUUUCUAGCAACCAAGUUGGUACAGUUCCACUGAGAUUGUUAUGCGAAAGAUCCACAUAUCUCAAGUCAUAUUGGUAGUAAAGGAAGGUAGGAACUUUACGACUGAGUUGUUGAGAUGUUAUGCACUUUAGCAAACUGAUGACUUCCAAUUGGAACUUUGGGAUUGAGGUAUAAAAGGAAGGUUCCAAUACCAUCUUGUUUUCAUUAAUCGAAAGGGCUUUGAGGUUUGAAAGGUUUGCAAAUGGUGCAAAUGACAGCGGAAUUUGAAAAUGGUUUCUUGAAAUAUCUAACUCACGAAGAGAUGUCAAGUUACUAAAACAAUGAGGAAGCAUCCCCUCAAGUGCAUUCUCACUCACAUCCAACACUUCAAGGUUCCUAAGAUCACACCAUCCUGAAAAUUUUAUAAAUAAAUUCAUGGAAGAAGUUUCAAUUAAAUUUUGCUUUAUAAAACAGAAUAGGAGAUAAUAUAUUACAGAAAGCUCAUAAAGAAAUCAAUUUGAGCCAUAAAAUUAUUUACCUUGAUUAGGUAAGGGACCAAUAAGUCCACAAUCAGAUAAAUACAAUGUUUUAAGAGAAGCAAAUACUCCAAUGCUUUGCAAAAUGUUGGUGUUGAGAGUAGAAUAGUCAAGAUAUAUUUCCUCCAAACUGCUCGACACAUUUGAAUCUAAGCAAUGUCAAGAGGUAUUAGAUAACGGUAUUAUAGAAAGCCUCUACUAAGCAGAAUGCUUUAUUUUCUGUGAAUGAAAUGAAGUAUAUAAAUAUAUAUAUUUUUUAUGAAUUAGAUUAUUCAUGAUUUAUCUGAGAUAAAUUUUGAUAGAGAGAAGAUGUUGAAACUUUAAUAUAACUCUUUAUCCAUUUUAUUAAUUAUACUAUUUUUUUUCUUUUUAUAUUUUCUUAUAUUAUUUUUUAAUAUAAGUAAUUAACUGAUAUAGCUAAGUUGUAUAAUUUUCAAACUCCAAUCAACAACACUAUAAAUAAUAUUUAUAAAAUAAAACAUGUCUACACUAAAUGUAUGUUUAAAUUUCAUAAAAUUGAAGAUAUUUUUAAAUUAUUCAAAAUUCACAUGUCUACACUAUAAAUAAUAUUUAUAAAAUAAAACAUGUCUACACUAAAAUUAGUAUAUUACCUUUAAAGAUGCCAAUAGUAUAUAAAAAAAUCAAAUAGGUAUUUUACUCACCAAUAAAUAAAACUCAAAAGAAUUAUAAGUAAACUCAGCGGAUUAAAUGAAAAUUUUAAAGCAUUAAAUCUUGGCCCAAAAAUAGAGUUAAGUUAAAAUUCAAAAUUCAAAAUUAUUUUAUUAAUAUUGUUAAAAUUAUUUUAUUAAAUCCAUGUUCAUUACGUCAUUUUUUUAGUUACAUUGUUAUCAAGUUUUUUUUUAUUUCAAAAUGUCACACCAACAAACUAUUUUAAAAAUUUAACAAUUUUAACAAUUGAACUAGGAUUUUGAAUUUUUUUUUUUUAAAAAAGAGGGACUAAAUUCUUGAAAAUAAAAGUAUAAGAAUUAAAUUACAAAUUAGUAAAGAGUACGUAGACCAAUCAUAUUUUUUUAAACCAAAAAGUUAAAAACAUAUGCACUUUGAAAUUUAUAAAAAGAUUGCAAUGGAAGUUUAAGCACCUCUAAAUGUAUGUUUAAAUUUCACAAAAUUGAAGAUUUUUUUAAAUUAUUCAAAAUUGACAUUUAUUUAUUUUUGCCAAAAAAAUGCCAUUUAUUUAACUCUAAUAUGUAUUUUUAUGUUUUAUACUAUUAAAAAUAUAUGAAAUUAAAAUAUAGUUAUAUUACAUAUUUUCUCAUAAAUAUAUGUUUUUUAUUUAUUUAUAAUAUCAUUGUUUUUAUUGUUAUAAUUAUUUUUAUCUAAUAAAAAUUCAAUAAAUUAUUUAAAAAAAUAUUUAUACAAACAAAAUAAUUAUAAACAUUAAUAUUUUAAAAUGAUGAAAAUUUUAAAGAAUUUUAGUUUCAAACCAAAGUCGAAACACAUUAUAAUGGAGGAUUUAGAAAAUGUUUCACCAAACCCAUAUUUUACUUUCAAGUAUGAUAUGAUAUAACUUUAUUAAUAUUUAUGGCAAUAACCGUUAUUAUAAUAUAUGAGAUCAAAAUUAAAUUUCUAAAUUAAAAAAAAAAGGAAGUUUAAUUAAAUGCAUCCAAAUCUAGGAAAACAAAAACAACAAAUCAACUUCAUUAUAUUCUCUUAAAACAUUAUUAUAUUCUUGUUAAAAAUCUAAUAUUUUUACCUUUCAUAUCUAUUGAUCCUUUCAAUUCAUUGAACCUUAUGCUCAAAGAUUUCAAAUUUGAAAGCUUGUUAAGGGAUGCAAAUACACUAGUAUUGAAGUGGUUGAAAUCUAAAUUAAGCUCUUCCAAGUGGGUCAACUCCAAUUUUCUACCACCAUCUACAAAAGAUUUAUAUAAUUUCAUCACUGAAAUAAAUUGGCAUAAAAUUUAAUUAUAUGUAAGAAUUUAGAUAAUUGGUUAAAUAUAAAUGCAUACCUUUAAAGGAUUGAAAGCUUUCAAUUUGAUUCCCACUUAAAUCGAGUUUCUUCAAAUUUGUUAAAUUGCUCAAUCCUAUACAUAUUCACGUCCAAUUCAAAAAAUCAAACCACUUAAUAUUUUAAUGAAAUAAAAAUGAAAAAAAGUAAAUCUAAAACUUGAAGUGAAGAUGAAAAUCCUCAAACGUGAAAUGUGAAUGUUCAAAUUUGAAACAAUUAAUUUUAAAAGGUUGUAGAAAGAAUUAUCAAGAAAAAUAAAGUUAUAGUUUUAGUACCUUUAGUAUCUAAUGAGCCUUGCAAAUCGUUGUCGGACAAAGUCAGAGACUUUAGGCUUGAAAGCCCUUCAAGAGAGGAAAUUGUGUUGUUCCGAAAGAGAUUAGUACUUAAAACAAGUUCCUCCAAGUUUGUUAGCCUCAAUUGCGUUCCAUCUAUCAUUGGAAGAAAAUAAUGAGUAUAAUUAAUAUCAUUCAAGAAAUAGUUAGGAAAAAUGAUUGUUUGAGAAGGAAGAGCCAAUUUAGAAGCUUUCCCAUGAAUUGAUAACUACAUUUUACAAGUAAAACUUAAUUGAUUCAAUAUAUAAAUACUUUGUUUGAGAUACCUUCCUAUUUUGAAAUUCAAUCCCAAAUAUUGAUUACUUAUAUAUAUUCAUGAUAUGAUAAAAUCAAACUUGAACAUACAUUGAUUUUUAAAGUUAAAAAGAAACAGGUAAAAUCAGUCUACCUUGAAUAUGAUUCAAAAUAUAUUUUUAUUUAUAAUAUCAUUGUUUUUAUUGUUAUAAUUAUUUUUUAUCUCAUAAAAAUUCAAUAAAUUAUUUUAAAAUAAUUAUAAACAUUAAUAUAUUAAAAUUAUGAAAAUUUUAAAGAAUUUUAGUUUCAAACCAAAUUCGAAACACAUUAUAAUGGAGGAUUUAGAAAAUGUAUCACCAAACCCAUAUUUUACUUUCAAGUAUGAUAUGAUAUAACUUUAUUAGUUAUUAUAAUAUUUGAGAUCAAAACUAAAUUUCUAAAUUAGAAAAAAAAAGGAAGUUUAAUUAAAUGAUACCUUGGUGGAUCACAAAAUUUUUCAAUUCAUUGUCGCUCAUAUAUAGUUCCCUUAAGUUGAUAAAUGCAUCCAAAUCUAGGAAAACAAAAACAACAAAUCAACUUCAUUAUAUUCUCUUCAAACAUUAUUAUAUUCUUGUUAAAAAUCUAAUAUUUUUACCUUUCAUAUCUAUUGAUCCUUUCAAUCCAUUGGCCCUUAUGCUCAACGAUUUCAAAUUUGAAAGCUUGUUAAGGGAUGCAAAUACACUAGUAUUGAAGUGAUUGUAAUCUAAAUUAAGCUCUUCCAAGUGGGUCAACUCCAAUUUUCUACCACCAUCUACAAAAGAUUUAUAUAAUUUCAUCACUGAAAUAAAUUGGCAUAAAAUUUAAUUAUAUGUAAGAAUUUAGGUAAUUGGUUAAAUAUAAAUGCAUACCUUUAAAGGAUUGAAAGCUUUCAAUUUGAUUCCCACUUAAAUCNNNNNNNNNNNNNNNNNNNNNNNNNNNNNNNNNNNNNNNNNNNNNNNNNNNNNNNNNNNNNNNNNNNNNNNNNNNNNNNNNNNNNNNNNNNNNNNNNNNNNNNNNNNNNNNNNNNNNNNNNNNNNNNNNNNNNNNNNNNNNNNNNNNNNNNNNNNNNNNNNNNNNNNNNNNNNNNNNNNNNNNNNNNNNNNNNNNNNNNNNNNNNNNNNNNNNNNNNNNNNNNNNNNNNNNNNNNNNNNNNNNNNNNNNNNNNNNNNNNNNNNNNNNNNNNNNNNNNNNNNNNNNNNNNNNNNNNNNNNNNNNNNNNNNNNNNNNNNNNNNNNNNNNNNNNNNNNNNNNNNNNNNNNNNNNNNNNNNNNNNNNNNNNNNNNNNNNNNNNNNNNNNNNNNNNNNNNNNNNNNNNNNNNNNNNNNNNNNNNNNNNNNNNNNNNNNNNNNNNNNNNNNNNNNNNNNNNNNNNNNNNNNNNNNNNNNNNNNNNNNNNNNNNNNNNNNNNNNNNNUAUACCAAACACAAUUUUUAUUAUUUGAUUUAAUAACUAUAUAUUUAAAAAAAUAUUGUCUUUAAUUAAAUUAGUUUUAUGUAAUUGCCUAAUUCUCCGAAACGAAGAGUGUAGACAUAAUAAAAUUAAACUCUAGUCAAUUUCGGUUGCCUAUCAAAUCGCAAAGGUUCCCAAAGUCAAUGUGAUUGCCACAAAAUUAGUACAUUAUUUUUCCACAAAACUAAAAUCUUGUACACCAUACAAACUUUCCGUCUCAAACAACCAAACACAGACUUAGUUGGGUAAGCCUAAAACUUCCUUGAAUAAAACAAAAAAUCUAGACCUAAAUUUUCCAUUAAUAAAAACAAAAUCAAGAGUCAAGACUUCAACUUUUUCAUGAAUUAAAACAUUCUACUUACAUUUUAGGUAUCAAAUCUCAAAAGUUGAUGUUGAGUUCGAAAUGUAAGAAGAGCAUACUCCAAUUGACUUGGCUAAAGCAGGUUUGGCAAGGAAUUCAUUGUUUUGAGCAUAUUGGUAACUUUGUUUUGGUUUUGUUGUUAUGCUCUAUUUUGGCAUAGUUUGACUGCUGUUAUUUUCUUGUUUGAACUGGCAUGGGUUGGGUGAUCUCAACUCCUUUUCUUAUAAUCAAUUGACUGAGCAGAAAAAAGAAACAACAUAUAAAUGAAAUUUAGAAGAAAACCACAUGAAGAAUUUUACAACACAAAUUACAGGAUUUUAUGUCUAUUUCACACUUUUGAUAUCUUUUCGAACAUUAGAUUUGGAAUCGACGCAACUCAUGUUUCAAUUCUUUUUCUUAUAUAAUUAUUGAUUUUAAAAAUUCCAAUUGUAUACAUAUAAAACCAAUCACAAAACUAAUAGUAUUAAUAGACAAAACGGUUUCAGGGAAAAGCAUUAGAAGAUAAAUAUCCAUAUCUCAAUCUUUCUUCGCUUCUUCCCUUAUAGAAUUGAAGAGUCUGGAAAUGCCAUAAUUGGUUAUGUUAAAAAUGACAGUCAUAAUUUUAAGUAAUUUUAAUUUGCCCUUAAUUUCAUAUAAAAUCUGUCGAAACCUUCUUUUUUUUAAAACGGGUCGACUUGAAUUUUGAAAAAUGAAAAAAAAUGGGAGUCGCCACCAAUCUUUUUUAAUAAGGUGUGAUCGGGUCACCUCGAAAAAUAGUUAUUUUUAUAAAUGAUUUGAUUUAUUAAAACAACAAUUUUGGUCCAUAAAAUUCAGAAAGAUGAGUUCGGAAGUCAGUUACGUACGAUGAAGAAUUAGCACCCUCGUAACACCCAAAAAUUGGUACCUAGUUGAUUAAUUAGUGUCUUAAUGUCGAAAGUUAAAAACUCAAAAAGAAUUGAAAAUACGAUCCUUUGUUAAAAUAUUAAAAAUUUUCAAGAAAGGGGCACAUUUCACGUUAAUCGAGAAAGAGAAUUACGUCCCGUAAGUUAUGACAUAAUGUCUUAAAUUCCCGAUACGAGAAUAAAUGCCGAAAAAUUUACUUAUUUGAAAGAUAUUUGAUUAUCUCAAUUUAUUAAAAAAGAUCAUAUUUCGUAAGUUAGAAUACAAUCCUUUAUUAAGUCCGACAUUAUUAAAAAUUUAUGUCUAAAAAGGUUCGUGUAUUUGGAUUUGUCGAGAAAAUGAAGCCCUGUAAGUUAGGGUACGACCUUUUCAAAUCAAAAUACGAAGUUUUAUUUAUUUUAAAGUCAUAAUUUAUGCAUCGAGUAGAAUUAACGUAACAUAAAUCGAUAGAAAUAAAAUACGAUGUUGAUGUGCAUAACGGAAUAAUAAAUGCAUUGGUACGAAUGACAAUAAAAUAAACAAGCAAAUAAUAAUAAACGAAAUGACAAACAAAUAAUGAAGAUAACGGACUAAGAAUUUAAAUUUAAAAAUUUAAUAUUAUAGAAAUAAUUAAAUAAAUGUUGUAAGGCAAUUUAAGAAUAAUGAUGAUGAUGAUGAUGAUGAUGAUGAUGAUGAUGAUAAAUAAAUAAACUAAAGUUUUAAAAUUUUAUAAAAAAUAUAAAUAAAUAGGGGAUAAAAUAAAAUAAAUGUAUUUAAAUUAUUUAGGUAAAUAAAUAUAAAAAAAUAUAAUAGAAAUAAUAAUAUAAGAAUUAAUUAAUUUAACAAUAUGGUAAUAAUAAGUAUAUAAAUCAGAAAGGGUAAAAUAAUAAUAAAGAUAAUGAUAUUAAAAUAAUUAAUUUAAUAAUAAAAUAAGAAAAGGACUAAAUUGGAGUUUAAACGAAAAUCAGGGUAAAAAUCGAAAGUAAAAAAAUAAGGGAGAGGGCCCAAUUGAAAGGCGCGCAUAACCCAAAGGGACCAAAUGGGGAAAUAUCCCCGCCCUCCGAAACACACCAUUUUGCUAGGACUAAAUCAGAAACAAAAUAAAAUUUGAAGUAUCAAUUGUAAAAUAAAAAAAACUGAAUUAAAAAAAUAAAAAAUGCUGAAGGGCUAAAUGCGCAAAUUGCCCACCAAAGCAAAACAAGCGGAUCCUUCUCUUGGGUCGGGUUGACACGCGGGUUGAAGGCCUUAUUACGCGUUGUUUUGGCCACUGGAGUUAAGGCUCAAAACAGUGUCGUUUCAGCCUUCUAUAAGACCAAUUCUUUUUUUGCAAAAUUUAAAUUCUCCUCCUUUCUUUAAAAAAUCGUAAAAACACUCUCAAAACCUGCCUUCUUCACAGGAAUUCGAACAUGGCUUGGGUCGCCGGAUCACCGCGGCGGCCGCCGAUUGCCAGUGACGGUGCCAUCGCCCACGGCGGCCGAAAAAUCAAAAGAAGCUUAUUUUUUGAGUUUUUCAAUUUUCCAACUCAAAAAACACCGAUUUUCAUCAGAAUCGGCGAACCUCAUGCAAAAAGGUACGUUUUUUAUUCCCUUUUCCCUUUUUAUAUUUUUUUCUUCUAAAAAAACAAAUAAGAACGAAAGAUAAAAAAAUAGAAAAAAUAAGAAAAAUGAAACUACCUUUGAAAAUCUACUGAUUUUUGUAUUGAUUUUUUUGUUCUUUUUGAUUGAUUCGUAAGGUCCUAAAAUACAGGAAUCGGGGACCUUUUUAUAGCCCGAAAAUAUCAUUUUUUUCUAUUUUUUCUCUCUUCUCUUAUUUUUUUACACUAUUAGAUUCUUAUCGUUCAUUUGUUUUACAGGUACAAGGCCGUUGGCCAGCUAGCAUACGAAGGCGCACGUGGGGAGGUGGUUGGAGGUGCGGUGGCUGAAAGCUAUUUGGGUAGGGUUUUUGUUUUUUUUUUUUUUUUUGAAAAUGUAAUGGGUUUUGGGCUUGGUUGUUAUUUUUUGGGUUAGAAUUUGUGAUUUGGGUUUGUAUUAGGCUAGGGUCUUGGUUUUUAGUUUGUAAAUGGACUAUUUGAUUCUUGGACUUUUUAUUGGGUUUGUUUUGUUUGGUUUAUUUUUAGUGGGCCAGGCGAAUCGGGCCUGUUAAGCUGUCCCUCUUUGCUCGUUGUCAUGUAACGAGAAUAGAACAAAGACUUUAAAAGGGCCGAUUUUGCUUGGCCUCUUGGUGCUCAUCUUCUUCAUGUAGCUUCUUUCUAACCCACUGCAGCUUCAAAGAGAUGAGGUUUGCAAAUUGUAGCUUCAAUAUGUUCCAUUGCAACUUCAGGGAAGCAAAAAUUAAUAUGUUUAAUUAUAAUGAUUUAAUUCAUCGUUUGCUUAUUACAUAAUAUUAAGUUAUGUUAAAUUUGUUUUUAUUAUAUAUUUCGUUUCUAACUCUUUAAUUAAUUUACUAGGAGAAACUAAAGGAUAAAAAGGCGGAGUAUGAAGCGAUUGCCUCGAGUGAUAGUUUUGUUAAUGUCGAUGACAUUGAUAAUCAGAUUAUUACCUGAAGUUUUGGGUCCUGAGCGGUAUGGUCGGGUUUGAUUUCAAGGUUCUUUUGUUAACCCAACCUAAUAUUUUGGAUCCAGCUUGCAGCAAUACAUGCCUUCGGGGAGUCAGGCUCAAGUUGAAGUUCAGAGGUUAAGAGACCAGCUGGCUUAGAUGCAAGUGACCACAAUUGAGCAAAUUACUCAACUUAAAGCGGAGGCAGCAUCAAAAGAAGUUGAAGUUCAAAGAAAAUAUGAAGAACUCCAGCUACAACUUAAAGCAGAGGCUACUGCGAGGGAAGCAAAGGUAGCAGUGAGGGAAGCAGAGUAGAGCAGAAAGUACGAUGCACUCCAACUACAGCUUCAGAAUAUGAUGAAGAUGUUUCAGCAGUCGCAAAAUUUGCCAUAUUAGACUAUUGUAUGAAUAAUUUUAACAUUUUAACUUUUAACAUUAUUGUAAGAAUAAUGUGAAUUAUACUUCAUUUAUCAAUUUAUAUCAUAUAUUUUGUUAAAUUUGAAGUAUAAUUUAGAUUUGCUGCUUUUGGUUGGUUUCCAUGCUACAGAAGGGUUGCAUAUGGAUAAAAAUUGGAUUUUACAAAUUUUCCAAACUUAGUGGCAUUUUUAGUAAAACGCCGCUAAAGAACGGUACUUUUAGCGACGUUUAUGAAAAAAGCACCGCUAAAGGUCAUGAUCUAUAGUGGCGUUUGUGAUAAAAGCGCCUCUAAAGGUCAUGACCUUUAACGGCAUUUAUGUGAAAAAAUGCCACCAACAUUACCUGACGUGGUCUAUAGUGGUGUUUUUUGUGGUGCUUCCACAAGCGUCGCAAAUACUUUUAGUGGCACUAGAAGCGCUGCUAUAGGCCUAAAAAAACACCACUAAAAGCUUGUUUUGCUGUAGUGAGAUGACAAUGCUUGUGCUCACUAAAACUCCAUCAGCCAAUGAGCCUCUACACACCAUGUGGGGAUAUAAUCAACCCACUCAUCCCUACACUCCAAGUAGUACUGAAUGCGGCAUAAAACUGUAGUUUGCAGUUGAGCUGCCAGUAAAUUAGGCUUAAAGCCUUUCAGCACAUUUCCUGCAAAUAACGACCCCCAAUCCAAUGCAAUGCAACAUACCAUGGAUGAUAUGCUAUUAUGCAAUUUCAGUACAUAUGUAUAAGUUUAGAUAUUAACAUGCUCAGAACAAAUAUCAUUCAGUCAAUUUCACACAUAUAGGGGUCCAAGUAGCGCUUACAGACCUUAUAGUAGGUUCAUAGUCGACUUGGGCAACCCAUGUAACCUUAGAAAUAUUUUGGUAAAAAUGGGCCCACACAUCUGUGUGCCCGCGUGGCCACCCGACCCAAAUUGGCCUUGGCCGUGUGAUCCAUUUUUAAUGUAACUCAUGCUAGCUAAAUAUUCAUAUAUGUUUCCACUAUUUACUAAUAUGAUCAUUCAGAGUUGUCUACUUGAGUCAUUGUCACUAAAUUAUUUAUAACUUGAGCUACAGAAUUCAAAAUUAAGAUCUGCUUGAUUUUCUUGAAGCAUAGACUCACAUAUCUUCUUACCUUAACAUUUUUAGAAUUUUUGGUUUAGCUAGUAAGUAUAGUUAAUUCUUCAAAAUUAUCCCUAUUCUACCGUCUGACAAUUUCGACCCUUCUUUUCUAAAAAUUAAUUAUCUCUUAGUACGGGAUUCAGAUGAUGUUAAGGUUUCUUUCUCUUGAAAUAUACUCAUUAAGAAUUUUAAUCAUAUAAAUUUUAACCCAUAAUUAUUUUUAUACAAUUUUUAAUGAUUUUCCAAAGUCAGAAUAGGGGAAACCGAAUUCAUUCUGACCUUGUCUCACAAAUUAUAUUAUAUCUCACGAUUUACAAUUAUAUUACUUACACCGUUUCUCUAUGAGAAACUAGACUCAAUAAGUUUUAAUUCCAUAUCUUUUCAUCUUUUAAUUCGAUUUUCACAAUUUAUGAUGAUUUUUCAAAUUUAGCCCACUAUUGCUGUCCAAACAGCAAGCAAUUUCGGCUUUUCGUCGAAUCUCAUUUUCUACGUUUCGAGUACACACCUAGUAUAGUUUCUAAUGUGUAAGCACUCCUAAGCCUCCAGAACCUAAAAAUCGACCAAAAAAUCUCCAGAUUAAUCACUUAAUUCAUUUUUAAUCAACCAAUUUUGGAAAGAACUCAACUAAAAACCUAACAAACACUUACCUCGCUUGAGUAAUCACAACUUCGUACAAUCACAGCAUCGAUUCAGAACCACCAGCCCCUUGACAACUCCUAAACACCAAAAAGGAACCCUUCUUUCAGAGAUUAACCAAGAACGAUUAAUAAUAGACAAAAUCGUUACUUACUGAACACACACAACCAACGAUGAACAACUAAAUCAAUUGGAAAAUAAAGAAAGAAAUGGAAGGGAAAAAAUAAUGGAAAUUUUGGCAACAACUAGAAGAAAGAAUCGGUAGAGGAGGAAAACUGAAACUCUACUAGGAGAAAGAAUCCACCAAGGUAUCAUUUAAUUAAACUUUCAUUUUUGUUCAAAUUUUAGAAAUUUAGUUUCAAUUCUUAGUAAAGGUUAUUGUGAUAGAUACUAAAAAAAUUAUAUCAUUUCAUACUUGAAACAAAUGGGUGGAAAAAAAGAAUUCAGUUUAAAAAAAAAUUAAGAAAUAAGGGUUUGGUGAAAAGAUCUUCUAAAUCCUUAUAGUGUGUUUGGAAUUUGGUUUGAAAAUCAAAUAAUUUUUAAAAAUUGCAUAAUUUUAAAAUUUUGGUGUUUAUAAUUAUUUUGUUUGUAUAAAUAUAUUUCUAAAAAAUAAUUUAUUAAAUUUUUAUGAGAUAAAAAGUAAUUAUAAAAGAACAAUGAUGUUUAAAAUUAAAAAAUACAUUUAUUUAUGAAAAAAUAUGUACUAUAAAUAUCAUUUGAAUUUCAUAUAUUUUUAAAAUAAAACAUAAAAGUACAUAUUAGAGUUAAAUAAAUGGCAUUUUUUGGCCAAAAAUAAAUAAAUGACAUUUUUGAAGAAUUAAAAAAACCUCAAGUAAAUGAAAUUUAAACAUAGAUUUCAAGGUGCUCGAACUUCCUUCUGAAACUUUUCGUAAAAUUCAAAAUGCAUGUGUUAUUAACGUUUUUGAGGGCCAAGAUUUAGUGCUUUAAAAUUUUGAUCUAAUUUAAUGAGUAGAGGUGAGCGUUCGAUCGAAUCGAAUCGAAUGAAAAAGUUUUGAAUUAAUCGAGUUGACAAAUCCUAUUUUAUCAUCCUAAGUCGAUUUAAAAUUUUCUCGAAUCGAGUCAAAUGAGAUGGAAUUCAAAUUGAAUAUAUUUAUUCGAGUUAAAUUAAAAAAUGAUUUUGGUGCUUUUUAUUUUUAUGUAAUUUUUAUUUAAAAUAUUUUUUAAAAGUUUUUAAAAAUGAUCCUACAAAGAAAAUUUGUAAUGAACAAAUAAAAACAAUCAAUGAAAAAAAUAAGAGGAUUUUGAUUUUAAGGGGUAAAGGGGGAGAAAUAAUAUUUUUGGGGGGAUUUUGAUUGUUGGGAGUAAAAGAGAAGGGAAAGCAAAAAAUUUUGGAGGUAAGGGGGAUAAAAAAUUUGGGGAUUUGAUUUUUGGGUUAAAAGGGGAGGAAAAAAAAAGAAAUUGAAGAGAAGAGUUGGUGGGGUAGAACCGGGGUUAAUAUUCAGUUUAUUCGAAUUUGAAAGCCUCAGCUCGAUUCGGAUGUGAAAUUCAAAAAGAAAUGUAAGUUGACUCGAUUCAAAUAAUUCAAAAUUUAAAUUUUUUUCAAGUCAAAUUAAAUUUUGCUCACCCCUACCAAUGAGUUUACUUGUAGUUUUUCUUGAAGUUUUAUUUAUUGGUGAGUAAAAUAUCUUUUACCAUCUAUAAAUUAAAUGCUAAAUUGAUUUCAACAUAUUUGAUUUUUUUUAUAAUGUAUUGAUAAAUUUAAAUGCAAUUUAACGAUUCUAUUCUAGACAUGUUGUAUUUUAUAAAUAUUAUUUUAUGGUGUUGUUGACUCGAGUUUAAAAAUUAUGCCAAUUAAUUAUAUCUAUUAAUUACUUAUAUUAAAAAUAUAUAAUAUAAUAAAAUACUAAAAAUAAAAAAAUUGUAUAAUUAAUAAAAUGAAUGAAGAGUUAUGUUAAACAUUCAACAUUCACUAUUAAAAUUUGUCUUGGUUAAAUUAUGGAUAAUCUAAUUUAUAUCUUUCUUUUCACUCUCAGAAAAUAAAGAAAUGAGAAACUUCAAAAAAUAUUUAUCUCAAUGACGUUUUUACCCAUGGAAGCAUUUCACUUAGCAGAGGCUUUCUCAUUAAUUAUCACUUUCUUUCUACAAUAAUAUUGUUAUCUAAUACCUCUUGUCAUUGCUUAAAAUCAAGUGUGUUGAGCAACCUAGAGGAAAUAUAUCUUGACGGAUCUAGUCUCAACACCAGCAUUUUGCAAAGCAUUGGGAUAUUCGCUUUUCUUAAAAUUUUGUCCUAAGAGUGGAUUUAUUGGUUCACUACCGAAUCAAGGUAAAUAAAUUUAUGGCUCAAAUUGAAUUCUUUAUGAGCUUUCUAUAAAGUAAUAUCUCGUAUUAUGUUAUUAAAACUAAAUUUAAAUAAUAAAAAAUUUUCACGAAAUUUUAAAAUUUUCAGGAUGGUGUGAUCUAAGGAAUCUUGAAGUAUUGAACGUGAAUAGGAAUACACUUGAGGGGACGCUUCCUCAUUGUUUUAGUAACUUGCCAUCUCUUCGUGAGUUAGAUAUUUCAAGAAACCAUUUUCAAAUUCCCGCUGUCAUUCGCACCAUUUGCAAACCUUUCGAGCCUCAAAGUCCUUUUGAGUAAUCAAAACAAGAUGGUAAUGGAACCUUCCUUUUAUACCUCAGUCCCAAAGUUUCAAUUGAAAUUCAUCAGUUUGUCAAAGUGCAUUACAUCUCUCCAACUCAAUCUUGAAUUUCCGACCUUCCUUUACUACCAAUACGACUUGAGAUAUGUGGAUGUUUCUCAAAACAAUUUCGGCGGAACAGUCCCAACUUGGUUGUUAGAAAACAACACAAAGUUAGAAGUUCUCAUCUUGAUGGGUAAUUCUUUUACUGGUCCACUCUCAUUAUCGUUAGCUCCUAAUUCUAAUGUGUCUUUAAUUGACAUAUCCCAAAACAAAUUGCAAGGUCAGAUUCCGAUUAGUAUAUGUCCAACUUUUCCACAUUUGAGCCUAUUAUUCUUAUCCAAGAAUGCCUUCGAAGGUGAUAUCCCUCCUUGUUUGAGUGGCAUGAAGGAUUUAUGGAUUUUAGAUUUAUCAAACAAUCAAUUGUCUGGAAGAGUACCUGAAGAGUUAAUCACAAAAAGCUCGUUGACCAGUGAUUCUCAAUGCAAAUGGGUUGUUAAAAUUAUAUUUGGAUGGAAAUAAUUUUUCUGGGGAGAUGGCAAAUGUUGAUGUCUCCAUUUCUGAGUUUCCAACUUCACUAAGGGAAAUCAAUCUCGGAAAUAACAAGUUUUAUGGAAACCUCCCAAGAUUGAUAGGGAAUGUGCCAUUUUUGGAGAAAUUAGCUUUGUCUGAAAAUGGUUUCGAGGGUUCUAUUCCGAUGGAAUUUUGCAACUUGAAUUACUUGGAAUUUUUGGAUCUCUCUGAAAACAAUUUAUUUGGCUCUAUACCGACCUGCUUUAAUCCCCCAGACAUAAAGCAUGUACACCUGCACGGGAAUAGACUAAGUGGCCCACUACCAAUUGCUUUUUAUAAUAGCUCUUCACUGGUUACAUUAGAUCUUGGAGGAAACUGUUGGUGUUUAAAGGCAGUAGCAAGCUGCUUUGUUCUUGCUUGGAUAGCAAGGCUCGAGACUUGCAGAAGAAACAAGUGAACAAAAACAGAAAUUUGCAAGUGAAAAACAGAAAUGAAAGAGAAAUUUUUUUAAUGAAAAACCAGCUGAAUUCUUCAUUAACAAAAAGAAUAAGGCAUUAAGCCAUUACAUAUACAAGUCAACUUGUAAAGCUAACAAGUUAUCACCUAAUCAACUACCUAACACCACUAAAAUUACAUUGGAAAUUGUUAAUCAGCUUGCUUAAGUUACUUUGCUGAUUUUUCAGUCAAUCAAUCAACAAAAUUACAUCAAAAGUUUACCAACUAAAUUCUACAAGAACUGAAUUACAAAAUACAAACUUAAUUCAACACAACUAGUUGAAUUUGAACAGCAUUGUCGAGUUCAAGUUGCUGCCUUCAAGUGCUGCUUCUUUCCUGCAUGUGACUUGCAUGGAAGCUAACUUCAUCAGAAUCAAUUUGAUUGGUAGUAUUCCAAAAUGGAUUGGCACACUUUCUUCAUUGAGUGUCCUUCUCUUGAAAGCUAGUAAUUUACAUGGUAGAAUUCCAGUUCAAUUAUGCAAGUUGUAUUCCUUGAGCAUGAUAGAUCUAUCUCAUAAUAUGUUUUAUGGUUUUAUACCUUCUUGUUUGGGAAAUUUAACUCUUAAAACGAAAUACCAGAAGACUUUGACAUCAUAUUCUGAGGCAAGUGAUGUAUUGGAAGACAUAUUACCAUACCAUAAGGAAACACGGUGGCGUGGGGAUGACUUACAAGAGUAUCCUGAAACCUACAUGGAAGAAUGGGUACAGUUCACAACAAAGAGUAGGUCCUACUCAUAUGGGGGUCUCAUCCUUGAGGACAUGACAGGGAUUGAUUUAUCUUGCAACAAGUUAACUGGACAAAUCCCACCUGAACUAGGAAACUUGAGUCAAAUCCAUUAACUGUCGUACAAUAACUUAACAGGAGUUAUACCCUCAUCAUUCUCAAACCUUAAGCAGAUUGAGAGUUUGGACCUUUCUUACAAUAGCUUGAGUGGUGAAAUCCCUAAUCAAUUGGUAGAAUUGAAUUCUUUAGAGGUUUUCAGUGUGGCACGAAACAAUUUGUCAGGUAGUAUUCCAGAACCAAAAGCUCAAUUCGGAACCUUUAUUGAAAGCAGUUAUGAGGGAAACCCUUUUCUCUGUGGUGCUAUACUGCAUAAAAGUUGCUCCAGAAUCAAUUCGCCAUCAACAAUAUCAACUAUAUCAGAUGAUAAAGGAGAAGAUGGUUUGUUUGAUACUUAUGAUUUUUGUGUGAGUUUUUUUAUUUCUUAUGUAGUUGUGUUGUUGACGAUUUUUGCGGUCCUUUACAUAAAUCCAUAUUGGCGAAGAUCUUGGUUUUCUUUUGUCGGAAAAUGUAUCACCACCUGUCGUUUCUCAAUUGGAGGCAGCUUUCUUGCGUAUUACAUCUUCAAGCGAUGUGUUUAACUAUCAUGAAGAUUUAUGCAAAGUUUGUUCAUGUUGUCUUCGGAAAAAAAUUCUGCUAUGAUCUUUUAUAUCAGGUGAGCACCUGAUUGUUUUUGGUGCUAAGACGGAUUUUGUUUAUUUUAUAUUUUGAUUAAAGCUUUUAUCUUUGUGUGAAGGAAGCUUAUAACCUUUGUCUUGUCGGUUAUUGUGGUAGACAUGUAGUCAAUUAAUUAUAUUCACUCUUCUAUCCAUCUCCAAGUUAUUUGGUAUUAAAUAUCUUUUUUAAAUUAUAUUCUGCUUUAUUAAAAAAAAUUCAAUAUAAAAACCAAGUUUAUAUCUUUUUCAAAUGCUUCUCUCUAUGCAUUUAUGACAUGUUUUUCGAUAUAAAAGUUAUAUACACAAGCAGAUAUUCCUUGGGUUAAAACAUGUAGCGGUCCUACUCUUUAGAUUUGCUAGGCACCCAUGCAUACAUAUGUAGAAGUAUUUGCUUUGGGAUGUAAGGUGGUGAGACUAUCAUCACAGCUUUGCUUAAGACUAAUAUUGUGAAAGAAUUAGAUUCUUGGAUCCAACAGUAAACAGAGCGGAUCAACUUAAGUUAAUCCUACUCUUCAUUUUUAUAUCUAAUCAUUUACGAACAUGGAUAUGAGAAUAUAACUGAGUCCAAGUAACAUUGUUUUUAAUCAAGGGGGGUUGGGUUUGAGUGGUGGACCCAUUUUUUAGAUGUAAGAUGAGUUUAUCAUUUUCAAAUUUGUUGAUAAUCCUUCAUUUAAUCUGCAGUGAAGUUGAUAGAUAGUCUUAAGAUACUGCCCCAAGAAACUAGAUAUAGUAAAUGUUGGUGUUGGCUUUGGGAUUAAAAGGUUGCCCCCUCAACCUUGCCAUAGAAGAAGGCUUAAAGUCUUCACUUGAGAAGCAGCCCAAAUUUGAUCUCCCACUUGAUUUGUAUACAAUUAUUUACUUUGGAAAAGUCUUUUAAUUGAGGGUUUCAUUAAUUUGUAAAUCUUAUCAUACGGCGUUGAUGUCGGAGAAUGUAGGCAUUCUGUUAAACCUCUUAAAUUUAGUGUGUGUUUUCCUUUAUUAUUUUAUUUGUAUUUAUCGGUUGUUCUGUUACGUUUUAAUAUUCAAUUAUGAUUUGGUGGGUUAAUCCGUUGUGUUGAGUAGUUUCAAUUUACUUUUGGUUCAUUAUUGAAGUUACAUUCUGCCUUAUGUUGCUAACAUUAUUAAUUCUCUAAUAUUUAAAAAUAAAAAUAAAAAUUAUGUGGUUAUUAAAAUUAUAAUACUAAAUUGAGAAACACAAAUUAAUACUUAAUUAUAAAAAAAAAAUGAAACCCACAAGAGUAUACGUAUUAAUUUAUUUUUCUCAAUUUAGCAUCAUAAUUUUAAUAACCACAUAAUUUUAAUUUUUAAAUGUUAGAGAAUUAAUCAUGUUAGUUAUUUUAAUAAAUCCAUAAAAGGAACAAAAUAUAUCAAAUUAAAUAAUAAAAACUAAAAUUUUAAUUCAAUUGAGUAAGACUAGGGAUUAAAACUGUAAAUUGAUGUAUAAUAAUUUUUCAGGCAUUAAUUAUGAGAUUAUUUCCGUGAGGGGGGCCUAUAUAAGCUCAAGGUUGAUGUAAAAGUCAAUAGUCAACAUUUGAAAGUUAAUACAAUGAAUUAUGUGACUGUUGAUAUAUGUAAUAAUAAUUUCUUAACAAUUUCCUCCAAUUUUCAUUAUUAUUCAUUAUUUGUUUUACUCAUUAAUGAAAUUUGGUGUGAAUACAUUAAAUUGAAGGUCAUUCAAGGAAAUGGUAAUGUCCAUUUUCCACGCGACAAAAACUUUCUUGGUCAAACAAGUUGGAUUUGGCUUCUCCAAUAACUUAAUAAUCUGUACUAAAAUUUUCCACACAAUAGAAUACGAACUCGUUCUCGUAAAUAUUUUGAAAAAUAAAAUAAUAUUAUGAGUUAACGAAUUAUCAAUUUAAUUAAAAAAUUAAAAGAUACAUUUUUAAAAUUUUAUGAAAUUAUAUGUUAAUAUAAUUAUAAAAUUAUAGUUCUAACUUUAUAAAAUUUAUUUUUUAUCUUUAAUCCUGAAGAGAGACAAAUUAAGAUAACUAUUCUUGGGGCCAUAACGACGACUAGGAUUAUGAUUGCACAUUUUCUAAGUCUUCAUUUUUAUUAAUUAGGAAAGAUGAUGGGCAUCUCCACUAAAUUUCCACCCACAAGAAUAUACAUAUUAAUUUGUUUUUCUCAAUUUCCAUGAGGGGGACCUAUAUAAGCUCAAAGUUGACGCAGAAGUCAAUAGUUAACAUUUGAAAGUUAAUGCAAUGAAUUAUGCGAAUGUUGAUAUAUGUAAUGAUAUUUUCUUAACAAUUUCCUCCAACUAUUUUGUAGACGGUGCUAUAUUACAUCACAAUGGGUGACCAAAUAUAUAUAAUUGAGAUUUUUAAGCAAAUAUUAUAUUUUAUCUUUAUCCAUGAAUAGUAUAAUAAUUAGGAUUAAUAUUUGGUACAUUGUUAGUGGAGUUUUUAAAUUCCAUAAGGAGAGUUAAAGGAUUGACACGUAUCCUAUAGAGGUGUAGUAUAUAAUAUUAAAAAAAUAGAUAUUUUUAAAAAAAUAGACACAUGCCAAUUUUUUAAUGUUGCUUGUGGGGUGCACUUGAAUUGUGGUUCAUAGAAGGAAAUUAUUAUAUAAAGGUUUAAUUCUACAAUAGUUCUUGUACUUUACUGAAGUUGUAGAUUUAAUUCCUAGACUUUAAUUUGAUAUUUUAGAUAUUUCUUAAAUUCAUUAAGUAUUUGUUAAAUUCAUUAAGUUCUACUAUUUCAAAAUUUGGUGUGACAAACAUAUUAUCAUAUGUGUAAUAUCACUAAAAUUCAAAACAAUGAGAAAUUUGUACAUAUUAUCAGAUGUCAAUAUCAAGUUGAACAUUUCAAAAUUUAAAGUAAUGGUGCAAGUCUUUAUCUUUCCAACAAACCAGAAUUUUCUACAUGAUGGCUUUUUUUUUUUCUUUUUUUUUCUUUUUGCUAUUAGUUAAGAGGAUUUUUUUAAAAAAUAACCCAAUUUAAUUAACUAAUUACAAAAAUGAUUCAAGUAAAACUCAAGUCAUAUUAAAAAUAAUUAUUUAUAAAUUUUAUGUUUCAAAAACUAAUGAAUGUUCAAAGAAUAGUGAAUUAUUAAAGAGAAGUUAUAUGAUAAUUGAUAGUUUUAAAGUAGUGGUCUAGUAGAAAUAAAUAGUUUUUUAUAAAAAAAUAUUAUAUAAAUAAUUAAAUUUUAUAGUUACUCCUAUUUUUUAAAAAAUAGUGAAUGUAAUAUUUUUUUAAAAUGUUAAAUUAACUCAUGAUAUUAAUUAAAUCAAGAAAUUUUAUAAUAAUAGAGAUGAAAAAAACUAAAUUUUCAAAAUCAAAACCUAAAAUGUGCAAGAAUAAAAGCAAAAUCAAAAUCAAAGAAGUAAAAUUUCCAUGAAUGAAACCAAAAAUGAAGACCUAAAUUUUCCAUUAAUAAAGCCAAGUCAAGACUAAGUUUGUAUAUGUGUAAGAAGGGUAUAAAUGAAGCUCACAAGAAAGCCACAUGAAGACUUUUGCAACCCCAACCACAAGAUUUUAUGUCCACCUCUCACUUUUCAUAUUUUUUUGGCCAUUCGUUUUUCAAGAUUAACAUCAACAUUCUUGUGGUCCAUUCAUCCUUUCCUAGCGAAUUUCCACCAGGAGUUUUUGCAAUAAGGAAUUUACGUAAAUAAAAAGCCUAGAUUUUGAUCCAAUUUUUGAGGAAUUAAUUAAUUAUAUAUUAUUUUUACAUUAUAGUGAAUUAGUGGGAUCCAGUAUGUUCUGCUUGUAUAUAAAUAAGAAGGUUAGGCUGCUUUAGAUUAUUUACAUAUAGAAGUUAACAAAAAGUAACAUAUAACUGAGAGAGAAGUGAAAACAGAGAGAUGAUGAUGAUGGAGUGGAAAUGGUUAAGGCUUAUUAGGAUGGCAGUAAUGUUGUUGGUGUUAGAAGGAUGCAGAUGGUGUACUACUGAUGCUUGUUUGGAGCAUGAGAGAAUCGCUCUCUUGCAUCUCAAGCCUUUCUUCAAUUAUGGUAAUCAAUUGCAAAGUUGGGUUGAGGUGAAGGGUUCAGAUUGUUGUAAAUGGAAAAGAGUUGAGUGUAACACCACCACUAGGAGACUCAUAAAACUCUCCCUUAAUUCUACAAGAUGGUUUGACAAUAUGGGAUACGACAUGGAUAAUGGGAAUCUCAAUGCCUGGUAUCUCAAUACCUCUAUGUUUCUUCCCUUUGAGGAAUUGAAGAGUCUUUAUUUGUCAGGAAACGCCAUAGGUGGUGACCUUGAAAAUGAAGGUCGUGCCUUUAACUUUCCAUUAAUUACAUCUUUUAUUAUUCCACUACUCUCACCAUUGUUAAUUUGCAAUUACUUAUAUUUUAUUUUAUUUUAUUGAAGAAAAGUCACUAACUGCUUGUAUAUAUUUAAAAGAACACUUCUACAGGCUUUGGAAAACUAUCAUCCACAUUGAGUAAUUUGGAGAUCCUUGACUUAAGUUUCAAUUACUUGAAUGAUAGCAUUUUGUUAUCUUUGAGUGAGCUUUCCUCUCUCCGGUAUUUAGACCUAUCAUACAACCAAUUUGAAGGAUCAAGUCAUCCAAGAGGUAAAUUAAAUUUGGUCUGGUGUAAGUUUUUAUUUGUAUAGUAGAGUUUGAGGAUGGUCUUCUAGGCUUGGUACCUAGUUUUCCAUUCUUUUUAUCCGUUGUAAUUCCACUUUUGCUUUAGUAAAAUUUUCAUAUAGCUAAGAAAGAAAAAAACAAUUAACAAGUAAUUAUGUAUAUAUAUCAGGUUUUCAAUUGCUUUCAAGACUCAAUAACUUGGAAACUCUUGAUUUAAGUUGGAAUUCUUUGAAGAAUAGCAUUUUGUUCCAUAUGAGAAAUCUUUCAUCCUUGAAGACUUUAAGAUUGAGACGUAAUCAGUUGAAAGGAAGGCUGGAUCAUAUUCAAGGUAGACUGAUUUUACCUGUUUCUUUUCAACUUUAAAAAUCAAUAUGUAUAUUCAAGUUUGAUUUCAUCAUACGAUCAAUAUAUAACUAAUCAAUACUUGGGAUUGAAUUUUAGGGUUGAAUAAUUUGACAAACUUGAAAUACUUGGAUUUAAGUGACAACAGCAUUGAAAGCAUCUCAAACCAAGGUAUAAGUACAGUAUUUAUAUGUCAAUUCAUAUUAAAGGUAGACUGGUUUUAUAUGUUUCUUUUUUACUUUAAAACCAAUUUUUGUUUAAGGGACAGUUAAUGUUGCAAUAUUUCAAAAUAGAGUAAAUUAAGUAGGAAGGUAUCUCAAACAAAGUAUUUAUAUGUUGAAUCAAUUAAGUUUUACUUGUAAAAUGUAGCUUAUCAAUUCAUGGGAAAGCUUGUAAAUUGGCUCUUCCUUCUCAAACAAACAUUUUUCCUAGCUAUUUAUAUAUUGAAUGAUAUUAACUAUACUAAUUAUUUUCUUCCAAUGAUAGAUGGAACACAAUGGAGGCUAACAAACUUAGAGGAACUUGAUUUAAGUAAUAAUCUCUUUCGGAACAACACAAUUUCCUUUCCUCAGGGGCUUUCAAGCCUAAAGUACAACAACAGUUUGCAAGGCUCAUUAGAUACUAAAGGUACUAAAGCUAUAACUUUGUUUUUCUUGAUAAUUCUUUCUAGAACCUUUUAAAAUUAAUUGUUUCAAAUUUGAGCAUUCAGAUUUCACGUUUGAGGUUUUUCAUCUUCACUUCAAGUUUUAGAUAUACUUUUUUUUUAUUUCAUUAAAAUAUUAAGUAGAAAUUAAAAUUAUUAACAUAAUGAUUUUUUGAAUUGGACAUGGAUAUGUAUAGGAUUGAGAAAUUUAACAAAUUUGAAGAAACUCGAUUUACGUUGGAAUCAAAUUGAAAGCUUUCAAUCCUUUAAAGGUAUGCAUUUAUAUUUAACCAAUUACCUAAAUUCUUACAUAUAAUUAAAUUUUAUGCCAAUUCAUUUUAGUGAUGAAAUUAUAUAAAUCUUUUGUAGAUGGUGGUUCAAAAUUGGAGUUGACCCACUUGGAAGAGCUUAAUUUAGAUGCAAAUCUCUUCAAUACUAGUGUAUUUGCAUCCCUUAACAAGCUUUCAAAUUUGAAAUCUUUGAGCAUAAAGUUACAAUGAAUUGAAAGGAUCAAUAGAUACGAAAGGUAAAAAUAUUAGUUUUUUAACAAGAAUAUAAUAAUGUUUUAAGAGAAUAUAAUGAAGUUGAUUUGUUAAUUUUGUUUUCCUAGAUUUGGAUGCAUUUAUCAAGUUAAGGGAACUAUAUUUGAGCGACUAAUGAAUUGAAAGAUUUGGUGAUCCACCAAGGUAUCAUUUAAUUAAACUUCUUUUUUUUUCUAAUUUAGAAAUUUAGUUUUUAUCUCAGAUAUUAUAAUAACGGUUAUUGUCAUAAAUAUUAAUAAAGUUAUAUCAUAUCAUACUUGAAAGUAAAAUAUGAGUUUGGUGAAACAUUUUCUAAAUCCUCCAUUAUAAUGUGUUUCAACUUUAGUUUGAAAUUAAAAUUCUUUAAAAUUUUCUUAAUUUUAAAAUAUUAAUGUUUAUAAUUAUUUUGUUUGUAAAAAUAUAUUUUUUAAAAUAAUUUUUUUAAUUUUUAUGAGAUAAAAAAUAAUUAUAACAAUAAAAACAAUGAUAUUACAAAUAAAUAAAAACAUAUAUUUAUGAGAAAAUAUGUAAUAUAACUAUAUUUUAAUUUCAUAUUUUUUUAAUAGUAUAAAACAUAAAAAUACAUAUUAGAGUUACAUAAAUCACAUUUUUUUUGCCAAAAAUAAAUAAAUAUGAAUUUUGAAUAAUUUAAAAAAAUCUUCAAUUUUAUGAAAUUUAAACAUACAUUUAGAGGUGCUUAAACUUCCAUCGCAAACUUUUUAUAAAUUUCAAAAUGCACAUGAUAUUAACAUAUGUCUACAUACUCUUUAUAAAUUUGUAAUUUAAUUCUUAUACUUUUAUUUUUAGGAAUUUAGUCCCUCUAUUUUAAAAAAAAAAUUCAAAAUCCAAGUUCAAUAGUUAAAAUUGUUAAUUUUUUUUAAAAAUAAUUAGUUGGUGUGACAUUUUGAAAUAAAAAAACUUUGGUAGCAAUGUAACUAAAAAAUGACAUAAUGAAAAUGGAUUUAAUAAAACAAUUUUAACAGUAUUAAUAAUUAGACUUGAAUUUUGAAAUUGAGUAAAAUAAAUGGCAUAAAACAUAAAAAUACACGUUAGAGUUAAUUAAAUGGCAUUUUUUGGCCAAAAAUAAAUAAAUGUCAAUUUUGAAUAAUUUAAAAAAAACUUCAAUUUUAUGAAAUUUAAACAUACAUUUUGAGGUGCUUAAAAAUUUUUUUCCAAACUUUUUAUAAAUUUCAAAAUGCACAUGUUAUUAACUUUUUGGUUUAAAAAAUGUGAUAGGUCUACGUACUCUUUACGAAUUUGUAAUUUAAUUCUUGUAUUUCUAUUUUCGUCAAUUUCCCUCUAUUUUUUAAAAUUUAAAAUCCAAGUUCAAUUGUUAACAUUGUUAUUUUUUUAAAUUAAUUUAUUGGUGUUGACAUUUUGAAAUAAAAAAACCUUGGUAGCAAUGUAACUAAAAGAUGACGUAAUGAACAUGGAUUUAAUAAAAUAAUUUCAAUAGUAUUAAUAGUUAGACCUGAAUUUUGAAAAUUUAUUUUUGUAAAGAGAAAAAUAUGCACAUUAGAUUUAAAUAAAAAUAAUAUUUUUUUAGUUUAAAAUUUUCUAUUUUAUAAUAGAACCAUGAUUUAAAUAAAUGAAAUUUUGAAGAGUUGCCAAAAAAAACUAUGUAGGUGAAAUUUAAAUAGAGAAUUUGAGAAGCUGAAAGUCUCUUUCGGAAUUUAUAAAUUUUAAAAUUCAAAAGGAUGUAUUUUGACAAUUUUAGGGCAAUGAUUUAGUGCUUUAAAAUUUUGAUUUAAUAUGGAGAAUUUAAUUAAAAAUUUAUUUAUUAGAUUGUAAAAUAUUUCUUAACAUUUAUAAUUGAGUACAAAGUAAAUUAAGUUUAAGGGAAAAUAUUAGGUACUAUUAAUGAAACUCUUUUCUUUUAUCAAAUUUUUUUUAAAAAAAUCUGGUUUUUAAAAAAAAUCGGGGUGGUACUAUUAAUGAAAUUCUAAACUUGAUAAGUAGGAUUGAGAUAAUAACAAAUAUAUUAUAUGGUAUAAUAAAAUAUUAAAAAAAGAAAUAUUUAAAAGAAAUAGGUUACUGGCCAUUUUUUAACUUCACUUGUAGAGUUAAAAAACUCCAUUACUAGUACCAAAUACUAAUAUUAAGGAAUUAAAUGCUAAAUUAAUUUCAAACAUAUUUAAAUCUGAUAUGAAUCAAGAAAAAAUUUAUUUUGAAAUUAUAUUUUAUCUUAGAAUGCUAAAAAAGGAUUAGUUUAAUUAAUAAAAUGAAUAAAUAGUUAUGUUAAGAUUUGGACAUUCUCUAUUAAAAUUUUAUUUUAUUGAUGAAAACAAAUAUUUAUAUAUUUCUUUCACUUACAGAAAAUAAGGGAUUGAGAAAUUUGAAAGUUUUGUUUCUUUAUCACGCUUUCACCGAUGGAAGCAUUCCAUUACAAAAUUUAGUGGAGUCUUUCUCAUCAGUUAAAGCCUUUCAUCUACAAUACAAUUAUCUGAACAUGACUCUGGCUACUCAAGGUAAGUGAAAGUCAUUAUGUUCUUUUCCAAAACAGCUUACGUUUAUUAACAUCUAAUACCUCUUCCCAUCCUAUAGAAUUAAAUGUGUCGAGCAAUGUGGAGGAAUUAUAUUUUGACGGAUCUACUCUCAACACCAACAUUUUGCAAAGCAUUGGAGUAUUCGCUUCUCUUAAAACAUUGUCUUUACAUGAUUGUGGACUUAUCGGUCCCUUACCUAAUCAUGGUAAAUAAAUUUAUGGGUCAAAUUGACUUCUUUAUGAGCCUUCUGGGAUAUAAUAUCUCCUAUUCUGUUUAAUAGAUCAAAUUUAAUUAAAAUUUCUUCAAUGAAUUUAUAAAUUUUUCAGGAUGGUGUGAUCUAAGGAACCUUGAAGUGUUGGAUGUGAGUGGGAAUGCACUUGAGGGGAUGCUUCCUCAUUGUUUCAGUAACUUGACAUCUCUUCGUGAGUUACAUAUUUCAGCAAACCGUUUUCAAAUUCCACUAUCAUUCGCACCAUUUGCAAACCUUUCAAACCUCAAAGUCCUUUCCGGUGAUGAAAACAAGAUGGUAAUGGAACCUUCCUUUUAUACCUCAGUCCCAAAGUUUCAAUUGACCAGCAUCAGUUUGUCAAAGUGCAUUACAUCUCAACAACUCAAUCUUGAACUUCCUACCUUCCUUUACUACCAAUAUGACUUGAGAUAUGUGGAUCUUUCUCAUAACAAUUUCAGCGGAACAGUCCCAACUUGGUUGUUAGAAAACAACACAAAGUUAGAAGUUCUCAUCUUGAUGGGUAAUUCCUUUACUGGUCCUCUCUCAUUUUCGUCAGCUCUUAUUUCUAAUGUAUCUUCAAUUGACAUAUCUGAAAACAAAUUACAAGGUCAAAUUCCGACUAGUAUAUGUUCAACUUUUCCACAUUUGUGGCGGUUAUUCUUAUCCAAGAAUGCUUUUGAAGGUAAUAUCCCACUUUGUUUAAGUGUCAUGAAGGACUUAUCAUUUUUAGAUCUAUCAAACAAUCAAUUGUAUGGAAAAGUACCAGAAGAGUUGAUCGCGAAAGGCUCACUGACCAUUUUGAGACUAUCAAAUAACAAGCUCAGUGGAAAUGUAGUUCCUGUGGUUCUCAACUCAAAUGGGGUGCAGAAUUUAUAUUUGGAUGGAAACAAUUUUUCAGGAGAGAUGACAAAUGUUGAUUUGUCUACUUUUGAGUUUCCAAAUUCAAUAAGGGAAAUUGAUCUUAGUAACAACAAGUUGCAUGGAAAGCUCCCAAGAUGGAUAGGGAAUGCAUCGUUUUUGGAGAGAUUAGCUUUGUCCAACAGCGGUUUCGAGGGUUCUAUUCCAAUGGAAUUUUGCAAGUUGAAUAGGUUGGAAUUUUUGGAUCUUUCCCAAAAUCAUUUAUCUGGAUCUAUACCGUCAUGUUUUAAUCCACCAAACAUAGAGCAUGUCCACCUCCACGAGAAUAGACUGAGAGGUCCACUAUCACUUGCUUUUUAUAAUAGCUCCUCUCUAGUGACUUUAGAUCUUAGAGGAAACAAUUUGACAGGUAAUAUUCCAAAAUGGAUUGACACAUUUUCUUCUUUGAGUGUUCUUCUCUUGAAAGAUAAUCAUUUUCACGGUAAAGUUCCAAUUCAGUUAUGCAAGUUGCAUUCUUUAAGCAUCAUAGAUCUUUCUCAAAAUAUGUUUUCUGGUCCUAUACCUUCUUGUUUGGGAAAUUUAUCUCUUCCAAUGCAAACGAAGAAGAUUCUAGACAUUGGGAUCUAUAGGCAAUCUACAGAAGAGGAUGAAUCAACACGCAUUAUGAUAGCAAAUCUGGGACUGGAUUCUUACUACCCUUACAGCUACUUUGAAGAAGUAAUAGAGUUCACAACAAAGAGUGGGUUCUAUUCGUACAAGGGCGACAUCCUUUCAUAUAUGACUGGGAUUGAUUUAUCUUGCAACAACUUAACUGGUCAUAUCCCACCAGAAUUAGGGAACUUGAGUGAAAUCCAUUCUUUAAACCUUUCACACAAUAAGUUGACCGGAGUUAUACCCUCGUCAUUCUCAAAACUUCAUCAAAUUGAGAGUUUGGACCUUUCUUACAACAACUUGAGUGGUGAAAUCCCCAAUCAAUUGGUAGAGUUGAACUCUUUGGAGGUUUUCAGCGUGGCAUUUAACAACUUUUCAGGUAGUAUUCCCGAACCAAAAGCUCAAUUUGGGACCUUUAUUGAAAAUAGUUAUGAGGGAAAUCCGUUUCUUUGUGGAGUUAUAUUGCAUAAAAGUUGUUCCAAAACCGAUUCACCAUCAACGAUAUCAACUGUAUCAGAAGAUAAAUGAGAAGAUGGUUUGAUAGAUACUUAUGAUUUUUGUGUGAGCUUUUUGGUUUCUUAUGUAGUUGUGUUGUUGACAAUUUUUGUUGUCCUCUACAUAAAUCCAUAUUGGCGAAGAGCUUGGUUUUCUCUAGUUGGGAAAUGCAUUACCACCUGUCACUACUCAAAUGUGGGCAAUUCUUACUUAUCACAUUUUCAAGCGAUGUGUUUAGCUACUCAAAUUGCGAUUUGAUUUCCACACCUAAAUGUUUAAUUAUGCUAAGUUGAGCGAUAAUGAAUAUUUUGUUGAUUUUUGCAUUUUGAAUAAAAGCUCUUUUACCUUAUGGUUUUAUCAUUUUCAACCAACUAUUUCUUUUUUCUUCUAUGAAAUUUAAUGUAAAAUCAUAAUCCAUUAUUAUGUAUAUGUAAUAUCUCUUUAAAUUAAAUUAAAUUAAAUUAACUGCCAAGCGUUCACUAGUGCAUACUAAAAAGGAAAUCUAAUGUAAAAUUAAAUAACAUACUAGAAAAUUGAAUCUAAAACUGGAAUAUUUUAAAACCUCACAAAUAAUGCAAUUCUUUAUUCCUCUUUUCCUCUCAAGUUAUUUUGUAUCAUGUUAUAUUUUACAUAAUUAUUCGUAUCAUUGAAUUUUAAAAAAAAUUUAAUAUUUUGAUAUCAUGUUCAUAUUAUGCUUUAAUUCACAAUAUAUUUUGUAUAAUAUGUUAUAACAAUUCAAUUUAAAAAACAAGCAAUUAUCUUAUUUUUGCAUACCGUAAUAUACAUUUACAUGUUAAUAAUUCUUUGUACAUAAAUUUUGACAUGUUCGUAUAUUCGAGUCAUUAUAAUUUUAUUAUUUGUAAUAUGACAUGUUUUACUUACCCUUAAUAUUGUGUCAUGAUAAUUAUAACUCGAUUGGCAGUGUACCAAAUAUUUUUCUAAUAAAAAAUAGUAUUUUAUUCUAUUUACCAAAUCUUUAUCAACUUUAUAUUCUCACCAACAAAACAUACAUUCAAAGUUCAAAUAAGUUCCACACCCAUUUAUGCUCAUCAUCAGAAAGCUGAAAUAUUCCACUCUAAUUAACAUUAUGAUUCUGUAAACAACAAAAAAGUGUGAUCUUUUUUUAAAGCUCUUUUUUUUCUUUAAUGAAAUGGGAUUGGUAAAAAAUCCGCACAUGUGUCGUGUGUGAAGAAGGUCAGGUUGUCUAUUCAUUCUCUAAUAAGUAGCUAAUUAUAGUUGAUCCUACAAAAUCAAAAUUAAUUCAGGUAUCUAUAUAUUCUGAAGACUGGACAGACCUUAGAAGCUCCUUCAAAUUUGCAAGAACAUGUCGUGGUCCUAAACUCUUUACACCGAUGAAAUUCAAAAGUUGCUCUAUAUCCUGCAAUCACAGUAAAGAUUAUGCAAGCUUUUCAGAACGAAUAACAUAACAAGCAAAAGGCAAUCAAAAUACUGUGAUCUCGAUAAUGUUCUUUGCCGAAAAGGAACAUAAACAUAACCUGAAAACAUCAGUGAAGGCUCAUCAGAUUUGCUUAGCAACCUUACAUACACAUGUAAAAAGCUUUGCUUUUGGAUGUAAGGUGUGACUAUCAUCACAGUCUUUCCUAAUUAGCUGAUAACCCUAUAUCUAACAUUAAUCAUGGCUAAGCAAAUUAACAUACAUAAUGUAAAGGAAUUUGACUAUAAGAUCCAACAUAAAACUUAAUAAAAGAUAAUCAACAUAGAAAGUUAAAAGGCAAUGCAAACUUAUUACAAUGAUGCAAGUGGAUCAAAAGAAAGCACUCUAUAAGGAAUUUGCAUUUAAGGCAUUGUAAACAGAAAAAAAAAAUAAAACUUUUUGGAAAGUAUUUUCAAAGAGGAGACAAACAGGGUAGAAAAAAUGUUUGGUCCUUCCUUUUUCUAUUUCUACUGUGGUGAAAAAGCCUUUUUGGGUUAAAAGUGUUUUUACACUGCAGAAGUGUUUUUCCACUGCAGAAGUGACGAAGAACACAUAGCUUUUGUAGUCAAAAACCUACUGCUUUUGGCUUUUGCAUUUCGAAGUGAAAAUUAUAAAAAUACUCUUAGAUUAAUUUAUAUUUUAUAUAUUAUUAUAUUAAUUGUUUAAAUCUUAUUUAUUAUUAUAUUUAAUUUUUUUCAAAAUAUUUUAUAUAUCAUCAAUUUUAUAAAUAAUUUAAAUUAAUUACUUAAAAGGUAUUUAAAAGUUAUAUUUCAUGUAUCAUUAUAUUAAAUUAUUUAAAUAUCAUAUAACUUGACUAAUUUUUUUCUUUCUACCAUCAUGUCUAAAAAAGACAUUUUAACUUUCAACUGCAAUUUUUGGCAGCAAUGAACAACACUAAAAACUAACAAACACACUUUUCCGCACCACAUUUCAACAACACUUUUUUCUAAACGCACUUUUGAACUAGUCCUUAGUCUAUCAUGCAUCAACUCUUCAUUUUUCUUUAACUACCCAUGUCCGACUUCGAACAUGGAUAUGGAGAUAUGACCAAGUCACAGUGACAUAGUUUUUAGUUAUGGGGAAUGGGAUUCGAGUGCUGGACCUCCUUUUAGAUGCAUGGUGGGACUUCAUCACAUUUUUCAAAUUUGUUGAUAAUCCUUCACCUAAUCUGCCGGUGAAGUUUAUAGAUAGUCUUAAGUGUCUAUCACAAGAACCUAGAUAUUGUAAAUCCAAUAUCUUCCAAACAAUUCAACCAUGAUAUUAAUGAUGAUGGAAGCAAGAUUAUCCACUAUCAAUGACAUAAAAUGAGCUGUAAAUGCUGACGAACAAACAUGCACUGUUUUUCCAACCUGUGGAUUGAAGAGCAUUGACAAGCUAACUUUGCAGACCAUUUGAAUCCAAUACUAUACAUAAAAAUGCCAAAGGAGAAUAAUUCAUCUUGGAAAAAGAAUUACUAAUAUGCAAAAGCUUACCUUGUUUAACAAGAAAACAGCAUAUGCUGCUCUUGUCGUGUCUUGACCUUCUAAAAACAGCGGAAAUUCUGCCAGCUUUACAUUUGCUGAAAGUGUUGUAUCCAAUGACAAAUCAGAAGAUGCAGGGUCUAUUGAAGACGCAUGGUCAUUAAUAUAUGAGCGAGAACCACCCAAGCGCAGAGGAUAACGCAAGGGAACUUGUAAAUAGGAUGCAAUUAGUGAAACAGCCUGCAAAUGAUGAAAUAACAGGAAACAAGAAACAAUAAUAGGUAUGAUUAAAAUUAUAGCCUCAGCAUGAGAAACAAACAAUCAAGAUGCAACCCACUAUACCAUAUUACCAUCCUAGCAAUUAAAAAUUACUACAGCAUCUUCAAGCAACAAGGGAUUGUAGGUGGUAGGUCAAAAAACUUGAUAUCCACAGCUUGAUAUUAUCAGAAAAAACAAAUUCAGUAAUAAAUGAUAACUUCACAGAAGAAAUAGAACGCACAUGUGCAACAUAUCCCAAGGCAGUUGCAGAUCUCUGAACCUCCUUUUUGUCAGUGAAAAAACUCAUCUUUGUAAAAGGAAGCAAGGUGAGAUUCAGACCUAAAAUUGUCAACGAUCCUUGAUUGACGGGCUUUGAUGCAGAAGGAUUCCCUAUUGAAGACAGGAACAAAGGAACUUCAUAUCAGUACAUCACCAGACACCACCUCUUUGUGAAAGUCAAAAGAAAAUUCAAAAAAAUAUCAUCAUGAAAGUAAGAGAUAUGUAAAAAGCUCAUAAUAUUCAAGAGCAAAAAAAAAUUGUUUUGAUAUGAGGAGAAUUGAAUAGUAGAUUGCUAAAAGAGGAAUAACUGAAUACAACCAUUAUAACCAAAAGAAGAGUCAAGUGAUAGGUAAUGGUACUCCCUAAGCUGUUUAGGAAUCAUAAAAGACUUGUCCAGUCGACAAAAAUAACUCAUUUUAUUCUCCCCUAGUAAAACAUCAUAUUGGACCAACCAUAUUUGAUAUCAAAGGAUAUGCAUAUCCAGGCAUGCCAUUUAUAGAUAUUCCCAGUGUUACAAGAAGGAAUUGUUCAAGAGAAAGAAGCUGCUAUUGUUGGUAAAGUUUUCCUCAAACCAUUUUGAACAUCCAAAAUCUCAAGAACAAAAAAGAAAACGUAGGAGGAAAUAUAACAAGCAUCACAACGGGUUCUCGAUGAUAUAAGUGAGAGGAUAAAUGUUAAUUAAGAUUAUAAAAAUAAACCACAAACUAAACAGGAAAGACAUGGAUUUCAAAACGAGGAGACUGGCUGCUAAUUAAAACCAUAUGCGGCGUUGUCUAGGGCGCAAGGCACAUUCUAGGUGCUAACCUUUAUAUUGCCUCAAGCACAAGGCACAAAAGGAAGCGCUAGCCUGAGUGCAGUAAAGCGCAAUACGUAUAUGUGAGAGUUUUUGCAAGUCUGUGUGUCUAUAACAUAAAAGUUUUAAGAUAUAUGGUAAACUCUAAAGUGUGGUCUGGUUUAUCCACAAAACUUGCAAAAUUUUUAUAGGUGAAUACUUAAAUAUUGAGAAUUAUAGAGUUUGAUAUUAUCCCUUUCUUAUUAGUAAAGGUGUAUCAAAUGAAAACAGUAGAAAAUAAAAUAAAAUAUUGAGAAAUUCAACAAGGCAGGCUUUUUCUAAUGCCCAUUGCCUUACAAAAAAAGUGUGCCUAGGUGCACCAGGCAUACGCUUGAUCAAAUGGACCUCACCUGGAAGGGUCCAAGGCGUUUUGUUGUAUAAAACUAAGGCGUAGGCACGCCUAGGCGCAUGCCUUGACAACACUGACCAUAUGUUGGCUUUAUUGCAAAGCAUUAGCAAUCCAAAACUACUAGCACAUUACCUAAUCUACUACUGCUAGAAUAGGACUCAAGUUCUUGCUCCUGUGCAGGUCCAACCAAGAUCUUUACAGGAUACAAUAAUGAAACUUGUGAUAUCAUAUAUUGUUGCCUUGCUCGAAGCUUCCUUUGCACAUUUUUAAGUUUAACACAACCCCUUUCUUCAGUGAGUAAUCUAUUUGCUUCCUGUGAUAAAAACAACAUAUAAUCAAUCAUGCCACGCAUGCAAGACUACCAACCAACUAUCUAAUAAAAGAGACAAAGAAGUAGGAGAGCAAGAAGGGGAUAACCCUUGACUAUGCAAAGGAAUUCAUAGAAUGAGAAUCAUCUCAUCUAAGCCCCUCAACCACCUUCACAGGGGGUGGAGGUGCAAAGAGAGAGGUCUUAUUGAUCCGAGAGGAGAAUAUAUAACAUCUAAAGCUGAAUAAGAAGAAACCUUCAAAUAUAUCAUAAAUUCAGAAUUCAUGAUAAUAUAAAAAUGAAAUUCCAAAGCUAAUUUAAGCUAGAAUAAAAAUGCUUCACCUGUAAUCGCUUCCUUGCUACAGAAAGAGAGGUACCAGCAACCAACAAUGAUCUUACUUCAGUACUCAGCAUUUCCUCCUGUUUUUUAGCAUCCUCUGUUGCAACUUUGCAACGAGUUGACAUGUUUGCCAUAACUACUUUCCUUGCCUCUAGUCUCUCACGCAUUUCCUCAAGCUCGUUCAGUUUAUUCAAAGACUCAUUUUUUACCUGCACAGCAUGUUCCCACCCAUUAAUCAGUGGGCCAAUUAAUUAGGUCACAGAAGACAAAACUAAAUUAUCACUCACCAGGUCCCCUUGAAGUGUCAUAUGGCUUUAACAAUUCAACGUGCAAUAUCUAGUAAAAGUGAAAUAAACAUAGAAGAAUGCAAAUGCAAUUCUUAAACGCCUUUAAAUGGACAACAUGAAACAGUUUAAGAGCCCUAUAAAACAGAAAAGUGGAAAAAAAAUCUGAAAAGGAAAAAAAAUGAAUUGAAACAAUAAAUCCAUCUGGUACAAACAGCAACAAAUCUCGAAAUAAGCCUUGGCUUUAGCCCAUUAAAGCCCGGGCAUCCGGCCGAAUAAACAGUGACUGCCAUGUCAACUUUUUGAGACGGUAGAAAAGAGCUCAAAAAUCUCAAUUUCCAAAAUUAAGGACAUAAGAAGGAAAACAAUGUACUUAUUCUUACAGUAGAAGAGCAAAAUGAAACUAAAUGAAGGAUAAGGGAACUGAUGCGAAUUGACAUUGUUAUUUUUGGGACUAAAAAGAAUACGCAGAUUGAAUAUUUAAGAUUUUGUAAGGGAAAAGUUCCAUUCACCAACACAAUUAUCAUCGCCCUUUAUCCCAGUAAAGCUUAAUUGACAAUUUUUCUGUCUCGUGUUCUUGCUAAAGCAUUUGAGCAACCCAACAGAAAUCAUUAUAUGUCAAACUGAAAUGAUUGGCUUUAUCAAUUUCACAACCUAUACUGCCCAACCUAGUAAGUAAUUUAGGUGCAGACACCAGAAAUCUAUUUUCUUUGCACUCUACAACCAAAUAGCCUACCACUUAUCAAUCAAACACAGCUGAAAACUUCAGUGAGGAAACAUUAUGUAAACUGAAAAAACUAUAACUUCAACUUGAUUCAUAGCUCGGUAAGUUCAGGGAACUUGGACUUCUACCACCAUGAUCCAGUUCGAUGUGAAACAGUGAUCCAUAUCACGCAUAUCAGUUCCCGCAACAAGAGGUAAAACAGCAAAUUAGGUAAACAAUGAUCCAACUAUAUUUCAGAAUAGCAACAUUGAGCAUGAAAGCUAAAAUUAUAGCAUAUUAUGGGUCCUUGCUCCCUACAACUACAUAUAAAAUUACUAAACAAUAUUACUACAUUAAGGAUCCAGAAAAACUUGGUUUCAAUUGUUGAUCACUUGAUCCAACUAUUUUAGAAAGUUUAUUCUUCUUUUUCCUUUCCCUUAUUUUCUAAAUCAGGAAAAACAGUAGCAUAUAAACUGGAUUACUACUCCAAUUAAGUUUCUAAAAUUUCAGCAAUAUCCCUUUAACCUUUUCACUCAAGUCACUACCCCCCCCCCCCAAUUAACAAAUAUAUUCCCAGUUUCCCUUUCACUUCAAACCCCCCCCCUUUUUUUUUUCUCUACCCAAAUUCAGCUUACGUUCAAAAACCCAAAAUUGGUUUGCUAAAAAAACAUAAUUUUCAAACCCAAAGGUAACCUAAUUUUAAUCAGAAAAAAAAAAGAAGCAUUACCUGAAUUAGUGAAUGGAGUUUCUCUUGAAGACUUUAUUUUAAAAUUAUCUUAUACUAUUUGCUUUAAAUCGAUUUUUAUUAGUUAUUUGAAACUCGUUUUCAUGUACUAUUUAUUUUUUUAUCACUUAUUUAAAUUGUUUUACAUAUCUAUUUUUUAAACCCUAUUUUAUUAUAUUUUACUUAUUUUAACUUUUUUACAUAUUUCAUUAUAAAUAUUAUUAAUUAUCUAUAUUGAGUUUUUCAUUUAUGUAUUACUUAUUUAGAUAAAUAUAUACUAUUUUGUGUAUUACUUAUUUUGAUUUUCUUCUUAUACAAUAUUACUUUAAAAUUCAUUUAGAUAUUAUUAUUUCACAUAGUAUUUAUUUUUAUCUUCAUUUUUGAUCUAUUUCAAACUCAUAUAUAUUGUUUAUUUUGAAAUUUUAUGCACAUGAUUUAUUGUUUAUAUUGAUGAUUUUAAAUUUCCUUUCUUGUAUUUUUAUUUAUUUAUUUUAAAACUUGUUAUACUUUAUUUGUGUUAAUUUGCUUAGUUUUUCUUUCAAAAUUAACUUAUAAUUCAUUAGCUUUUAAUGUUAGUAUUUGCAUAAUAUGUGAUAUAAGAUUAUUGCUCUCAUGUAUUGCUUAUCUGUAUAUAUUGAUUAUUUGUCAUUCAUUAGUAUAUAUUUUGUUUUACGAAUUAUCACUUCUCGCGUUGUACAUUAUCAUUUCCAUCGCGUUUUAUUUGCUCAAAAAUUAUGUUUAAUAUGGCUUAAGUUUUGAAAUCAUUUUAUCCAAAAGCUUCCAAUAUAGCAUAACACUCGGUGUUUGGGAUUUUUGAAAAGAUCGUACUCUAACUUACGAGGUCUCGAUUUUUUGAUAAUUUCAAAUAUACGAACCUUUUUAAAAAAAAAAACAAGACACAUUUACUUAAAAAUUAUCUCAAGAAUCAAAAAAAGAUCGUGUCCCAACUUACCGGAUAUGAUUUAUUAUCUGAAACCGAUAUGAUCAAGAUUUUUAAAAAUAAAUAAAUUUUGGUGUUUAUUCUCGUUUCGGGAUUUAAGAUAUUGUGUCCUAACUCACGGGAUAUAAUUUUUUUCUCGAUUAACGAGAAAUACACCCUUCUUUAAAUUUUAACAAAAUGGUCAUUUUUUUAAAUUUCUUUUCGAAAUUUUAAUUUUUCGACAUUAAGACAUUAAUUAAUCGAUUAGGUACUAAUUUUGGGCAUGACGGGGUGCUAAUCCUUCCUCGCAUGUAACUGACUCUCGAACCCGUUUUUCUUAAAUUCCAUUGACCAAAAUCAUUGUUUUAAUAAAAUCAAAAUGUUUUAUCAAAACGAUUGAAUUGCAAGGUGAUCCAAUCACACAUAAAAAAAAUGUCGGUAGCGACUCCCUUUUUUUCAUUUUCAAAAUAAAAGUCAACACUAUUUUUGUUUUCAAAAAGUGGUUUCGACAAAAUUGUUUAAAUCUUACUUAUUAUUAUAUUUAAUUGUUUUUCAAAAUAUUUUAUAUAUCAUCAAUUUUACAAAUAAUUUAUAUUAAUUACUUAAAAGGUAUUUAAAAGUUAUAUUUCAUGUAUCAUUAUAUUAAAUUAUUUAAAUAUCAUAUAACUUGACUAAUUUUUUAAUUUCUACUAUCAUGUUUAAAAAGAACAUUUUAACUUUCAACUGCGAUUUUUAGUAGCAAUGAACAACACUAAAAACUAACAAACACACUUUUCAGCACCCCUUUUCAACAACACUUUUUUCUUAAAGUACUUUUGAACUAGUCCUUAGUCUAUCAUGCAUCGACUCUUCAUUUUUCUUUAACUACCCAUGUCCGACUUCAAACAUGGAUAUGGAGAUAUGACCAAGUCAGAGUGACAUAGUUUUUAGUUAUGGGGAAAAGGAUUCGAGUGUUGGACCUCCUUUUAGAUGCAUAGUGGGACUUUCAUCACAUUUUUCAAAUUUGUUGAUAAUCCUUCAUCUAAUCUGCCGGUGAAGUUUAUAGAUGGUCCUAAGUGUCUAUCACAAGAACCUAGAUAUUGUAAAUCCAAUAUCUUCCAAACAAUUCAACCAUGAUAUUAUUAAUAAUGAUGAAAGCAAGAUUAUCCACUAUCAAUGACAUAAAAUGAGCUGUAAAUGCUGACGAACAAACAUGCACUGUUUUUCCAACCUGUGGAUUGAAGAGCAUUGACAAGCUAACUUUGCAGACCAUUUGAAUCCAAUAAUAUACAUAAAAAUGCCAAAGGAGAAUAAUUCAUCUUGGAAAAAGAAUUACUAAUAUGCAAAAGCUUACCUUGUUUAACAAGAACACAGCAUAUACUGCUCUUGUCGUGUCUUGACCUUCUAAAAACAGCGGAAAUUCUGCCGGCUUUACAUUUGCUGAAACUGUUGUAUCCAAUGACAAAUCAGAAGAUGCAGGGUCUAUUGAAGCUGCAUGGUCAUUAAUAUAUGAGCGAGAACCACCCAAGCGCAGAAGAUAGCGCAAGGGAACUUGUAAAUAGGAUGCAAUUAGUGAAACAGCCUGCAAAUGAUGAAAUAGCAGGACAUUAGAAACAAUAAUAGGUAUGAUAAAAUUAUAGCCUAAGCAUGAGAAACAAACAAUCAAGAUGCAGCCCACUAUACCAUAUUACCAUCCUAGCAAUACCUGCAAAACUUUCAUCAAAACGGUAAUAACACUUUUGGACAAUGUGUCCUAUUUUACCACACAACUGGCAUUGGGGCCGAUUGUUUGAAAAACCACCCUCACGGCCUCAUCCUCGAUGGAAACCUCUAUUGCAUUGAAAACCACCUCUAUGUGCCUGUUUGUUCCCUUGAUAGCCACUGUUAUAAUCAUAACACUUGGUCCGAUCACCCUCAUCACAAUCUUGUUUACUAGCUAUGUUAGCUUGUUCGAGAACACUAUUCAAGAACUCAAGUUCUCGAGCUUCACAAUCAAGCAGCAUCUCAAUCAACAGACCAAGCGACACAGCAGUAGCUGAAGCUACUACCCGUACUGAUUCACACUCAACUGGCAACCUUGCAAGAAUGAUGCUAACCAUUUCUUGAUUUGAAAUCAAACAACUCGUUGCAACCAACAUAUCACACAUGGACUUGAUCUUAGACAAAUAUUCUUUAACAAACAGAUGACCCUUUUUCUGUGAAUACAACACAUGAUGCAUACUGGACAAUUUUACCGUCGACUUAGUCGCAAGCCUUUUUUUCAAUAGUUUCCCAAAUAUAAUAACUAGUACGAGCACUAGUAAGAUAGGCUAGAAUUUCAUCACUAUCAGUUGAAAGUAACCAAGAAGCCAAUAGCUUAUCUUGUUGCACAUGUAAAACAGAAUCAGAAUCUUCUACUAAUCUCCCAUAUUUAUCCACUACAAACUGUGCUAGUACACUAAUAGCACCCAAAACAAACUCAUGCAGACCGUAUCAUUCAAGGAUCAACAUAAUUUGGAGCUUCCAUAAAACAAAAUUAUACUCACCAAGCUUUAUUGUAUCGUGCUUAGGAAAUUGUUGAAGACAUCUACAACUGUUGAGGUGGGUUUUCUUUAAACAUACUCAUUCCAACAAAAAAAAAAUCUACGUUAGUAUGAUUAAUUAGAAAGUGAUUAAUUCAUUAUUUAGUUAGAAGUGAUGGCCUUAAGAAAAAAAAUGACAUUAUUUUAUUUGGCAUUGUUAAAAGUGUUAGUUACUGAAAUAAUUAAUGAGAUUAUAAAAGUGAAAGAAUCAAAUUAUGUCAAAAGUAAAGUAGAGGGUUUUAAUCCUAAAUUUGGGUAUAAUAAAGGGACUAACACCAAAUAAUUAUAAAAUUUUCAAAUAUUUUAAAAUUAAUUUUAAAUAUUAAUUAAAUACAAAUUAUAAAAAAAUAAAAUAAAAAUCCCCAGCGCAGUGAGGGACAUAUUCGAUAUCAAUAAUUAUAAAAUCUGUAGUUGUAAUAUUUAAUUGAUAUAAUAUAUAAAAUUUGAGGGUUAAAUUUGUUAUUAUACAAUUUUUUUAACUGCCGUGUCACUUUGCAAUUUUUUAUUUUAAGGAGUCAUCAAAAUAACUAAACUAUGUAAUGUGAGUGCUUAAAUUACAAAAUUUUUACUUUAAUGUGAGUGCUUAAAUUACAAAAUUUUUACUUUAAGUGUUUAAAUUUUUAAAAAAAAUUAUAAUUAAAUAACAAUCUAUAUGUAGUUUGCCCAAAAAUUUUAUAACCCAAACUACACAAUUUUAUGGCCAUCUCCCACUUUUGAUAUCUCUUUGGCCAUUAGUUAAGAUGGGAGGGGAAUGACUUAUUCAAGAUUAGUGUCAACAUUAGAUUUAAAACCUACGGAAGUCAUGUUUCAAUUUUUUUAUAUAAUAAUAUAACAUUUAAAAUUAUAUUAUAUCUAUAAAAGAACUCAUUGGAUUAGGGUUUUUUUUUUUAAUUAACUUUCCAUUUGUUAUUAGAAAACAAAACUAAAAAUGCAUCAAACAGGGCUCUGAUAAAAAAUUAAAAAAAAACCAAAAUGUUUAGGUUUGGUAUCGUUUUACUUUUACUUUAAAAUCAGUCUAAUCUGUAUCAUGCUCACACCAAACAUAUGAAGAAAAAAAAAAGUGAAAUAGUAAGGAUAUUAUUAAUUUCAUUCCAAGACAAAUUUUAGCAUACCCAAUUAGGUCCUUGGGUUAAUCUUAUGUUUUUUGUUUAGGCAUUCAGCAUUCUUGGCGUUUAGUUUAGUUAGAAUUUUAAAUUAUGAUAGAUCUGAAACUUUGGUAUUUUUGUGCAAAACUCAACCUCAAAGCUUUAUUUGUUGUCUAAAUUAUUUUAUUGAAGCCUAGGAAUUGUUGUUAUUGUUUCGGCUAAUUGACCUUAAAGCAUCAAAUGCCUUUUUUUGGAUGGUCAUAUUCCUUCCAAGGGCUGAAUUACUAAAAGCCCAUGAAGUAUCCUUCUUUUUCUUAAGUGAGCCUCUGUUUCAAUGCCGCCAAAAUUUUCUUUAUCCACAUGGAAGCUGACCUGCCAUGAUGAUGUGGUAAAAAAAUGAACAAUUUGUAUUUUUUGAAAAAUAUAACACUUAAGAACUUUCUUUCUUCUUGCCUCCCAAUUCUCACCACCAAUUCCUUAGCCCAAAUCAGUUUUGGCCUCCGACAUUGAUCAUAACAAAAGUAAACUUUCUAUUAGAAAUAAUUUCUUUUAUGUACAAAUUAAAGGGUAAGAUAUUGUUUGGGUACAAAAAAAGCAUAUGAGCUUACUUUAGAAAAGUGACAACGUUGGGCUCUUUUAGUAUUCUAUCCUCCCACCAACUUUGUCCAAUGUUUUUUGCCUUAUCACCAGACAGUAAAAGGGCCUUUGACCUUUUCAGGCUAAGCGCUGCCUGGUGCAUGUAGGGGGAAAAGGCCUUCUAAUUGAAGUUCUCUUUAAUAUCUCUUUAAUUGUUUCUUAAUUGUAACAAAGGGAUAAUAUCGAACUCUCUAUUUCUCAAUAUUUGAGUAUUCAACACCAGGCAUGGGAUCAUAUGGAAAUAUGCAUAUGGUUGACAAAAGAAAGAAAAUUUGGAAAUGUUUAUUUAAGUAGUAACUGCUGGUUUUCUUGGAUGCUUUCUUGUUAAUGACUACUGUUUGGGCAUGUUUAUUUAAGAAUUGCCCCCAAGUAGUUUCUUGAAUCAUCUAAAAUUGGAAAAAAUAGUCUUAUGGUAACUCAUUAAAGUAUUUGAAAGUAUGCACAAGCUAAUAACAUUUUAGAAAUUAAAAUUGAAGAUCGGUUUUUAGGGUAUCAUGUCCAUAUUAAGCAUCAUCUUUCCAGAUUACUGUUCUCUCUCUCUCUCCCUCUCUGUGUGAUAUAUUUCUCAAGUGAAAGGUAACCUUCUUCACUUGAUUUUGACUUAAUUUUGCAGUCACCACGAUUGUAUAAUGUGUACAAGCAAAUGGGAAUUGUAAAAUCUUUUCAGAAUAUUCUGGACAAUGUUUUCAUUCCACUAUUUGAAGUUACAGUUGAUCCGAAUUCUCAUCCUCAACUACACGUGUUCCUAAAAAUGGUGAGUUCUAUGUUCAUCGGAGAACAUACUGUGCUAUAAUAAGAGAUUUCGGAAAAUAUAGUUAAAAAAUGCUUCUUUAUUGGAAUGACCUGCAUUAUAGCAAGCUGAAUAAAUGAUGCCUUAACUUUAUUCAUUGUGUUCUCAUAAUUCUUUAAAACCAUUCGAAAAUUCUAUUGAGCCACAUUAUAUGGUUAAUUUUUGGGUCUGUACUGCAUACUGAACAUGUGUACAUCCUUGCGAUUUUAGAUGGAUGGAGUUGGACAGCAAAGCAAUUGAAAAAAACCCAAUUUAUGGUUUCUAAAUGUUAGAUCAUUUAUGGUUUCUAGUUUCAAUUUAAAAAAAAAAAAUCCAAAUCAGCCAACUAAUGAAAUUUUCAACGAUGUUAGUUAUUUUAACUAAUCCAUAACAUGUUUGCUUCUUCUUCUUUUUUUUAGCCUAGCAGCAAUGUUAGCCUCUGGACUAGUUACCGCCCUCCUUUUUCCCCUCCCUAUUAACCCUUUUUAUUUUUCUUCUCAUUCACUCCAUGAGUCUUCGUUCUUUUCAGUUUACAGAUUUAUUUUGUGAGUAUUUUUGUUGUCUUUACAAGUUGUAAUGGACAGUUGACAAUGGCUAUCAUCAUUGAAACACCACCGACCACCAACACUUUCUUUUAGAAAGUGGGUACCUCUUCGUUGACUACUUAAUUUGUUUAUAUUUUGAGAGUUUCAAAAUAAUAAAUGAUUUCAUGACUCGGUUUAGACUCAUGUUUUUUUUCCAUUGUUCAAUAAGUUUUUACUUUUAAAAGUUUUUUUCUACUCUUAUAGUAAGCUUUUUAGUCUUGCUUUUGCGAGUAAUUUUAGGGUUGGUUUUGUCGCCAUCCCCUCUAGUUUGGUGGAUGCUCAGUUCUUUUGCUGAUUUAUGCCCGCCGCUUUGGACCAUCCGGGGUUGAUUUUCUUACUAUAUUAAGUGCUUGUAAUCACUUCUGAUAUGUUGUGCUUGAGUUGUGAUAGAGCUGAUUUCAACAUGCCAUAAUGUUCUAUUAAUGUUGAAGCUAAAGCUUUUGUUAUAUUGAUGGAGCUUGUCCUUUAGCGAGUACAACAAGUGUUUGUUAUUUCCUCCCCCCCCCCGAAUUGUAUGGUAUUAUUCAUUGAAUAAAUUAAUGAAGUUGUCUUAAAAAAAACUAAUCCAUAACAUUAACAUUAAUAAGAGAACAAAAUAUAUCAAAUUAAAAAAGAAAAACUGAAUCUUUAAUUCAAUUGAGAAAUUAUAGGGAUUAAAACUAUAAAUUGAUCUAUAAUAAUUUCUCAGGCAUUAAUUGUAAGAUUAAUUCCAUAACCUAAAUUAUUGUAGGGGCUAUAUAAGCUCAAGGUUGACGCAAAAGUCAAUAGUCAGCGUCUGAAAGUUAAUGCAAUUAAUUAUGUCAUUGUUGAUAUAUUUAACGCAAAUAUAUUAUCAUAUGUGUAAUGUCAUACCAUCUUAUUAUUUCCAUAUGUUACUAAAAAUCUAGUUAACGGACUAAGGAUUGUCAUUUGUAUCAAGACUGAAAUUUUAAAUUUUGAAAAAUAUAGGUACUUAGAAUAAUCCAAUUAGAGAGUAUGGACUAAAUCAACAAUUAUACGCAUAAUAUAGGACUAGUAAUUGGUUUUAAUUAAAUUGAUUUAACUCUAUUGUUUGGAUCACAACUAAAAUUUUAAAAUUCAAAAUGUAUAGGGAUUAAAAUUGAUCAAAUUGAAGUAAAUAGACUAAAUUUACAACUUUCACAAAGAACAGUGACCAACAGCAGAAUUUAACCAAAUAAGCUCACCAAAGUCAAUAGUCAAUCUUUGAAAAGUAAUGCAAUUAAUUAUGUCAUUGUAGGAACGCUUUCCUGACAUAAAAUUCCACCAACUAAGCCUUUUGCGUAAAUAUUAGCUAUGAAAAUUCAACCAUUGAUAUUAAAUUCAAGACCCCACAAAUGACAGACAUAUAUGUUGGAAAAAUCUUUGUGUGAACAUUUCUUUCGGUCAUACUCAUGUCGUAUAAGUUAGAGGAGCACAAGUCUAGAUUCAUCCAAUUUUUGAGGAAUUAAUUAAUUAUAUAUUAGUUUAAAAUUAUAGUGAAUUAGUGAGACGCCAUAGGUCUUGCUUGCAUAUAAAUAAGAAGCUUAGGCUUCUUCAGAUUAUUUACAUAUAAAAGUUUAAAAAGUAACAUAUAGCUAAGAGAGAAGAGGAAAACAGAAAGAUGAUGAUGAUAAUGAUGGAGUGGAAAUGGUUAUGGUUUAUAAGGAUGGCAGUAAUGUUGUUGGUGUUAGAAGGGUGCAGGUGGUGUACUGCUGAUGCUUGUUUGGAGCAUGAGUCGCCUUCUUGCAUCUCAAACCUUUCUUCAAUUAUGAUAAUCAAUUGAAAAGUUGGAUUGAGGUGAAGGGUUCAGAUUGUUGUAAAUGGAAAAGAGUUGAGUGCAACACCAUCACUAGGAGAGUCAUACAACUCUCCCUUAAUCAUACAUCAUCCAAUAUAUAAAUGAAUUAAUGAAUUUACCUUUCAAAAGAGAAAAAAAGAAUUCAUAAAUUUUGAAAUACAAAAUGAACGUGUUUUGAUAUUUUUAGGGCAAUGGUUUAGUGGUUCAAAAUUUUGAUUUAAUAUGGUGAAUUUAAUUAUAAUUUUUUAUAUAUUAGAUAGUAGAAUAUAUUUUACCAUUUAUAAUUAAGUACAAUUAAGUUUAGGUUAAAAUAUUUUAUUAAAUUUUUGUACUUUUCACAAAUUUUAAAUUUAAUCUGUUUACUUUUAUUCUAGAAUUUAAUCUCUCUGCAUGUAAAGGAGGUUAUUAUGGCAAGGGGAAUUACCAUGGCAGAGGUAGCCGAGGCUGACGAAGAGAUGCUGGAUAUGCUGAAGAAAGAUAGAUGGCUGAGAAACAGAAAAACUUUAGGAACAAUAUUCAGUGUUAGAAGUAUGGGGAUGUGAAGGCAGAUUGUUGGAAAAGGGGAAACAAGCAAAUUUUGCGGAAGAUGAUGAAGAGAUUUAAAUUAUUUAUGAGCUGUCUAGAUGACACUAUAGCUUCAACUAACAUUUGGUUUCAAGGGCGUAUAUCUCAUGAUGAAGAGAUCGUCUCUCUUCUUUUUUCUCAUAACAUAUUACACGCCAUGAUAAUAAAUAUUGAUAUGCCUAUAAAUUUGAGUUUCUAUUAUUUGUAGUCAUGAUUUGGUUCACUCCAUAAGUUACAUAAAUUUAUUAUAAUAAUUCAAUUAAUUUUAGAUUAAUUUUACAUUUUUGCCCGAACUUUAGUUUUUAAUAAUUCAAUCAUCCCACCAUUAUAUUCAAUUAAAAGUGUAAUACGAUUUUGCGUCAUCCAACCAUUAUUCUUAGUGUAAUUUUUGGUAGUGAGCAUAGAAGGACAGCGAGAACAAAGAAAGAAUGUAUCCAAUAACCCACUCCCCUUAUAGUCAAUGCUUAAAAUGAAUAAGAAAAUAGAAAACAAACGUGGCAAUGCCAGCUAAUUUGUUAUUACUAUUCACCGUAUAACUAAGGACAUUACGCACCGUUUUAAUUAAAACAAACUCACCGUUUAAGACCGUUACUUCUAUGCAUCGUUUUAAUCAUAUGCGUCAGUUCGAACAAAUAGGUGAACAUGAAAGCUUUUCGCAAAGUUUAGAUGUGUGCUUAAAACUCAAACUUUGUGUUCUGUAAAAAUAUUGAUUUUGUUGUAAUUGUAGGUUGAACUUUGUGAGUCCAAUUACUUUCUUUGGCAUCGGAUAUUUCGUGGAACUUUCGUAUGAGAUAUUUACUUCAUAAAUAGAAGAUUACAAAAUUUGGAUAUUAAUAUAUUUUUCAUGAUUUAAUUUUCUUUUCCUUUUUUGGGCUAAAAUAAUUAAUAACGAAAACACGUCUUUUGCUAGCACCUAUAAAUGCCUUAAAAAUGUAAAUUAAUAUUCCACAAUAAUUAUUAAGAUGAAAAGAAUUUUAUAAUCUAAACUUACGAUUUCAUGUGAAUUUAAUGUUUAGUUAUAGUUUUAAUUACAAAGUUAAAUUGGUAUCUUUGUUAUUGCAAUAAUUAAAAAAAGAUGAGUCCAAAUGACGUUGAUUUUCUGUUUUUUAAAAGUGAAUGCAAGAUGGGACGGCUGGAAUUUUUUUUAUUAAACAGUAAGUAUGAAACAGUUAUGGUAAUUGCUUGCUCCAUCUCACUCCACUCCACUAUAUAAAAUUAUCAUUUCAUUCUUUUAUAUAUAGAAAAAAAUUAAAUAUUUUAUGAAAAUAAUCAUGUUUAAAUUUCCAAGAAUAAAAGCAAACUGAAGACUUAAAAUUUCCAUUAAUAAAACCAAAAUCAAAGAAGUAAAUUUCCCAUGAAUAAAACAAAAAAUGAAGAUCUAAAUUUUCCAUUAAUAAAGCCAAGUCAAGACUAAGUUUGUAUAAGUGUAAGAAGGGUAUAAAUGAAACUCACAAGAAAGCCACAUGAAGAAUUUUAUAACCCCAAACUACACGAUUUUAUGUCCACCUCUCACUUUUCAUAUUUUUUUGGCCAUUCGUUUUUCAAGAUUAACAUCAGCAUUCUUGUGGUCCGUUCAUCCUUUUCUAAUGAAUUUCCACCAAGAGUUUUAUUUUUCAAAAUGUUAAAUUAACUCAUGAUAUUAAUUAAAUCAAGAAAUUUUAUAAUAAUAGAGAUGAAAAAACUAAAUUUUCAAAAUCAAAACCUAAAAUGUGCAAGAAUAAAAGCAAACUGAAGACUUAAAAUCUCCAUUAAAAAAAUCAAAAUCAAAGAAGUAAAAUUUCCAUGAAUAAAACGAAAAAUGAAGACCUAAAAUUUCCAUUAAUAAAUCCAAGUCAAGACUAAGUUUGUAUAAGCGUAAGAAGGGUAUAAAUGAAACUCACAAGAAAGCCACAUUAAGAAUUUUAUAACCCCAACUACACGAUUUUAUGUCCACCUCUCACUUUUCAGUUUUUUUGGUCAUUAGUUAUUCUAAGAUUUAACAUCAACAUUUGAUUUCAAAUCAACGUUAAACCAUGUUUAAACUCUUUUUCUUAUAUAAUAAUUAUAUUAUAUUUAAAAUUGAAAAAACUAACCAGCCAAAUAUAUAUUAAUUAAUUAAUAGAAUUUUUUUUGCUCAUCGAUUAAAAUAAAUCAAGAAAGACGUUGGAACCACCAACCUCUCUUUAAGAACAACAGGAAUACAAGAACCUAUGCACAACAAGUACUAAAAUGUAUUAAGUAAAUUCAUCACCAGGCCUUAAAAAAAGAAGAUCUCGAUAUACCUGCUUUUGCCAAAGCAUCUGCCAUACCAUUACUUUGCCAGUGAAUAAUUCUGAACUGAAACUUAGCCAAUUGAGUGAUAUUAAUUAUAGAAAUGGUUCUUCUUGCAACCAUAGAUGAAACACCACUGAGACUAACAAACUUGGAGAAACUUGAUUAAAUCAAACUUAUGCAAAUUUCUUGAAUAUUUAAGUUAAGAGUUAACGUCAAAGUCAAGAGUUGAUAAGGAUUUUGUGGUCCAUUCAUAUCUUUAUUACAAUAUAUAUAUAUUCAAGAAAUUUGCAGCAAGUUGGAGUUUUGCAAUAAGGAAUUUCCACCAAGAGUUUUGGAAUAAGGAAUUUCCUCCAAGAAUUUUGCAGGAAUCAUAUCUCUAACAAAAGAAAGACCUUCAUUUGACUAAAUUUUUUAGUAUUUAUUUUAACUUCCAUUUUAUUAAAAAAAAACAGAGGUAAAAAAUAUGCCGAACAGGGUCUUUAGGUUACUUUUCUUAGAACUAUAUUAUGUUAUAGUACCGUAUAAGUUAGAGGAGCACAAGUUUAGAUUCAUCCAAUUUUUGAGGAAUUAAUUAAAUAUAUAUUAUUUUAAUAUUAUAGUAUACAGAGGCAAUGUUAGAAAAAAAUUUUGUGGAGUCGAAAUUAAAUUAUAGUUUUAAAAGCAUAUAUCUUUAUAAUUUUUAAAGAAUUAAAUCAAAUUUUUAUCAAUUUUAGGGGGUCAAUGUGCAAUUUUAUCUUUACUAAUUUAAAAUUUUAAAACAUUUAAAGGACCUAAAUAGGAAUUUUUCUAUUUUAGAGGCGUCUGAGACGCCUGUCUAGCUAUGCCCCUGAUAGUGAAUUAGUGGGAUGCCAUAGGUCCUGCUUGUAUAUAAAUAAGAAGGUUAGGCUUCUUCAGAUUAUAUACAUAUAGAAGUUAAAAAUUAACAGACAACUGAGAGAGAAGAGAAAACAGAAAGAUGAUGAUGAUGAUGAUGAUGAUGGAGUGGAAAUGGUUAUGGUUUAUUAGGAUGGCAGUAAUGUUGUUGGUGUUCGAAGGAUGCAGGUGGUGUACUAUUGAUGCUUGUUUGGAGCACGAGAGGAUUGCUCUCUUGCAUCUCAAACCUUUCUUCAAUUCUCGUGAUGAAUUGAAAAGUUGGGUUGAGGUGAAGGGUUCAGAUUGCUGUAAAUGGGAAAGAGUUGAGUGCAACACCACCACUAGGAGACUCAUACAACUUUCCCUUAAUUAUACACAAUGGGAAUUCAACGUGGAAUAUUGGUAUCUCAAUGCCUCUAUGUUUCUUCCCUUCGAGGAAUUGAGGAGUCUUUAUUUGUCAGAUAAUGCCAUAGCUGGUUGCAUUGAAAAUGAAGGUCGUGCCUUUAAUUUUCCCUCAGUUACAUCUUUUAUUAUUACACUAUUCUCACCCUUGUUAAUUUGCAAUUACUUAUAAUUUAUUUUAUUUUAUUGAAGAAAGGUCACUAAAUGUUUGUGUAUAUAUUUAAAAGAACACUCUUACAGGUUUUGGAAAGCUAUCAUCCACAUUGAGUAAUUUGGAGAUUCUUGACUUAAGUUACAAUUACUUGAAUGAUAGCAUUUUGUUAUCUUUGAGUGAGCUUUCAUCUCUCCGAUAUUUGGAUCUAUCAUACAACCGAUUUGAAAGAUCAAGUCAUCCAAGAGGUAAAUUAAGUUUAGUCUGGUGUUAGUUUUUAUUUGUAUUGGGGAGUUUGACAGUGGUUUUCCAUUGUUUUAUUCCCUCUAACUUAGUUUUUGCUUUUAUGGUUGAGAGGAAAAAGAAACAAACAAGUACUUACUCAAAUUAACUAAACAAUGGAUUAUUUUUUUUAUGUUUUGCAGUAACUAAUUCUAUGGUAUAUAAAUCAGGUUUUCAGUGGCUUUCAAGGCUCACUAAAUUGGAAACUCUUCAUCUAAGUGGGAAUUCUUUGAAGAAUAGCAUUUUUUUACAGAUGAGAAAUCUUUCAUCUUUGAAGACUUUAAGUUUGGGUGACAAUCAGUUGGGAGGAAAACUGCUUCAUAUUCAAGGUAGACUGAUUUUACACUUUUCUUGUUAACUUUAAAAUAAAUUCAGUAUGUGAUUUGAUUUUAUCAUAUCAUGAAUAUAACUGAUCAAUAUUUGAGAUUGAAUUUCAGAAUUGAAUCAUUUGGCAAACUUGAAGUACUUGGAUUUAAGUAGGAACAGAAUUGAAAGCAUCUCAAACAAAGGUAUAAGUAAUAAUUUGUGCAUGACUUUCCUGACAGACUUCAAAUGUAUUUUCUUUGUUUUUUUCCUUUUCAUAUGGUUGAGAGGAAAAAAGAUCCUUAUAAUCUUAAAGAGUUGAUAUUGAGAGUUGGUCAUGAGAGAAUGGGUCCUUAAAAUCCUUAAGACCAGGGAGUUUGUGUCCACAGUUGAGUAUUCCAUUUGAAAACUGAAAAUUAAAUAUUCUAUUGCUUUAUUUCUUUUAAAAGAAAGAUUGAGUUUGGAUCUCCGACUGCUUUAUUUUUUUCAAAGAAAGAAAUAUGUUUAUACUUUUGCGCAGAAGAUAUGAAGAAGUCUUAUUUUGUUCUCGCUUUUGUGCAAGUGAAACUUAGUUAUCUCAAAUAUAUAUAUAUAUAUAUAUAUUGUAGUUAUCAGUUCACUACACAAUAGCAUGUAAACCAGUUCCCCCUUUUCAAAUUUAUGAGUGGGAGUUGUCCAUGAUUUUCUUUGUGAUUUUCUUUUCACGUUUUAGGAUUUUCAUCUUCACUUCAAGUUUUAGAUUUACUUUUUUUCAUUUUUAUUUCAUUAACUUAAAAAAGGAAUGCUGGAUCAUAUUCAAGGUAGAUUGAUUUUACAUGUUUCUUUUUAACUUAAAAAAUCAAUAUAUGUUCAAGUUUAAGUGACAACAACAUUGAAAGCAUCUCAAACCAAGGUAUAAGUAUUUGUGCGUAGUAACUUUCUUGACUGACUAUUAUUCCAAAAGGCAAUGACAGACUUCAAAUGUAUUUUCUUUAGUGAAUUUUUAUUGCAAAAAUGGAGUAUUAUUAUUUAUUUAAGUUUUGUAGUAACUAAUUAUAUAAUAUAUAAAUGAGGUUUUCAAUGGCUCAUUAAAUUGGAAAUUAUUGAUAUAAGUUGGAAUUAUUUGAAGAAUAGCAUUCUUUAAAAUAAAUUCAUGUUGAAGGAAAAGUUGUUGCAAUAAGUCAUUUGAUUUUAUCAUAUCAUGAAUAUAUAUAACUAAUCAAUAUUUGGGAUUGAAUUUCAAAAUUGAGUAAUUUAAGUAGGAAGGUAUCUCAAACAAAGUAUUUAUAUAUUGAAUCAAUUCAUCGGAAAGCUUGUAAAUUGGCUCUUCCUUCUCAAACAAACAUUUUUCCUAACUAUUUAUAUAUUGAAUGAUGUUAACUAUACUAAUUACUUUCUUCCAAUGAUAGAUGGAACACAAUUGAGGCUAACAAACUUAGAGGAACUUGAUUUGAGUGGUAAUCUCUUUCGGAACAACACAAUUUCCUUUCCUCAAGGGCUUUCAAGCCUAAAGUCUUUGACUUUGUACAACAACCAUUUGCAAGGCUCAUUAGAUACUAAAGGUACUAAAGCUAUAACUUUGUUUUUCUUGAUAAUUCUUUCUAGAACCUUUUAAAAUUAAUUGUUUCAAUUUUGAACAUUCACAUUUCACGUUUGAGGAUUUUCAUCUUCACUUCAAGUUUUAGAUUUACUUUUUUUUUCAUUUUUAUUUCAUUAAAAUAUUAAGUAGAAAUUAAAAUUAUUAACAUAAUGAUUUUUUGAAUUGGACGUGGAUAUGUAUAGGAUUGAGCAAUUUAACAAAUUUGAAGAAACUCGAUUUAAGUGUGAAUCAGAUUGAAAGCUUUCAAUCCUUUAAAGGUAUGCAUUUAUAUUUAACCAAUUACCUAAAUUCUUACAUAUAAUUAAAUUUUAUGCCAAUUCAUUUCAGUGAUGAAAUUAUAUAAAUCUUUUGUAGAUGGUGGUAGAAAAUUGGAGUUGACCCACUUGGAAGAGCUUUAUUUAGAUUACAAUCAGUUCAAUACUAGUGUAUUUGCAUCCCUUAACAAGCUUUCAAAUUUGAAAUCUUUGAGCAUAUGGGACAAUGGAUUGAAAGGAUCAAUAGAUAUGAAAGGUAAAUAUAUUAGUUUUUUUAACUAGAAUAUAAUCAUGUUUGAAGAGAAUAUAAUGAAGUUGAUUUGUUGUUUUUGUUUUCCUAGAUUUGGAAGCAUUUAUCAACUUAAGGGAACUAGAUAUGAACUAUAAUGAAUUGAAAGAUUUGGUGAUCCACCAAGGUAUCAUUUAAUUAAACUUCCUUUUUUUUUUAAUUUAGAAAUUUAGUUUUGAUCUCAUAUAUUAUAAUAACGGUUAUUGUCAUAAAUAUUAAUAAAGUUAUAUCAUAUCAUACUUGAAAGUAAAAGUUUGGUGAAACAUUUUCUAAAUCAUCCAUUAUAAUGUGUUUGGACUUUGGUUUGAAACUAAAAUUCUUUAAAAUUUUCAUCAUUUUAAAAUAUUAAUGUUUAUAAUUAUUUUGUUUGUAUAAAUAUAUUUUUUAAAAUAAUUUAUUGAAUUUUUAUGAGAUAAAAAAUAAUUAUAACAAUAAAAAAUGAUAUUAUAAAUAAAUAAAAACAUAUAUUUAUGAGAAAAUAUGUAAUAUAACUAUAUUUUAAUUUCAUAUAUUUUUAAUAGUAUAAAACAUAAAAAUACAUAUUAGCGUUAAAUAAAUGGCAUUUUUUGGCAAAAAUAAAUAAAUGUCAAUUUUGAAUAAUUUAAAAAAAAUCUUUAAUUUUGUGAAAUUUAAACAUACAUUGAGAGGUGCUUAAACUUCCAUUGCAAUCUUUUUAUAAAUUUCAAAGUGCAUAUGUUUUUAACUUUUUGGUUUAAAAAAAUAUGAUAGGUCUACGUACUCUUUACUAAUUUGUAAUUUAAUUCUUAUACUUUUAUUUUCAAGAAUUUAAUCCCUGUUUUUUUAUAAAAAAAUCAAAAUCCUAGUUCAAUUGUUAAAAUUGUUAAAAUUUUAAAAUAGUUUGUUGGUGUGACAUUUUGAAAUAAAAAAAAACUUAGUAGUAAUGUAACUAAAAAAUGACGUAAUGAACAUGGAUUUAAUAAAAUAAUUUUAACAAUAUUAAUAAAAUAAUUUUGAAUUUUGAAUUUUAACUUAACUCUAUUUUUGGGCCAAGAUUUAAUGCUUUAAAAUUUUCAUUUAAUCCGCUGAGUUUACUUAUAAUUCUUUUGAGUUUUAUUUAUUGGUGAGUAAAAUACCUAUUUGAUUUUUUUAUAUACUAUUGGCAUCUUUAAAGGUAAUAUAAUAAUUUUAGUGUAGACGUGUUUUAUUUUAUAAAUAUUAUUUAUAGUGUAGACAUGUGAAUUUUGAAUAAUUUAAAAAUAUCUUCAAUUUUAUGAAAUUUAAACAUACAUUUAGUGUAGACAUGUUUUAUUUUAUAAAUAUUAUUUAUAGUGUUGUUGAUUGGAGUUUGAAAAUUAUACAACUUAGCUAUAUCAGUUAAUUACUUAUAUUAAAAAAUAAUAUAAGAAAAUACUAAAAAGAAAAAAAAUAGUAUAAUUAAUAAAAUGGAUGAAGAGUUAUAUUAAAGUUUCAACAUCUUCUCUCUAUCAAAAUUUAUCUCGGAUAAAUCAUGAAUAAUCUAACUCAUAAAAAAAUAUAUAUAUAUUUAUAUACUUCAUUUCAUUCACAGAAAAUAAAGCAUUCCACUUAAUAGAGGCUUUCUAUAAUGCCGUUAUCUAAUACCUCUUGACAUUGCUUAGAUUCAAAUGUGUCGAGCAGUUUGGAGGAAAUAUAUCUUGACUAUUCUACUCUCAACACCAACAUUUUGCAAAGCAUUGGAGUAUUCGCUUCUCUUAAAAUAUUGUCUUUAUCUAAUUGUGGACUUAUUGGUCCCUUACCUAAUCAAGGUAAACAAUUUUAUGGCUCAAUUUGAUUUCUUUAUGAACUUUCUGUAAUAUAUUAUCUCCUAUUCUGUUUUAUAAAGCAAAAUUUAAUUGAAACUUCUUCCAUGAAUUUAUUUAUAAAAUUUUCAGGAUGGUGUGAUCUAAGGAACCUUGAAGUGUUGGAUGUGAGUAGAAAUGCACUUGAGGGGAUGCUUCCUCAUUGUUUUAGUAACUUGACAUCUCUUCGUGAGUUAGAUAUUUCAAGAAACCAUUUUCAAAUUCCGCUGUCAUUUGCACCAUUUGCAAACCUUUCAAACCUCAAAGCCCUUUUGAUUAAUGAAAACAAGAUGGUAAUGGAACCUUCCUUUUAUACCUCAAUCCCAAAGUUCCAAUUGGAAGUCAUCAGUUUGUCAAAGUGCAUAACAUCUCAACAACUCAGUCUUAAACUUUGUACCUUCCUUUACUACCAAUAUGACUUGAGAUAUGUGGAUCUUUCGCAUAACAAUCUCAGUGGAACUGUACCAACUUGGUUGCUAGAAAACAACACAAAGUUAGAAGAUCUCAUCUUGAAGGGUAAUUCAUUUACAGGUCCUCUCUCACUUUCGUCGGCUCUUAUUUCUAAUGUAUCUACAAUUGACAUAUCUGAAAACAAAUUACAAGGUCAAAUUCCAACUGGUAUAUGUUCAACUUUUCCACAUUUGAGGCAGUUAUUCUUAUCCAAGAAUGCUUUUGAAGGUAAUAUCCCACUUUGUUUAAGUGGCAUGAAGGACUUAUCAUUUUUAGAUCUAUCAGACAAUCAUUUGUAUGGAAAAGUACCAGAAGAGUUGAUCACGAAAGGCUUACUAAUCAUUUUGAGACUAUCAAAUAACAACCUCAGUGGAAAUGUAGUUCCUGUGAUUCUCAGCGCAAAUGGGGUGCAGCAUUUAUAUUUGGAUGGAAAUAAUUUUUCAGGAGAGAUGACAAAUGUUGAUGUGUCUACUUUUGAGUUUCCAAAUUCACUAAGCGAAAUUGAUCUCAGUAACAACACUUUGCAUGGAAAGCUCCCAAGAUGGAUAGGGAAUGCAUCAUUUUUGGGGAGAUUAGAUUUGUCCAACAAUGGUUUUGAAGGUUCUAUUCCAAUGGAAUUUUGCAAGUUGAAUAGGUUGGAAUUUUUGGAUCUUUCUCAAAAUAAUUUAUCUGGCUCUAUACCGUCAUGUUUUAAUCCACCAUACAUACAGCAUGUCCACCUCCACGGGAAUAGACUGAGAGGCCCACUAUCACUUGCUUUUUAUAAUAGCUCUUCAAUAGUGACUUUAGAUCUUGGAGGAAACAAUUUGACGGGUAGUAUUCCAAAAUGGAUUUACACGCUUUCUUCUUUGAGUUUUUUUCUCUUGAAAGAUAAUCAUUUUCAUGGUAAAGUUCCUAUUGAGUUAUGCAAGUUGCAUUCUUUAAGCAUCAUAGAUCUUUCUCAAAAUAUGUUUUCUGGUCCUAUACCUUCUUGUUUGGGAAAUUUAUCUCUUCCAAUGCAAAGGAAGAAGAUUCUAGAACCUGGUUUCUAUGGGCCACCUAUAGAAGAGGAUGAAACAACACGCAGUACGAAACUAAAUUUGGGAAUGUAUUCUUACUAUCCUAAUAGCUACUUCGAAGAAGUAAUAGAGUUCACAACAAAGAGUGGGUUCUAUUCAUACAAGGGCUACAUCCUUUCAUAUAUGAAUGGGAUUGAUUUAUCUUGCAACAACUUAACUGGUCAUAUCCCACCAGAAUUAGGGAACUUGAGUGAAAUCCAUUCUUUAAACCUUUCACACAAUAAGUUGACCGGAGUUAUACCCUCGUCACUCUCAAAACUACAUCAAAUUGAGAGUUUGGACCUUUCUUACAACAACUUAAGUGGUGAAAUCCCCAAUCAAUUGGUAGAGUUAAACUCUUUGGAGGUUUUCAGCGUGGCAUUUAACAACUUGUCAGGUAGUAUUCCCGAACCAAAAGCUCAAUUUGGGACCUUUAUUGAAAAUAGUUAUCAGGGAAAUCCGUUUCUUUGUGGAGUUAUAUUGCAUAAAAGUUGUUCCAAAACCGAUUCACCAUCAACGAUAUCAAUUGUAUCAGAAGAUAAAGGAGAAGAUGGUUUGAUAGAUACUUAUGAUUUUUGUGUGAGCUUUUUGGUUUCUUAUGUAGUUGUGUUGUUGACAAUUUUUGUUGUCCUCUACAUAAAUCCAUACUGGCGAAGAGCUUGGUUUUCUCUUGUUGGGAAAUGCAUUACCACCUGUCGCUACUCAAAUGUGGGCAAUUUUCUUACUUAUCACAUUUUCAAGCGAUGUGUUUAGCUACUCAAAUUGUGAUUUGAUUUCCACACCUAAAUGUUUAAUUAUGCUAAGUUGAGCGAUAAUGAAUAUUUUGUUGAUUUUUGCAUUUUGAAUAAAAGCUCUUUUAUCUUAUGGUUUUAUCAUUUUCAACCAUCUAUUUCUUUUUUCUUCUAUGAAAUUUAAUAUAAAAUCAUAAUCCAUUAUUAUGUAUAUGCAAUAUCUCUUUAAAUUAAAUUAAAUUAAAUUAACUGCCAAGCGUUCACUAGUGCAUACUAAAAAGGAAAUCUAAUGUAAAAUUAAAUCAAACAUACUACAGAAUUGAAUCUAAAACUGGAAUAUUUUAAAACCUCACAAACAAUGCAAUUCUUUAUUCCUCUUUUCCUCUCAAGUUAUUUUGUAUCAUGUUAUAUUUUACAUAAUUAAUCGUAUCAUCAAAUUUUAAAAAAAUUUUAAUAUUUUGAUAUCAUGUUCAUAUUAUGCUUUAAUUCACAAUGUAUUUUGUAUAAUAUGUUAUAACAAUUCAAUUUAAAAAACAAACAAUUAUCUUAUUUUUGCAUACCGUAAUAUACAUUUACAUGUUAAUAAUUCUUUGUACAUAAAUUUUGACAUGUUCGUAUAUUCGAGUCAUUAUAAUUUUAUUAUUUGUAAUAUGACAUGUUUUACUUACCCUUAAUAUUGUGUCAUGAUAAUUAUAACUCGAUUGGCAGUGUACCAAAUAUUUUUCUAAUAAAAAAUAGUAUUUUAUUCUAUUUACCAAAUCUUUAUCAACUUUAUUUUCUCACCAACAAAACAUACAUUCAAAGUUCAAAUAAGUUCCACACCCAUUUUUUUACUGCAAUACUCAAGAAUAUGCUCAUCAUCAGAAAUCUGAAAUAUUCCACUCUAAUUAACAUUAUGAUUCUGUAAACAACAAAAAAGUGUGAUACUUUUUUAAAGCUCUUUUUUUUUCUUUAAUGAAAUGGGAUUGGUAAAAAAUCCGCACAUGUGUCGUGUGUGAAGGUGGUCAGGUUGUCUAUUCAUACUGUAAUAAGUAGCUAAUUAUAGUUGAUCCUACAAAAUCAAAAUUAAUUCAGGUAUCUAUAUAUUCUGAAGACUGGACAGACCUUAGAAGCUCCUUCAAAUUUGCAAGAACAUGUCGUGGUCCUAAACUCUUUACACCGAUGAAAUUCAAAAGUUGCUCUAUAUCCUGCAAUCACAGUAAAGAUUAUGCAAGCUUUUCAGAACGAAUAACAUAACAAGCAAAAGGCAAUCAAAAUACUGUGAUCUCGAUAAUGUUCUUUGCCGAAAAGGAACAUAAACAUAACCUGAAAACAUCAGUGAAGGCUCAUCAGAUUUGCUUAGCAACCUUACAUACACAUGUAAAAAGCUUUGCUUUUGGAUGUAUGGUGUGACUAUCAUCACAGUCUUUCCUAAUUAGCUGAUAACCCUAUAUCUAACAUUUAUCAGGGCUAAGCAAAUUAACAUACAUAAUGUAAAGGAAUUUGACCAUAAGAUCCAACAGAAAACUUAAUAAAAGAUAAUCAACAUAGAAAGUUAAAAGGCAAUGCAAACUUAUUACAAUGAUGCAAGUGGAUCAAAAGAAAGCACUCUAUAAGGAAUUUGUAUUUAAGGCAUUGUAAACAGAAAAAAAAUAAUAAAACUUUUCGGAAAGUAUUUUCAAAGAGGAGACAAAAACAGGGUAGAAAAAAUGUUUGGUCCUUCCUUUUUCUAUUUCUACUGUGGUGAAAAAGCCUUUUUGGGUUAAAAGUGUUUUUACACUGCAGAAGUGUUUUUCCACUGCAGAAGUGAUGAAGAACACAUAGCUUUGUAGUCAAAAACCUACUGCUUUUGGCUUUUGCAUUUCGAAGUGAAAAUUAUAAAAAUACUCUUAGAUUAAUUUAUAUUUUAUAUAUUAUUAUAUUAAAUUGUUAAAUCUUAUUUAUUAUUAUAUUUAAUUUUUUUCAAAAUAUUUUAUACAUCAUCAAUUUUACAAAUAAUUUAUAUUAAUUACUUUUAAAAGUUAUAUUUCAUGUAUCAUUAUAUUAAAUUAUUUAAAUAUCAUAUAACAUCACUAAUUUUCUACUUUCUACCAUCAUGUCUAAAAUAGACAUUUUAACUUUCAACCGCAAUUUUUGGCAGCAAUGAACAACACUAAAAACUAACAAACACACUUUUCCGCACCACAUUUCAAAAACACUUUUUUCUAAACGCACUUUUGAACUAGUCCUUAGUCUAUCAUGCAUCAACUCUUCAUUUUUCUUUAACUACCCAUGUCCGACUUCGAACAUGGAUAUGGAGAUAUGACCAAGUCACAGUGACAUAGUUUUUAGUUAUGGGGAAUGGGAUUCGAGUGCUGGACCUCCUUCUAGAUGCAUGGUGGGACUUCAUCACAUUUUUCAAAUUUGUUGAUAAUCCUUCACCUAAUCUGCCGGUGAAGUUUAUAGAUAGUUGUUGACACCAUUUUUUUGAUGAAAACGGGAUCGACUUGGAUUUUGAAAAAAGAAUGAAAACGGGAGUCGCCACCAAUCCUUUUUGACGAGGUGUGAUCGGGUCACCUCAAAAUGUGGUUGUUUUUAAUAAAUGAUUUAAUUUUAUUAAAACAACGAUUUUGGUCUACGAAAUUCAGAAAAAUGAGUUCGGGAGUCGGUUACACACGAGGAAGGAUUAGCACCCUCGAUACGCCCAAAAUUGGUACCUAGUUGAUUAAUUAGUGUCUUAGUGUCGAAAAUUGAAAAUUUGAAGAGUUUUAAAAAUACGAUCCUUAAAAGAAAUUCUGAUAACGUGAAUUGAAAUAUAAGAUUCUCUUGUUCCGAAGGAAUAUCACAUCCAGCACGUUAGGACACGAUACUCUAAACCAUCGAAACCAAGAUCAUCUUAUAGUUUAAUGAAACCACACUUUGAAGCUUUAAGAGGAUAUUUGGCUAUUUAGUCGAACGAGAAAUCGAAACCCAGCACGUUAGGGCACGUUUUCUCGAUUUUCCAAACGCGAAAUAUCGCCUUAUUUAGAAAAAUUUUCCUUUUGAUGUUUGGUGUUAAUGCUUGACAAAACAAUAACGAAUACGACAAGGUGAGCAAAGUAAAGUGAGUAACAACAAUACAAUAGGCAAAAUGAAAUGACGAGGCGAUUACAUAAACAAAGCAUACAAAUAAAUAAAUAGAACUAACAUUUAAAAAAAAGCAUAAGUGUACACGAAUAAAUAAACAAACACCAAAUAACAAUGAUGACAAUAAAUACAAUUAUGUAAAAAUGUAUAUACAUGUAUAAUUUUAAGCCAUGAAAUAAGAAACGCAUAUAAAUUAUAGAAUAUGAAAACAUAGAUAAAUAUAUACAUAUGUGUAAAAAAUAAUAUUAUAAAAAGGGUACGUAUAUAUGUAUAAAAAAAUAAAUGUAUUAACAAUGAAUAUAAUAAGGGUAAGAAAACAAGUAUAUACACAAUAUAUAUGUAACGUGGUACUAAGGAUAUAUAUAUACAAUACAGUAUUUAAAAUAAUAUUUACGUAAUAUAAAAUAUAAUAUUAAAAGGUAUAUGUACAUACGUAAUAUAUAAAUACAUAUAUAAUAUAAUGUUAAAAUAUUUACAUAAUACUAAAAUAUUUAGGUAAUAUAUGCGUAUAUUGAAAACUAGUAAUAAUAUUAUCGAGGUAUAUACAAAUAUAUCAAGUAUAUACACGUAUUAUAAAUAUAUAAAUAUAUGACAAAGCAUAAACUAAUAAAAAUAAUAAGAAUAAUAAUAAUGAUAACAUUGGAAUAUAAAAGAAACAAACAUAACAUUAAUAAAAUAUUAAAAUAAAGUGAAAUAAAAAUAUUAAAUAUGAGAAUAUAUAUAGGUAUACACGUACAUAAUAAAAAUAUAUACUAAUACAUAAUAAUAAUAAUGGUAAUACUAAUAAUACUAAUAAUAUAAAAAUAACAAGGAUAUUUAAUAAAGAUAUAAAAAUCAACAAAAAAGGACUAAAAUUGAAUUGAAAGCAAAGUUGUGGGGCCAAUUUGAAAUGAAAACAAAGAAAAAGGACUUAAUUGUAACACGCAUGCAACUUGGAGGGUCAAAAGCGCAAUAAACCCAAGUAUUAAAAACGCUGCGCAGCGUGGGGGACCAGAAUGAAUUCGGGGCAACACCAUGGAGCCAAAUUAAAAAUAAAAAAACCUUGAUUGUAAACUCCCAGAAAGGCGGAAGGGCUAAAAGUGCAAUUAGCCCUUCCAAAGAAAAAAACACGCGGAUCUUCCUUGGUGCAGGUCGGGUCGACCCGACCCGUGUUCAAAACGACGUCGUUUCAUUUAUUUAAACCGGGGGUCCAAAACGGUGCGUUUUGACCCCCUAUAAAAGUCAAAAAAACUUCAAAAAAAAAUCAUUUGUAACGCUGAGGGAAAAAAAAGAAAAGGGAGAGAGGAGAGGGGAGCCCGGAGCGAUUUCCGGCCAAGGGAGGGGUCACCGGACGGCCACCGGAGGCUCGCCGGCGUCAGCGCCGGCCACCGCACGCGGUGGCCGGAAAGGUAAAAUUUUUUAUAUUUUUUUUAUAUUUUUUUUGUUAUUUAUUCUUGGUCUUAGAAUGUAUAGAUUUUAGGUUUAUAUUAAUAAAAAAGGUAUAGAUAUGUAUAUAGAAAUCGAAAGAAAAUGGAUGAAAACAAAAAGGUAACCUUUUCCGUUUGCCUUUCCUUUUUCCCGAAUGCUUGCUAUCUCAGUACUGAGAUCUAUGUAUUUUUUUUAAAAUUUUAGCUUCUGUUUUUUUGUAUUAAAAUGCCAAAAAACAAACAAAAAGAAGAAAGAAAAAAAACCCCCUGAUACAAUUUUUGAUUCGGGUUUUUAUAACCCAUUUUCAUCUAAUUUCCUAUUGUUUCUGUUUUGUCUCUUUGCAUGGGAUGGGCACGAUGGAGGUGACAGAGGCAUGGUGGUACAGAGGAGCAGGUGGCCGACAUGGUGGCAUGGAGAGCUGGGCGUGGCAGACAAGGAGGCCACGCGAGGCAUGCGGCGCUAGGGUUUGGGGGGCAUCUUUCUUCCGAAAAUGUUAAUGUUGUCUGGGCUGGGUUUUUAAUUUUUGUUUCGGGCCAUGGGCUACAUUGGGCUUGUUAUUUUCCUUUGUAAUUGGACUGUUGUUUAUCUUGUUUUAAUAUUCGGGCCUGGGCAUAAAAUUGGGCCUUACAGCUGCCCCUCUUUGCUUGUUAUCGUGUAACGAGAACAGAGCAAAGACUAAAAAAGGCCAAUUUGGCCCGGGCUCACCGAGUUUUGACUUCUUUUGGUGCUUCCUUUCUUCAAGCCUCAUUCUAGUCCACUGCGUCUUAUGAUUCUUCGAUCUGCUCUACUGCAACUUCAGAUACGCCUUAUAGCUUCAAUCUACUCUGCUACGACUCCAUGGGGAUGAGAUUUGUGUUUUUAGUCUGCUUCACUACUACUUAGGGAGAUAAGACUGUGGUUUCGUCUGCUCCGCUACUGCUUAGGGAGAUAAGACUGUAAUCUCCGAUCUAUUCCACUGUCAAAUACAGGGAGAUAGAGUUAUCAGCUUCAAUGUACUCCACUGUAGUCACAGGGAGGUAAAAUCUGCCAUCUUUGAUCUUCAAUCUAUUCCACUGCCAAAUACAGGGAGAUAGAGUUAUCGGCUUCAAUGUACUCCACUGUAGUCAGGGAGGUAAAAUCUGCCAUCUUCGAUCUGUUUCGCUGCCAAAUACAGGAAGGCAAGAUCUGCAAUCUUCGAUCUACUUCACGCCAAUACAUGAAGAUAAGAUCUGCUUUCUUCGAUCUACUUUGCCACCAGUAUGGGAAGACAAGAUCUGCAUCGUCGAUCCACUUCCUACCAAUAUAGGAAGACAGGACCUGCUAUCUUCGAUCUACUUCACGCCAAUACAUGAAGACAAGAUCUGCUUUCUGCGAUCUACUUCGCCACCAAUAUGGGAAGACAAGAUCUGUAUCUUCGAUCCACUUUCUACCAAUAUAGGAAGAUAGGAUCUGCUACCUUCGAUCUACUUCACGCCAAUACAUGAAGACAAGAUCUGCUUUCUGCGAUCUACUUCGCCACCAAUAUAGGAAGACAAGAUCUGCAUCUUCGAUCCACUUCCUACCAAUAUAGGAAGAUAGGAUCUGUUAUCUUUGAUUUACUUCACGCCUAUACAUGAAGACAAGAUCUGCUCUCUGCGAUCUACUUCGCCACCAAUAUGGGAAGACAAGAUCUGCAUCUUUGAUCCACUUCCUACCAAUAUAGGAAGAUAGGACCUAUUUACGCCUAGUGUUUAGGAUGACAUGAUCAGAAUGAAUCAAAUGCUCCUAACUAGAUGCGUAUGUAUUAUAUUUGUAGAAUGUCAUGAGAAUGAUCCAUUUUUAAUGCUUAGGUUGUCAUUCUUCAUUGUUCAUCAAGGUUCUAUCACUGAUGCCUUCUUGUUCAGCCAGUACCUUUGACAGAAAACCUAAAGAAAUAGACGCUAUUUAGACUAUCAUUUCUCAAAUGUUUCCAACCCUUAGGUUUGGUUAGUUCUAAACAAUAGUCCUGUUUCAGGUCAUCGUAUUAUUUAGAAACUUUCAGAGUAAUAUGCAGAACUCCUUCUGCAUGUGUAUUGUCAGUCCAUUAAUCGUUAUUUCAAUGAAAAAUGCUUGAAAAAGAUUAUCAAAAUGGACAAAAUGGAAUUUUGUUGAGAGCAAAGCUCUAAACAAACAAAUCAAGAUAGCAAAUUUGCUGAGAUACGAGAUGAAUAAGAUGAAAAAGAUUAUCACAACGGAUAAGAUGAAAAUUUGCUGAGAGCAAAGCUCUGAAUGAACAAAUUAAUCAAGAUAGCAAAUGUUGCUAGAAUACAAAACGAGAAUAAAUUAAUCAAGAUGAUGUAUUUUGUCAAAAAUACAGAAAAUGAAUAAAAUGGAAAUAAGUGCCCCAGAUAUCGUAGCAUGAGCUUCUCUGCCCCAAACUUCUUAAGGACCCUUUUGAACUUGAUAUGUGUUUAGAAGUCCUAGAAGGCUUUGUUGAUGCCCCAUCUUUGAUCGAAAACUACUUUAUGCCUCAUCCUUGAUCGAAAAUUUGAAUUGCCCGUUCCUGGGUUUUCAAUUCAAAACCCCUUUGGUCUCAAGGUGCCCUUUGCGGGUUUUCGCCUUGGCCUCUCCUCUUUUUUUUUUUUAGGCAAAGUACCUCUUCACUGAAUCCGAAUUCACAGGAUUGGGCAAGCUUUUGCCAUCCAUCCUAGUUAAAAUUAAUGCCCCUCCUGAAAAGGCCUUUUUUACUACAUAAGGUCCCUCCCAGUUUGACAUCCACUUUCCUCUGAAGUCUUUUUGUAUGGGAAGGAUCUUCUUCAGUACCAAGUCCCCUUCAUGGAAGUUUCUAGGACGAACUUUCUUAUUGUAAGCUCGCAUCAUUCGUUUCUGGUAUAUUUGACCAUGACGGAUAGCUCUUAACCUCCUUUCCUCAAUCAAGUUCAGCUGAUCAUAUCGGGAUUAGACCCAUUCUGCUUCGUCUAACUUUAGUUCUGAAAAAACUCAGAGGGAGGGAAUUUCAACCUCAAUUGGUAGCACUGCCUCCAUUCCAUAAACCAAAGAGAAUGGUGUUGCCCCGGUAGAAGUCUUGACGGACGUUCGAUAAGCAUAGAGGGCGAAUGGCAACUUCUCGUGCCAAUCUCUAUAGGUCUCAGUCAUUUUCCCCACAAUCAUUUUGAUAUUUUUAUUGGCUGCCUCCACCGCACCAUUCAUCUUUGGACGGUAUGGCGAUGAGUUGUGGUGCUUGAUAUUGAAUUGACUACAAACUUCUGCUAUCGUGCUAUUAUUCAAAUUUAAUGCGUUGUCAGAUAUAAUCCUUUCGGGCAUUCCAUACCGACAUAUGAUUUCCUUCUUUAAAAACUUGCUGACAGCUGCCUUUGUGACGUUGGUGUAAGAAGUAGCCCCUACCCACUUAGUAAAGUAGUCAAUCACUACAAAAAUGAAACGAUGUUCGUUUGAAGCCUUUGGCGAUAUCGGCCCAAUGACGUCCAUGCCCCACAUGGAGAAAGGCCAUGGGGAAGUCAUGACGUGAAGAGGUGAUAGAGGCAUAUGGAUUUUGUCUCCGUAAAUCUGGCAUUUAUGGCACUUCUUAGCAUAUUUGAUGCAGUCUCCUUCCAUGGUAGACCAAUAAUAUCCAAAUCUCAUGAUUUGUCUGGCCAUUGUGAAACCGUUAGCGUGUGUUCCACAAAUACCAUCAUGGACUUCUUCCAAGAUCUGUUUGGCCUCCAUAGCGUCCACACAUCUUAACAGCACCUGAUCUUUUCCUCUUUUGUACAGGAUCUCUCCAUCUAAGACGUAAUCACUGGCCAGCCUCCUCAACAUUCUCUUGUCAUUCUCAGUUGCUUGGUUUGGGUAUUCACGAUUUUUUACGUAUCGCAAUAUAUCCUGAUACCAAGGGUUUUCGUCCUUUUCUUCUUCUUCGUCAAUGUUACAACAGUGGGCUGGAGCAUCAUAAAUGCUCAUUUGGAUAGGCUUCACAUCCUCUGGUCUAUUUACUUUGAUAAUGGAAGCCAAUGUAGCUAAAGCGUCGGCCAUCUGAUUCUCGUCUCGUGGAAGAUAACAAAAAGUGAUGUCGUCAAACUCCUCAAUCAAUUCUAGGACUAUCCUUCGGUAACUAAUCAACUUAGGUUCUCUUGUUUCCCAUUCGCCUUUGAGCUGAUAAAUUACCAAUGCCGAAUCCCCAUAUACCUCAAGUACCUUGAUUUUGCGUUCUAUAGCCGCGCGGAUUCCCAUGAUACAUGCUUCAUAUUCCGUCAUGUUAUUUGUGCAAUCAAAAUCUAGUUUACUGGUGAAAGGAUAAUGAUCACCGUUUGGAGAUACCAAGACUGCCCCAAUCCCGUUGCCCAUGGCAUUUGAGGCUCCGUCAAAAUUUAAUUUCCAAGUAUUGCCUUCUUGUGUGCUUGCUUCAGUAGUUGCCACAUACAUCAGAUCCUCAUUUGGAAAAUCAAAGUUCAAAGGCUCAUAAUCGUCCAGGGCUCUACUUGCUAGAAAAUCUGCUAUCGCGCUCCCUUUUACAGCCUUUCGAUUCACAUAGGUUAUGUCAAAUUCAGAUAGUAGAAUUUACCAUCGGGCCAUCCUUCCGUUUAGAGCAGUUGACUCCAUCAUGUAUUUCAGAGGGUCUACCUUUGAGAUUAACCAAGUCGUAUGGUACAACAUGUAUUGUCUCAAUCUUCGAGUAGUCCAAACCAAUGCGCAACAUAAUUUUUCAAUUGGCGAAUACCUCGUUUCGCAUUCAGUGAACUUUUUACUGAGAUAAUAGAUCGCUCUUUCCUUUCGUCCUGACUCAUCAUGUUGGCCGAGCACGCACCCCAUGGAAUUCUCAAAUACUGCCAAGUAUAGUAUCAAUGGUUUGUCAGGGCAAGGUGGUAUCAGUACUGGGGCGUUGGACAAGUAAUGUUUAACUCUUUCGAAAGUUUUCUGGCACUCUUCAUCCCAUACACCUGGAUUGUGUUUCCUAAGAAGACGGAAUAUGGGGUCACAUUUCUCGGUUAAUUGUGAAAUGAAUCGAGCGAUGUAAUUUAGUCUUCCUAGGAAACCCCGAACUUCUUUUUGAGUACUUGGCGGAGGUAAUUCUUAUAUGGCCUUAACUUUGUCUGGGUCAAUUUCAAUUCCCUUUUCGCUGACUAAAAAUCCUAGCAAUUUUCCUGAUCUAGCCCCGAAAGUACACUUGGCUGGGUUAAGUUUUAGCUGGAACUUCCUUAACCUCAGAAACAGUUUUCUCAGAACUUGCACGUGUUCCCUUUCUGUUCUGGAUUUUGCGAUCAUGUCAUCAACAUAAACUUCUAUCUCUUUAUGCAUCAUAUCAUGGAAUAAUGCUACCAUGGCUCUCUGAUACGUUGCUCCCGCAUUUUUCAAUCCAAAAGGCAUCACUUUAUAACAAAACGUCCCCCACAUCGUUAUGAAUGUGGUCUUCUCCCUGUCUUCAGAAAGCAUCUUAAUUUGGUUGUACCCGGAGAAACCAUCCAUGAAAGAGAGCAGUGAGUAUCCGGCCGUGUUGUCUACCAAGGUAUCGAUAUGAGGAAGUGGGAAAUUAUCUUUUGGGCUGGCUUUGUUCAAGUCUCUGUAGUCCACACACAUUCGCACCUUCCCAUCUUUCUUAGGAACAGGGACUAUAUUGGCUACCCAUUCUGAGUACUUGACCACCUGUAAGAAACCAGCAUCAAAUUGCUUCUUAACUUCUUACUUUAUUUUUAGCAAGACAUCAGGCCUCAUCCUUCGGAGCUUUUGUUGGACUGGUUUGCAUUCUUCCUUUAUAGGCAAUCGGUGUACCACGAUAUCAGUACUUAACCCUGGCAUAUCUUGGUAGGACCACGCGAAGACAUCUUUAAACUCUUGAAGCAACUCAACAAGGUCUUGCCUUGUUUCCUUGGCAAUGCAAGCGCCAAUUUUUACCUCUCUGCUCUCUUCUAAGGUCACAACUUCUACUGAUUCCUUAUAGGGUAUAAUUUGUUUUUCUUCUUCUUUCAUCAUUCUUAACAAAUUCGGAGAUAAAACGCUGUCUUGGUCACCUUUAAAAUCUUGAGGAUCAUCUAUACUCAUGUCUUGCUCAAAUAGAGACUCUGAAUUAGUAACAGAGUCGCUCAUCUCGUUGAUAUUUGAAGACCUGUUAUUGGAACAAAUGGAGGCCCAAAUAAAAGGAUCUAAGAAUACUUGUAUGCAUAUUAUGAUUAUAAAGGGAAUGAAAAGAAUGAAAGAAUACUUGCUCAAGAUGAAACUGAAUGAUAAGUUUUCACUGAAAUUAGAUUUUGAACAUGUGCAUUUUACAAAAGAUUCUUAUCACCCCCAGGCUUAGGGCAACAAGUGUUCUGAAUAUUACUCUGAAUUAGUUCUAAAUGUUACAGGGAUCUCUUCUGCAGUCCAGUUAUUCGGAACACUUCCAGGUUCGUAAGGACGAAUGCCCGAUAAAUUCCUUUCCACCCUUUCUUCCGCGGAUAUGGCAUUGAUGUCCAACCUCUCAAUCCUUCCUUCUGUAACCUCAUCCUUCUCUUCAGGGUGGACAAUUCCCCCUGAAACAAAAGUCUUAGAUAUAUGAGGAAAGGUUAUCGGUCCCCACUUGGCUUCUAUCCCGCCCAAAUGUGCUCUUCUCCUUUCUUGUCUUUUCUCCAUCUCCUUCCUCCUUUCCCUCGCAAUAGGCUUAUAUCCCAAACCAUAACGGUCCUGUUUGUUAACUAGGAUCGGUACUCCGACCCUUCCCUGGAGGUAUUUUCCAAAUCCUCUUCCAGGCAAUGCUCCCUUUCCCACCGUUAAGUUCAUUGACGUAGCUUUGGAUAUCUUAGGCUCUGGGAUUUUGCUCAUCUCAAUGACAAAUAUGGCAUUUACGAAUUCCAAUGAUCGGAAUGAACAUUCUAUCGCUUCACUAUCAGCCUCUAUGUAUGGCAUAUCAUCGGUGACUGAUGCAAUGAUGUCUUCUUCUGCACCUAUAGUCACCAAUCUACCCUCUACCACCAAUUUUAACUUUUGGUGAAGUGACGAUGGUACAGCCCCUGCAGAAUGGAUCCAAGGCCUCCCUAAUAGGCAAUUGUAAGAUGGUUUAAUAUCCAUUACCAAAAAGUCUACCUCGUAUGUAUUUGGACCAAUCAAUAGAGGUAUCUCGAUUCUUCCCAUCACUUUUCUCUCAGUGCCAUCAAAUGCUCUCACUAUAUUUUGGCAUAAUUUCAUGUGAGAACUAUCCACAGGUAGCCUGUUUAAUGUGGACAGGGGUAAAACAUUCAGGGCCGAUCCAUUGUCAACGAGUACCGCCGGUAGUAUACACCCCUUGCAACGGGCAGUGAUGUGCAAGGCCUUGGUAGAUCCCAUACCGCCUGGCGAGAUCUCAUCAUCGUUGAAGAAGAUGAAGUUAUCGGCAUUUAUAUUGUUAACCAGGCAAUCCAAUUUGUCCACUGAGAUAUCUUUAGCGACAUAAGUUUCAUUUAGCACUUUUACUAACGUAUUACGAUGUAUCUCUGAACUUAGAAGUAACUCGAGCACUGAGAUGCGAGCCGGUUACUUAUGCAGUUGUUCCACCACGCUAUACUCGCUAUGCUUCAAGAAUUUUAAGAAUUCUCUAGCCUCAUUUUCAGUCACCGGUGUAUUAAUAUGCGGUUCAAUUCCGGUCUUCGUUUUAUCUUGUUCAACCGCCAAGGCUUUUCCUUUUAUAGGCCCCCUUUUUGUAUUUCCCGGGUCGCAACGUUUUCCACUACGCGUAUAAAAGCCUGUGUCAUUACCCUCUUCUGAAGCAUUUAUCGGGUUCUCCUCUCCCGUGAUCAUCACAUUGCAGUCAUAAUUCUAAGGAACCUUUUUACUAUCCUUGUAAGGAAAGGCUACAGGUUUUUGGAUUAUGACCCUUGGCGCCAGUUGUAUUCCAGAUCCUGUGCUUGUUGGCCUUGAAAUAAUCACCACCGGGUGAUUUUGGGCCUUUCUCGUAGGCCCCUCCUCUGAGGCAUAAACUUCUCCUUUCUCAAGUCCUUUGAUCUCUUCAUAAAAUUCUAACUCUUUGUUGUUCAUCAGAUUUUGUAACAUGGCCUUGAAAUCAGUGCAAUUUUGAAUGUCAUGGUCUUCUUCAGCAUGAAACUCGCAGUACGUCUUCGUUCCUUCGGGCCUUUCUUUUGAAUCUUGUUUGAUGAGACCUCCUUCUAUCAUUUGUCUCCAAACCCAACUCAAUGGGGUUUUUAUCUCUGCAAUGUCGGUUUUGAUUCUCUUUCUCCCACCUUCGAUUAUUGCGUUUACCCCUUUAUCAGCAUGAUCGGGUAACGGAUUCGCUGCUACAUUUGGUCCUAAUGGGUUGUCAAACUUCACAAUCCCCAUCUUAAUGAACCUUUCCACCGCCUUUUUAAACCCAGUGCAGUUCUCAAUUGAGUGCCCCGGUAUCCCUGCAUGGUAUUCACAUUGGGCAUUCGCGUCAUACCAUUUGGGAUACGGAGGUUGCAUGGGCUCUAGAUAAAAUGGAGAUACUAUGUGUGCAUCAAAUAACUUCUGAUACAGUUCCCCGUAUGUUAUUGGAAUGGGCGUGAAUUAAAGUCUCUCUGUGUUAGUCCUUGUGUUAGGCCUCGUGUUGGGUUCCUGCCUUGAGGGGGCUUGGUGACUAGUGGUUAUCAUUUUUGGAGGGCCAACAGUAAUCAGUUUUGAAUGGCUCUUGCUAUAUGUGCAUACGUUGUUUACUUCGCCCUCUUUUUUUCUUCGGGCUGGUCUUUUGAAGUUUUCCCCAGUGUCAAUUUUACCGCUCCUUACCGCGUUCUCAAUCAUUUCACCAGACAUUACCAUAUCCGAGAAACUCUUGGUAGCACUCCCCAACAUGUGGUUGAUGAACAGGGCUUUCAAAGUGUUGAUAAACAACAUGGUGACCUCUUUUUCCAAAAGGGGUGGCUGGACUUGUGUUGCCACUUCUCUCCAUCGUUGGGCGUAUUGCCUGAAAUUCUCGCUAGGCUUUUUUUCCAUGUUUUGUAACGUAAUUCGAUCGGGUGUUAUAUCCAUUACAUGACUGUAUUGCUUCAUAAAAGCUUGCGCCAAGUCUCUCCAUGAACUAACUUUAGCACGACUCAGUUGGUUGUACCAUUUGGCUGCAGAUCCGAUCAAACUGUCCUGGAAGCAGUGGAUUAACAGCUGAUCAUUGUUGACGUAUCCUGUCAUUCUUCGACAGAACAUAGUUAUAUGAGCUUCAGGACAACUAGUCCCAUUAUAUUUUUCGAAUUCUGACAUUUUGAACUUAGGUGGGAGUACUAAACCAGGGACCAAACUCAGAUCAUUGACGUCAACCCCGCGAUGACAGUCGAUGUUCUCCAUGGCUCUAAAUUUUUCCUCUAACCAUCUACAUCGGUCCUCCAGUUGUUUUGGCAGGUUCAUUCUUGUUUUUUCUGUUUCUGCCACGUCAUCGAGGUCCGGGACCACCAGAUUAGUGGGAUUAUCCCCGGGAUUAAAACCCGAGCCCAUUUGAAAAUGCACUGGUACCGAGGUACCAGCCAGAUAUUGAGGUCCUAUGGUAACUGGUACCCUCUGUGGGUACACCUCUGGUUGUGCUUGGAUGUUAGUUGGGGUGAAACCUGGAGGAUAAACAGGGUCAUCGUGAUCCUCCCCAGCAUCAAUUACGGGGUCUUUUCCUUUGUUAUUCCCUCCAGCCAAUAACUGCUUUAAUUGGUUCAUCACGGUGUUCUGGGAUUCUAACAUGUCCUGCUGGAUUUUUUCCAGUCGUUCAUGCAUCUGAUCUUGCAUCUCUCGUUGCAACUGUUCCAAUCUUUCCAACCUUUGAUCCAUUGCUUUUGUUUGGCGACGAGUACCGUAGUGAUAUUUGAUUAGAUUUUUGUUGGUUUCCAGGGUAACUGUCAUAAUUUAAUUUUAUUAGGGUCAUUUUAUGAGAUGUAAUGCAAAUGUAUGAGAUGAAUGCAAAAAAAAGAGGCAUUGAUUCGAAUUCAAUUUCAUUAGAAAACUCAACUAGAAAGCAAAUUUCUUUACAUAAAAUAAAUUACAUAUACGGCUUCGCCUUUAUACCCAAAGCCUUAACCUUCCUAAGAAGCCAACUAAAUCUCGACCUCGGCUUGAUUCUGACUCAUAUUUUAAACUCAAUACAUCGGCCUGAAUUGCUAAUGUUUGCAGAUGAUCAGCCACUUCCCGCACUUGAGUCACAGCUUCGCCCAUAACGUAAUCUCUAUCUCUAAUCUGACUUUGAGAAUGAUGGAAUUGCUCUUGCCAUUGAUCAUUACUCCUCUCAAGAAGCUCCAUUCGUAGCUCAGAAUUGUGUAAUGCGUCCUCAAGCUCCUCUACCUUUCCUUUCAGUUCUUCGAUCUUAUUUAAGCUUGCUCUUAAUUCGAUCAUGGAGUUGCGACUACGGUACGAGUGAAGUGACUUUUCUAGCUCUGCCACCUUGGCCUUUAAUCCUGCCUUCUCAUUUCGGCACUCUAACAAACUCCUUUCCAAAGCGUUUUCUCGAGCUCAAGCAUCUUGAAAUUUCUUUUCCCACUGAUCGGCCCUAUUCUUUUCCUCAUUGAUCUCUUGUCGCCAUUGCUCUGACGUUUUACCCAGACCGACAGUUCUCAUUGACAAUCGCAGCUUCUUGUAAUCUAUUUUUAGACUAUCCAAAUCCUCUUCAGCCUUGUUCUUUCCCUUCUUUAAUUUCUCGGCUUCUAGCUUGUGGAUAUCGAUGUCUAAUCCCAAAUGCACUCUUUCUUCUUCUAGCUGUUCUAUCCUCUUUCCCAACUCAGAAUUUCUUUUCUCAAAGUCUCGUUUGAUGAUCUCUAAUUCUGACGGAACUACUUGUAGAUGCUCCUCUAUAGACUGAACGCAAUCUUCCCUCGGCUUAGGGAUGUUGUCAUUGACUCUUUUACUCCACCACCCAUAAUAUUCUGAAGUUGUCAUCGCUCCUACGGUAAAUCUUUUCAUUCGGUGAACCUGUUUCCAAGCGUUAGAUAUUUCUCGAGUUUUUCUCUUGUAGUUUUCAUCCUUAUAAGAAAACUCACAUUGAGCCAGCCCUUGUGUUGCUGGUAUGAACUGUCUCGAUCUAUAUUGUCUUAAUACGAGUAAAGGGGCAUAACCGACAGCUCCCCAAAUUUCGAGUAAAGGGACCCAGUCGAAAUCCCCACAUCGAUACAGGAUCUCGUCGGGUACCAUCCAAGGAGCUUUCCAUUCAACGUCAUCCUCCUGAAGAUUUUGGAGAAUCGUCAUCCACUUCUCUUCCGUGAUGUCGUCUCGUCUUGGUGUAGCAACUUGUUCCUUCAAUGGGGAAUAGUCUUCUGAGAAGACUCGAUAGGAGACAUUUUCCACCUUCCAAAAGUGACUAUGGAACCACACUAAUAGUAGCUGUGCGCAUCCGAUGAACCUUCCCUCCCCUGCUCUUCGACAUGCACUUAGAAAUCUGAAGGUUUCUGCUAAGAUUGCCGGGAUGGGCGUGACUCCUUUACUAAGCCGAUCGAACAAAUCAGAGACGGCCUCAUCUACGUGCCCUAAAGCUCUAGGGAAAAUUACCAAUCCAUAGAUACCUAGAGCGAAGACAUCCACUCUUUUCUUCACAUCAGGGUGUGCUAAUACUAAAUCUCGCAAGCUUUUCCAAGGAACGCAUUUACUGUCUCCUUUCUGUUGGAUUCGGGCAGCGACCCACUGUUCGCUCAUCCCUGUAAUGCUCAUCAAUUUUUUUAAUAAUGUCGGGACACUAGCAGCUCUAGAAUAGGCCUUGUCAAUUUGAAUCUUUGGACACCGAAGCAAGGUCGUAUAUUCUUCCAUGGUGGGCACCAAGUCCACUUUUCCAAAAGUGAAACAACUGUAAGCAGGAUUCUAAAACUGGGCUAGGGCUCGGAAUAAAUGCUUGUCCACUUUGACACCAAGUAGGUAAGGCAAGUCCCCGUAGUCACAGUAAAACAUCUGCUUGGUCCCAUCGUCCCAUUGAUCCCAUAUUUCCUUCAUUUCUCGAAGAUCAUUUUGGAUUACGCUGAUACGGGUGAAGUCCCAUAACUCUGAUACGUACCCUUCUGCAAGACUAUCGCCUUUCUCUCUCCACAUCGUCUCAGCCCACACUCGUACAGCUGCAUUGUCUUCUACUUUAUCAAGAAACCUCUUUUCCAUGAUAAGCUUUCUAUCUAUACUGAACGUGAAUCGACACCUUUUGAAAUGAAAAUGCCAUGCAAUCAUAAACAAAGCAAAUCAGAGCUAGGAUUUAAAGUAAACAAUAAUAAAUAAAGCAUCUAUUCGGUAAGCGCUAGGGUUUGGAAUAGCUCUAUCUCGGUGGGUUCUUACGGCUCGCUAUAUGUGGUUUAGUUCUAAAGUAAGGGUACCUGAACCAGCAGAUUCCUCGAUCCUCACCCAUUAUAGGCUCAUGGACCGAGUUCAGUUCAGGGGAAUACAUUUCCCUAUGGCCAUGCGGAGAUGAAAAUCUCACGAAGACAUAGGUACGGAUGUAUCCCGGAAGCGAUUCACUAUCCCAUGCGGAGGUGAAAACCUCACGAAGGCGUAGUUUCUCACUCCCACUUAAAAAGGUAUGACCAGCGAUCAUGCAAUUCAAUGUGCAGAGGUAUAAAAUAAAAUACAGAACACGAUAAAAAAUAUAACUCAAAACAAAAGAGAUGCAAUGAAAGGAUCGUAAAUUUAAAUCAAAUUUUCCACUUUCAACAAAAAGACAAGAAAUAAUCAACACGUGGCUUGACUCUCUUUCGUUCCCCAGUGGAGUCGCCAAGCUGUUGACACCAUUUUUUUGAUGAAAACGGGGUCGACUUGGAUUUUGAAAAAAGAAUGAAAACGGGAGUCGCCACCAAUCCUUUUUGACGAGGUGUGAUCGGGUCACCUCAAAAUGUGGUUGUUUUUAAUAAAUGAUUUAAUUUUAUUAAAACAACGAUUUUGGUCUACGAAAUUCAGAAAAAUGAGUUCGGGAGUCGGUUACGCACGAGGAAGGAUUAGCACCCUCGAUACGCCCAAAAUUGGUACCUAGUUGAUUAAUUAGUGUCUUAGUGUCGAAAAUUGAAAAUUUGAAGAGUUUUAAAAAUACGAUCCUUAAAAGAAAUUCUGAUAACGUGAAUUGAAAUAUAAGAUUCUCUUGUUCCGAAGGAAUAUCACAUCCAGCACGUUAGGACACGAUACUCUAAACCAUCGAAACCAAGAUCAUCUUAUAGUUUAAUGAAACCACACUUUGAAGCUUUAAGAGGAUAUUUGGCUAUUUAGUCGAACGAGAAAUCGAAACCCAGCACGUUAGGGCACGUUUUCUCGAUUUUCCAAACGCGAAAUAUCGCCUUAUUUAGAAAAAUUUUCCUUUUGAUGUUUGGUGUUAAUGCUUGACAAAACAAUAACGAAUACGACAAGGUGAGCAAAGUAAAGUGAGUAACAACAAUACAAUAGGCAAAAUGAAAUGACGAGGCGAUUACAUAAACAAAGCAUACAAAUAAAUAAAUAGAACUAACAUUUAAAAAAAAGCAUAAGUGUACACGAAUAAAUAAACAAACACCAAAUAACAAUGAUGACAAUAAAUACAAUUAUGUAAAAAUGUAUAUACAUGUAUAAUUUUAAGCCAUGAAAUAAGAAACGCAUAUAAAUUAUAGAAUAUGAAAACAUAGAUAAAUAUAUACAUAUGUGUAAAAAAUAAUAUUAUAAAAAGGGUACGUAUAUAUGUAUAAAAAAUAAAUGUAUUAACAAUGAAUAUAAUAAGGGUAAGAAAACAAGUAUAUACACAAUAUAUAUGUAACGUAGGUACUAAGGAUAUAUAUAUACAAUACAGUAUUUAAAAUAAUAUUUACGUAAUAUAAAAUAUAAUAUUAAAAGGUAUAUGUACAUACGUAAUAUAUAAAUACAUAUAUAAUAUAAUGUUAAAAUAUUUACAUAAUACUAAAAUAUUUAGGUAAUAUAUGCGUAUAUUGAAAACUAGUAAUAAUAUUACCGAGGUAUAUACAAAUAUAUCAAGUAUAUACACGUAUUAUAAAUAUAUAAAUAUAUGACAAAGCAUAAACUAAUAAAAAUAAUAAGAAUAAUAAUAAUGAUAACAUUGGAAUAUAAAAGAAACAAACAUAACAUUAAUAAAAUAUUAAAAUAAAGUGAAAUAAAAAUAUUAAAUAUGAGAAUAUAUAUAGGUAUACACGUACAUAAUAAAAAUAUAUACUAAUACAUAAUAAUAAUAAUGGUAAUACUAAUAAUACUAAUAAUAUAAAAAUAACAAGGAUAUUUAAUAAAGAUAUAAAAAUCAACAAAAAAGGACUAAAAUUGAAUUGAAAGCAAAGUUGUGGGGCCAAUUUGAAAUGAAAACAAAGAAAAAGGACUUAAUUGUAACACGCAUGCAACUUGGAGGGUCAAAAGUGCAAUAAACCCAAGUAUUAAAAACGCUGCGCAGCGUGGGGGACCAGAAUGAAUUCGGGGCAACACCAUGGAGCCAAAUUAAAAAUAAAAAAACCUUGAUUGUAAACUCCCAGAAAGGCGGAAGGGCUAAAAGUGCAAUUAGCCCUUCCAAAGAAAAAAACACGCGGAUCUUCCUUGGUGCAGGUCGGGUCGACCCGACCCGUGUUCAAAACGACGUCGUUUCAUUUAUUUAAACCGGGGGUCCAAAACGGUGCGUUUUGACCCCCUAUAAAAGUCAAAAAAACUUCAAAAAAAAAUCAUUUGUAACGCUGAGGGAAAAAAAAGAAAAGGGAGAGAGGAGAGGGGAGCCCGGAGCGAUUUCCGGCCAAGGGAGGGGUCACCGGACGGCCACCGGAGGCUCGCCGGCGUCAGCGCCGGCCACCGCACGCCGUGGCCGGAAAGGUAAAAUUUUUUAUAUUUUUUUUAUAUUUUUUUGUUAUUUAUUCUUGGUCUUAGAAUGUAUAGAUUUUAGGUUUAUAUUAAUAAAAAAGGUAUAGAUAUGUAUAUAGAAAUCGAAAGAAAAUGGAUGAAAACAAAAAGGUAACCUUUUCCGUUUGCCUUUUCUUUUUCCCGAAUGCUUGCUAUCUCAGUACUGAGAUCUAUGUAUUUUUUUUAAAAUUCUAGCUUCUGUUUUUUUGUAUUAAAAUGCCAAAAAACAAACAAAAAGAAGAAAGAAAAAAAACCCCUGACACAAUUUUUUAUUCGGGUUUUUAUAACCCAUUUUCAUCUAAUUUCCUAUUGUUUCUGUUUUGUCUCUUUGCAUGGGAUGGGCACGAUGGAGGUGACAGAGGCAUGGUGGUACAGAGGAGCAGGUGGCCGACAUGGUGGCAUGGAGAGCUGGGCGUGGCAGACGAGGAGGCCACGCGAGGCAUGCAGCGCUAGGGCUUGGGGGGCAUCUUUCUGCCGAAAAUGUUAAUGUUGUCUGGGCUGGGUUUUUGAUUUUUGUUUCGGGCCAUGGGCUACAUUGGGCUUGUUAUUUUCCUUUGUAAUUGGACUGUUGUUUAUCUUGUUUUAAUAUUCGGGCCUGGGCAUAAAAUUGGGCCUUACAAUAGUCUUAAGUGUCUAUCACAAGAACCUAGAUAUUGUAAAUCCAAUAUCUUCCAAACAAUUCAACCAUGAUAUUAAUGAUGAUGGAAGCAAGAUUAUCCACUAUCAAUGACAUAAAAUGAGCUGUAAAUGCUGACGAACAAACAUGCACUGUUUUUCCAACCUGUGGAUUGAAGAGCAUUGACAAGCUAACUUUGCAGACCAUUUGAAUCCAAUACUAUACAUAAAAAUGCCAAAGGAGAAUAAUUCAUCUUGGAAAAAGAAUUACUAAUAUGCAAAAGCUUACCUUGUUUAACAAGAACACAGCAUAUGCUGCUCUUGUCGUGUCUUGACCUUCUAAAAACAGCGGAAAUUCUGCCAGCUUUACAUUUGCUGAAAGUGUUGUAUCCAAUGACAAAUCAGAAGAUGCAGGGUCUAUUGAAGACGCAUGGUCAUUAAUAUAUGAGCGAGAACCACCCAAGCGCAGAGGAUAACGCAAGGGAACUUGUAAAUAGGAUGCAAUUAGUGAAACAGCCUGCAAAUGAUGAAAUAACAGGAAACAAGAAACAAUAAUAGGUAUGAUUAAAAUUAUAGCCUCAGCAUGAGAAACAAGCAAUCAAGAUGCAGCCCACUAUACCAUAUUACCAUCCUAGCAAUUAAAAAUUACUACAGCAUCUUCAAGCAACAAGGGAUUGUAGGUGGUAGGUCAAAAAACUUGAUAUCCACAGCUUGAUAUUAUCAGAAAAAACAAAUUCAGUAAUAAAUGAUAACUUCACAGAAGAAAUAGAACGCACAUGUGCAACAUAUCCCAAGGCAGUUGCAGAUCUCUGAACCUCCUUUUUGUCAGUGAAAAAACUCAUCUUUGUAAAAGGAAGCAAGGUGAGAUUCAGACCUAAAAUUGUCAACGAUCCUUGAUUGACGGGCUUUGAUGCAGAAGGAUUCCCUAGUGAAGACAGGAACAAAGGAACUUCAUAUCAAUACAUCACCAGACACCACCUCUUUGUGAAAGUCAAAACAAAAUUCAAAAAAAUAUAAUCAUGAAAGUAAGAGAUAUGUAAAAAGUUCAUAAUAUUCAAGAGCAAAAAAAAAUUGUUUUGAUAUGAGGAGAAUUGAAUAGUAGAUUGCUAAAAGAGGAAUAACUGAAUACAGCCAUCAUAACCAAAAGAAGAGUCAAGUGAUAGGUAAUGGUACUCCCUAAGCUGUUUAGGAAUCAUAAAAGACUUGUCCAGUUGACAAAAAUAACUCAUUUUAUUCUCCCCUAGUAAAACAUCAUAUUGGACCAACCAUAUUUGAUAUCAAAGGAUAUGGAUAUCCAGGCAUGCCAUUUAUAGAUAUUCCCAGUGUUGCAAGAAGGAAUUGUUCAAGAGAAAGAAGCUGCUAUUGUUGGUAAAGUUUUCCUCAAACCAUUUUGAACAUCCAAAAUCUCAAGAACAAAAAAGAAAACGUAGGAGGAAAUAUAACAAGCAUCACAACGGGUUCUCGAUGAUAUAAGUGAGAGGAUAAAUGUUAAUUAAGAUUAUAAAAAUAAACCACAAACUAAACAGGAAAGACAUGGAUUUCAAAACGAGGAGACUGGCUGCUAAUUAAAACCAUAUGCGGUGUUGUCUAGGGCGCAAGGCGCAUUCUAGGUGCUAACCUUUAUAUUGCCUCAAGCACAAGGCACAAAAGGAAGCGCUAGCCUGAGUGCAGUAAAGCGCAAUACAUAUAUGUGAGAGUUUUUGCAAGUCUGUGUGUCUACAACAUAAAAGUUUUAAGAUAUAUAGUAAACUCUAAAGUGUGGUCUGGUUUAUCCACAAAACUUGCAAAAUUUUUAUAGGUGAAUGCUCAAAUAUUGAGAAUUAUAGAGUUUGAUAUUAUCCCUUUCUUAUUAGUAAAGGUGUAUCAAAUGAAAACAGUAAAAAAUAAAAUAAAAUAUUGAGAAAUUCAACAAGGCAGGCUUUUUCUAAUGCCCAUUGCCUUACAAAAAAAGUGUGCCUAGGUGCACCAGGCAUACGCUUGAUCAAAUGGACCUCACCUGGAAGGGUCCAAGGCGUUUGGUUGUAUAAAACUAAGGCGUAGGCAUGCCUAGGCGCAUGCCUUGACGACACUGACCAUAUGUUGGCUUUAUUGCAAAGCAUUAGCAAUCCAAAACUACUAGCACAUUACCUAAUCUACUACUGCUAGAAUAGGACUCAAGUUCUUGCUCCUGUGCAGGUCCAACCAAGAUCUUUACAGGAUACAAUAAUGAAACUUGUGAUAUCAUAUAUUGUUGCCUUGCUCGAAGCUUCCUUUGCACAUUUUUAAGUUUAACACAACCCCUUUCUUCAGUGAGUAAUCUAUUUGCUUCCUGUGAUAAAAACAACAUAUAAUCAAUCAUGCCACGCAUGCAAGACUACCAACCAACUAUCUAACAAAAGAUACAAAGAAGUAGGAGAGCAAGAAGGGGAUAACCCUUGACUAUGCAAAGGAAUUCAUAGAAUGAGAAUCAUCUCAUCUAAGCCCCUCAACCACCUUCACAGGGGGUGGAGGUGCAAAGAGAGAGGUCUUAUUGAUCCGAGAGGAGAAUAUAUAACAUCUAAAGCUGAAUAAGAAGAAACCUUGAAAUAUAUCAUAAAUUCAGAAUUCAUGAUAAUAUAAAAAUGAAAUUCCAAAGCUAAUUUAAGCUAGAAUAAAAAUGCUUCACCUGUAAUCACUUCCUUGCUACAGAAAGAGAGGUACCAGCAACCAACAAUGAUCUUACUUCAGUACUAAGCAUUUCCUCCUGUUUUUUAGCAUCCUCUGUUGCAACUUUGCAAUGAGUUGACAUGUUUGCCAUAACUACUUUCCUUGCCUCGAGUCUCUCACGCAUUUCCUCAAGCUCGUUCAGUUUAUUCAAAGACUCAUUUUUUACCUGCACAGCAUGUUCCCACCCAUUAAUCAGUGGGCCAAUUAAUUAGGUCACAGAAGACAAAACUAAAUUAUCACUCACCAGGUCCCCUUGAAGUGUCAUAUGGCUUUAACAAUUCAACGUGCAAUAUCUAGUAAAAGUAAAAUAAACAUAGAAGAAUGCAAAUGCAAUUCUUAAACGCCUUUAAAUGGACAACAUGAAACACUUUAAGAGCCCUAUAAAACAGAAAACUGGAAAAAAAAUCUGAAAAGGAAAAAAAAAUGAAUUGAAACAAUAAAUCCAUCUGGUACAAACAGCAACAAAUCUCGAAAUAAGCUUUGGCUUUAGCCCAUUAAAGCCCGGGCAUCCGGCCAAAUAAACAGUGACUGCCAUGUCAACUUUUUGAGACGGUAGAAAAGAGCUCAAAAAUCUCAAUUUCCAAAAAUAAGGACAUAAGAAGGAAAACAAUUUACUUAUUCUUACAGUAGAAGAGCAAAAUGAAACUAAAUGAAGGAUAAGGGAACUGAUGCGAAUUGACAUUGUUAUUUUUGGGACUAAAAAGAAUACGCAGAUUGAAUAUUUAAGAUUUUGUAAGGGAAAAGUUCCAUUCACCGACACAAUUAUCAUCGCCCUUUAUCCCAGUAAAGCUUAAUUGACAAUUUUUCUGUCUCGUGUUCUUGCUAAAGCAUUUGAGCAACCCAACAGAAAUCAUUAUAUUUCAAACUGAAAUGAUUGGCUUUAACAAUUUCACAACCUAUACCGCCCAACCUAGUAAGUAAUUUAGGUGCAGACACCAGAAAUCUAUUUUCUUUGCACUCUACAACUAAAUAGCAUACCACUUAUCAAUCAAACACAGCUGAAAACUUCAGUGAGGGAACAUUAUGUAAAAUGAAAAAACUAUAACUUCAACUUGAUUCAUAGCUCGGCAAGUUCAGGGAAUUGGGACUUCUACCACGAUGAUCCAGUUCAAUGUGAAACAGUGAUCCAUAUCAUGCAUAUCGGUUCCCGGAACAAGAGGUAAAACCAGCAAAUUAGGUAAACAAUAAUCCUACUAUAUUUCAGAAUAGCAACAUUGAGCAUGAAAGCUAAAAUUAUAGCAUAUUACGGGUCCUUGCUCUCUACAACUACAUAUAAAAUUAGUAAACAAUAUUACUACAUUAAGGAUCCAGAAAAACUUUGUUUCAAUUGUUGAUCACUUGAUCCAACUAUUUUAGAAAGUUUAUUCUUCUUUUUCCUUUCCCUUAUUUUCUAAAUCAGGAAAAACAGUAGCAUAUAAAUUGGAUUACUACUCCAAGUUUCUGAAAUUUCAACAAUAUCCCUUUUACCUUUUCACUCAAGUCAUUACCCCCCAAUUAACAAAUAUAUUCCCAGUUUCCCUUUCCCUUCAAACACCCCUUUUUUUUUCCUCUACCCAAAUUCAGCUUAUGUUCAAAAACCCAAAAUUGGUUUGCUAAAAUAACAUAAUUUUCAAACACAAAGAUAACCUAAUUUUAAUCAGAAAAAAAAAGCAUUACCUGAAUUAGUGACUGGAGUUUCUCUUGAAGACUUUGUUUCUUCUCAUUAGCUUCCUUAAGGGCAGAAGUUAAACUCCACAAUCUAGCUAGCUCGUUGUCGAAAUCUUCCCAUUCAAUUAGUUGCACAUUUUCAUGUGCAGCAUUGAUUUUCUUCGGGUCGGUAAUUAGGGUUUUGACUCGGGCUUGUUCUCGAUUUUCCAUGAAAUAAUUGAAGAGGAAAGCUUUCGAUUCUGUAAGUUUAAAAAGGGAUCAUAGAUCGACCUCAUGGUACUGGAUCUCGCCCGGUUAGAGUGUUCUUUUUCACGCCGAUCGAAUCAUUUUCUCGGGAAACUUUGCUAGCUAGGGGUAAUUUUCUCGGGAAAAUGGAGGGAAAAACAGAUUCGGGAGUUUUUAUUUGGGGGAGUCUAAGGUAUAACGGAGAAUGACAGGUGGCGGUUAACGGAGGAAUCUCACGAUUCAUGUCAUUUUCACUUUUUCGAUUUAGAAAUUGCUUAAAUACUUUUAAAAAUAGAUAAUAAGAUAAACUUUCUUUUUGAAUAAGAUAAAACUUUCAUUGAAAAUAAAUAAAUAAAUUAAAAAAUAUUUGAUGAUUUUUAAGUUGGUAAUUUUUUUUUAUAAAAAUUUGGUAACUUCUUUGAAAGUUGAUAUAAAAUGUAUCACGACCCGACUUGAGAUUUAAUUUGUCCUCGUCAGAAGUCCGACCCAAACAAGGGAAUAUGACUUGCCACUCACCAAUUUUUUAACCUUCCAACUUGCCAGCUUUAUGGAGUAACUCGGCACCUUGCGACACUACCUAACAUACCGUGAGAUUUAAGUACAAAUAUCUCUAAGGGUAUGUGUCAAGCUUAAGAGAAAUAACAUAUUAUUAUACAUAUUAUUUAGUUACCCCUAACAUGUCACGUCAAAAAAUCAUACUAUAAAAAAUAGUCCUCACAAGAUAGGAUAGAAAAAAAAAGUCAUCAACAAAAGUAAUUAAGUAACCUUUUUAUAAAACAAAAAGAUUUAUUUUAUUUUGAAAUAAAUUAAUUCUCUAACUUAUAUAAGAAAUUAAGUAAAAUCUUUUUAAAUAAUAAGACAUAAUUUCUCGAAAAAAAAUAAUCAAAUGAGAGCUAAUCAAAAUAAUUUAUUUUUUUAGGCCAAACAAUUUUACUUCAACUAUUUAUAAACACUUUUUAAUCAAUUUUAUUUUAACUCCCAUUAUAAAUUUUAUAAAAAGGAUAAUAUAUUAAAAAUACCCUUAAAUUAUUAGAUUUUGUAUAAAUAAACUCUUAUUUUUUUUAGUUAAAUAAACUCCUAAAUUAUUAAUUUAGUCAUGAAAAUGUUGAUAUAAAAGUAUGAGAAUAAUUUAUUAAAUAAAAAAUUAAUUAUUUUAAAAUAUUUAAAAUAUUUAUAUACAUAAUAAACUUAAUUAAAUUCUCUAGAAAAAAAAUUUAUAUUCUUUUAAAUUUUAUGUUGAUAUAUUAUUUCUAUUUGUCUAAUAAAGUGCAUAACGAGGCAAUAACUAUUUUUUAUGUAUAAAUUAAACAAUACUACAACUUCCGAAGUUAAUAAGAUUAUAUCUAUACUCACCAUCACAAUUAGAGACAGGGGUGAGUAUUCGAUCGAAUUGAGUUAAAAAAUUUUGAAUUAGUCGAGUUAACAAAUCUUAUUUUAGCAAUCGAAAUCAAUUUAAAUUUUUUUAAAUCAAAUCGAAUCGAGUCAAAAAAUUUCAAGUCGAAUUAACGAAUCCUAUUAUUUAUACUCAAUAUUGCGUUUAUAUGGGCUGAUUAUUUAACUGGUAGACGAAGUACAAGAUUAUUUAACUAUAUAAACAAUAUAAUGGUUUUGCAUUGUAACUUAAUAGGUAAACAUUUAUCAAAACGAAAUAAUUUUACCUUUUAAGUUAAUGGUUUUGACUUUUAACUUUUAACUUUAAAAAAUAUAAACAUUUAUCAAUACGACGUAAAUUUACAUUUUCGUAUUCGGAUUUUCGAAUAACUCGAAACGUGUAAUUCAUAUUCGAGUUAAACUAAAAAUUUUAAUUUUUUUAUUUGAGUUAAUCUGAAUAACUUGAUUAAAUCGAAUAACUCGAAUUGUUUAAUUUGAAAUUUGAUUUUUUUAUCGAAUUUUUCAAAUCAAAUCAAAAUUUACUCACCCUUAAUUAGUCAUCAUAACUAAAUUAAAGUUGCCCCAUUAUGCAAUUGCAAGUCUUCAAAGCCUAAAAGUUGUAACAAUUCAAAAUUUCAAUGGAAAUUAAAAUUAAUAUUUUUAUCAUAUAUUAGUCAAAGUUUAUUGCAUCAACAAUAAGUUAAGAUAAAAACCUCAAAUUUUAAAAUAUUUUUACCUCAAUAUAAAAUUUAAGAGCUUUCAUGUAUAAAAACUAAAGGUUAGAGCUUUCAUGUUUAAGGGCUUAUUUAUACUUCAUCUUUAUAAAAAAACACUUAAAUAGUAGUUUAAAUUAUAUAGUUAAUCACUCAAUUUUAGUAAAUUUUCAUUUUAGUCACUCGUUGUUAAUUUGGCUAAUGUAAAUAUUACAUUACACUGAUUUUAGUCACCUAAUUUUCAUAAGAUAGAAUUAAUUUUAUUUUUCGGUAAAAAAGAAAAGAAAAACUCAAAAUUUUACAAGCAAGUACCUAGGUUUUUAUAGAAAAAACUUGGAGUUUUAUAUGAAAAACCUACGUUUUUAUUGGAAUAGUCAUAUUAUCUUUUUUUAUUUCAUUUAUUUUUUUCAUUUAUAAAAUUAAUUUUAGCUUUUUCAAUGAAAAGAAAACCUAAUUUUUUACUAAGAAAAUCAUUUUAUCUUUUUAAUUUCUUUUACUUUCAUAUUUAGAAUUAAUUUUAAUUUUUUUUCCAAUAACAAUGAAAAAAAACUUGGAUUUUUACAAUGAGUUUGUUGGGUUUCCACGAGAAUUGCUUGAGUUUUAUGAAUAACUCAAUUCCUUAAAAAAUUCUAAAAAAAAUUAGAAAAAUAAGAUUAAUUAAAAAAAAUGGAGCAAAAUGAAAAUUUACUAAAAUUAGAUGGCUAAAAUGAAUAUACAAUUGCAUUUUCGUUAGCCAAAUUAACAUGUGAUCAAAAUGAAAUAUUAUUAAAAUUGAGUGAUUAAAAUGAAAAAACUAUUUGAUUUAUUUACACCCUGAUUUUAUGAGCAAAUUCCCCAGCACAAAGCCUAUUUUGACAAUAACAGUUCAAAUGAAAAGUCUUCGCUUACUCUUUGAACGAAACUCUUCUCCCGCUAAAACCACCUCUUCUUCCUCCAAAUUCAAACGCCCAAAGCUUUCUUCCAUCUCUAAUGGCUCUGAUUCAUCACAAUCAUCAUCAUCUCAAGAUCCCCUUAAAACCCAUUUCUCCUCUCUCAUCAAAUCCUCCGAAACCACCCUACAACUCCGGCAAAUCCACGCUCAAAUCCUGCGCCGCCACCUCUCUUCCAGUGCCAAUCUCACCACCCUCUUAAUCUCCGUUUCUUCUUCCUUCAAAUCCAUACCUUACGCGCUCUCUAUUUUCAACUAUUCUCACCACAAAAGCUUAUUCCUUUUCAAUGCUUUGAUUCGUGGCUUGACGGAGAAUUCCCAUUUCCAAUCCUCAGUUUCACAUUUUCUUCUCAUGUUGAGACAUAGAGUUCGCCCUGAUUAACUUACAUACCCUUUCGUGCUCAAGUCUAUUGCGGGAUUGGGUCUUCAUUUCCUUGGUCUGAUCCUUCAUGGGAGAAUCAUAAAAUCUGGGGUUGAGUUCGAUUCGUUCGUUCGGGUUUCGUUAGUGGAAAUGUAUGUGAAGCUCGAGGAAAUGGGUUUUGCGUUGCAAGUGUUUGAUGAAAGUCCUGAGAGAAACAAGAGUGAGAGUAUAUUGUUGUGGAAUGUGUUGAUUAAUGGGUGUUGUAAAGUGGGGGAUUUGGAGAAAGCUAUGGAGUUUUUCGAGGCUAUGCCUGAAAGGAAUAUUGGGUCUUGGAAUAGUUUUAUAAAUGGGCUAAUGAAAAAUGGGGAUUUGAACAAAGCAAUGCAGCUUUUUGAUGAAAUGAAGGAGAAGGAUGUGGUUUCUUGGACUACAAUUGUUAAUGGGCUUUCACAGAAUGGAGAUCAUCAGAAGGCGUUAUCCAUGUUCUUUAAGAUGUUGGAGGUCGGUUUAAGGUCGAAUGAUCUUACUCUUGUUUCAGCUCUUUUCGCUUGCGCUAAAAUUGGUGCACUUGAAGUUGGAGUCCAUAUCCAUAACUAUUUUGUGGAAAAUGGGCUUCGGUUGAAUAAAGCAACUGCUGCUGCUUUGGUUGAUAUGUAUGCAAAGUGUGGGAAUAUCCUAUCUGCUAGUAAGGUUUUUGAAGUAACUGUUGCGCGGAAGCGUGUGAAAGAGUAAAAUUAUUGUACUGAAAAAUCACACUAAGUUCAAUUCCCAGGAAAGAGAGGUGGAUCACGAGGAUCGCUUACAUACCAGAUCUUUCCUAGCCAGAAUAUCCCUCUAUCGUAAUUUAAUAGCACAAUAAAUCACUACAAUGACACUUGCAAAAUAUGCAGAACAAAAAAUAAAGAACACUAGAAUUUUAACGAGGUUCAGCAAAUUUUGCCUACGUCCUCGGGCACUACCAAAUAUAUUUCACUCCAAAAAAUACAAGUGAAAGUUUACAAAUAGGGAGAGAGAACAAUUGCCUUAAGUAGAGAUUGGCAAGUGUGGGAUGAAGAAAGUAAGAAAUGGUUAGGCCUAUUUAUAGUUGAGGUUCAAGGAUCAACUUGCAAUGUCCCUAUACAAUUAGGGACCAAAAUUGCAAUUAUCUCAUGCCAACUUUUAACCCAACUUGCCAACCAAUUUUACUUUCUACUUUCGGUGACCACCCUUUUUGACUUUUCAAACAAUGGGUGGGUUCCAAUAAUCUCCACCUUGAAGAUUUGAUUAGGCUAAUCUUAUCUUCACACAAUUCUUUCUGCCUUUGACAACAAUACUUGAUAGUGCCUUCUUCAACUGUUAAACUUGCAGGAUAUUAAUCAAGUUCAAACAAUGUUCGAACUUGGUUGAUGUUACCACCUUGCUCAUCAUAUCUGCGGGAUUAUCUGCAGUCUUGAUCUUCUGAAGACAAAUUUUCCCCUCUUCAAUAAUUUCCCGCACAAAAUGGAAUCGUACGUCGAUAUGUUUUGUACGUGCAUGAUAGACUUGAUUCUUUGCUAAAUGAAUAGCACUUUGACUAUCACGAUACACGUUAAUAUGCUCCUGAACCAACCCCAAGGUUUUAGCCAUACCUUGUAACCAAAUAGCCUCCUUUACAGCCUCUGUUACAGCCAUGUACUCGGCUUCUGUGGUUGACAAUGCAACUGUAGACUGUAGUGUAGACUUCCAACUUAUUGGUCAUCCAGCAAGUGUAAACACAUAACCAGUGGUUGAUCUUCGAUUGUCCAAAUCACCGGCAUAGUCAGAAUCAACGUACCCAAUAACACCUUUACCAAGUGUAUUAUCCUGCUUGAACAGUAAUCCAACAUCCACGGUCUUCUGAAUAUACCGUAGAAUCCAUUUCACAGCUUGCCAAUGUCCUUUUCCAGGAUUAUGCAUAUACCUGCUCACUAUACUAACUGCCUGUGAAAUGUCAGGUCUUGUACACACCAUUGCAUACAUCAAGCUACCCACUGCAUUAGAAUACGGAACUUGCAACAUGUAUUCUCGUUCCGUAUUCGUCGAAGGAGAUAGUUGUGUAAAAAGCUUGAAAUGAGAAGCCAACGGGGUACUUACAGGUUUUGUCUGCUCGUUCAUGCCAAACUGCUGUAGUACCUUUUUCAAAUACUGCUUCUGAGACAAGCUAACUCUAUCAUGAGCUCUAUCUCUCCAUAUUUCCAUGCCGAGAAUCCUUUUAGCUUCUCCUAGAUCUUUCAUCUCAAACUCGAGAUUGAGUUGAGUCUUCAAUCUUUCAAUUUCAACUUUGCUCUUAGAUGCUAUUAGCAUAUCAUCAACAUAUAAGAGCAAGUAUAUGAAAGUUCCUUCUUGUAGCUUCUGAAAAUACACGCAAUGAUCAAAUUUACUUCUUGUGUACCUUUACCCUUUCAUAAACUGAUCAAAUCGCUUGUACCACUGCCUCGGAGAUUGCUUCAAUCCAUAAAGCGACUUUGUCAGUUUGCAAACCCAAUUUUCUUUUCCAGCAACCUUGAAUCCAUCUGGCUGAGUCAUAUAGAUUUCCUCUUCCAAAUCACCGUGUAAAAACGCGGUCUUCACAUCAAGCUGAACUAGUUCAAGAUCAUAUUGCGCAACCAAGGCUAGCAAAAUCUGAAUAGACGAAUGCUUCACAACUGGAGAAAACACUUCAUUGUAGUCUAUUCCUUCUUUCUGAGCGUAACCCUUUGUUACUAAUCUAGCCUUGUAUCGAAUUUCAUUUUUAUCAGGAAAUCCUUCCUUCUUUGCAUAUACCCAUUUGCAUCCAAUUGCCUUCUUUCCCUUGGGUAGUGUCACCAACUCCCAGGUCUUAUUUUUCUGAAGAGACUGCAUUUCUUCAUUCAUUGCUUGCUUCCACUUUACACCAUCAGGGUUACUUAUUACUUCUGUGUAAGUAGAAGGAACAUCAUCAUCUGUAUUUGGAAAUGCAUAGGCCACUAUAUCAUCAAAGCGAGCAGGCUUACGAAUCUCUCUUCUUGGCCUUCUAUAUGCAAUUGAAUCUUGUUGCUGUAGAGAUUCUUGGGUAGGAACCUCUUCAUCAUUUGUCCCUUCAAUAUUAGCUGGAUCAUCGUUAACCUUUUCAAGCUCCACAUGCUGCAAAGUACUAACGGUUUUGUCAUCCUUUUGUGAAUCCUUGUACUUCAACAUGGUUGAUUCAUCAAAAGUCACAUCUCUACUGAAAACAAUCUUCAUUGUAUCAGAACACCAGAGACGAUAUCCUUUUACUCCAUCAGUUAUACCCAAGAAUAAUGCUUUCUUUGCUCUUGGGUCUAACUUAGAUUCUUUUACAUGAUAAUAUGCAGUGGAACCAAAUACAUGCAAAGAAUCAUAAUCAGUAGCAGAUUUACCAGUCCACAUCUCUAUAGGAGUUUUUCCAUUUAUUGCAGCUGAUGGCAAACGGUUAAUUAGAUGGCACGCAUAUGUAACUGCCUCAGCCCAAAAUUCUUUGCCCAAUCCAGCAUUGGACAACAUACAUCGAACUUUCUCCAGUAUAGUUCGAUUCAUUCGUUCUGCCACCCCAUUUUGCUGUGGUGUAUCCCGAACAGUGAAGUGUCGCACAAUGCCCUCAUCUUGGCAUACUUGUAGAAAUGGAUCGUUUUUGUACUCAGUACCAUUAUCUGAUCGAAGUCGUUUGACCUUUCGACCAGUCUGAGUCUCCACCAUCUUCUUCCAUUUCAGAAAUGCAUCCAAAACUUCACUUUUUCUUUUCAUUAGAUACACCCAUACUUUUCUUGAAUAAUCAUCAACAAAAGUAACAAAAUAGUGCAUACCUCCCAAAGAAGCUACUUUGGUAGGUCCCCACACAUCACUGUGAACGUAGUCCAGAAUUCCUUUCGUAUUGUGAAUUGCUGGACCAAAUUUUACCCUCUUCUGCUUGCCCAGAACACAAUGUUCACAGAAUUCCAUUUUGCAAGAAUUUGCACUUUUCAAUAAGCCUUGCUUCACCAAUGUCUGCAAAGCUUUUUCACCAGCAUGUCCCAAUCGCAUAUGCCAUAAUCUGGUAGCCUCUGAAUCUACAUCUUUUGUAGAAACUGUUGAUGUUGAUCCAAUAACUGUACUUCCAUUUAAAAAAUACAAGUUAUUUCUUCUUGUGCCUUUCAUCACCGUCAGUUGCCCAGCUACUACUUUUAGUAAUCCAUCUCUCAAAGUGAUUGUGAGCCCUUUAGAUUCUAGGGCACCUAAUAAGAUGAGAUUUUUCUUCAGGCUAGGUACGUAGCAAACAUCUGUCAAGACUUGGAUUGAGCCGUCGUGAUUCUUCAAUUGGACUGUACCCACUCCCAUUGUCUUACAAGCACUAUCAUUGCCCAUAAGAACAAUUCCACCUUCUAGCUCUUUAAGACUAGAAAACCAGUCCUUAUUAGGACACAUAUGGUAAGUACAUCCUGAAUCCAAAAUCCACUCAUCCGUUUGACAUGCCAUUGCCAUGCCAACCAAGCUAAAGUCUGACUCCUCAUCAUGCUCCGCUACACAUGCAUUAGAAAUAGCCUUGCCCUUUUGUAGCUUAGGACAAUUCUUUUUCCAAUGCCCUUUUUCACGGCAAAAGGCACAUUUAUCUUUGGCGGGUCUCCCUUUGGACUUUCCUCUUCUACCAGAUUUGCUGCUGUGUGAACGACCUCUUACUGUUAAGACUUCUGCGGUUGUAUCUCUGUGAUCUCUUUUAUCUUUCUUUCGAGUCUCAGAUCUAUACAACGCACUACAGACUGCAUCAAAUGUGAUCGUGUCCUUCCCAUGAAGCAAUGUGGUGGUAAGAUGAUCAUAUUCAUCAGGAAGGGAAUUCAACAACAAUAAUGCAUUGUCUUCAUCUUCAAAUUUCUCAUCCAAAUUUAGCAAGUCUGCUAAAAUUUUAUUGAAUGAGUUCACAUGGUCAUUCAUCGACAUACCGGGUGCAUACGUGAAUCGAUAAAGUUUCUUUUUCAUAUAAAGCCUAUUUUCAAGACUUUUCGUUAGAAACUUUUCUUCCAGUGUAUCCCAUAACUUCUUCGCUGAUGUCUCCCUCAUGACAGAGUACUUCUGCUCUUUGGCCAAACAUAGGCGGAUUGUACCACACGCCUGUCUAUUGAUUUUGGCCCACUCCAUGUCAUCCAUCUUGUCAGGUUUUUCUUCAAAUGCUAUAUCUAGCUCUUGCUGACAUAAGACAUCCAGGAUCUCACAUUGCCACAUACCAAAAUUAUUGGUACCGUCAAAUUUCUCUACUUCAAAUUUUGCAUUUGUCACAGUAGUCCUUGCUGAUGACGAUGCUGCUGCCAUUUUUCUCCUCAAUCCCAACUACUGUAUACGUGAACAGUACUGUAUACGUGAAUAGUACCGUAUACGUGAAUAGUGCCGUAUACGUGAAUAGUACUGUAUAUGUAAAUAGUACCGUAUACGUGAAUAGUGCCGUAUACGUGAAUAGUACUGUAAACGGUCGUAUUCCCCAAGUACGAACCUGGCUCUGAUACCAAUUGUUGCGCGGAAGCGUGUGAAAGAGUAAAAUUAUUGUACUAAAAAAUCACACUAAGUUCAAUUCCCAAGAAAGAGAGGUGGAUCACGAGGAUCGCUUACAUACCAGAUCUUUCCUAGCCAGAAUAUCCCUAUAUCGUAAUUUAAUAGCACAAUAAAUCACUACAAUGACACUUGCAAAAUAUGCAGAACAAAAAAUAAAGAACACUAGAAUUUUAACGAGGUUCAGCAAAUUUUGCCUACGUCCUCGGGCACUACCAAAUAUAUUUCACUCCAAAAAAUACAAGUGAAAGUUUACAAAUAGGGAGAGAGAACAAUUGCCUUAAGUAGAGAAUGGCAAGUGUGGGAUGAAGAAAGUAAGAAAUGGUUAGGCCUAUUUAUAGUUGAGGUUCAAGGAUCAACUUGCAAUGUCCCUAUACAAUUAGGGACCAAAAUUGCAAUUAUCCCAUGCCAACUUUUAACCCAACUUGCCAACCAAUUUUACUUUCUACUUUCGGUGCCCACCCUUUUUGACUUUUCAAACAAUGAGUGGGUUCCAAUAGUAACAAAAGAGAAGGACAUUCGUACCUGGAGUGUCAUGAUAUGGGGUUGGGCAACCCAUGGGUUUUAUGGACAAGCUAUCCGAUGCUUCAAAAAGAUGAUGUUUUCAGGUGUGGACUUAGUAGUUUUCAUUGAGCUCAACCCUUUAUUCUAAUCUUUCUGAAUAAACUCAAGUUUGUCGUAUUUGCAGGAAUAAAACCCGAUGCGGUGGUCUUUCUUACCCUCCUGACUGCAUGCUCACAUUCUGGACAAGUAGAUCUUGGGCUUAACUUCUUUGAUAGCAUGAGGUUUGAUUACUCCAUUGAGCCAACCAUGAAGCAUUAUACGUUGGUCGUUGAUUUGUUAGGCAGGGCAGGCCGACUGGAUGAAGCAAUGAAGUUCAUACAAAGGAUGCCUAUAAGUCCUGAUUUUGUGGCAUGGGGAGCACUUUUUGUGCUUGCAGAGCUCACAAAAAUAUUAAAAUGGCAGAACUAGUGUCAGAAAAGCUCCUUCAGCUUGAACCUAAACAUCCUGGGAGCUAUGUUUUCUUGUCAAAUGUUUAUGCAGCAGUUGGUAGAUGGGAAGAUGUGGAGAGGGUAAGAAUGUUGAUGCAGAAUCAAGCUGUUGGCAAAGAUCCGGAGUGGAGUUAUAUUGAAGUCAAUGGACAAGUGCAUAGUUUUGUAGCUGGUGAUCAUGAUCAUAAGCGUGCAAGAGAAAUAUACUUGAAAUUAGAGGAAAUAGUGUCUGGUGCAAGAGAGCAAGGAUAUAUGCCUGAAACUGGGUGGGUUCUUCAUAAUAUUGAGGAAGAAGAGAAGGAAGAUGCAUUAGGAAGUCACAGUGAGAAAUUGGCGCUUGCCUUUGCCUUAAUGAACACUCCUCCGGGGACAACUAUUAGGAUAGUGAAGAACUUAAGAGUAUGUGGAGAUUGCCAUUCUUUGAUGAAAUGUGCUAGUAAGAUGAGCCAAAGAGAAAUCAUAUUGAGAGAUAUAAAGAGAUUCCACCAUUUCAAGUAUGGGGUCUGCUCAUGUGGAGAUUAUUGGUAAAAUGGUAAGUAACAGCAACAUUAAUUUGCUUUGCUGUUAAUAGCACAUGAUUAGUGCUUCUACUUGGUUUAUUUAGAAUAAUGCUUUUAGUUAAAACAUGGAUGUAGCUACAGCAACACAAGUUUUUUUGUUUGAUAAUUGGUAGCAAGUACAUUAAAUUUCUCCAAUGGACCUUUCUGCACAUAUAUAUUAAACUUGAAACUCAUUAGUUAAGUUUGUACUUUAUUUAGGUAUCUAAUUAACGUUGUUAGAUUUUUUCAAUUUCAACUUAUCAUCUUGUGCCACUUCUUUCUCUUCCCUUUAGUGAAAUUUAGCACUUUAAAAGAUGGGUUGCAUUUUGCUCCCUCUGUCAAAAAAAAUGGACAGAUUAAGCUAUACACGUUAGAUCAAAGAGCAAAUAGGUCUUUUUGUUUAAAAAUCCAUCAAUUUUUGUUGUUAAAAAUCAAUCCAUUUACAUCAACAUAAAAUAUAUAACUGUUUGGGUAUCUCAUCAUCCAUGUUAGUUUUUAGCAAUACAAAUGGAUAGAAUUUUUAACAAAAAAAACCAGUUUAUUGUUUGAUCUAACAUACAAUGACUAAUUUGUCAAUUUUUUAAGUAAAUAAAGCAUAAUGCUAAUUGACUCUUAGUAUAAUAUCUCUAUGGUACUUUUAUCAAUACUAUCUCUAUUUAUGAAAUUAAAAAUACUUAAAUAAUUAGAUUUAUUGUAUAUUGUGAUAAAAAAUUAUGUAAGAAAUGCAUUUAUUAAAAAUCCAUAUAAAAUCUAAAUGAUGAUUGUAAAGUUAAAUGUUCUGGUGCAAGAGAGCAAGGAUAUAUGCCUGAAACUGGGUGGGUUCUUCAUAAUAUUGAGGAAGAAGAGAAGGAAGAUGCAUUAGGAAGUCACAGUGAGAAAUUGGCGCUUGCCUUUGCCUUAAUGAACACUUCUCCGGGGACAACUAUCAGGAUAGUGAAGAACUUAAGAGUAUGUGGAGAUUGCCAUUCUUUGAUGAAAUGUGCUAGUAAGAUGAGCCAAAGGGAGAUCAUAUUGAGAGAUAUAAAGAGAUUCCACCAUUUUAGGUAUGGGGUCUGCUCAUGUGGAGAUUAUUGGUAAAAUGGUAAGUAACAACAACAUUAAUUUGCUUUGCUGUUAAUAACACAUGAUUAGUGUUUCUACUUGGUUUAUUUAGAAUAAUGCUUUUAGUUAAAACAUGGAUGUAGCUACAGCAACACAAGUUUUUUUGUUUGAAAAUUGGUAGCAAGUACAUUAAAUUUCUCCAAUGGACCUUUCUGCACAAAUGAUAUAUGUCCCCAUAAAGAACUUGGUGCUCACGGUAUUGCAUGACAGGUAGCCAUAGGUUAUUCGCUCUCUUGAUUGGUAUCUUACAUUCCUCAAGGUCCAAAAGUUGUUCCUUCUUUUUGUCUGAAGUCCAAACCUAAGAAAAGCAUUGAUGGGCCUUUAAAACUUUGCUCAUUUCACUACAUGAACUAUUGGAUGUUUUGUGUUCAAAUUAGUUUAUGCCAGUAGUGAAAGUACAUCUCUUUCUCCUUAUCCAGUUAUUCUUUUCAGUUGUCAUCAUCUUUCUGUGUCUUGCCUUCUGAAGUGUUUAGAUGACUGCAUUUCUCAAUAUAAUUUUCAUUUGACCUAAAUAGUUGAAAUUAAAGUCCCUUAUCAUGCCAUUCAUUACUUUGCUUCUAUAUGGUAGUUAUUCUUCAAUGUCCAUGAAUUGACAUAUAUCACUGGAAGCAUAAUCUUACUUCUAAGCAUGGGAUUGACCUUCUUUAAUGCAGGUUCUUCUGUAAGACUCAAACCAUAGAUGGGCAAGGCUUGAGAAAAUAAAGUUGUAAGUGUUGAACCAGGAAGGACGAUGUUGGCCAUGUUAUAAACAUUCCUCCAGAAUGACUAAACAUCGAGGAAAAGGUUCAACCAUGAGUGGUCCACUGAAACGUGCUUGGUCGAACACGUGCCAAUUAUCAGCUACGUAUCAAAUCCCACAAUUAUAAAUGUAGAUUGGGUUCCAUGCUCUGGUUAAUCCAUUAGAUGACACGGUCCAUUGAAAAGGUACUAAAUUACUGAUGUUUGGUCCAUAUAUGAAUCUGUUUAUUUAAUGGCCAGCAUUAAUUGUUAAUUCUCUUGUUUGCGGGUGACUUUUCCUCUAGCAUGCCUUAUGGAAAGAAGUGUCAGUGACAACCUUUUAAUCAACAGCAACUUACCCUACUAAUGAGCAUUUGGAGCAUUUCAUAGCUCGUUCAGUUUAUUCAAAGACUCAUUUUUACCUGCACAGCAUGUUCCCGCCCAGUAAUCAGUGGGCCAAUUAAUGAAGGAGAGGAUAGUUUGCUAGACACAUGUUUUUUGUGUGAGCUUUCUGGUCUUUUAUGUAGUUGUGGUGUUGACAAUUUUUGUUGUUCUUUACAUAAAUUCUUAUUGGCUAAGCGCUUGGUUUUCUUUUAUUGGAAAGUGCAUCACAACCUGUCGUUACUCAACAAUGGCCAAUUUUCUUGCAUAUCACAUCUUCAGGCAAUGUGAUUAUGUUGAAAAUUGGCCUACCAUGCUUGCUGUAAUACUUCCGGAUGAAGUACGUGCUAGCAAUUGUUCAUGCUGCAGCACGUAUGCUUGCUGUAACAGCAAGAUUUUUGUUUUAGUUUCACUGUAAUCAGCCUAGUUGGAAAUGAACAAGCUGAUGACAGCUUGAUAUGUUUAGGUGUUGAAUGACUAAUUUAGGUGGCUUGUUUCUGUGUACAAGCAAUGUUUUUAAAGUUAGUAGGCUACUUAGUGGUAGUAGGUAGUAAUAACUGAUGUAGUUGGCUAUAAAUGUAUUGUUUUUUUAUUGAAAAAUUAAGCAUAUCAGUGGUUAAAACAGAUUGCUUCCUUGCUGCACGUUUGUGAGCAAGUAAAUUAUUCUUGCAGCUUGCUUCAUUGUCUUGUUCUGUUCUCUGUUUUCUUCCUCUGCUGUCAAAAAACCCAACAGAUUAGCUAUCGUGAAGAUUUCAACAAAGUCGGUUCGUGUUGAUUCAAGGAAAAAAAGAUAUUACGAUUUGAUUUCCUCACCUAAUUGUUUUACUAUGCGAAGUUGGAUUGUGAGGAAUAUUUUGUUGAUUUCUGCAUUUUGAAUAAAGAGCUCUUAGGUUUGUGUGGCCGACGUUUAUAGUUUUAUCUUUCGAUUUUAUCUUUUUUUUUGUAUGAAAUUUAAAGUUUAAUCAAAACUAAUUGUUAUGUGUAUGUAAUAGCUAUUUGAAUUAAAUUAAAUUGACAAAUCAACGUACACUAGUGCAUACUAAAAAAAAUGUAAUAUAAAAUUAAACCAAAAUUGAAUCUAAAACUUAAAUAUUUUAAAACCUCAAACAUAUGGCAACUCUUCACUCCUCUUUCCCUCUGAAGUUAUUUUAAUUUAAAAUAUAUUUUGUAUAAUGUGUUAUAACAAUUCAACUAAACAAAGUGAUUCUCUUUGCAUAACAUAUUAUAUGCUUAUAUAAACUUUUACACAAUUUGUUAUAGAUACAUUUUUAAUAAUUGAAUGAUGACUCCAUUAAAAAUGCAAUAUCAUAAUAAUUCUACAUUUCUUGCAUUAAUAUAAAAUUUUCCUUUUUUUUUCCUCCAAGCCUUGUUUAUUAUCUUUUGUUUUGCCAAAUGGCAGUGCCAGCUUUCAGGCUAGCUAUCGCCCGCCUUUUUCUCCCUCCCAUUAAUCCUUUUUUUCUUUUUUCUUCUCAUUCACUCCACAUGUCUUCUUUCUUUUCAGUUUGUAGAUCUAUUUUAUGAGAAUCUUUAUUUUCUUCACAAGUUGUGAUAGACAGAUGACGACGCCUAUGUUCGUUAAAACUUCAUCGGCCACCAAUAAUUUUUCAGAAUAAUAAAUAAUUUCAUGAGUCGAUUUGGAUUCUUGUUAUCAUAAGUUUUAUAUAUUUUUUAGUUUGUUUUUCAUUGUUUAAUAGGUUUUUAGUUUUAGAAGUUUUUGUCUACUCUUGUAACACGUUUUUUAGUCUUGCUUAUGCAUGUAACCUUAGUUUUACAAGUGAUUUUAGAGAUGGUUUUGUUACCGUCUUCUCUAGUUUGGUGAAUGCUCAAUUCUUUUGUCCAUUUUUGCUCGUCACUUUGGACCAUUCGAGGCUGAUUUUCUUUAUCGCAUUAAGUGCUUGCGAUCACUCCAAAUAUAUCGUGCUUAAGUUGUGAUAAAGCCUGUACAAGCCCAAUUUUUAUGCCCGGGCCCAAUUGACCCAACAAAACCGAACGGCCCAACAGACUAAGGCCCAAACCCAACAAAGACUAGGGUUUCAGAACCCUAGCCCCUCCAUCAGCGCCGCAUGCUAGGGUCUCUGACUUCUGCCCCGUCGGCGCAAACGGCGCACCUACCCCGUCCGUGUCACGUCUCCUCCAUCGCCCUACACCUGCAAACAAUAAAGAGAGAAGCAGACAACACAAAACAGGGGAAAGAUUGAAUCUUUUUUUUUUGUUCUUUCGGUUAUAAAGCCGAACGUAUCAAAUAAGAAAAAGGGGGGAUUUUUUGCAAAAAAAGAAAAUCACAUCAGAAAUAAGAAAAGGAACAAAGGUUGCUGUGUUCUUCAUUUUAUUCUUUUUUGAUUCGUUUACUUUCAUUUAUUUUUAAACAAAUCCGUUAAAAAAUAUAUCAAUAAAAAGGAAAAGAAAAAAAGGAGCGCACCUGAAUCGCUCUCUGGCUCCGUCGACGGAGGUUCUCUCGCCGUUGUCGGCCCGGAUCUGAAGGAGGGAUUCAGAGCCCUUGUCUCGGCGCUCGUAGGGGUUCAAGGACCCGAUUUUCAAAUCGCCCGAAGGCCAGGCUUUUUAAAAACCCUUUGUUGCGCUUCGUUGGCCGCCGUUUCGGUGGCGGUGCGACGGACAGACGGACGAUGGUGAAAAGCCAAUCGUCGGAGGGCAUGAAGAGAGAGUGGGGGAAAGAGUUCUGAAUUUUUUUUUUUAAAAGAGGGAUGAAAUGAUUUUUUUAGGGGUUUUGAUUUAUAUAAGGAUCCAAAACGGCGCCGUUUUGGAAGGGUCAGAAAGCCCCUAAAACGACGCCGUUUUUGCAUAAGACCCGAGACCCAACCCGUCUGCCUUAGGGGAUCCGCGUGUUUUUUACGGAAGGGCUAAUUUCACGUUUAAUCCUUCCGCUUUUUAAUUAUUUUAAAAUUAGGUUCUUUUGAUCUUUUUAAUUUUACCCGGAAAUUGUUUUCGUUUUCAAUUUGAUCCUUACCCAAACUACGUCGUUUUAAAGAAAGGGCCAUUUCUUUGUUGGUCCCUCCAUGUUUUAUGCUUGUUUAGAGCAGUCCUUCCCUUUUCGUUUAUUUGCGUUUUGAACCCCCCGAAUUUUGUUUUAAUGUUUAAUCUAAUCCUUCUGCUAUUUUGUUUAUUUUCUUAACAAAUUUAUUAUUAUUAUUAUUAUUACAUAUUCAUUUAUAACAUCUAAUUUUAGAUUUAAUCAUAUAUAUAAAUAUACGUCCAUGAUAUAUACCUACUUUUUAUAUAUACUUUAUAAUUUAUAUAUACAUAUACACAUUUUAAUUUAUGUACAUAUCUACACAUAUUUUUCAUACUUUACUCAUAUAUAUAUACAUGUACUUAUACAUAUUCUUUAUAUCUUAAAAUCCAUAUUUUUCUUAUGUAUAUAUUUUAUAUUUUAUAUUUUAUAUAUAUGUGUUUAUAUAUUCUACGAUAUAUAUUUAUAUGCAUAAUAAAUACAUAUCUAUAUACGUUUCGAUUUUUAUAAACACAUAUAUAUGUAUGCAUACCUUUAUAUUUCUUAUAUUAAAUACAUAUAUAUAUAUUUAUAUAUCCCUUUAUACUUCUAAAAUCAUAUAUUUUGUAUAUAUUCUUUAUAUUUUAUGAUUCCUAUAUGUACCCACAUAUAUACUUUUUGUAUUGUAUGAUUGUUAUUUACGUAUAUGUACGUACAUACAUACUUACACCUAUUUUCAUGUAUAAUAGCCUUAUAAUAUGUGUACAUACAUGUAUUUUUCAUAUUUCCAUAUACAUACACAUAUAUCUUUUUAUUUUAUAUAAUCUUACUCAUUUUAUUUAUUUAUUUAUUUACAUGUCUAUUAUUAUUAUGCUCUAGUUUUUAUUUAUUUAUUUAUUAUUUGUUAUUGUGCUUGCUUGAUCCUUUUAUAUAUUAAUCUUAUUUUUUAUUUUUAUUUUGAUCAUGUCAUUUUACUUACAUUAUCAUCAUCAUUCCGUUACACUCAUUUUUUUGUUUAGAUUUCAAAAAAAAAAAGAAGAAAUUUUAAAAAUAAGUAACACUCGGUAUUUUGGAUCUUCGAGAGAAUCGAGUCCUAACGUAUUGGGUUCCGACUUUCUUCGUUGAAUUUAAAUAAUCGAGAUUACUCUUUUAAAAAUGAUAAAAAAGCUCGUUAUCGAGAAUUCAAUACGUUGUGUCCCAACGGAUUGGACGUAACACGGUGUUUUCUCGAGACGAGGAUUUUUCGAAAUAAACGUAAUAUUCAAUGUUUAAUCUUUUGAGAAAUUGUGCCCUAACGUAUUGGGUUGUGAUUUCUUCAUUUGAUUUAAACAAUUGAAUAUCCUUUUAAACUUUAUUACAUGGAUCUUUUCAAACUCAAGUUUUAAACAACCUCGGGAAUUAAAAGAGGAUCGUGUCCUAACUUACUGGUCGUAAUCCCUUUUUUAAUUCGAGAUCGUUAAAUAUCUUUUAAAUAAGCUUUUUUCAUUCGCGUAUUGGGAAUUCGACAUAUUGUGUCUUAACUUGCUAGAUAUGAUAUUCUGUCUCGAAUAACGUGAAAUAUGCCCCUUUUCCUGAAAAUUUUCAACGUUUUAAUACAAGGAUCGUAUUUUUAAAAUUCUUCUAAGUUAUCAAUUUUCGACACUAAGACAUUAACUAAUCAACUAGGUACCAAUUUUGGGCGUAUCGAGGGUGCUAAUCCUUCCUCGUGCGUAACCGACUCCCGAACCCGUUUUUCUGAAUUUCGUAGACCAGACUUGUUGUUUUAAUAAAAUUAAAUUGUUUAUUAAAAACAACCACUUUUCGAGGUGAUCCAAUCACCCCUCAUAAAAAAGGAUUGGUGGCGACUCCCGUUUUUUUAUUUUCGUCAAAACCCAAGUCGACCCCGUUUUUCAUCCAAAAAAAUGGUGUCAACAAAGCCAAUUGUCAACAUGUCAUAACGUUCUAUUUAUGCUAAGGCUAAAGCCUUCGUUGGGUUGUUGGAGCUUGUCAUUUACCAUCUACGACGAGUGCUUAUUUUUUUCCCUGAAUUGUAUGAUUCCAUUCAUUGAAUGAAUUAACGAAUUUACCUUUCAAAAGAAAAAAAAUUCAUAAAUUUUGAAAUACAAAAUGAAUGUGUUUUGAUAUUUUUAGGGCAAUGGUUUAGUGGUUUAAAUUUUUUUAUUUAAUAUGGUGAAUUUAAUUAUAAUUUUUUAUUUAUUAGAUAGUAGAAUAUCUCUUACCAUUUAUAAUUAAGUUUAGGUUAAAAUAUUUUAUUAAAUUUUUGGACUUUUCACAAAUUUUAAAUUUAAUCUGUUUACUUUUAUUCAAGAAUUUAAUCUCUCUGCAUAUAAAGGAGGUAAUUAUGGCAAGGGGAAUUACCAUGGCAGAGGUAGCGGAGGCUGAGGAAGAGAUGCUGGAUAUGCUGAAGAAAGAUAGAUGGCUGAGAAACAGAAAAACUUUAGGAACAAUAUUCAGUGUUAGAAGUAUGGGGAUGUGAAGGCAGAUUGUUGGAAAAGGGGAAAACAAGCAAAUUAUGCGGAAGAUGAUGAAGAGAUUUAAGUUAUUUAUGAGCUGUCUAGAUGACACCAUAGCUUCAACUAACAUUUGGCUUCAAGGGCGUAUAUCUCAUGAUGAAGAGAUUGUCUCUCUUCUUUUUUCUCAUAACAUAUUAUACGCCAUGAUAAUAAAUUUUGAUAUGCCUAUAAAUUUGAGUCUCUAUUAUUUGUAAUAUGACAUGUUUUAAUUAUUUUUUAUAUUAUGCCAUGAUUUGGUUCACUCCAUAAGUUAUAUAAAUUUAUUAUAAUAAUUCAAUUAAUUUAAUUUAGAUUAAUUUUACAUUUUUGUCCUAACUUUAGUUUUUAAUAAUUGAAUCAUCCCACCAUUAUAUUCAAUUACAAGUGUAAUACGAUUUUGCGUCAUCCCGCACCAUUAUUCUCAGUGUAAUUUUUGGUAGUGAGCAUUGAAGGGGAGAGAGAGAGAGAACAAAGAAAGAACUUACUGUAAUUUUUGGUGUAUGUAAUCGAUAACCCUCAAUGCUUAAAAUGAAAAAGAAAAUAGAAAACAAAGGUGGCAAAGUUAGUUACAAUGCCAGCUAAUUCGUUAUUGCUAUCCACAUGAAGAAUUUUAUAACCCCAACUACACGAUUUUAUGUCUACCAGCUCUCACUUUUCAUAUUUUUUGGCCAUUAGUUAUUCUAAGAUUUAACAUCACCGUUAAGCCAUGUUUAAACUCUUUUUCUUAUAUAAUAAUUAUAUUAUAUUUAAAAUUGAAAAAACUAACCAACCAAAUAUAUAUUAAUUAAUUAAUAGAAGUUUUUUGGUCAUCGAUUAAAAUAAAUCAAGAAAGACGUUGGAACCACCAACUUCUCUUUAAGAACAACACGAAUACAAGAAUCUAUGCACAACAAGUUCUAAAAUGUAUUAAGUAAAUUCAUCAUCAUGCCUUAAAAAAAGAAGAUCUCGAUAUAUCUGCUUUUGCCAAAGCAUCCGCCAUACCAUUACUUUGCCAGUGAAUAAUUGUGAACUGAAACUUAGCCAAUUGAGUGAUAUUAAUUAUAGAAAUGAUUCUUCUUGCAACCAUAGAUGAAACACCACUGAGACUAACAAACUUGGAGAAACUUGAUUUGAGUUUUAACAUCUUCAGGAACAACACAAUUUCGUUUCUUGAAGGACUUUCAAACUUAAAUUAGUCCUUGGAUAUGCAUAAUAACACUCUGCAAGGCUCAUUAAUAGAUAUUAAAGGUACUGAAGCUAUAACUUUUUUUUCUUGAUAAUUCUUUUUAAAAUAUUUCAUAAUUAAUUGUUCUGAAUUUGUACAUUCACUUCUCACAUUUCUGGGUUUUUUUUGUCCUCAACUAAAUUAAACUUAUGCAAAUUUCUUGAAUAUUUAAGUUAAGAGUUAACGUCAAAGUCAAGAGUUGAUAAGUAUUUUGUGGUCCAUUCAUAUCUUUAUUACAAAAAAAAAAUAUUCAAGAAAUUUGCAGCUAGUUGGAGUUUUGCAAUAAGGAAUUUCCACCAAGAGUUUUGGAGGAAUCAUAUCUCUAACAAAAGAAAGACCUUCAUUUGACUAAAUUUUUUAGUAUUUAUUUUAACUUCCAUUUUUAUUAAAAAAAAGGUAAAAAAAUAUGCCAAACAGGGUCUUUAGGUUACUUUUUUUAGAACUAUAUUAUGUUAUAGUACCAUAUAAGUUAGAGGAGCACAAGUUUAGAUUCAUCCAAUUUUUGAGGAAUUAAUUAAAUAUAUAUUAUUUUAAUAUUAUAGUGUAUAGGGGCAAAGUUAGAAAAAAAUUUUUGUGGAGUCGAAAUUAAAUUAUAGUUUUUACAAUAGUUAAAAAAAAUAAUUUCACUAUUUUAAAAGCAUAUAUGUUGUAAGCACUAAAUUUUUGUCCGACUAGAGUUUGUGUUUAAUUUUCAAAAUUUCAAAAAAAAAUUUUAAAAAUAAAAAUUGCAUUUUGACCCCUAAAUUUUUCCUAAAUUUCAUUUUGACCCUUAAACUUUCAUUAAAUUUCACUUAGACCCCUAAACUUUCAUUAAAUUUCAUUUUAAUCCUAAAUUUUCUAAAAAUUACAUUUAGCCCCAGAAGUUUUGCUGUAUUUGUGAUUUGGUCCUUCAGACACGUUACGUGAUUUGGGGCACCCACUUCCCAGAUUUUCAGGCCACAAUCACCCACUACCUGCAAACAAUGAGAAAGAGGACAAAAUUUGGAGCUUUUAAAAAGAAAAAAAGAGAAGAGGAAGAAAAAAAGGAGAGAAAAAAACAAGCAGAAUUUUUAGAGAAAAAUAAAAAAAGAAGCUCUCAAUCCGGCCGAUUGCCUCCACCGCCACCACGUCCGUUGCGCCACCACCAUUGUCAUCUCACCAUCGAGUCCUAAACGCAAACAAAACAAAAACAAAGAAAAAAGCAAGCAAAAGAGAAAAGGAGAAAGUGCAAAGAAGAAAAAGAAAAAGGAAAAGGGGAGAGAGCAUACCUCCGUGCACGCCAUUGUCGGCCGUCGCACCAGGCGGAGGGACAUCACCGGCGAGACAAAGGAGGUGCUGCUGAUCGGGGAGAAAGAAAGGAAGAAAAAGAAGAAGGAAAGAAGAAAAGGGGAAGAAGAAAGAAAGAAAAAAGAAAAAAAAACUAAAAAAAAUAGCAGGCCAUUUUGGUGGACCAGAUUCAGCCCAACAAGAAGCAGCCCAAACCAGUCCUUUGGCAGCCAAUAGCAACAGCCCAACAGCAAAAAAAAUAAUAAAAGGGGAGGCCCAAAAUUUAAGCCCAUAACUUUGGGCUUUUGGGUAAUUUUUUUUCUUUUUUUCUUUUUAAUCUAUUUUAUUUUAUUUUAUUUAUUUAAAUGGUGUUUUAUUUAAUUUAAAUUAGUAUGCUUUAAAACAGUUUUCAUAAAUAUUAUUAUGUCAUUUAAUUGCAUAUUUUUUUUAAAAAAUAAUAAUAUUUUAAUGCAUAAGGCAACGAACCGAUUUAGCAUCGAGUCAUCGAAUUCAUCGCUAUGUUGGAUGGAUAUCGAUAGCUCGUGUUAAAUUCGGGACACCCUUUUAAAAAUAAAAAUAUUCAAAAAUCCUCGUAUUUUAAUAAAAAUUCUCGUGUUUUAUUAGAAUCCCGAUUAAAUAUUAAAUUGAAUUGAGUUAACAUUAAUUCGAUGGUUUCAUCGCCAUAUCGGGAUGAAUAUCAUCGAUUCGUGUUAAAUACGGUAUUUUUUAAAGAAAAAUUGUGUUUCAAAAAUUUUCAUGUCUUCAAAAUUUCUCGUGUUUCGUAUUUUAUCAAAAAAUUUAUGUUUUCAAAAACAAAUUUUCUGUUUUAAAAAUUUUCGUGUUUCAAAAAGAAGAUUCGUGUUUUCAAAAAUAAAAAUAAAAAAUCUCGUGUUUUAAAUUCUUCGUGUUUUUUAAAAAAAAAUUUUGUGUUUCUAAAAUUCUUGUAUUUUAAAAUUUUCGUGUUUUCAAAAAAGAAAAAGUUGUUGCGCUUUAAAAUUCUCGUGUUCAAUCGGAUCACGACUAAUAUUAAAUUGAACUCGUAUUUUUGAAAAUGAAGACAAUGCGCGUUUAACGAGAUACCAAUUUUGGGCGUUGCGAGGGUGCUAAUACCUUCCUCGCGCGUAACCGACUCCCGGACCCUAAUUUUCUCUGGAUUUUUACGUGGACCUAAAAUUACCUCUUUUUUAGAAAAGUUUAAAAAUAAAUUUUUCUUCUAAAAAGAGAAUUUUAUAGGUGUCCGAUCACACCUAGAAAAAAUAUCGGUGGCGACUCCUUUUUCAAAUAAAAUCGAGAUUCAGUUUUCAAAUUUACAAUAAUUACUUCGACUAGCGCCCGUGCCGAAAUUUUUAGGUCGCUACAGCUGGCGACUCCGCUGGGGAACCUUUUUGAGAGUCGAGUCGAAUUAAACUCGCGUUGUCAAAAUUUUCAAAGUUUCUUGUUCAAAUUAACAUUUAGUCGUGAUCCUUAAAUUUUUUGUUUUCAAAAAAAUCAUGCAUUUGCAUCGUGUUGUAUAUAUUCUAACUUGUUUUAUCAGGUUGUUUUUCAGCUUUAAAUUUUUGCGGUUUUAGUUUUGGUUUAGUUUUUCUAAAUAAAACGUAAAGGUUUACAAGUUUCUCCCCACACACCGUGCACGUGCAUUUAUGUUGCAUAACAUGAGCUCUAUACCCGGGCUCUGUCCCUGUUAAGAGAAAGUAAAUGCUACGCCUUCGUGAGUUAACUCGUUCCUCCGCACAGGCUAGUGAAUACUUUCGGGUUACAUAUGACUUAUGCUUUCGUGAGUUAACUUGUCCCUCCGCAUAGGCAUAAGUAAAUGUAAUCCCUCGAAUUGAUCUCGUAAGCCUAUGAUGGGCCAUGACCGAGGCUCUGUACUAAUCUUAGUAGAUGACAGUGCAGACGAUUCGAGUACCCACCUAGAACCAAAACCGCAUAUAGUGAACCAUACGAGCUAUCCAAUUAGAGUCAUGCCGAACCUCUGUCCGCUUAUAGUCAUCAAAAUAAGUACACGGGGAAAAUGCCUUUUGCCUUUCAUUUACACUGUUUAUGCAAAAUAAUUGGAUUGGGUAGUUUAAUUUGUUUUUCAAAUUAUAUUUGUUGUGUUUACUAACCAAGUUUGUUUGUUUUUACUUUUAUUUUCAUCAUGCAUCAUAGGCAUCAUAUUAGGAAGGUGUUGAUUAAAAGUUGGUUGCCAAAAAACGGGUUUCUGAUGGAAGAGUCAAUUACACAAAUAACCGAGAAGAAUGCCGUGGUUCGGGACUGGUCUCUAAAAAUUCAGAGAGAAAAGAGGGAUAGUCUAGUGGAAGGGUGUGUCACUAAUUUGCCCGAACAUAUAACUGUAAAUGUUCGCCAAAAUAACUUUGAGGAUUUGGUUCAAAUUUGGAAUCAGUGGGAUUCAGACACUAGAGACAUUUUCACUCAGAGGUAUGGAGAUAUAGCUCACCUGAUCAUCAUCCAUGUAGACGAACAGUUGAUUCAAGCCAUGGUUCGGUUCUGGGACCCAGCUUAUCAGUGUUUCACCUUCAAUCAAGAAGACAUGACUCCAACCAUAGAAGAGUAUGCUGCUUUACUCCGCAUCGACAAUGUACAAUUCGGCAAAAUAUAUGUGAAGGAGCCUAAACCGAUGACCUUCAAGAAAAAGUUAGUGAGACUGACAGACAUGACUGAUGCAUGGGCCGAAAAACAGAUAAAGAAGAAGAAUGAAACCAUUUGCAUUCCAUGGUCCUCCCUACGAGAUUUGGCUCUGAACCAUCCCAACAUGCUGAAAAGGGUAAAUCUAUUCGCUUUGGCCAUUUACGGUUUGGUCAUUUUCCCAAAAGUUCUCGGACAUCUCGAAGUUGCAGUAGUUGAUUUCUUCGAAAGGUUAAAACAAGGAAUCAACCCUGUCCCGACCAUCCUAGCCGAGACCUUCAGGUCCCUGAGUAGUUGUCGAAAAAAAGGGGAGGGACGAUUUAUCAGAUGCGCGCAGUUGCUCAAUGUUUGGAUUUUGAGUCACUUCUGGAAGGUAGAGCGCACUCCGUUCCAUAUGUUUUCUAAAACAUUCUCCCCGCUAGAAGCUUACCUCAAUAAAGAAUGGCCGAAGGAAGUCACCGAGCAACAUUGGGUAUCAGUUUUUCAAAAUCUUCGCACCGAGAAUAUAACAUGGAGAGCACCCUGGAUCCGUCCUUCAGUUCUGCUAUACAAAUGUGGAAGCCAAGAUUGGGUACCUCUACUCGGGUUUUGGGGAGGAGUUGGAUAUGCUCCGCUAUUAGUCCAAAGGCAAUUUUCUUCGCGACAAUUCCUCCCCGCAACUGGAGGAUUAGCACAGUUCGAGUUCGCUUUUGCGGGUGAAGGAUAUAUGAAGAGAGUCCGAGACACUGCAAAGUAUUGGAAGGAAAUUCAUUUCAUGGAAUUAGCUUUGUAUGUUGAUACCCUUACCCAAGAUUACGACAUAUGGAGGAAGCAACGGGUAAAUAGUCAGCAAAUCUCAUCAACAAACUACACCAUCCAGAAUCCUUUCUCGGAGAAAACGCCGUCUGAGCUAGAAAUGGCAAGACAAGAAUUCGAACGAGAAAAGGCCAAGAUGUCUCGGGACCUUAGUGCCCUUCAAGAAGAAAACUAUCAACUGAAGAUUGAAGUUCAGGUUGAAAGGUCCAGGACUGAAAAGUACAAAAAGAAGCCGAGAUUGUGAGAAACGACUUAAGGGACCUUCAUUUGGAAAACAAGAAAUUAAGAAACACUAUAAAGAAUAGCGGGUUGGGUAAGUCGACAGCAGAAUGGAAGGAAGAAAUUAGCAAUAUCAAGGGAGGAAUGGAGUUUUGGAAGGGAAAAGUAAAGAAAGAGGAGGAAAAGGCUGCGCGCGCUGUGAUAGAGUUAAGAAGGAAGAACGACGAGUAUGAAAUAGUGACUGCAAAAUUUGCGAAUAGUCAGUCUGAAUAUCAAGAAUUAAAAAGGAAAGCACGAGAUCUAGAAAAUAUGCUGCAAUCUCGUCAACAACAAUUAGAUAACCUCCUGAAGGCUCUAGAGGAAAAGCAUGAUCAGUACGAUAGGGACAUUCAGGCGUAUGAAGGAACUCUCAAAGAAAAAGAAAUGCAACUCGACUUCUUGAUCAAUGAAAUUCGUAAAGCGGCUAUGCAAGUUGUUCAAUUAUCAGAUGAAGCCGAAGUUAUCAGUUGCCAAUUCCCUCCGAGCCAAAGAUCGAGCAUAUCAGAGUUUUUAGAGCAAGUGAAUAAACAAGGCAAUGUGGCUAGGAAAUUUGUGUAACUGUUGGAAAAAUGAGAACUUUGUGUAAUAGACUAUGUUGAUAAAUGAAAUGCCUAAAUAUGGGGCUAUCUUGAAAUCAACACCAAAUUCUUGCAUGUUUACUCAUAACUAACAUUUAUGCAUCAUUUAUUCUUUGGACAUUCAUCCAUUCAUAUACUCAUUCAUUCAUUCAUCACGAGUACAUAUCACCAUAAUCAUCCACCGAAACUAAAGAACCGUAUAAUCCGCAGUUGCAAGAUUUCAAAUCUGGAACCACGCAAUUCCUAUAAAACGCGCCGACAAGCUAGAGUAAUGGAGGAUGAAUUCAAUGAGAGAAUUGAAAGGAUGGAAAGGGCUCAAAAGGAAUUACAAGAGUAACUGGCCAAAUCGCAGCAAGAGACGAGAGACCUAAUGGUGAGAUCUCGAGAGGAAUCACUCGAGCAAAGAGAUCAGAUGGCUAAAAUGAUGGAGAUGAUGACAACUUUGGUCAAAGGAAAAGGACCCAUGCAGAACUCCGAUGUUAUGGAACCUCGGUCAAGAAUUCACCAUGAUCAGGAUCCACUUUAUCCCCCAGGAUUUACUCCACCUCAUGUCCACGCAAUACAACGAGGAUACCCCCAAAGGGAACCUACAGGCCUAGAACAACAUCUUGCUCCGCCCACUAAUUUGGGGCAAGGAAUGUUAGCGUCGAACCUUGGGGCUAGUCCUGCUAAUCCACUAGUUCCAGAUCUGGAUGACCUAGCAGAGGCAGCCAAGUUGAAAUUGGAUAACCAUGACGCAAAAUAUAGGAGUCUAGAGGAAAGACUCAAAGCAAUAGAAGGCACUGAAGUCUUCUCCGCACUAGGUGCCAAGGAACUCAGUUUGGUACCUGAUCUAAUUUUGCCUCCGAAGUUCAAAGUGCCUGAUUUUGAGAAAUAUGAUGGGACAAGGUGCCCAAAAGCACAUCUCAUUAUGUUCUGUCAAAAAAUAACCGGUUAUGUGAACGAGGAUAAGCUACUCAUACAUUGCUUUCAAGAUAGUCUAACAGGGUCAGCUCUUCGGUGGUACAAUCAACUUAGUAGAGAAAAGAUUCGAUCCUGGAAGGACUUGGCGUCAGCAUUUUGCGAACAGUACAAGCAUGUAUCGGAUAUGGUGCCAGACCGUAUGACCUUGCAAAUGAUGGAGAAAAAGCCAUCAGAGACCUUUAGACAGUAUGCGCAGAGAUGGAGAGACGUCUCAGCUCAAGUGGAACCCCCACUAACAAAAACGGAGAUAACCGUUCUCUUUAUCAAUACUUUAAAGGCACCGUUUUAUGACAAAUUAGUGGGAAGUGCCACGAAAGAUUUCGCGGAUAUUGUAAUAUCCGGUGAACUCAUAGAGAACGCCGUCAAGAGCGGUAGAAUGGAAGGAUCAGAAGGCUCAAGAAAAGCAGCACCCUUAAGGAAGAAAGAGCCAGAAGCCCUCAUGGUGGGAACUGGGAGUCGUUACAUUCCCAAUUCAUAUCCUAAUCAACCCCGACCUCGAGAUUAUCCACCCUCGAGUUUCCAUUAUCCCCCUCAAACCCCUUGCUACCAAGCACCACAUCCGUCCUGCCCCGUAUACGCUACGAACAACCAAAGACCCGUCACCACUUUCCCACAAAACACGGUACCCACCCAAAGCCAACCCAGAAACGAACCAAGACCAUCAAGGCAUAAUCCUGAGAGACCGCAAUUUACCCCCAUCCCUGUGUCGUAUGGGGAAUUGUACCCAAAACUUUUAGAAAAAUAGCUAAUUUCUCCCCAUUACAUGGCACCCCUUAAACCUCCAUACCCAAAGUGGUACGAUCCAAACGCUAGUUGUGCAUACCACGCAGGGAACCAAGGGCACUCUACUGAGAACUGUCUCACUUUCAAAAGGAGAGUUCAAGGACUCAUUGAUGCGGGUAUCCUACGAUUCGAUAGUGCUAGUAAAGCCACGGAGAACCCGUUCCCUAACCAUACCGAAGGGAAUGUGAGCACAGUGGGGAAAGAGGAUGAAUGGAAGGUCAGAAGAUGUGUAUCAGAAAUAAGGACGCCUCUGCAGAAAAUCUGGGAGGUAUUGGUUAAGAAAGGAUUGCUCUGUCACUCUGAUAGAAUUUUUGGAGAAGAAGGUCAAAGUUUUUGCAAUUUUCAUGGGAUUGUUGGGCACGACAUUCAGUCGUGCGAGGACUUUAAAAGGUUACUUCAAGACUGGAUGAAUAAUAAAGAGAUCAAGGUCCUUAACAAGAGUGAAGAUGCCAACGAAAGAGAAGUAUGUGUCUCUGAUAGCCAAUCACCAGGUCCCCCUUAUAGUGCUGAUCGACCGUUGGUAAUUUAUUACGACGCGAUGAGAGAGCCCUUGAAACCACAGAUGGUAAUUGAAGUACCAUCUCCUUUCCCGUAUAAGGACAACAAAACAGUACCGUGGAGAUAUGAUGUUAAUAUCGUUACACCGGAAGUUGAAAAGUCCAAAGCCAUAAUUGAAGAUGUUGGGGAGGUAGGUCAUUUUACUCGAAGUGGACGAUGUUAUUCUAAAGAAGUUGAAUCGGUAAAGAAAAGUAGCGACUCGAAGCAAAAAGGAAAAGCAGUGAUGCACAAGGUCGAAGUCGAGCAAGAAAUUCCACCCGUGCAAGAAACUAAAAAGCUUGUGAAUGAGGAAGAAGCUCAAGAAUUCUUGAAAUUUAUUAAGCACAGUGAAUAUAGUGUGGUGGAACAAUUGAGCAAGCAGCCAGCACGAAUCUCAGUUCUAUCUCUACUGUUAAAUUCAGAGCCACACCAGAACGCUUUAUUGAAGGUGUUAAAUCAAGCUUACGUGGCCAACAACAUAUCUGUCGAAAAGCUUGAUAGGUGGGUAAACAAUCUGAAUGCGGACAACUUCAUCUCUUUUAGUGAUGAUGAGAUACCGCUAAAUGGUAGAGGUUCGGUGAAAGCGCUGCAUAUCACGACCCGCUGCAAGGGCUACAUAAUACCGAACGUACUCAUCGAUAAUGGGUCAGCGUUAAAUGUUAUGCCAUUGGCUACACUUUCCAAAAUACCGAUGGAUUUGUCCUACUUAAAGCCCUGUCAUUCCAUGGUAAGGGCAUUCGACGGGACGAAGUGCAAAGUCAUGGGAAAGAUCGAAAUCCCUUUGGAAGUGGGCCCCUACAUCUAUGAGGUCGAAUUUCAAGUUAUGGACAUUACACCCUCUUAUAACUGCCUUUUGGGAAGACCUUGGAUUCAUUCUGCAGCAGCAGUCCCAUCAUCCCUCCAUCAAAAAGUGAAAUUCAUCAUGGAUGGCUGUUUGGUCACAGUCGAGGGCGAAGAAGACAUUAUCGCAUCUAUCUCUGUUGAUGCGCCAUACCUGGAAGUAAGCAAGGACGUAGUGGAAUGUUCCUUUCGAUCCCUUGAAUUCAUCAAUGCCACUUUCGUCGCUGAGGGAAAUAGAAUUUCGAUGUCAAAACUGUCGAGAAAUACCAGAAUGGGUGUCAAGUUGACCGUAGGAAGGGGAGCUUGUGCGAGAAGAGGUUUAGGGAGACAUAUGCAAGGAAUAGUGAGGGCUUUAAAGCCAGUGCACCACAAGGCCUGAUACGGUUUGGGGUUCCAGCCUGACAUGCGCCAAAGAAGAAGACAGUGGAAGAAGGAUCAAGAAAGAAGAAUUGCAAGAACUUUGGGCCGAGAACCAGAAUGGGAACCAAUAGAGUACCCUCCUUUGUCAAAAACAUUUACAUCUGCGGGAAUGAUGUACCCUGGACAAGAGGAUCCACGAAACAUGCUGGGAUUAAUUGAAAAGGAUUUUCAGAAUGUUAGUAUAAAUGUCAUUGACAAAGAAGCUGGUGCAAGUAAAGAUGUCUCGAGGAUACGCCAUUGCCCUCCUGGUUUCAUGUUGAACAAUUGGAUAGCUGAGGAGCUUCUUGUAGUUUAUAAGCCUUCAGAGUAAUGCUAAACAUCAACCUUCUAUUGUGUCCUUAGAUAUAAUAGAGUUCUUUUGUAAGAGUUUGCAUUCGCUCUUUAUCAUUUAAAUGAAUAUCAAUGAAGAUGCAUUUUGUCACGAUUUUUCGCAUUAUCACUAAUUUCAUAAUCAUUUUCUCAUUUCAUAGCCUAUCCUUACAUUUGCCUCAUUGCCAUGACAUAAAAUUUUGUUUGUUGUUUCCAAUACUUGGAUGUCCCCCGAUAGCUUCCUUUUCCAUUCAACUUUCAGGUGCUCAGAUAUUGACGACAUGAAUAAGCCCGUUACGAAUCUUGAAAUUGAUUUUGAGAAGGCUGUUUGCUUAGGAGAAUUUGAAGCCGAAGAAAAUGCUGAAGAUUAUGUCUCGUCUCUUGAAUUGUUAAGAAUGGUGGAACAAGAGGAUAAACAGGUUCUGCCUCAUGAAGAAUCUGUAGAAACAAUAAAUUUGGGCACUGAAGAGAGGAAACAAGAAGUGAAGAUUGGGACUUCUAUUUCAGAAAGUACCAGACGUAGUUUGAUCACUUUACUCCGCGAAUACAAAGAUGUUUUCGCGUGGUCAUACCAGGACAUGCCAGGGCUAGAUGAAGAUUUAGUGGUCCAUAAGCUCCCAUUAAAGCCAGAAUGCAAGCCCAUCCAGCAAAAAUUAAGACGGAUGAGGCCCGAAAUCCUGUUGAAAAUAAAAGAGGAAGUCAAGAAGCAAUUUGACGCUGGCUUCCUACAAGCCUCCAAAUAUCCAGAAUGGGUGGCUAACAUAGUCCCGGUACCAAAGAAAGAUGGAAAAGUACGAAUGUGCGUGGAUUACCGUGACCUGAAUCGAGCAAGCCCAAAAGAUAAUUUUCCCUUGCCACAUAUUGACACGUUGGUGGACAACACAGCAAAACAUUCAUUGUUUUCUUUCAUGGAUGGAUUCUCGGGGUAUAAUCAGAUCAAGAUGGCUCCUGAGGAUAUGGAGAAAACUACCUUCAUAACAAUGUGGGGAACGUUCUGCUACAAGGUGAUGCCAUUCGGGUUAAAGAAUGCUGGGGCAACAUAUCAGAGGGCUAUGGUGACAUUAUUCCAUGACAUGAUGCAUAAGGAAAUAGAGGUCUACGUCGAUGAUAUGAUUGCUAAAUCUCGAGGAGAAGAAGAGCAUGUAAUGAACCUCAAGAAGUUGUUCGAAAGGCUGAGAAAGUUUCAGCUAAAGCUUAAUCCAGCCAAAUGUACAUUCGGGGCUACCUCGGGAAAGUUGCUAGGCUUCAUUGUCAGUGAAAGAGGUAUCGAAGUUGAUCCAGAUAAAAUAAAAGGCAUCCAAGAAUUACCACAUCCGCCACGCAAAAGGAAGUUAGAGGAUUUUUAGGGAGAUUAAAUUACAUCGCCCGAUUUAUCGCUCAACUUACCAACCAAUGCGACCCAAUCUUUCGGCUUCUUCGAAAACAUAGCCCGGGAGAAUGGAACGAGGAAUGCCAAGUGACCUUUGAUAAGAUAAAACAAUAUUUGUCCAGUCCUCCAGUGCUAGUACCGCCAACUCCGGGAAGACCAUUAAUUUUGUAUCUGACAGUGUUCGAAAGUUCAAUGGGUUACGUACUGGGACAACAUGACGAGUCAGGAAAGAAAGAAAAGGCGAUCUACUACCUCAGCAAAAAGUUCACUGAAUAUGAGGCAAAAUAUUCGUCCGUUGAGAAAUAUUGUUGCGCUCUGGUUUGGGUAGCUCGGAGACUCAAACAAUAUAUGUUGUAUCACACGACAUGGCUAAUUUCAAAGCUGGACCCAAUAAAAUACAUGAUGGAAUCGCCGGCACUAUCAGGAAGAAUGGCACGAUGGUAGCUCCUCCUUUCGAAAUAUGACAUUGCCUAUGUAAGUCAGAAGUCAAUAAAAGGGAGCGCAAUAGCUGACUUCUUAACAACUCGAACGACAGAGGAAUAUGAGCCUUUAAGAUUCGAUUUCCCAGACGAAGACUUAAUGUGCAUCACAGAAAUAGAAUCCGAGUCAUCAAAAGAGAAGUCAUGGAAGAUGUUCUUUGAUGGUGCGUCAAAUGCUUUAGGGCAUGGAAUUGGAGCAAUCCUGGUAUCACCAGACGGGAAUCAUUAUCCGUUCACUGCAAGACUGAACUUCUUCUGUACCAAUAAUAUCGCAGAAUAUGAGGCCUGUAUCAUGGGGUUUCGUGCAGCUAUCGAACGAAACAUCGAGAUCUUAGAGGUGUACGGGGACUCAGCCCUAGUGAUUUACCAAAUCCGUGGAGAAUGGGAAGUGAGGGACUCAAAAUUGAUUAAGUACAGCGAUUUAGUGGCUGGAUUGAUCAAGGAAUUCAAAGAAAUAACUUUUCAUUACUUCCCACGAGAAGAGAACCAACUGGCUGAUGCCCUAGCCACUUUGGCUUCAAUGUUCAAAGCAAGUAGAGAAGCAGAAAUAAUGCCCCUCAAAAUGAGCAUAUACGAGGUCCCUGCACACUGUUGUAGCAUUAAGAAAGAAGUAGACGGACGGCCUUGGUUUCAUGAUAUCUUAGAAUAUAUCAAGAAUCAAAGGUAUCCCGAACAAGUAAAUGAGAACGAUAAAAGAACAAUUAGAAGAAUGGCAGCGGGAUUUGUUCUUGAUGGGGAUAUCCUGUAUAAAAGAGGAAAGGAUCAGAUGCUUUUGAGAUGUGUGGAUGAUGUUGAAGCCAGAAAAAUACUUGAAGAGGUCCAUGAGGGAGUUUGCGGAACGCAUGCCAAUGGUUUCAAUAUGGCCAGAAAGAUCAUGAGACUCGGUUAUUAUUGGCUGACAAUGGAAAGUGACUGCAUCAAUUUUGCCAGAAAAUGCCACAAAUGUCAAAUCUACGGCGAUAAAAUUCAUGUAGCCCCUUCACCCCUUCAUGUCAUGACUUCUCCGUGGCCUUUUUCUAUGUGGGGCAUGGAUGUCAUAGGGCCAAUUUCUCCAAAAGCUUCAAAUGGACAUCGAUUCAUUUUUGUGGUUAUCGAUUACUUCACAAAAUGGAUUGAAGCCGCUUCAUUUGCCAAUGUGACGAAGACUGCAGUGUGCAAGUUUUUGAAAAAGGAAAUCAUUUACCGAUAUGGUUUGCCUGAAAGAAUCAUCUCAGAUAAUGCCACGAAUCUGAACAAUAAGAUGAUGAAAGAAGUGUGUGAGCAGUUUCAAAUAAAGCAUCAUAAUUCCUCGCCCUAUCGCCCAAAGAUGAACGGGGCUGUUGAAGCAGCUAACAAGAACAUUAAGAGGAUCAUUGGGAAAAUGACUGAGACAUAUAAAGAUUGGCACGAGAAACUUCCAUUUGCUUUGUUUGCAUAUCGUACAUCUGUGCGAACAUCUACGGGAGCAACUCCUUUCUCUCUAGUCUAUGGAAUGGAAGCUGUGCUACCUAUCGAGGUUGAGAUCCCCUCUCUGUGAGUAUUGAUGGAAUCAAAGUUAGAAGAAGCAGAAUGGGUUCGAGCUCGAUAUGAUCAGUUGAACCUCAUUGAAGAAAAACGUCUAAGGGCAAUUUGUCAUGGGCAAAUGUACCAAAAGAGAAUGAUCGCAGCCCAUGACAAGAAGGUACGACAAAGAGAGUUCCAUGAAGGAGAACUCGUUCUGAGAAAGAUUCUCCCAAUACAAAAAGACCUGCGAGGAAAAUGGGCACCAAAUUGGGAAGGACCAUACGUUGUAAAAAAGGCAUUCUCGGGAGGAGCUUUAAUCCUUACCAAGAUGGAUGGGAAGGAGUUACCGAAUCUGGUGAAUUCGGAUGCGGUGAAGAAAUAUUAUGCUUAAGAUGAAAACCCGAAAAGGGCAUCUUAAAAAAAAAGGGUGAAAACCCGAAAAAGGUGUCUUGAUUAGUACAAAAAGAUUAGGAUGAAAACCCGAGAGGGCGUCCUAAUGAAACAAACCUGGCGGUCAAACGAUAGGUCAAGUAGUGAGACUACAGUAUUUGAAGCACUUCUGAAAGCUCGAAAUUUUCUACGCAAGAAGCCAUGCUCGAAAAGAUAAUUGAUUGAGGAACGUAGAAGAGUUCAUGUGUUGAAUAUCUAGAGCAUUAGUAUCCGUUGAAUACGACCUUUUCUUUCUUUUUGACAUUUUUACUCUCAUUGGUUAACUUUCUUUGUUUGCCACACUUGAAAUAAAGGAAUAUGAGAUAUCCUUUGUGUCCCUACCUGACCAUUUUCAUGCAUCUCAUUAUGUGUUUAUUUAAUGAUAAAUAGUGAAAUGACAUACUCUAAACAAAAGAAAUGUCAAGCAUUACCCGGAUAAGAAUUUGAUAAGUGCAAGAUCUUCAAAGCAAGAACAAAGUUUAACCAAGGGCAAAAGGGUGAUAUCUGAGAAACGUCGAUUACUCGUAAAGCUCGAAGACAGGUAUGAGGCCUGAAGAGAAGGUCGAGAAUCAAAGCAAUGAACGCAGAUCCUCAAAAAUCAUGGCAAAAAUGACAUACGACCAAUAUGCUUAAGGAGCACUGCAUAAUCAUGUAGGCAUAAAGGCAUUUAAGACAAACAUGUGCAUAUCAUGAUGACUUCAUGCAUGGCAUAUACAGGUAAUCCAGUAAAGCAAGAAAUCUUGAAUCGCACAGAAUCAAAGGAAAAGAUACCCGAGUUCUACCAAAGGACUGGUUUUGGUAUUUUGAUGUUUAAUAUUCAUGCUUUCCAAGGAAAAUCAACUCAUAUUGCGAGAAAUGAGUUGAGCCUCAAGACACGUUGAGCUAUUUUUAAUUUUUUUAAAAAUCAACUCAUAUUGCGAGAAGUGAGUUGAGCCUCGGGGCACGCCGAGGUAUUUUUAGUUUAUGUUUUAAAUUGACUCAUAUUGCGAGAGGUGAGUUAAGCCUUUUAAUUUUUGUUUCUCAAAAUUCAACUCAUAUUGCGAGAAAUGAGUUGAGCCUCAAGACACGUUGAGGUAAUUUCAAUUUUUGUUUUCAAAAUUCAACUCAUAUUGCGAGAAAUGAGUUGAGCCUCAAGACACGUUGAGGUAAUUUCAAUUUUUGUUUUCAAAAUUCAACUCAUAUUGCGAGAAAUGAGUUGAGCCUCAAGACACAUUGAGGUAUUUUCAAUUUUUGCUUUUCAAAAUUCAACUCAUAUUGCGAGAAAUGAGUUGAGCCUUAAGACACGUUGAGGUAAUUUCAAUUUUUGUUUUCAAAAUUCAACUCAUAUUGCGAGAAAUGAGUUGAGCCUCAAGACACGUUGAGGUAAUUUCAAUUUUUGUUUUCAAAAUUCAACUCAUAUUCCGAGAAAUGAGUUGAGCCUCAAGACACGUUGAGGUAAUUUCAAUUUUUGUUUUCAAAAUUCAACUCAUAUUGCGAGAAAUGAGUUGAGCCUCAAGACACAUUGAGGUAUUUUCAAUUUUUGCUUUUCAAAAUUCAACUCAUAUUGCGAGAAAUGAGUUGAGCCUCAAGACACGUUAAGGUAAUUUCAAUUUCUGUUUUUAAAAUUCAACUCAUAUUGCGAGAAAUGAGUUGAGCCUCAAGACACGUUGAGGUAAUUUUCAAUUUCUGCUUCUCAAAAUUCAACUCAUAUUGCGAGAAAUGAGUUGAGCCUCAAGACACGUUGAGGUAAUUUCAAUUUUUGUUUUCAAAAUUCAACUCAUAUUGCGAGAAAUGAGUUGAGCCUCAAGACACGUUGAGGUAAUUUCAAUUUUUGUUUUCAAAAUUCAACUCAUAUUGCGAGAAAUGAGUUGAGCCUCAAGACACGUUGAGGUAAUUUCAAUUUUUGUUUUCAAAAUUCAACUCAUAUUGCGAGAAAUGAGUUGAGCCUCAAGACACAUUGAGGUAUUUCCAAUUUUUGCUUUUCAAAAUUCAACUCAUAUUGCGAGAAAUGAGUUGAGCCUCAAGACACGUUGAGGUAAUUUCAAUUUCUGUUUUCAAAAUUCAACUCAUAUUGCGAGAAAUGAGUUGAGCCUCAAGACACGUUGAGGUAUUUUCAAUUUCUGCUUCUCAAAAUUCAAUUCAUAUUGCGAGAAAUGAGUUGAGCUUCAAGACACGCUGAGGUAAUUUCAAUUUCUGUUGUUAAAAAAAAAUCAACUCAUAUUGCGAGAAAUUAGUUGAGCCUCAGGACAUGCUGAGGUAAUUUCAAUUUCUGUUUUCAAAAUUCAACUCAUAUUGCGAGAAAUGAGUUGAGCCUCAAGACACGUUGAGGUAUUUUCAAUUUCUGCUUUUCAAAAUUCAACUCAUAUUGUGAGAAAUGAGUUGAGCCUCAAGACACGUUGAGGUAUUUUCAAUUUCUGUUUUUCAAAAAUCAACUCAUAUUGCGAGAGGUGAGUUGAGACUUUUAAUUUCUAUUUUUCUAAAACCAACUCAUAUUGCGAGAGGUGAGUUGAGCCUUUUUCUGUUUUUCAAAAAUCAACUCAUAUUGCGAGAGGUGAGUUGAGCCUUUUAAUUUCUGAUUUUCAAAAAUCAACUCAUAUUGCGAGAGGUGAGUUGAGCCUUUUAAUUUCUGUUUUUCAAAAAUUAACUCAUAUUGCGAGAGGUGAGUUGAGCCUUUUAAUUUCUAUUUUUCAAAAACCAACUCAUAUUGCGAGAGGUGAGUUGAGCCUUUUUCUAUUUUUCAAAAAUCAACUCAUAUUGCGAGAGGUAAGUUGUGCCUUUUGCAAAUUCUGUUUUCAAAAAUCAACUCAUAUUGCGAGAAGUGAGUUGAGCCUUGGCUCACGUGCUGAGCUAUUUUCAAUUUCUAUUUUUAAUGUCUAGUUUUAANNNNNNNNNNNNNNNNNNNNNNNNNNNNNNNNNNNNNNNNNNNNNNNNNNNNNNNNNNNNNNNNNNNNNNNNNNNNNNNNNNNNNNNNNNNNNNNNNNNNNNNNNNNNNNNNNNNNNNNNNNNNNNNNNNNNNNNNNNNNNNNNNNNNNNNNNNNNNNNNNNNNNNNNNNNNNNNNNNNNNNNNNNNNNNNNNNNNNNNNNNNNNNNNNNNNNNNNNNNNNNNNNNNNNNNNNNNNNNNNNNNNNNNNNNNNNNNNNNNNNNNNNNNNNNNNNNNNNNNNNNNNNNNNNNNNNNNNNNNNNNNNNNNNNNNNNNNNNNNNNNNNNNNNNNNNNNNNNNNNNNNNNNNNNNNNNNNNNNNNNNNNNNNNNNNNNNNNNNNNNNNNNNNNNNNNNNNNNNNNNNNNNNNNNNNNNNNNNNNNNNNNNNNNNNNNNNNNNNNNNNNNNNNNNNNNNNNNNNNNNNNNNNNNNNNNNNNNNNNNNNNNNNNNNNNNNNNNNNNNUAGAUAAUGUGAAUGUAUUUAGAGGUGCUUAUAUAGUAUUCAAAACUAUCAUAUAAAUUCAAUUUUCAACCAUAUAUAAUUGACAUUAUGGGAGUUGGAAAAUGAUAGGGGGCACUAUAGCAAAUGUUAUAGUUGUAUAAAAUUAGGACUUUGUGAUGGAAUAGUUUAGGGCAUAUUGUUUGAAUAUUCCAUAAACAUUAAAAAAAAAACCAAAUUUGUAAUGGAAUAUAAGAUUGGGUUUUCUUUUAUUAUCAAUUUAAAGCCAUGAGAAUCUUUAUUAUUUAAAAAUUAAUGUAAUUGUUAAAUUGAAAUUGCAGGGGAAUUUCAAAUAGGAGAAAAUAUAAAAGAAAUGGAUCCAAAAACAGUGGGAAGUAGUGUUGUAAAAUAUGGGAGGUGGAGAUUUGGAAUGACAAAGAAAGCAAUGGGGCAUUCAUUAGUUUAUAGCCAACUUUAUCCAUUUAAAGGCCUCCAAAAUUAUACCUCUGGAAUUAUUCACCAUGUUCGCCUCACUGGUAUUUCUCACCAUUUCUUCCCUUAUUUAUCUUCUGCAAAUUUGUUUUCUUACCAUUUCUUUCGCAUUAAUACUAACUUUUUUAAUUUACAAUAUGGUAGCCAAUACUGUUUCGGUAUUAGUAAUAUUAGUCGAUACAUAUCACUUUUAAGGGUGAGUUUAAAGGGAUAGGAACAAUUCCGUGUGUUGACUUAAUAGUCAGGGUGUUCACCGUUCUAGGUAUGGUUUGAGUUCAAGUUAAGUUGUGCUAGUCACGUUACUGUUAGGGUUUUGCCCUUCUCUUGUAAUUCAGCAAAAAGAAAUUAAUAUAUGGUGAAAUUGCACUUUAACUCCUCCAAAAAUGAAAAUAUUUAUAUUUAAUUCCUUCAACAAUAAUGAAAUCGUAAGUUAAUGCAAGAUAAAUGACACUUUAACUUAACAAUCUCCGCUCCCCUUAAAAAAAAAAUCCUAACUUCACCCUUAAUCAUCUUGAUUUUAGAUUGGUACCAAGUAGAUUAAAUUUUGUUCUUAUUAAAACAUUGGUGUGUUUCCUUCUGUUUCAGCUAAUACCAACUUAUACCGAUAUGUACCAAACAAUAUUGGUAGGACUGAGAAAGAAAUCAAAAAAUUGAACUAAUUUUUAUUUAUAAUUUUAUUUAUAAUUUAAAAAUAAAAAUAUAUUUAAACAGUGACAAUAACUCAAAUUUUAUAUAAAAACUAUUUAAAAAUAUUAUCAUAUAAGAGUUAUUAAUUUAUUUGAAAAUUAGUUUCUUUUAAAAAUAUUUAUGAAUAUUUUUAAAAAUUUUACAAAAUAAUAUCCAAAAUUCAUAGAAUAAUUUAUCAAGAUAAGUUCAAACACCCAAAAUUAAUAGAUCUUGAACCAAAUAAAUCCAACUAAAAUAAACCCAAAAUUAAUAGACCGAGAAUCAAAUUAUCAUAGAAGAUAUACCAUACACACUAAUACCCAUAAUUACCCAAUAAUUCUUCUCACACUUUGCAGGUUUAAAACCCAACACCUUCUAUUACUAUCAAUGUGGAGACCCUUCAAUCCCAGCAAUGAGCGAUGUUCAUUAUUCACCAUGUUCGCCUCACUGGUAUUUCUCACCAUUUCUUCUCUUAUUUAUCUUCUGCUAAUUUGUUUUCUUACCAUUUCUUUCGCAUUAAUACUAACUUUUUUAAUUUACAAUAUGCUAGUCAAUACUGUUUCGGUAUUAGUAAUAUUAGUCGAUACAUAUCACUUUUAAGGGUGAAUUUAAAGGGAUAGGAAUAAUUUCGUGCGUUGGCUUGAUAGUUAGGGUGUUCACCGUCCUAGGUGUGGUUUGAGUUCAAGUUGUGCUAUUGUAAUUCACCAAAAAGAAGUUAAUAUAUAGUGAAAUUGCACUUUAACUCCUCCAAAAAUGAAAAUAUGUAUAUUUAGUUUUCUUCAACAAUAAUGAAAUCGUAAGUUAAUGCAAGAUAAAGGACACUUUAACUUAACAAGCUACGCUCCCCUUAAAAAAAAUCCUAACUUCACCCUUAACCAUCUUGAUUUUAGAUUGGUACCAAGUAGAUUAAGUUUUGUUCUUAUUAAAACAUCAGUGUGUUUCCUUCUGUUUCAACUAAUACCAAUUUAUACUGAUAUGUACCGAAUAAUAUUGGUAGGACUGAGAAAGAAAUCAAGAAAUUGAACUAAUUUUUAUUUAUAAUUUUAUUUGUAAUUUAAAAAUAAAAAUAUAUUUAAAUAGUGACAAUAACUCAAAUUUUAUAUAAAAAUUAUUUCAAAAUAUUAUCAUAUAAGAGUUAUUAAUUUAUUUGAAAAUUAGUUUCUUUUAAAAAUAUUUAUGAAUAUUUUUAAAAACUUUACAAAAUAAUAUCCAAAAUUCGUAAAAUAAUUUAUCAAGAUAAGUUCAAAAACCCAAAAUUAAUAGAUCUUGAACCAAAUAAAUCCAACUAAAAUAAACCCAAAAUUAAUAGACCGAGAAUCAAAUUAUCAUAGAAGAUAUUUACCAAACACACUAAUACCCAUAAUUACCCAAUAAUUCUUCUCACACUUUGCAGGUUUAAAACCCAACACCUUCUAUUACUAUCAAUGUGGAGACCCUUCAAUCCCAGCAAUGAGCGAUGUUCAUUAUUUCCGAACAAUGCCGGCCUCCGGUCCAAGGAGUUAUCCGGGAAGAAUUGCAAUCAUCGGAGACUUGGGGCUCACGUAUAACACAACUUCAACAAUUGAUCACCUUAUGAGCAAUCACCCGAACCUGGUGCUGUUAAUCGGCGAUGCAAGCUAUGCCAACUUGUAUCUCACCAAUGGCACCGGUGCCGAUUGCUACUCUUGCGCUUUCUCCGACACUCCUAUUCACGAAACGUAUCAGCCUCGUUGGGAUUAUUGGGGAAGGUAAAUUUUAACGAUGUUUCAUGGAUUUAAAUAGCGGUCACAACAUGACAUUACGAUAGUAUUUGUUAUAAAUGUGCAGGUUUAUGCAGCCUUUGGUGUCCAAGGUUCCCUUGAUGAUGAUAGAAGGGAACCAUGAAAAAGAAGAACAGAUUGAGAAGAAGACAUUUGCGGCUUAUAGUGCUCGAUUUGCAUUUCCAUCGGAGGAGAGCGGAUCAUCGUCGACAUUCUAUUAUUCUUUUAAUGCAGGUGGCAUUCAUUUCGUGAUGCUCGGUGGUUACACCGACUAUAACAAAUCAGGGGAUCAAUACCAGUGGUUGAAGAAGGACCUUGCAAAAGUUGAUAGAAAAGUGACUCCAUGGUUGGUUGCAACAUGGCAUCCUCCAUGGUACAGUACAUAUACUGCACAUUAUAGAGAAGCUGAAUGUAUGAGGGUAGAAAUGGAAGAUUUAUUAUACAAAUACGGAGUUGAUAUAGUCUUCAAUGGACAUGUAAGUCGUGCUUUAUAAUGAAUUAAUUCAAUUACAUUCACUCGAAGAGCUGAUGGUCGUGUUCAUUUGGUGAUAAUCAAUAGGUUCAUGCCUACGAGAGGUCGAACCGAGUGUAUAACUACAACUUGGAUCCUUGCGGUCCUGUUCAUAUUACGAUUGGUGAUGGUGGCAACCGAGAGAAAAUGGCAAUUACACAUGCUGAUGAACCCGGAAAUUGCCCCAAACCAUCGACAACUCUGGAUAAAUUUAUGGGUGGGUUCUGUGCAUUUAACUUCACAUCAGGGCCGGCAAGUGGUAAAUUCUGCUGGGAUAGGCAGCCUGAUUAUAGUGCAUAUAGAGAAAGCAGCUUUGGACAUGGAAUCCUUGAGGUAUAUUAUGCAGAUAUUUCAUUAAGAUUAAUUUCUAUGGACCGUAAAAAGGACACAAAGGGUACUUUAAUUAUACAAAAAAAACAUUAACAGCAAGUGUUUUGCAGGUGAAAAAUGAGACUCAUGCACUGUGGACAUGGUACGGUAAUCAAGAUGCUUAUGGGACUACUGGUGAUGUGGUUUAUAUAGUUAGGCAACCUGAUAGAUGCCCUGUUGAACCCGACGUAAUUAAUUAAGAGUAAACUCCAAAGCUUAAUUAAGUUGAUUCAUCUGCAGUCACCAUUAAAAAGUGAUGCCAAGAAAGUUUAGGUUUGAAUCUCGGCAUCUGUCCUCAGACUAUGAUUUCUUUUGUACCAGUAAAUAUCUUUCAAAGCUAUAAAUACAUAUUAAACAUCAAAAUCAGACAGCUGAUAAAUCACAAAGGGAUUAUGUACGUAUGUAUGCAUGCAUGUAUGUUGGCUUCUAAAGAUUGAAAAGUAAAUAAUUAAGGAUUCAAAAGGAACAUUAUUGUGAUAUGAUUUGCAGGUUCGUAAUUUUAAUUAAAUGAAAUAAGUUUGAUGUAACUAUGCAAGUAGUACUUAGAAUCCUAAAAGUUUGAAAUAAAUAUUUGUAACUUUGUUGAAUGUUUUCAUGAGAGUUCCUUUCUCAUGGAGGUCAAUUUCUUUGUUAUAAGAUACGGUCCCAUGGUUUGACAUACUAAGAUUAAAUAGGCUCUUAUGUAGGCUAACACGUAUCCUACUUUAGGGUCAACACGUGUCUCUUGAGUAUGGGUUUGCCUGCAUGGUGGUGUGAACCCAUUAGGUGCGGACUUAUACAGACGAACUAUAUGGUUUGGUUAACUAUAUCCGAAAUAAAAGGGGUCAGAUCGGUCUUAAUCAGAAAACAAAUAAUUUAUGGCGGACACUACAACAAACUUAAUAAUCACAUUUGUUAAUAACAAAUAAUUAAUUUGUUUUGAUAACGUAAUUACAAGACAUAAUUUGAAAAUAAUAUAUGCUUGCUUAGAUACCAUUAUUCUCAGUACUCCAAGUAACAUAAAUAUUGAAAUGAAUUUGUGAGAGAGCUAAGAUGGUUGUAUUCUAAUAGAGAGAUUUCUAUUGCUGGUAAAGAAGACUUUAGCUCCACUAUCGUGCGGCCGUGACAUUAGCUUAAGCUCCUCAUUAAGCUAAUUAAAUGUGAUCUCUAGAUUAACCAACAAUGUCUUCAUAAAGUAGACAACUAAAUGAUCGAUACCACCAGCAUCCUUCCAUAAAUAGCUGCGAAAUAGGGCUUCAACUUCUAACAAAAACGCCUCUUCCUAUCAUUGGGGUCAUGCAUCAAGGUUUAAAAAGUUCCAUAUUGGAUGCAAAAUAAAUGAUAGAACAAGUAAGAGCAGGAUAGACAUUGAGCUUGUGUUGAGUGUACUAUCAAAUGAAGCUCUAGAGAGAAAUGGAGGGCUGAAUCCAGGGUAAUUGAGCCCCGGACCGCCACCUCCGCCAUUGAUCGGUGUGGUUGUCGUAGUUGGCACAUUCGGAUUGUUCCACGACCCUGUUUUUGGCAUAGCUGUCCCUCCGGAUGUGCUGGAAAUUUCAUAACUUAAGCUUUUAAAAUCAAUAAAAUAACAGUGACAAAAACUACAAAUAAUGAUGGAAUCCAAUUUGGUUGGUAAUUUUCAAAAAAUAGGCGAAAGGAGCUAUUAUUAGCUUUUGCUGGAACCCAAUAGAGGUGCUCAUGGGCCGGGCCGGGCCGGGCCCAGAAAAAAUUUCGGCCAGUGUCCUAGACCCUGGCCUGGCCGAGGCUGAAAUAUGAGCCUAAAAUUUUAUCUAGGCCAGGCCUGAAAAAAAAUUCAUAAGCCCGAGCCCAGCCCGGCCCAUUUUUUAAAUAAACACCAAAAAAAAUUUAAAAAUAAAAAAAUUUAUUUUAAAAAUAUUUUAAAAAAUAAAAAUAAAAAAUAUUUUAAAAAUAAAAAAAUAAAUAGAUUUAUUAUAUUUGGGUCGGGUCGGGCCGGGCCAAAAAAUGUUAUGUGAGGCCCGGUCCAUUUUUUAAAUGGGCCUUUUUUUUUGUCUAAUGUCAUAUUUCGGGCCUAUUUUUUACUUAAACCCUCCCAUAUUUUGGGCAGGCCAUUGGGCCGAGCCGGGCCGCCCGGCCCAUGAAGACCUCUAGAACCCAGCAAUGCGCCCAUGGAUAGAGAUGACAACAAGGUGAGACGGGACGAGUUUUUGCUCGCCUCAAUUUCGACUCGAUUUUUAUAUCCUCUACUUCGAUUUAUUCUGAGCUCGAUUUUAUUUAAAAAUGUAAAAAUAAUUAUAAAAUUAAAAAAAAAGUGUUUUAGUAAGUAAAUCAAGGCAGACAAAUCGAAUUUUCAUCUAAAUCUAAACUCGAAUUGAUCUUGAACUACCCAUGUAUGACUCCAGUAUCCAAAUAUCUAGAGUGUUUUUUGACCGUUGGAUGUCUUUCAAGAAAAGAGUACCCAUCCAACGGUUGAAAAAGUCUCACCUAAACAAGACGGUAGGAAAACAUUACAAGUAAAGAAGUGGCCAACAGACAUAAAUAAGCCUGGAAACGUAAAAGGUGUAAACCUUCACAAAGUGACGACUGCAUGUAGGAUACGAAAAUGGACGGUUAGAGAUCAUGCCGAGAAACACGUGUCAGACAUCUACUCAAUUACAGCAUCACCAUGAAAGGCUCACACCCACUUGAGAAUCAAAGGAUUAUGCAAAGUUGAUUCAUGUUAGUUAAUUAGGAUUUAAACAAUAUCUUAUUUUGCGCCUUUUUGUUUUUCUGUCUUUGAUCCUCUUACAAGCCACAAGGGUUUCAAUAAUAAAUUACACCCAACUUCAAAAAGUUAUUAAAUGAGCAAUAAAUUAUUCAAAUUUUUUUAUUUAAGUCACUAAACUAUUUAAAAGUUUUUAUUUAAUUUACUGGGCUGUUAAAUUUUUUUUUUAAAAAGGAGGUUCAGCUAGUGAACUCCAAGCAACAAUUUAACAAUCGGUAUGGUGGAUAAAUACCCGCUGACGAGUAGAUCCAAGUUGAUCUAACGGUUAGUGUCGGAGAUCGGAGAAUGAAGAGAAAAACUGUUUGGAUUUUAGUUUAUAGAUUUGUGACGUUAAAAGUUAUUUCAUAAAAAAAAAUUAAACUGUAAAAGAGAAGGGAAAUUAAAGCUUUUGAGUGUUGCAAGCAAUGCAGACAAAGAAAGCCGUACAACAGUAAUUUUAACAACCCGAUGACUUAAAUGAAAAUUUUCGAGUAGUUCAAUGAAAGAAAAUACAAAAAAUUCUCUCUGCUGCGUUGUUUUCGUCUUCUUUGCAGGUAAGGAGGCUAGCUGGCGUAAGGAGGUGGUGGAUGUGGCACAGCACACGCGGGGAAGGCCUUGGUGGCUGCGGCGCCGGAAGGAGGGCUGUUGCAGCUAGGGUUUUCUGAUUUUUUUUUUGUUUUGGGCUAGGGUUGUGUUGAUAGUUGUAUUGGGCUAGGUUUUUGGGCUGGGUGUAGUUGGACUAGAUGCAUCUGACUUUGGGUUUGUACCGGGUCACUGUAAAUGGGUUUGGUUUUUAUUGUUAUUGGGCUGUGAACUAUUUGAGUUUUAAUUAAUUUUUAUUUAUUUGGUUUUUUAUUGUGGGCUGGGCAAAUUGGGUAUUACAAUCAGCUAAUUAGGAAAGACUGUGAUGAUAGUCACACCUUACAUCCAAAAGCAAAGCUUUUUACAUGUGUAUGUGAGGUUGCUAAGCAAAUCUGAUGAGCCUUCACUGAUGUUUUAAGGUUAAGUUAAUGUUCCUUUUCGGCAAAGAACAUUAUCGAGAUCACGGUAUUUUGAUCGCCUUUUGCUUGUUAUGUUAUUUGUUCUGAAACGAUUGCAUAAUCUUUACUGUGAUUGCAGGAUAUAGAGCAACUUCUGAAUUUCAUUGGUGUAAAGAGUUGAGGACCACGACAUGUUCUUGCAAAUUUGAAGGAGCUUCUAAGGUCUGUCCGGUCUUCAGAAUAUAUAGAUACCUGAAUUAAUUUUGAUUUUGUAGGAUCAACUAUAAUUAGCUACUUAUUACACUAUGAAUAGACAACCUCACCUUCUUCACACACUACACGUGCGGAUUUUUUACCAAUCCCAUUUCAAAGGAUCACACUUUUUUGUUGUUUACAGAAUCAUAAUUAAUGUUAAUUAAAGUGGAAUAUUUCAGAUUUCUGAUGAUGAGCAUAUUCUUGAGUAUUGCAGUAAAAAAAUGGGUGUGGAACUUAUUUGAACUUUGAAUGUAUGUUCUGUUGGUGAGAAUAUAAAGUUGAUAAAGAUUUGGUAAAUAGAAUAAAAUAUUAUUUUUAUUAGAAAAAUUAUUUGGUAGACUGCCAAUCGAGUUAUAAUUAUCAUGACGUAAAACAUGUCAUAUUACAAAUAAUAAAAUUAUAAUGACUCAAAUAUACGAACAUGUCAAAAUUUACGUAAAACGAAUUAUUAACAUGUCAAUGUAUAAUACGGUACGCAAAAAUAGGAUAAUUGCUUGUUUUUUAAAUUGAAUUGUUAUAACAUAUUAUACAAAAUACAUUGUGAAUUAAAGCAUAAUAUGAACAUGAUAUCAAAAUAUUAAAUAUUUUUUAAAAUUUGAUGAUACGAAUAAUUAUGUAAAAUAUAACAUGAUACAAAAUAACUUGAGAGGAAAAGAGGAAUAAAGAAUUGCAUUGUUUGUGAGGUUUUAAAAUAUUCCAGUUUUAGAUUCAAUUUUCUAGUAUGUUUGGUUUAAUUUUACAUUAGAUUUCCUUUUUAGUAUGCACUAGUGAACGCUUGGCAGUUAAUUUAAUUUAAUUUAAUUUAAAGAGAUAUUGCAUAUACAUAAUAAUGGAUUAUGAUUUUACAUUAAACUUCAUAGAAGAAAAAAGAAAUAGACGGUUGAAAAUGAUAAAACCAUAAGAUAAAAGAGCUUUUAUUUAAAAUGCAAAAAUCAACAAAAUAUGCAUUAUCGCUCAACUUAGCAUAAUUAAACAUUUAGGUGUGGAAAUCAAAUCACAAUUUGAGUAGCUAAACAUAUCGCUUGAAAAUGUGAUAAGUAAGAAAAUUGCCCACAUUUGAGUAGCGACAGGUGGUAAUGCAUUUCCCAACAAGAGAAAACCAAGCUCUUCGCCAGUAUGGAUUUAUGUAGAGGACAACAAAAAUUGUUAACAACACAACUACAUAAGAAACCAAAAAGCUCACACAAAAAUCAUAACUAUCUAUCAAACCAUCUUCUCCUUUAUCUUCUGAUACAGUUGAUAUUGUUGAUGGUGAAUCGGUUUUGGAACAACUUUUAUGCAGUAUAGGUCCACAAAGAAAAGGGUUUCCUUCAUAACUGUUUUCAAUAAAGGUCUCAAAUUGAGCUUUUGGUUCGGGAAUACUACCUGACAAGUUGUUAAAUGCCACGCUGAAAACCUCCAAAGAGUUUAACUCUACCAAUUGAUUGGGGAUUUCACCACUUAAGUUGUUGUAAGAAAGGUCCAAACUCUCAAUUUGAUGUAGUUUUGAGAGUGACGAGGGUAUAACUCCGGUCAACUUAUUGUGUGAAAGGUUUAAAGAAUGGAUUUCACUCAAGUUCCCUAAUUCUGGUGGGAUAUGACCAGUUAAGUUGUUGCAAGAUAAAUCAAUCCCAGUCAUAUAUGAAAGGAUGUCGCCCUUGUAUGAAUAGAACCCACUCUUUGUUGUGAACUCUAUUACUUCUUCUAAGUAGCUACUAGGAUAGUAAGAAUCCAUUCCCAAAUUUAGUAUCAUACUGCGUGUUGUUUCAUCCUCUUCUAUAGAUGGCCCAUAGAACCAAGUUUCUAGAAUCUUCUUCGUUUGCAUUGGAAGAGAUAAAUUUCCCAAACAAGAAGGUAUAGGACCAGAAAACAUAUUUUGAGAAAGAUCUAUGAUGCUUAAAGAAUGCAACUUGCAUAACUCAAUAGGAACUUUACCAUGAAAAUGAUUAUCUUUCAAGAGAAGAACACUCAAAGAAGAAAGCGUGUAAAUCCAUUUUGGAAUACUACCUGUCAAAUUGUUUCCUCUAAGAUCUAAAGUCACUAUUGAAGAGCUAUUAUAAAAAGCAAGUGAUAGUGGGCCUCUCAGUCUAUUCCCGUGGAGGUGGACAUGCUCUAUGUAUGGUGGAUUAAAACAUGACGGUAUAGAGCCAGAUAAAUUAUUUUGAGAAAGAUCCAAAAAUUCCAACCUAUUCAACUUGCAAAAUUCCAUUGGAAUGGAACCUUCAAAACCAUUGUUGGACAUAGCUAAUCUCUGCAAAAACGAUGCAUUCCCUAUCCAUCUUGGGAGCUUUCCAUGCAACUUGUUGUUACUGAGAUCAAUUUCGCUUAGUGAAUUUGGAAACUCAAAAGUAGACACAUCAACAUUUGUCAUCUCUCCUGAAAAAUUAUUUCCAUCCAAAUAUAAAUGCUGCACCCCAUUUGCGCUGAGAAUCACAGGAACUACAUUUCCACUGAGGUUGUUAUUUGAUAGUCUCAAAAUGGUCAGUGAGCCUUUCGUGAUCAACUCUUCUGGUACUUUUCCAUACAAAUGAUUGUCUAAUAGAUCUAAAAAUGAUAAGUCCUUCAUGCCACUUAAACAAAGUGGGAUAUUAUCUUCAAAAGCAUUCUUGGAUAAGAAUAACCGACUCAAAUGUGGAAAAGUUGAACAUAUACCAGUUGGAAUUUGACCUUGUAAUUUGUUUUCAGAUAUGUCAAUUGAAGAUACAUCAGAAAUAAGAGCCGACGAAAGUGAGAGAGGACCUGUAAAUGAAUUACCCUUCAAGAUGAGAUCUUCUAACUUUGUGUUGUUUUCUAGCAACCAAGUUGGUACAGUUCCACUGAGAUUGUUAUGAGAAAGAUCCACAUAUCUCAAGUCAUAUUGGUAGUAAAGGAAGGUAGGAAAUUUACGAUUGAGUUGUUGAGAUGCUAUGCACUUUGGCAAUCUGAUGACUUCCAAUUGGAACUUUGGGAUUGAGGUAUAAAAGGAAGAUUCCAUUACCAUCUUGUUUUCAUUAAUCGAAAGGGCUUUGAGGUUUGAAAGGUUUGCAAAUGGUGCAAAUGACAGCGGAAUUUGAAAAUGGUUUCUUGAAACAUCUAACACACGAAGAGAUGUCAAGUUACUAAAACAACGAGGAAGCAUCCCCUCAAGUGCAUUGUUGCUCACAUCCAAUACUUCAAGGUUCUUUAGAUCACACCAUCCUGAAAAAUUUAUAAAUUCAUGGAAGAAAUUUUAAUUAAAUUUGGUCCUAUUAAAUAGAAUAGGAGAUAUUAUAUUACAAAAGCUAGUAAAGAAAUCAAUUUGAGCCAUAAAAUUAUUUACCUUGAUUAGGUAAGGGACCAAUAAGUCCACAAUGAUAUAAAGACAAUGUUUUAAGAGAAGCGAAUACUCCAAUGCUUUGCAAAAUGUUGGUGUUGAGAGUAGAAUAGUCAAGAUAUAUUUCCUCCAAACUGCUCGACACAUUUGAAUCUAAGCAAUGUCAAGAGGUAUUAGAUAACGGUAUUAUAGAAAGCCUCUACUAAGUAGAAUGCUUUAUUUUCUGUGAAUGAAAUGAAGUAUAUAAAUAUAUAUAUAUAUUUUUUAUGAGUUAGAUUAUUCAUGAUUUAUCUGAGAUAAAUUUUGAUAGAGAGAAGAUGUUGAAACUUUAAUAUAACUCUUCAUCCAUUUUAUUAAUUAUACUAUUUUUUUUCUUUUUAGUAUUUUCUUAUAUUAUUUUUUAAUAUAAGUAAUUAACUGAUAUAGCUAAGUUGUAUAAUUUUCAAACUCCAAUCAACAACACUAUAAAUAAUAUUUAUAAAAUAAAACAUGUCUACACUAAAUGUAUGUUUAAAUUUCAUAAAAUUGAAGAUAUUUUUAAAUUAUUCAAAAUUCACAUGUCUACACUAUAAAUAAUAUUUAUAAAAUAAAACAUGUCUACACUAAAAUUAUUAUAUUACCUUUAAAGAUGCCAAUAGUAUAUAAAAAAAUCAAAUAGGUAUUUUACUCAACAAUAAAUAAAACUCAAAAGAAUUAUAAGUAAACUCAGCGGAUUAAAUGAAAAUUUUAAAGCAUUAAAUCUUGGCCCAAAAAUAGAGUUAAGUUAAAAUUCAAAAUUCAAAAUUAUUUUAUUAAUAUUGUUAAAAUUAUUUUAUUAAAUCCAUGUUCAUUACGUCAUUUUUUUAGUUACAUUACUACUAAGUUUUUUUUUUAUUUCAAAAUGUCACACCAACAAGCUAUUUUAAAAUUUUAACAAUUUUAACAAUUUAACUAGGAUUUUGAUUUUUUUUUAUAAAAAAAACAGGGAUUAAAUUCUUGAAAAUAAAAGUAUAAGAAUUAAAUUACAAAUUAGUAAAGAGUACAUAGACCUAUCAUAUUUUUUAAAACCAAAAAGUUAAAAACAUAUGCACUUUGAAAUUUAUAAAAAGAUUGCAAUGGAAGUUUAAGCACCUCUCAAUGUAUGUUUAAAUUUCACAAAAUUAAAGUUUUUUUUUAAAUUAUUCAAAAUUGACAUUUAUUUAUUUUUGCCAAAAAAUGCCAUUUAUUUAACGCUAAUAUGUAUUUUUAUGUUUUAUACUAUUAAAAAUAUAUGAAAUUAAAAUAUAGUUAUAUUACAUAUUUUCUCAUAAAUAUAUGUUUUUAUUUAUUUAUAAUAUCAUUUUUUAUUGUUAUAAUUAUUUUUUAUCUCAUAAAAAUUCAAUAAAUUAUUUUAAAAAAUAUAUUUAUACAAACAAAAUAAUUAUAAACAUUAAUAUUUUAAAAUGAUGAAAAUUUUAAAGAAUUUUAGUUUCAAACCAAAGUCCAAACACAUUAUAAUGGAUGAUUUAGAAAAUGUUUCACCAAACCCAUAUUUUACUUUCAAGUAUGAUAUGAUAUAACUUUAUUAAUAUUUAUGACAAUAACCGUUAUUAUAAUAUUUGACAUCAAAACUAAAUUUCUAAAUUAAAAAAAAAAAGGAAGUUUAAUUAAAUGAUACCUUGGUGGAUCACCAAAUCUUUCAAUUCAUUAUAGCUCAUAUCUAGUUUCCUUAAGUUGAUAAAUGCUUCCAAAUCUAGGAAAACAAAAACAACAAAUCAACUUCAUUAUAUUCUCUUAAAACAUUAUUAUAUUCUUGUUAAAAAACUAAUACUUUUACCUUUCAUAUCUAUUGAUCCUUUCAAUUCAUUGCCUCUUAUGCUCAAAGAUUUCAAAUUUGAAAGCUUGUUAAGGGAUGCAAAUACACUAGUAUUGAAGUGAUUUCCAUCUAAAUUAAGCUCUUCCAAGUGGGUCAAUUCCAAUUUUCUACCAUCAUCUACAAAAGAUUUAUAUAAUUUCAUCAUCUACCAUCACUAAUUUCAUCUACCAAUUUGUUAAAUUGCUCAAUCCUAUACAUAUCCACGUACAAUUCAAAAAAUCAUUAUGUUAAUAAUUUUAAUUUCUACUUAAUAUUUUAAUGAAAUAAAAAUGAAAAAAAAAAGUAAAUCUAAAACUUGAAUUGAAGAUAAAAAUCCUCAAACGUGAAAUGUGAAUGUUCAAAUUUGAAACAAUUAAUUUUAAAAGGCUCUAGAAAGAAUUAUCAAGAAAAACAAAGUUAUAGCUUUAGUACCUUUAGUAUCUAAUGAGCCUUGCAAACGGUUGUUGAACAAAGUCAAAGACUUUAGGCUUGAAAGCCCUUGAGGAAAGGAAAUUGUGUUGUUCCGAAAGAGAUUACCACUCAAAUAAAGUUCCUCUAAGUUUGUUAGCCUCAAUUGUGUUCCAUCUAUCAUUGGAAGAAAGUAAUUAGUAUAGUUAACAUCAUUCAAGAUAUAAAUAGUUAGGAAAAAUGUUUGUUUGAGAAGGAAGAGCCAAUUUACAAGCUUUCCGAUGAAUUGAUUCAAUAUAUAAAUACUUUGUUUGAGAUACCUUCCUACUUAAAUUACUCAAUUUUGAAAUUUAAUCCCAAAUAUUGAUUACUUAUAUAUAUUCAUGAUAUGAUAAAAUCAAAUGACUUAUUGCAACAACUUUUCCUUCAACAUGAAUUUAUUUUAAAGAAUGCUAUUCUUCAAAUAAUUCCAACUUAUAUCAAUAAUUUCCAAUUUAAUGAGCCAUUGAAAACCUCAUUUAUAUAUUAUAUAAUUAGUUACUACAAAACUUAAAUAAAUAAUAAUACUCCAUUUUUGCAAUAAAAAUUCACUAAAGAAAAUACAUUUGAAGUCUGUCAUUGCCUUUUGGAAUAAGAGUCGGUCAAGAAAGUUACUAUGCAGAAAUACUUAUACCUUUGUUUGAGAUGCUUUCAAUGUCGUUCCAACUUAAAUCCAAGUACUUCAAAUUUGUCAAAUUAUUCAAUCCUGAAAUUCAAUCCCAAAUAUUGAUCAGUUAUAUAUAUAUAUUCAUGAUAUGAUAAAAGCAAAGACAUAUUGCAACAUUAACUGUCCCUUAAACAAAAAUUGGUUUUAAAGUAAAAAAGAAACAUAUAAAACCAGUCUACCUUUAAUAUGAAUUGACAUAUAAAUACUGUACUUAUACCUUUGUUUGAGAUGCUUUCAAUUCUGUUCCAACUUAAAUCCAAGUAUUUCAAGUUUGACAAAUUAUUCAAUCCUGAAAUUCAAUCCCAAAUAUUGAUUAGUUAUAUAUAUUCAUCGUAUGAUAAAAUCAAACUUGAACAUACAUUGAUUUUUAAAUCAAGGAUGAAAGAUUUCUCAUAUGAAACAAAAUGCUAUUCUUCAAAGAAUUCCCACUUAAAUCAAGAGUUUCCAAGUUAUUGAGUCUUGAAAGCAAUUGAAAACCUGAUAUAUAUAUUUACUUGUUAAUUGUUUUUUCUUUCUUAGCCAUAUGAAAAUUUUACUAAAGCAAAAGUGGAAUUACGACGGAUAAAAAGAAUGGAAAACUAGGUACCAAGCCUAGAAGACCAUCCUCAAACUCCACUAUACAAAUAAAAACUAACAGCAGACCAAACUUAAUUUACCUCUUUGAUGACCUGAUCCUUCAAAUUUGUUGAUUGAUAGAUCUAAAUACCGGAGAGAUGAAAGCUCACUCAAAGAUAACAAAAUGCUAUCAUUCAAGUAAUUGAAACUUAAGUCAAGGAUCUCCAAAUUACUCAAUGUGGAUGAUAGUUUUCCAAAGCCUAUAGAAAUAUUCUUUUAAAUAUAUACAAGUUAGUGACUUUUCUUCCAUAAAAUAAAAUAAAAUAUAAGUAAUUGCAAAUUAACGAUGGUAAGAGUAGUGGGAUAAUAAAAGAUGUAAUUAAGGAAAAACUAGAGGCACGACCUUCAUUUUCAAGGUUACCACUUAUGGCAUUCCCCCGCAAAUAAAGACUCUUCAAUUCCUCAAAGGGAAGAAACAUAGAGGUAUUGAGAUACCAGGCAUUGAGAUUCCUAUUAUCCGUUUUGUAUCCCAUACUGUCAAACCAUCUUGUAGAAUUAAGGGAGAGUUGUAUGAGUCUCCUAGUGGUGGUGUUACACUCAACUCUUUCCCAUUUACAACAAUCUGAACCCUUCACCUCAACCCAACUUUGCAAUUGAUUUUGAUAAUUGAAGAAAGGCUUGAGAUGCAAGAGAGCGAUUCUCUCAUGCUCCAAACAAGCAUCAGUAGUACACCAUCUGCAUCCUUCUAACACCAACAACAUUACUGCCAUCCUAAUAAGCCUUAACCAUUUCCACUCCAUCAUCAUCAUCUCUCUGUUUUCACUUCUCUCUCAGUUAUAUGUUACUUUUUGUUAACUUCUAUAUGUAAAUAAUCUAAAGCAGCCUAACCUUCUUAUUUAUAUACAAGCAGAACAUACUGGAUCCCACUAAUUCACUAUAAUGUAAAAAUAAUAUAUAAUUAAUUAAUUCCUCAAAAAUUGGAUCAAAAUCUAGGCUUUUUAUUUACGUAAAUUCCUUAUUGCAAAAACUCCUGGUGGAAAUUCGUUAGGAAAGGAUGAAUGGACCACAAGAAUGUUGAUGUUAAUCUUGAAAAACGAAUGGCCAAAAAAAUAUGAAAAGUGAGAGGUGGACAUAAAAUCUUGUGGUUGGGGUUGCAAAAGUCUUCAUGUGGCUUUCUUGUGAGCUUCAUUUAUACCCUUCUUACACAUAUACAAACUUAGUCUUGACUUGGCUUUAUUAAUGGAAAAUUUAGGUCUUCAUUUUUGGUUUCAUUCAUGGAAAUUUUACUUCUUUGAUUUUGAUUUUGCUUUUAUUCUUGCACAUUUUAGGUUUUGAUUUUGAAAAUUUAGUUUUUUUCAUCUCUAUUAUUAUAAAAUUUCUUGAUUUAAUUAAUAUCAUGAGUUAAUUUAAUAUUUUAAAAAAUAAAAUAUUACAUUCACUAUUUUUAAAAAAAUAGGAGUAACUAUAAAAUUUAAUUAUUUAUAUAAUAUUUUUAUAAAAAAACUAUUUAUUUCUACUAGACCACUACUUUAAAACUAUCAAUUAUCAUAUAACUUCUCUUUAAUAAUUCACUAUUCUUUGAACAUUCAUUAGUUUUUGAAACAUAAAAUUUAUAAAUAAUUAUUUUUAAAAUGACUUGAGUUUUACUUGAAUCAUUUUUGUAAUUAGUUAAUUAAAUUGGGUUAUUUUUAAAAAAAAUCCUCUUAACUAAUAGCAAAAAAAAAAAAAGAAAAAAAAAAGCCAUCAUGUAGAAAAUUCUGGUUUGUUGGAAAGAUAAAGACUUGCACCAUUACUUUAAAUUUUGAAAUGUUCAACUUGAUAUUGACAUCUGAUAAUAUGUACAAAUUUCUCAUUGUUUUGAAUUUUAGUGAUAUUACACAUAUGAUAAUAUGUUUGUCACACCAAAUUUUGAAAUAGUAGAACUUAAUGAAUUUAACAAAUACUUAAUGAAUUUAAGAAAUAUCUAAAAUAUCAAAUUAAAGUCUAGGAAUUAAAUCUACAACUUCAGUAAAGUACAAGAACUAUUGUAGAAUUAAACCUUUAUAUAAUAAUUUCCUUCUAUGAACCACAAUUCAAGUGCACCCCACAAGCAACAUUAAAAAAUUGGCAUGUGUCUAUUUUUUUAAAAAUAUUUAUUUUUUUAAUAUUAUAUACUACACCUCUAUAGGAUACGUGUCAAUCCUUUAACUCUCCUUAUGGAAUUUAAAAACUCCACUAACAAUGUACCAAAUAUUAAUCCUAAUUAUUAUACUAUUCAUGGAUAAAGAUAAAAUAUAAUAUUUGCUUAAAAAUCUCAAUUAUAUAUAUUUGGUCACCCAUUGUGAUGUAAUAUAGCACCGUCUACAAAAUAGUUGGAGGAAAGUGUUAAGAAAAUAUCAUUACAUAUAUCAACAUUCGCAUAAUUCAUUGCAUUAACUUUCAAAUGUUAACUAUUGACUUCUGCGUCAACUUUGAGCUUAUAUAGGUCCCCCUCAUGGAAAUUGAGAAAAACAAAUUAAUAUGUAUAUUCUUGUGGGUGGAAAUUUAGUGGAGAUGCCCAUCAUCUUUCCUAAUUAAUAAAAAUGAAGACUUAGAAAAUGUGCAAUCAUAAUCCUAGUCGUCGUUAUGGCCCCAAGAAUAGUUAUCUUAAUUUGUCUCUCUUCAGGAUUAAAGAUAAAAAAUAAAUUUUAUAAAGUUAGAACUAUAAUUUUAUAAUUAUAUUAACAUAUAAUUUCAUAAAAUUUUAAAAAUGUAUCUUUUAAUUUUUUAAUUAAAUUGAUAAUUCGUUAACUCAUAAUAUUAUUUUAUUUUUCAAAAUAUUUACGAGAACGAGUUCGUAUUCUAUUGUGUGGAAAAUUUUAGUACAGAUUAUUAAGUUAUUGGAGAAGCCAAAUCCAACUUGUUUGACCAAGAAAGUUUUUGUCGCGUGGAAAAUGGACAUUACCAUUUCCUUGAAUGACCUUCAAUUUAAUGUAUUCACACCAAAUUUCAUUAAUGAGUAAAACAAAUAAUGAAUAAUAAUGAAAAUUGGAGGAAAUUGUUAAGAAAUUAUUAUUACAUAUAUCAACAGUCACAUAAUUCAUUGUAUUAACUUUCAAAUGUUGACUAUUGACUUUUACAUCAACCUUGAGCUUAUAUAGGCCCCCCUCACGGAAAUAAUCUCAUAAUUAAUGCCUGAAAAAUUAUUAUACAUCAAUUUACAGUUUUAAUCCCUAGACUUACUCAAUUGAAUUAAAAUUUUAGUUUUUAUUAUUUAAUUUGAACUAUUACUUUAGAUUUUGAAAUGUUCAACUUGAUAUUACAAAUUUCUCAUUCUUUUGAAUUUUAGUGAUAUUACACCUAUGAUAAUAUGUUUGCCACACCAAAUUUAGAAAUAGUAGGACUUAAUGAAUUUAAUAAAUAUCUAAAAUAUCAAAUUAAAGUCUAGAAAUUAAAUCUACAACUUCAGUAAAGUACAAGAACUAUGGUAGAAUUAAACCUUUAUAUAAUAAUUUUCUUCUAUGAACCACAAUUCAAGUGCAUCCCACAAGCAACAUUAAAAAAUUAAAAUGUGUCUAUUUUUUUAAAAUAUAUUUUUUUUAAUAUUAUAUACUACACAUAUAUAGUAUACGUGUCAAUCCUCUAACUCUACUUAUGGGAUUUAAAAAAUCCAGCAACAAUGUACGAAAUAUUAAUCCUAAUUAUUAUACUGUUCAUGGAUAAAGAUAAACUAUAAUAUUUGCUUAAAAACCUCAAUUAUAUACAUUUGGUGACCCAUUGUGACGUAAUAUAGCACCAUCUACAAAGUAGUUGGAGGAAAUUGUUAAGAAAAUAUCAUUACAUAUAUCCAACAGUCACAUAAUUCAUUGCAUUAACUUUCAAAUGUUGACUAUUGACUUCACGUCAACUUUGAGCUUAUAUAGGCCCCCUCCUCAUGGAAAUAAUGUCACAAUUAAUGCUUGAGAAAUUAUUAUACAUCAAUUUAUAGUUUUAAACCCUAUACUUACUCAUUUGAAUUAAAAUUUUAGUUUCAAUUUGAUAUAUUUUGUUCCUCUUAUUAAUAUUAAUGUUAUAGAUUUAUUAAAAUAACUAACAUUAUUAAUUCUCUAACAUUUAAAAAUUAAAAUUAUGUGGUUAUUAAAAUUAUGAUGCUAAAUUGAGAAUUAAAAAUUAUCAAGUUUUAAAUGAUCUCGGGAAUUAAGAAGAGAUCGUGUCCUAACUUAUUGGGCAUGAUCCUUUUUUUUCUCAAGUUUUAAAUGAUCUCAGGAAUUAAGAAAAGAUCGUGUCCUAACUUACUGGGCAUGAUCCUUUUUUUUUUAAAAUCUAAGAUAGCUAAAUAUUUUUUAAAUAAGUAAAUUUUUGGCAUUCAUUCGCGCAUCGGGAAUUCAAGACAUUGUGUCCUAACUUACUGGAUAUAAUUCUCUUUCUCGAUUAAUGUGAAUUAUGGCUUUUUCCCGAAAAUUUUCAACAUUUCAAUAAAGGAUCGUAUUUUAAAUCUCUUUAAAGUUUUCAAUCUUCGAUACUAAGACAUUAAUUAAUCAACUAGGUACCAAUUUUGGGCGUAACGAGGGUGCUAAUCUUUCCUCGUACGUAACCGACUCCCAAACCUGUUUUUCUGAAUUUCGUGGACCAAAAUUAUUAUUUUAUUAAAAUUAAAUUGUUUAUUAAAAAUAACCACUUUUCAAGGUGGCCCGAUCACACCUUAUCAAAAAGGAUUGGUGGCGACUUCCAUAUUCGUUUUCAUUUUUUAAAAUCCAAGUCGACCCCGUUUUCACAAAAAAAAAAAGUGUCAACAAUUAUAUUAAUAUAUAAUUUCAUAAAUUCUUUAAAAAAAAUUGUAUCUUUUAAUUUUUUAAAUUAAUUUAGUAAUUCAUUAACUCAUAAUAUUAAAUUUUUUAUUUUUCAAAAUAUUUACGAGAACGAGUUCGUAUUCUAUUGUGUCGAAACUUUUAGUACAGAUUAUUAAGUUAUUGGUGAAGCCAAAUCCAACUUGUUUGACCAAGAAAGUUUCAGUCGUGUGGAAAAUUUUAGUUUUGUGGAAAAUAUAGAUUAACUUCUAUAUAUGUAUGUAAUCUAAAGAAGCCUAAGCUUCUUAUUUAAUUAUAUACAAGCAGAAGAUAUUGCAUCCCACUAAUUCACUAUAAUAUAAAAAUAAUAUAUGAUUAAUUAAUUCCUCAAAAAUUGGAUCAAUCUAGGCUUCUUAUUUACGUAAAUUCCUUAUUGCAAAAACUCUCGAUGGAAAUUCGUUAAGAAAGGAUGAAUGGACCACAAAAAUGCUUAUCAACUCUUGACUUUGGCGUUCAAUGCUAAGUUCAUUUUAAAAUUCUUUCAUGGAGAGAAGAUGGGAUGACAAGAAUGAUAAGUUUUAAGUCAUUUAAGUUUACACAAAAUUUUAAUCACUCACAAAAAAUCAGUCUUGAUAUUCUAUUAAAAAAUUUAAACAUGGCUUAACGUUGAUUUUAAAUCUAAUGUCGAUGUCAAUCUUGAAAAACGAAUGGCCAAAAAAAUAUGAAAAGUGAGAGGUGGACAUAAAAUCGUGUAGUUGGGGUUAUAAAAUUCUUCAUGUGGACAUAAUAUAUUUUUUAUGCCCUUCUUACACUUAUAUAAAGUUAGUCUUGAUUUCGCUUUAUUAAUGGAAAUUUUAGUUCUUCAUUUUUUGUUUUAUUCAUGGACAUAAUAUUUAUUUUUAUUUUUUAUUUUUGUGUUAUGGUCUAUGUUCGAGGUUUAUGGCUAUCCCCUUUCAACAACGUCGUCUCAACGGUUCAAACAUACACUUGCAGGUAAAAUAAUACUUUUUAAAAUCACAAAUAUUUGAAAUAAUAUAUUGCAGCUAUAUAAAUGCUUUCUUGUUUAAGAUACUAAUAAAGUAAUUAACAAAGUAAUUAUUAUACCUAUAAUAAUUCAAAAUGCCACUUGUUAUCUAAUGAAGUAUAGGGGUGCAAAUGAGACAUCCGUACCCGCAAGCUAUUCGAAUUCGGCUCAAAAAAUUUUGAAUUUGAUUCGGUAAUUAUUGCGCCGAGCUAUAGGUCGAUCCGGAUUCAAGCUUAGUAAUACUUGACUCGAGUAGUUUGGGAGCCUUAUUGAACUUUUCAUAUUUUUAUAUUAUUAGAUUACAUUAUUGCCUUUAAUAUAUAUUGUUAACCCUAAGUUUAAUUAUUGAGGCGAGCUCGAACUCGAGUACAAAAAUUGAUAAACAGAUUUAAUUUCGAGCUUAAAAAUAUAUGUUCAAUCGAGUAUCAAGCUUUGAAUUUCAAAUUAAACUUGAGUUUAACCGUAUUGAGUUCGAAUAGAUUCAAUUACACCCUACAAUAAAAUAUACCAACAAAACCUACAUUCCAUAUUUGCUUAAAAACUUUGCUGUAAAUUUUAUAUAUGUGUGUGUUUAACGUGAGUUCCAUCUAUGUCCAACUUGAUGACGAUGAAAGUUCCUAUGGUGUAAAAAGUUUUAGUUAUGUGGAAAAAUAAGGUCUUCUCUUCACACGUUUAAUAUGCUUACUUGUGACGGUCAUUUCGGGCUUGACAUCAAUUUUCAAAAUGUUCUAAUUGGUGGAAAACUUACGUCUGCUUUUAUGAUUCUUUCAAGUCAAUUGGAGAAUGCCUCUGUUACACUUCAAAAGAAGUAGAUUUUGAACUCAACAUGAACCUGUGAGAUUUGAUGCCUAAAAUAUAGGUAUAAGGUUUCAAUUCAAGGAAAUGUUGGAAGUCCAGGAAAUUUCUUAGUCUCCUCUCUUUGGAUGUUUUUGAACAAAAAUGUUUUAAGUCUCUUCCGAUGCUAAACUUCUGAUUGGUCGUCGGUUCACUGACCCUUUGGUACACAGCAAUAUGAAGCAUUGGCCAUUCAAGGCCAUUGCUGGUCCUGGUGAUAAGCCAAUGAUUGUACUACUAUAGAUUUGAAAUGAUUGUACACAUCUGAUCGGCUCUUUGUAAAUUUAAAUCUUACAAAUUCGGAUAAUAUUCGAAUUUAAAUAUUUCAAUUACUAUCUGCAAUAGAUUAAAAACAAACGUGAUUAUCAAUCCUUGGAUAUCCACAUACAGAUUAUGCAAUACAAUCUCUUAAGGCAUAUAGAAUUUGGGUCUUAACCAAGCUAUGUUGCUUAAAAGCUUGCUAAAAGCACCCCUAACAAAGGGGUAAAUAAAUAAAAUAUCAAGCACCAGUUAUCAAAGCAGAUUGACCACCUUAUAUCUAUGUAUGCUACUACAAAACUUGCACCAUUAAAAUCUCAAGCUGGUAAUUGGAGCUUCAUGUUAUUCUUGCAGCUGCAGGCAUAAUAAUCAAAUAAGUUGCAAUCAUUCACAUAGGUACUAUGAAGUGCUUUCCAGAGCGUGAGAAACCUCUGGAAGUAAUAGUAGAAGAAAUCAGCAUAAAGCAAUGUCUGGACAAGACCGCAAAUCCAAGCUGAUCAAAGGCAUCAAUCAUGUAAACUAGGUGUUAGAAAUAACAAAUAUAGCAUAGAAUAUAACAAAUAAUGAAUAACAAUGAAUAGUACACGUUACCAUUUCCUUGAAUGACCUUCAAUUUCUCCAUUGAGAUAUAGUAAGAGGGAGUGGAAUAGAUGUAAGGUAAUAUUUGAUGUAUUCGGUAAAUGAAUAAUAACACCACAUUCCAUUAAUGAGUAAAACAGAUAAUGAAUAAUAAUGGAAGUUUUAUAAAAUAAAAAUAAAUUAAAUCAUAUACAUAUAAUGUAUUAAAUCUUAUUCGUGAAGUUCACAAUGAACAAAAUACUAAUCCAUAAUGGAGAAAAAUAACCUAAACUUUAAACAUUUGUUCAUUACUAUAAACAUAUGUACAACUUUUUAAAGGUUUUAUAUAAACUAUUAAAAGGUAUAAACACUCUCAUAAAAAUAUAUUAUUAAGUACGUCUUCUUUUACUAGGAAAGUUCCUAUCCUGUAGAAAAAUGUAGUUUUGUGAAAAAAGGUCUUCUAUGCACUAAUUUGUGGCAAUCACAUGGGGUUUGGGAAUUUCAAUUUUGAUAGCCAACCGAGAUUCACUAAAUUUAAAUUUUAUUAUGAUUAAUUACGCUCUUCGUUUUGGAGAAAUAGGUAAUCACAACAACUAAUUUAAUUAAAUGUAAUUUAAUAAUUAAUUUUUUUAUAAUUUAAUUACAUUAACUAUAUUUAAAUUUAAUAUUUAGUAUUUAUAUUUUAAUUUAACAUAAUUUAAUUCACUUACUUUUAUAAUAUUAUUAGUUCGUCUAAAUAGUUGACACCUUUAAUUAAUUCUUAUUAAAAUGUUAAAAAUGUUUAUACUUAUUUUCCAUGUUAAAAUAUAUAUUUUUUUGUGCUUUUAAAAACAAAAUUUCACAAUAUCAUUUCCCGAUAUAAAAAUUAAAUCUCAAAUUAAUUUAUAUUUUUGUAUUUUUUUAUAACUAAUGUUAUCAAGAACUCUUAAUAGUGCAACUGAUUCCACCAUAAUAUUUAUAUUCUUUAAAUAUGAUUUACAAUUUAUGUUUGGAGUUCGUGACUGUCAUUCUUAAUAAUGUCAUUUCUAAUGUUCGAACAUGCAUCUCCCCUUGAGAAUGCAAUAUUCAUUACUAUUGCACCUAAUUAUUUUGAUAAUUUAAUUUUAAAUAUUGACAUAAAAAUAUUUUUAAAUAUAUUAUUAAUAAAUUUAAUUAAGAUUAUAAAACUUGAGGUUUUUUUUAAUUCUUCAAAAAUGUCAUUUAUUUAUUUUUGGCCAAAAAAUGCCAUUUAUUUAACUCUAAUAUGUGCUUUUAUGUUUUAUUUUAAAAAUAUAUGAAAUUCUAAUGAUAGUUAUAUUACAUAUUUUUUAAUUUUAAAUAUCAUUGUUCUUUUAUAAUUUGUUUCAAGUAUGAAAUGAUAUAAUUUUUUUUAGUAUCUAUCACAAUAACCUUUACUAAGAAUUGAAACUAAAUUUCUAAAUUUUGAACAAAAAUGAAAGUUUAAUUAAAUGAUACAUUGGUGGAUUCAUUACCCCUCAUAUCUAGUUCCCUUAAGUUGAUAAAUGUUUCCAAAUCUAGGAAAACAAAAAACAACAAAAUCAACUUCAUUAUAUUCUCUUCCAACAUUAUUAUAUUCUUGUUAAAAAUCUAAUAUUUUUACCUUUCAAUCCAUUGCCCCAUAUGCUCAAAGAUUUCAAAUUUGAAAGCUUCUUAAGGGAUGCAAAUACACUAGUAUUGAACUGAUUUCCAUCUAAAUAAAGCUCUUCCAAGUGGGUCAACUCUAAUUUUCGACCACCAUCAAUAAAAGAUUUAUAUAAUUUCAUCACUAAAAUGAAUUGGCAUAAACUUUUAUUAUAUAUAAGAAUUUAGGUAAUUGGUUAAAUAUAAAUGCAUACCAUUUAAGGAUUGAAAGCUUUCAAUUUCAUUCCAACUUAAAUCGAGUUUCUUCAAAUUUGUUAAAUUGCUCAAUCCUAUACAUAUCCUCAUCCAAUUCAAAAUCUGAAAUUAGUAAAGAUAAAAUUGCACAUUGACCCCCUAAAAUUGAUAAAAAUUUAAUUUAAUUCUUUAAAAAUUAUAAACAUAUGUAGCGACCUAAAAAUUUCGGCACGGGCGCUAGUCGAAGUAAUUAUUGUAAAUUUGAAAACUGAAUCUCGAUUUUAUUUGAAAAAGGAGUCGCCACCGAUAUUUUUUCUAGGUGUGAUCGGACACCUACAAAAUUCUCUUUUUAGAAGAAAAAAUUAUUUUUAAACUUUUCUAAAAAAGAGGUAAUUUUAGGUCCACGUAAAAAUCCAGAGAAAAUUAGGGUCCGGGAGUCGGUUACGCGCGAGGAAGGUAUUAGCACCCUCGCAACGCCCAAAAUUGGUAUCUCGUUAAACGCGUGUUGUCUUCAUUUUCAAAAAUACGAGUUCAAUUUAAUAUUAGUCGUGAUCCGAUUGAACACGAGAAUUUUAAAGCGCAACAACUUUUUCUUUUUUGAAAACACGAAAAUUUUAAAAUACAAGAAUUUUAGAAACACAAAACUUUUUUUUUAAAAAAAACACGAAGAAUUUAAAACACGAGAUUUUUUAUUUUUAUUUUUGAAAACACGAUUCUUCUUUUUGAAACACGAAAAUUUUUAAAACAGAAAAUUUGUUUUUGAAAACAUAAAUUUUUUGAUAAAAUACGAAACACGAGAAAUUUUGAAGACAUGAAAAUUUUUGAAACACAAUUUUUCUUUAAAAAAUACCGUAUUUAACACGAAUCGAUGAUAUUCAUCCCGAUAUGGCGAUGAAACCAUCGAAUUAGUGUUAACUCAAUUCAAUUUAAUAUUUAAUCGGGAUUCUAAUAAAACACGAGAAUUUUUAUUAAAAUACGAGGAUUUUUGAAUAUUUUUAUUUUUAAAAGGGUGUCCCGAAUUUAACACGAGCUAUCGAUAUCCACCCAACAUAGCGAUGAAUUCGAUGACUUGAUGCUAAAUCGGUUCGUUGCCUUAUGCAUUAAAAUAUUAUUAUUUUUAAAAAAAAUAUGCAAUUAAAAUGACAUAAUAAUAUUUAUGAAAACUGUUUUAAAGCAUACUAAUUUAAAUUAAAUAAAACACCAUUUAAAUAAAUAAAAUAAAAUAAAAUAGAUUAAAAAGAAAAAAAGAAAAAAAUUACCCAAAAGCCCAAAGUUAUGGGCUUAAAUUUUGGGCCUCCCCUUUUAUUAUUUUUUUUGCUGUUGGGCUNNNNNNNNNNNNNNNNNNNNNNNNNNNNNNNNNNNNNNNNNNNNNNNNNNNNNNNNNNNNNNNNNNNNNNNNNNNNNNNNNNNNNNNNNNNNNNNNNNNNNNNNNNNNNNNNNNNNNNNNNNNNNNNNNNNNNNNNNNNNNNNNNNNNNNNNNNNNNNNNNNNNNNNNNNNNNNNNNNNNNNNNNNNNNNNNNNNNNNNNNNNNNNNNNNNNNNNNNNNNNNNNNNNNNNNNNNNNNNNNNNNNNNNNNNNNNNNNNNNNNNNNNNNNNNNNNNNNNNNNNNNNNNNNNNNNNNNNNNNNNNNNNNNNNNNNNNNNNNNNNNNNNNNNNNNNNNNNNNNNNNNNNNNNNNNNNNNNNNNNNNNNNNNNNNNNNNNNNNNNNNNNNNNNNNNNNNNNNNNNNNNNNNNNNNNNNNNNNNNNNNNNNNNNNNNNNNNNNNNNNNNNNNNNNNNNNNNNNNNNNNNNNNNNNNNNNNNNNNNNNNNNNNNNNNNNNNNNNNNNCUCUUUUUACUUAAUUAUUUAUCAAUUUACACUAGUUCGAGUUUUUGUAACAGUAUCAUGGAGACUUAUGUACUAGGAGUUAGAUUGUAUUUUGCCUCUUUUACUCAAAAAAUGAGUAAAUUAAUCCUUGUACGUUAAAUCAAUGAGCAAACUAGUCCUUUUAGUUAACAUUUUCAUUCAUUUUUACUAUUAAAAAUUGGAGUGACUAACGAAAUAACCAGAUAGUUACACAUUACAUGCCAAGGGUGAAGCCAGAAAAUUCUUUUAGGGGGCCGAAAUUAAAUUUUAAUUUUUAAUAGCUUAUAUCUUUAUAAUUUUUAAAUGAUUAAAUCAAAUUUUUAUCAUUUUUAGGAGGGGACUAAAGUGUAAUUUUAUCUUUACUAGUUUAAAUUUCUAAAAUUUCUAAAAAGCCUAAAUGGAUAAUUUUCAAUUUUAGAGGGGUCAGGGCCCUUGCCAGCCUCCCUAGAUACGCCACUGUGGCAUGCCACAUGUACCUCAUGUCAGCAUACAUGAACCCGUUUUUAACAGUUAAAAUGGAUGAAUUUUUUAGUAGAAGGAUUAAUUUUCUCAUUUUUUGAGUAGAGGAAAGAAAAUGCAAUCCAAUGCCUAAUACAAGGGCCUCUAUGUCUUUCAUUAUUACUCAAUUAUUUGUCAUCAAAAGUUGUAUAUGUUCAAAUAUAAAUACAAUAAAACACAUAUGUAGUUAUUAAACAUAUCAUGCUAAUGUCAUUGUUUCUUCUUUAUCCAAAAUUAUUGGACUUAUAAAAUUCUUGAGAAUAAGAAAACCCCAUUAAACUUCCUUUUAAGUAAAACGUGUGUUCAAAAUCUUGAACUAGGUUUAUGCAGCAAUAGAAAUUCACAAGCUGUUUUUUUUAUACAUGAGAUGUGAAUCUCAAAAUUUUAGGGUUUCUGAUCUCAUAUAUUUUGGGUCCAGAUUUAAUGCUAAGGAUUUGUUGAGAAAGUUGAAAGGGAAGAAAAUGAUGUUCAUUGGGGAUUCACUAAGCUUGAAUCAAUGGCAGUCUCUAACAUGCAUGUUGCAUGCAUUUUUGCCACAAUCAAACUACACUGUUCACAGAGAAGGGAACCUUUCGACCUUUUAUUUGCCUGUGAGUUGCCAAAUCUAGUAGCUAUUUUAUUUCCUUCUUAUAAUUAAAACUUUUCAAUGUCACCUUUAGAAGGUAGCUGCAUGAAUCAAAUGAGUUAAAUCAAAUAGACUAAUUACUAUUGUUUGGCAAAAAUACCGAGUAGACCUUUUUAAAAAUAGUUAUUAUACUUUUAUUACAACAAAAUAAGCAGGGGUGAACCUAAAAUUUUUUUUAGCAGGAUAGAAAUUUAAUUAUAAUUUUUUCAUAGAUCAAAAUAUAAAUUUAUUAUGAAUUAAUUUAUAAUUUUAUCAUUUUUAAAGGGAUUAAACAGAAAUCAUUUCAUUUUUAUGGGGGUUAAAGUGUAAUUUUACUAUAUAUUAAUUUAUAAUUUCUUUAUUUAUAAGACUAGAAAAAAUUUUCAUGGGGGCCAAAGUACAAUUUUACUAUAUAUUAAUUUAUAAUUUCUCUAGUUAUAAAAGAACUAAAUUAAAAACUUUUCAUUUUUUAGGGGGGCCAAGGCCCUGCCUACCCCUUUCAGAUUAUUCGCCUCUGAUAAUAAGCCAUUAAACUUUAAUUUAUAACCGUUACCAUUAAUUUUUAACUUAUAUCCAAAUAACCCCUUACCAUUUUAUUUAUACUCAAAAUAAAAUUUAACAUAAAUAAAGGUGAGAGAGGGGCCUUGGCCUAUUGGUUAAAAUAGAAAAUUUUCAUUUAGGUCCAAAGGUAAAGCCAAAAAAUCAUUUUAGGGGGUUGGAAAUGAAUAAUAAAUUUUUGGGGAGACUAAUAUUGCAAUUUUAUCAUUAUAUCAACUUAUAAUUUCAUAAAUUUUGAAAAGAUUAAAAGACAAAUUUAUCAAUUUUUGGGGUUGUCUACUCUCCUGAGUUGGUCUCUAUUGAAAAUUAAUAAUUCCAUAAAAUAUAGCUUUCCUAAAUUUAUAAUUUUAGCUCGACCCUAAAUAUAAAAUUCUUUGCUUUACCCCUGAUAUUAAAUCAAAAGAUAGAAACUUAUUAUGUUACUAUAAGAAUAUAGGGAUUUAUUUAGCAAAAGCAAACUAUUUCAAGGACUUUUUUGGUAGUUUGCACUUAUAGUUGGUAUUAGUUAGAAUUAAGUGCCAAGAUUAAGUUUCCUUUGAGAUAUAUAGUUGGUUAAGCAAUUUAAUAUAAGUGGAAAUUUAGACCCCUAAGUUAUACCCUUCAUGCAUUUGGACAACUGUGUUGAGCCAAAAAAAAAAUUGCAGGAGUAUGAAGUUUCGUUGAUGCUAUCACGCAAUGCAUUUCUUGUGGAUAUUGUCCAAGAAAAGAUUGGCACCGUUCUGAAGCUUGAUUACAUUAAAAACGGCGAAUCAUGGAAAGGAUAUGACUUUCUCAUCUUCAAUACCUGGCAUUGGUGGCUCCACACUGGAAGAAAACAACCGUAAGCAAAACAUAAUUUCAGCAAUUAAAACCCGAUUUUUUAAUUGCAUCCCGAGUAGAUUUGUAAACAAAUACAACACUCGAAUUGGGUUGGGUUUGAACCGGAAUAUCAUUCCUAUAGUUUUGAUUAGACCUGUAGUUUAAAAGUUAAUUAUUUAUUUAAGUUUGAAAAUUCGUUUGAAAUUUAGAAGAAUAUUUAGAUAAAAAUAUUAGACUUCAUAAAUGAGCUUGAGUAAAAAAAUUAAACCCGUUUUUAAUAUGGGUUAAGCUUAAGCUCAAAAAAGUUAAGGAUCCAGACAUGUUGAUGAACUUAAAAUGAAUUUGCGAUAACUAUUUACAAAUAUUAGUAUGUUGGAGCAAAAUUUUAAGCCAUUGUUUGGUCCAACUAAAUUUAGGCAAAUAUAAAGUGCGUUAAUAUCAUGCUUAAAAUUGAUUCAAACUGAUCCCAACCCAUAACCACUUCUAAUUCUGAUUAGUUUGACUCAACCUUUUUAUUCUUUUAAAUACUUAUAAAAUCUCUUAUCCAAUUAUAUUUAUAUUUGAGCAAAAAAUGAUGUAUGUAUGUAUGUAUGUAUGUAUGUAACUUGAAAAAUGAAUUGGAUAUUAGAUGGGAUUUCAUUGAAUCAAGAGGAAAGGUGAAGAAAGACAUGGAUCGUAUGGCUGCAUAUAGAGAGGCACUAAGAACAUGGUCAAAAUGGGUGGAUUCCAAUGUUAACACUACAACUACCCAAGUGUUUUUUCAAGGCAUUUCUCCGACUCAUUUCAAGUAAGCUUUAGCUCUUCUCUUCUCUUCUCUUACCAUUUGCAUUAACUUCCUUGUUCUUAUUUUACUUAAAAGAAAUGGAAUUAUGAAAAAAAUUGAAAGCCAUUUUUUUUCCAAUAGAACUUAAUUCAUUUUAAUCCCAUCAGAUUUGGUUCAAAUUAGAGGUGUUUAUAAGUUGGUGAGUCAAUCGGCUUAGUUCGCUUUAGACUGCACUUGAAGUUAAGUUUUCAAGUUUCGAGCCAGAUUAGCCUUACUUGUUUUAUUAGUCGAAGAAAACUAUUUUUAAUUGUUUUAUAAACAAUGAAAAUGGACCAUUUAGGUAAGCUUAAGUUUGGAAAAUUUUUGAAAUUGGGCUUAAACUUGACUUGGAAAAUGAACACUUAUAGUUGAAAGAAACUCAUUUGUCAUAAAGCACAAAUACUUUUAUGAUUAGAGACGUUAAUGGGCUUGAACUUAAAUUUUCUUUUUGGUUUAAGCUUGGUUCGAGUUGAAAACUCGUAUUGUUUAAAAUAUUUCUAAUAUAUUAUUGUUUAAAAUAUUUCAUAAAUAUUUUCAAAAUGAAAUAUGUGUAAGAAUCAUAAAUUCAAGCUGUAGUGUUUCCUCAUAUAAAUUAUGAAUCACUCUAAAUAUCUCAAAGAGAAAAUGACAGUUCAUUGACAUCUAUAUAAAGAUUUUUUUUUUUAAAAUAAAAAUCAACAAGUCUCUUACGUUAUCCAUAUAUAAUAUGUGGAUGUACAAUUAUAAACUUCACCUCAAACAAUUUGGUAUUUUGAUCCACAAUUUUGACAGUGGCAAAGAAUGGAAUGGUACCAAAUCAACAACUUGCACACAUCAAAUCAGACCGGCUACCGAUUUAACGUACGAAAGUGAUCCACCUCCGGAAGUGACGAUCGUAAAGGAAGUGCUAAAAAACAUGUCGACGCCGGUGGUUUUGCUCGACAUAACCAGAUUAUCACAGCUGAGGAAAGAUGGUCACCCAUCAAUUUAUACUGGUCUAAAAGGAAAUGAUUGUAGUCAUUGGUGCCUAGCUGGUGUUCCUGAUACAUGGAAUGAAAUCUUAUAUGCAAUUCUUACAAGUAGGAAAACUUAAUUCAAGAUUAUAAUUUUUUUUUCAAUUUAAUGUAUUUAGUUAAUAAAAAUUAAUUUCCCAUUAAUAGAUGAAGAAUUUUAAAUUUAAUAACAUAGGUGUAGCCAUCAAUUUAAUGUAUUUUUUACCCGAACCCAAAUUAAGUCAAGCUCAAACCAAUGGAAAACCUACAAUAUUAUUCAUAAUAAUAUUGAAACUUUAGAUUUUUUUAUUAGUAUUAUAUAUUUUAAUAAUUAAUUUUAAAUAUUUUUAUUAAUAAAUAGUAUUCAGGUCGCGCCAGCCCAAUUUAAAAGAUAUUUAACUCAAUAUAAAUUCAACAUAUUAAAUGAAUAAUUCAAAUGUCAAAAUGAGCAAAGGAAAAUCUAGAGUUGUAAGCUUUGCAACUUUAAAUUGGACAUGAGAGUUUCUUUUAUUGGAUACAUGCCACAUUAUUUUUUAACAAAAUUCCUUUAUUUUAUCAAUUGAAUUUAAAUUAUUAUAUUAAUAAAAUUAUUUAAUUAUUUAAUUGUGUUUCAACCUUUUACAUAAAAUAAAAUUUUCUCUUUUAACUUUUUCAUCAUUUAAUUUUUCACUUUUUAAAAUCACCCUCAAUUUCAAAUAUAAAUUUACUUGUGUAAAAAAAAAUCUAAAUCUGUUAAUUGCAUCUAGAACUUUUCAGAGUUGGUCUUGUCAAAAUUUUAAGUCUAUUUGCUAGGCCCAAGUUUGGCCUAAAAAAUAGACUUAAAAUUUUGUCUAAAUUUAACCCGGAUAAAAUAUUAAAAUCAGGCUCGACUCAACUCACCUGAAUUAAUUUUUCUAUAAAAAUAUUAAAAAUAAUAGGUCAAAAUACUAAAAAUAUUAAAAUAAAUAUUUUUUAAUAAUUUAAAAAUAAAUUUAAAAAUAUUUAUACUUAGAUAAAAUUAACAAUAAAAUAAUUUUUUAAUGUUUAUUAAAAAAUGGGCCGGACCGGGCUCGGGCUUAUGAUAUUUUUCCCGGGCCGGGCCUGGAAAAAUAUCAGGCCCAUAUUUCGAGCCGGGCCAAAAAAAAUUUCUGGGCCCGACCCGGCCCAUGGACAGGUCUAAUCUUAGACCUUUUCAGUGUUGGUCUUGUCAAAAUUUUAAGUCUGUUUGCUAGGCCCAGGUUUGGCCUAAAAAAUAGACUUAAAAUUUUGUCUAAUUUUGACCCGAAUAAAAUGUUAAAACCAGACUUAGACUCAACCCACUUGAAUUAAUUUUUUAUAUAAAAAUAUUAAAAAUAAUACGUCAAAAUAUUAAAAAUAUUAAAAUAAAUGUUUCCUAAUAAUUUAAAAAUAAAUUUAAAAAUAUUUAUACUUAGAUAAAAUUAACAAUAAAAUAAGAGUUAUAUAAUAUAUAAAUAAUAAUAAAAUAAUAGUAACAACAAGAAAAUAGUAAUUUUUUGUCUUUUUGUUAAUUCAUAUCGGACCGGGCUUAACCCGGUUGAGAACGGUACUUAUAUUUGUACAAAAAAAAAAUCAAAAAAAAAUGUGAACGGUACUUAACCCGGUUGAGUCGGAGCUCCAUGACCCGAACAGCAAUUUAUUUUUCAAUUCUUCUUCGUUACGCAAAAAGGAAAAAAAAAAAAACAGCUCAUGAAAAUGGCAUGGUCAAAUACUCUGCUUCAGAUUCACAUCAAAUCCCCUUCGAUCCCUUCUCUCCAUUUCCCACAUUCCCUCCCAAAAAGCUCCCCAUUCCUUCUUAAUCCUAACCCUAUAAAUCCCAUUCCCAGAUCCCUCAGAAUGCAAUUCCUUCACAGACCCAACGCUGUCCCACUCGUAUCAAGAGCCAUGGACAUCAUCCAAUCGUCUCCUCCCACGUGGCAAUCCGCAGUCCUCAGUAACCUCUUGAUCUUCGUCGUCGGCACCCCACUUUUAGUGGCGGGGCUUUCUCUCUCCGGAAUUUGUGCUGCGUUCUUGCUUGGCACUCUCACUUGGCGCGCUUUUGGCUCCCCUGGGUUUCUCCUCGUUGCUUCGUACUUCGUUAUUGUGAGUUGCUAAUAAUAUAUUAUGAAUUGUAGCUGAAUUAUGGGAAUUAAGUUAAAUUUUGGAAAUUGGGUUUUGAUUUUGUAUCCAUCUGGUAUUAAAAGUUGCUUGCUUUGGAGAAUUAGCUGUCAUUGUUUGGUAGUAUGGCAAGGAAAAUAAACUUAAUUUAUGUCGAAAGGUUACUUUUUAAUUAGUUAGCUAUUCAAGUUUGAUUAGUUGUAUUUAGAGAAAUUGAUUGUACUAGGUGAAAUGAGAUCAAAAGAUUAACAAAAGUUACUUGAUGGUUUCUAGCUUUUUAGCUGAAAUAAAGUCCUGUAUGAAAUGAUAUAAUAUUUUAGUUUUCUAUUAUGGCUUGUUUUCCUUGCAAAGUAUGAAUCUUGAAUUAGUUCCUGCCUCCCUCUUCUAAUUCUCCUUACCCAUUUCUAGUUGAAAGUUAAUUGAAAUUCCAUGUGAUUUUGUGUUAUAAUUCCAGUUCAUAAUCUGAAUGGAGACAAUAAAUUUGGAUGAAGGAGCUUUAAGCAGUGGGAAAAAUCCAUAAUAAUUUGUAAUUCUCUAAAUCUCUAAACAAUCUUACAUCUCUUUGUCAUGCCUUUCAAACAUAGUUGGUAUAACUAUGUUCAAUUGUCUUAGCUAUUGUUUAAUCAUUUUUAAUUUUUCAUUCCCCCUGCUCCCCCAAAAAAAAAUGUUUGUCUGAGCAAUGAGUCUUUCUCAAAAUCAAUUUCCAAGGCCAUUUUAUUUGAUUAUGACUUUGUGAGUAAAACAUGUUUGUAUUUGUUAGGGAACCGCAGUAACAAAAGUGAAAAUGGCUCAAAAGGAGGCCCAAGGGAUUGCUGAGAAGAGGAAAGGAAGAAGAGGACCUGGGAGUGUAAUUGGGUCCAGUGCUGCUGGUUGUGUAUGUGCUGUUCUAACAAUAUAUGGAGUUGGAGGAGAGGCAUUUACACGUCUUUGGCAACUUGGUUUUAUUGCUAGUUUCUGUACUAAGUUGAGUGAUACAGUGUCCAGUGAGAUUGGGAAAGCAUAUGGCAAAACAACGUAAGUAGUGCAUCUCUGUUUGUUAAUGUAUAGGCGCUUUAGAUUAACUGUAUUAAUAAUUCUCCUUAGUUCAUUCUAAAGAAAGGAUAUUUCAAAUCAAGUGGAAUUUAGAUCCCUUAUGGUUCUUGCUAUAUUCGAGCUCUAUUAUUGUCAUAUAUGCUGGUGAUAAAGGUCGCUUUGACAUCCUAUAUAGAAACAAAAUUUGUGAGUGUUAAUAUUGCCUCAAAUCUUUUUUUUUUUCUUCAAAGGUUUAUGUCAAUUGCUACUCUCUUUUUUUUUUACUGUUAAACUACACUUUAGAAUUGCAAAUAUAAAGUGUGUGAUGUGCCAAAAUGAACAGGUACCUGGUGACAAACUUUCAGAUUGUUCCUAGGGGAACAGAAGGAGCUGUCAGUGUUGAAGGAACUGUUGCUGGACUUCUAGCAUCUAUACUGCUUGCCACUAUUGGUUGUCUAUUGGGUGAGGUAGUACUUGCUAUGUACUCAUACUAUGUGAAUAAUUUGUUCUGCCAUUCAUGAUACCAUUUUUUUUUAAUAACAAGCAUUAUUGUGAUCAUUACAAAAUGUUUACACCUUGUAAGAACCUGGAAUUUUUUCUAGUCUCUGCAACAAUAGACUAAUUGGUGGGGUGGUGCCUAGAUGGAAUGAUUUUGCAGAUAUAAUUUGUUGAAGGUGUUUUUCAAAGGGAACUCUUAGCAAAAUAGCAGAUCAUGAUAUAUUUAUAAAUUGAUUUUGACAUCUCAGUUUAGGCGUGUACGACCUUUGUGAGCAUUAUUUUGCUGGGAACUUAAAUUUCAAUUUAAUAUAGUUCAGGUAUUACAAUUUGGUAAAUUGGAUAAUAUUUUCAAGGGGAAGGAGAAUUAAAUUAGUUGAAACCGAUUUUUAUUGUUAGUGGUUUUUUGUAUGUGAGUGGAUGAGGUUGUCUCUCUAGCCUUGCUGCAUCUUUAGCUAGGAUUUUCUCAAAAAUCUUGUAUAUAUCCCUAAGGUUAUGGUGUUGUUCAUAGUAUUGACGCCAUAACCUCUAUACACUUUCAAACUGAAUAUGAUCAACAGCUUCUAGAGAAUGCAUAAAUGAAAUAUGGGUAUUUGAAUUUAUAGAGAUGUUCUAAGCUUCUGUUUUUUGCUUUUUCAUUUAUCUUUGCAAGCAGAUAAAUGUACCUGAGGUAUUGAUAUGUGUAAUAGCAUCCCAGAUUGCUAAUCUUGGUGAGAGCAUAAUUGGUGCUGCAUUCCAAGGGAAAGAAGGAUUUCGUUGGGUAAGGAAUCAUUUGAAUAAUAGGAUGGUUUCUGUCAUCCUGUUUUCUUAACCAUUUUUUCUUAAAUUUAGUGCCUAUGUAUCUUCUAGAUUUUAGUGUUACCGAUGAAUCAGGCUUGAUUCUAUAUGAAUGUAUGGUUUGAUGUGGUAUAUCGAUGAGAUGAUUACAUGUAUAUCAUUUUGUGGACUCUCAUCAUGUUUGGAUCUGGCUGCACUCCUAAAGCUGUAGUGAGGAAGAAUUAUAUACCCACUGUUUUGGGGUAAAGAAGAUCGAAGAGUAAAUUUAGAGAGAUCAGCCUGUUAUAAAACUGCCUGCUAAGGAUUAAUUCUAGUCUUAAUUUUCAUUCGAUGAAAUCACGGUAUUGUGCAUGUAAAAGGCUGUUAUGUUGGUCUGAUUCUUCUUUUUGCUUUGAAGUAUCCAUGUUCAACAUAUAGUCACACAAGAAAUAUGGAGAUAUGACCUUCAAGAUACAUGAUAAACUUUAGCACAAAUCUCUAUCAGACACUUACCUGAAUUUGAGCGAAAUAUCUGGGUUGGCCAUAUAUAAAUCUGCCUAGGAUCUAUCAUCUUAGCAUGUUUAUAUGCUUUUCAUUAUAAGGCUGAAACUUGGAUUCUUUUACCAUAUUGAUUUUGGUUUUCAUCUUGCAGCUGAACAAUGAUGCUGUUAAUGUCAUCAACAUAUCCAUAGGCUGCAUUUUGGCAGUCUUAAUGCAACAACUACUCCAAAACUGGCAAAUGUAAGUUCACCCCAUCAUCUCUUUUGCGAUGUCAGGUAAUUAUUGCAGAGUUCAUCGACACUGCAAUCGACAUAUUGCAAUGUGGGGAAAGAAAAGAAGAAGAAGAAAGAGAAAGUCUUCAAUGUAAUGCAAGAGAUGAGCACAAAGGUGCAACAAUUAUAGCAAUGAUUUUGCUAACCUUGAAAGAUACUCAAAUGAUAUGGAAAAUCAUUAGCAUAACCAUUUGUUCCAUGAGUAUAUUUUAAAAAGGCUUCUCUCUUUUAUAGUCUUGGUAUUCAAAGAUGUAUUCCUUUUAUCAAUCUCCAGUUAGAAAUGAAUUAGAUGCUUUUUAAAUUGCAUUUCUUAACCAAAAUUAUUGGCUUUUUUUUUAUUGUUGUUGAGCCGCACUGGAUUUAUGGGUGUAAUUGAAGCACAAGCUUGACUUGGAACUUUUAUGUUCAAAGUUCGGCCCGGGCCCAAGCUUGAGUUCAAUUAAGCCAUUUGUGAAUAUAUCAACCAAUUGUUCCUUUGUAAAGACAUGUCUAGUUUGGACUAAACCAUCUUGGAUUUUUUUUACAAGGUGAGAGUCAAUCUCUAUAUGUUUCGUUCUCUCGUAGUAUUCAGGGUUGGUUGCAAUCUGAAUUGCUGCUUGACUAUCAUAGAAUAAUAUGAUUGGUUCUACUCGUUUAAAUCCAAGUUCCUUCAGUAGUCCAGUCAACCAAACUAACUCAGCCAUAGUUCUAUACUUUGCCUUUGCUGAAGAUCGUGAUACUGCAUUUUGUUUUGUUUUGUUUUUUCCAAGAGAUGAGACUUAAAACUUCUGGAGGAUGGUCAGGAUGGGUGUUUGGUUUACAAGGUAAAGAAAACGGUGAAGGUGGAGUUUGUGAGGUUUUCUUUUUACCUUUCCCUUUGGAGGAGGAUGAAGGUUGGAUCAUGAAAUUUUCUGGAAGUUUUUCUGGUGGUCUAGAAAGAAUGUCUGCAAGAACAUUGGUUUUCCCUUUUAUGUGGAGGACAUUCUGUCACUAAUCGCUUUGACAUUGGACUUGAAGCCCAAUUCGAAUCACAAUAUGCUACAAGUUAUGGAGAACCAACUACAGCACAGAAUAAACCUUGUCCUGGAUCCUUUUUAAUGUAUCUGACUAUUCUAAGAGCAGCUUUAUAAUGCGACUUCUUGGGUCGUUGCAUAAACUGACUGGAUGUUGUACCACAAACGUCAUAUCUAGCCUUGUAUGAGUCAAGUACAAAAGCCUUCUAAUAAGCCUUUGAUAUAAUGAAACAUCUGUCAAUACCUCAUCAUCAUGAUUCAUUUGCACCAUCUCAUCUUACUGGAGAUGUCAAGUUUUGAUUUUGUUCUAAAGGAGUGACAACUAUCUUUCCUCCCCCUUACCUCGUGUCUGAAAUUAAUUCAAGAGCAUAUUUGCGUUGAUUCAGUACAAUUUCAAACUGUGAUCUUGUGAUUUCAAUGCCAAGAAAAUACUUUGAGAUCACCUAAAUCUUUCAUUUUGAAAUUUUGAUGCACAGUUCCUUUAAGCUCAUUUAUAAGCUUGGUAUCAUUUCCAGAAAUCAACAAAUCGUUAACAUAUAUCAACAUGACAACCAGCUUAUAACCUUUCUUCUUGAUAAAACGAGAAUAAUCGUACUUACUUUGUGAAUAACCAUUUAGAAGAAUAGCUUUAGUAAGCUUUAGAUUCCACUGUCAGACUUAGCAAUUGACAUACUCUAGUCUCUCUUUGAUUGCGAAAAUCGUCUGGAAGAGUCAUAUAAACCUUCUCAUGUAAAUCUCCUUGCAUUAUAGGCAUCCAUUUGAAACAAGGGCCAACCAAACUAUACAGCAAGAGCAAUGACCGUGCAAAUUGUGACUUGCUUCGCAACAGGGGAAAGUGUCAUGAAAAUAAAAAACCUGCCUGCUGAGUAUAACCCUUCCUAACAAGUCUGGCUUUAAAUCUUUCAACCGAGCCAUCAGAGCUGUACUUGACCUUGUAGACCCAUAUGCAACCAAUGGGCGUUUUACUAGGAGGUAAAGGAACUACCUCCCACGUGACAUUUGAUUCCAAUGCUUGAAUUUCUUGAUCCAUGGCCUUUAUCCAAUGUUUAUCCUUAAUUGCUUCACUUUAGGUUUAAGGUUCAAUAAUAUGGGAAAUGGAGGCAGCAAAAAAUUGUGUAUGCAAAGGUAAAUGAGCAUCAGCUAUACAAUUAGAUAUAGGGUACUAACCUUUAUGGAGUGAAGAAGAUAAAGAAGAGCAAUUUAAAUCUUUCAUCCAUGUAGGAUCCUUAAAAGAACGAGUAGUGCGAUGUAAAGACAGCUGGUAAGGUAGUAGACUACGAAGGUAAUAAGGACUGGUUGGGAAAUGGAGCUGAAGAACGACAAGGAGCUAAGGAUGAACAUUUCAAAUGGGAUUUUUCCAAUUCAAAGCUGAAGUAGGUAAUCUGUUAACAAUAUAACAAGCAGCAAGGAUACACUCGCCCCAAAAUUUGGUAGGUACAUUAGACUGAACUUUGAAAGCACAUGCUAUUUCUAACAAAUGUCGAUGCACACAAGAACUUUGAUGUAUUAUGCCUAAGAAGAAAAAAAAGGAGUAUAUUCAGAGUUAAAGAACUCAGUACUUAUGACUUCCAAAAGUUUUAACAACAGUUGAAAAUUGCGUGUGAACCAAGGCUAUAAACUGUUUCAAAAUGACAAUAGUGUCGGUUUUAAGCUUAAACAGAUGAACCAAAGAAAAAGGAGAAUCCGCUCGAGAAUAACUAAUAGGAAAUGGCAAUCGUGUUUGUUUAGUAAGAGGACGAACAUGGCAUGGACUAAUAUAGUCACUGUUCCAAAAUGAAAGAAACAUGGCCAAGUCCGGCAUGCCAAAGGAAAGACUGAUCAUGAGAUGUCAAAAAGGAAGAAAUGGGAGAAGAUACAAAAGAUGGCAAUUGAGGCUGUUGAUGCACCAGAAUGUAAAGAUCAUUCUGUUCUUUACCAAUCCCCUUCACUUGUCCACUGCAAAGUUGCCGUAAAAGGCAAAAAUCGGGAUAAAAGGAUACAAAACAAUGUAAGUCUCGAGUUAACUUGAAAACGAAAAUUAAAUUGAAAUGAAAGUCUGGGACAUGAAGGGCAUUGGUUAACUUGAUAGAGGAGGACAAGACAUAGGAACCCAUGUGAGUAAUAGGGACGGAUUUACCAGUGGGAAAUUGGACAAAUGAAGAAUGAAAAGUAAAAGGAACAAGAGAAUCCAAAUAUUGGCAAUCAGAUAUCAUGUGGUUGGUGGCCCUCGUCUCCAAAAUCCAUUGGAAAGAUGCAGGCCAAGAAACCAUACCUGCCAUGUGAGCAGCUACUCCAACAGUUGAAGUGAACUCAAGACUGAGUAAAUUCAAGAUCAGUAGAUACUGUGCCUGAAUAAACACAGGUGCAAAUACUAUGGUAGCAUUGUUAGUCAUAGUUGACCUUUGUUUUGUAAAUUUAAAAUCAACAGGAUACCCAAUAAGCUUCUAACAAGUUUCCCGUUUGUGACCUUUAAUCUUUCAAUGGUCACACACAUCUUUCAAUGGUCACAGAAUACAAUGUUGUAGGUUCAGAAGGAAAAGAUAUGCCAGAAGAAUGUUGUCUUUGAGCUUCCUCUUGAACAAGCACGGAAUUAGCUUAAUUAACAGAAGGUAAGGGUUCCAUUAACAAAACCUGACUUCCAACAACAGCAUAAGAAUCAUUCAGGCCCAUCAGAAACUGAAAUAACCACUGUUGUUGAAUAAGUUGUUGAUUCAUGCGGGAAUUUUCACAAGAAAAAGAACCAAAGCAUCGUAAUCCCACAAAAGCUUCAAUCGUGUAAACAAAACUGAAACAGAGUAAGUACCUUGAGCAUGGGAAGCAAUCUCACCAUGAAGAACCAUCGACUUUCUCAUAUCGUUCUUGAAGUUCUUUCCAUGUUGACAAAAAUAAACUGUGCGGUAUAAUUAUAUAAUUAACGUCGCUCAAAAUUAACAUAAAAUUUCAAUAUUUGUAAAUUCGAAUAAAGAAGGUGAAAUUCAAUUAUAUUACUUUAUAUACUCAGUGCUUUCUAUGUAAAUUAUUUUCAUUAUUUUAAAUAUAAAAUGUUUAUAUUAACAUGAUAAAAAAUAAAUUAAAUUAUAAAUUAAAUAAAAAAUAAAAUUCAGUUUUAGUUACAUUCAAAUACUCGAUUUUUGGGGUUUUCUGCGCCCUAAUAGUAGGAAAAGAAAAUUCUCAUCAAACCCUAAAGCCCAUAAAAGAAAAAGUGAGAAGUUUAGUUGAUCUAUCAGAAUCUCAAGCACUCACCCUUAAUUUGCAGUAAGUUGCGAGUCUGCAAUUCUUUAGACCCCUUUUCUCAAUUGAUUUUCUUCUUUAACCAAUCGUUUCUCUCGCGCUCUGUUUCUUUUAGGAUGGCCGAUGAACAUAUUUCCACAGUCCUGGAGCAGCUACGACGAAUCAUGGCCGACGAAAGAUUUCGGAACUCGGAGUUUCAGAUAAACUUGCUUGUAUGGAGACUCGAAGCUUUUCAAUCUAUGAUUCUUUAACAUGGGGACGGGCUAUUUUCGGUUCGGCUAUUGGAGCGUGGGAUUACUGUUCAUGCACUCGAUCAAGUGCUAUAUAACAUAGAAGAUGUAAUUAACGACGUCUUACAUUUAGGAGUAUCUACUGAAUUAGCAGCAGCAGGCCUUGAGAAGUUUGCUUCUACUCAAUCAAAAGCAGCAUCAGCAGAAACAGCCACUCUUUACAUCUUGCGCAAGAGGUUGGAAGAAUUGGAGGAGGUAUUGAUUGGUAAUCCGCAUGAAUCGCAUCCCUUGCACUCUAAACGAUCUUUUUUUGUAAAAUUGUCAAAGUUAUAUGGUCUAGAUGUGGUUAAGAAAGAUAUAAUAAAUGUAAUUUUGGGUGAAAGUUUCAGGGAUAGUAGCGACAGCAUUAAAACCAUCAUUAUUGUUGGCAUGGAAGGAACGGGGAAAACAUAUCUUGCGCGGUGCAUUUGUACUGAUUGUCAAGUUCUGGAAAUUUUUGACAACAUAAUUUGGGUGAAUGUUUCGGAUGAUUUUGAUUUAGGUAAAAUUGCAAGAAAAAUUAUUCUGUCUCUUGAAGGUUUGGAGCAUGACUCUUUGCGUCUCCUAACAUUAGUUCCAUUGCAAAGUCUGUUAGAUAGAAUUCAGCGAAAGAUUGUUAACAAGAAAUCACUUCUUGUUUUAGAUGGUGUGGGGAGAUAUGAUUGUGAUGAUUGGGAAGCACUUAGAGCUGUUUUUCAACAUGGCAUGUCGGGGAGUGGGAUUCUAGUGACUACUCAUGAGCACUCGGUUGCAGGAGCAAUGGAAUCAUCUUAUAAAUUUUGUUUGGGAAAGCUGUCUGAUGAGUUGUGUUGGAUGAUACUUCGUGAAGUUGGAUUGAAUGAUGAUACUCUUGAAUAUGCGGUAGAGGAUAUAGGAAGGGAACUUGCAAGGAGGUGUGAAGGACUACCCUUUGCUGCAAAGGUUUUGGGAGAUGCUAUACGACAUUAUGACUUUGGAAUAAGAGGAUGGGAUGUUUUUCUGAGAAAUUGUAUCUGGAAAUCUCCUAGAAUACCCAAAUAUAUGUCUAAAAUUCUAUCACUAUCUUAUUGCAAUCUACCUUUGUCUGUAAGACGGUGCUUAUCGUAUUGGGCUAUCUUCCCCAAAAGCUUUGAGAUUUCAAAAACUCUUUUGGUGCAACACUGGAUGGCACAAGGUUGUCUGUACUCAUCUGAUAAUUUAGAAAUGGAACUAAAAGGUGAAGAGUACUUUAAAUGCUUAGAAGCUCAUUCAUGUUUCCAAUAUUGUACCAGAGAUGGUGGUAUGCUUACUUGUAAGAUGCAUAGCUUAGUACAUGAUUGUGUCCAAUCUUUGUCCCCAUAUGAUUUAAUGAUGAGGUUCGAGUCUGUUAAACAGCUGACCUUGAAUUUAUCUUCUUGGACGGAGGAGGUCAAAGUUGUUGGCACUCAUCAUUUGGUAAUGAUGAUUGCUCAAGGAGCUGGUUUUCCCAUGGACAUUAGUGGUGCAGAGAAAUUGAGGACCCUUGUUGCUGUUACUCAAGGGUGUUUGAUAACUAGUCAAGCAUUAUCUAACUUAUUUAAACAAUCCAAACAUCUGAGGUUAUUGGAUUUGAGCUUGACUAGUGGGUGGCAUAAUUGUUUUGGGCCAUCCGGACAAGGUAAUAUACUAGAUGAAAUUCCGGUGGAAAUCUGCAGAUUGAUUAAUUUGAGGUACCUUAGCUUGGCUGGCAGCAAAGUAUUGAAGAUAUUACCAGAAACAUUGUGUGACUUGCAUAAUUUGCAAUCCUUGGAUCUUACUGGUUGUAGUAGUCUUAGAAAAUUGCCAGAUGGAAUGGGGAAAUUAAUGAACUUGAGGUAUUUUUAUACCUGGUGUUGCUCUAGUAUAACUUCCUAUCCAAAAGGGAUUAGCUGCUUAACUUCUCUUUGAGAAUUAACCAAUGUCAUUGCUAGAGCUGAUCACAAUGAUGCAAAGGAAUUCACUCUUGGAGAUUUUGAAAAGUUGAACAACCUUUGUGGACAUGUUCGUGUGAAACUGGUAGGGAAUGCGAUGGAUGCAGAUGAGGCUAUUAGAGCUAACCUUUGGAACAAGAAGGAUCUUGACCGUAUCAGAAUAAAUCUGGAUGGGGAUAUAGGGAAAGAAAGCCAAGACGUUAUAAAGAAAGCAUUAAACCCGCCUUCCGACUUGAAUAUAGAGUUCGUAGGUUGGUGGUUCUAGUCCAGAAAUGUAAGGAUGCUGCAAAGCAACAGGUAGUCUCUCUGUCUCAUUUUCUCUUUUGUUGUAGCUUUGAUGGUUCAAAUUCAGUAUUUACUCCUAUGAUUCAUUCAAACCCAAAUUUCAGUUGUGUUAUAGUAGUUCUAGUUUCUGUUGUUAUCAUCUGAUUAGAUGGAAUAUUAUGAAAUCUCUUAUAACAUUACAAUGACAAAGAUAUCGGCUUGUCUAUCACAUGAAAUUUCUCUCUUGCUAAAGCAUGCUCUGAAUGAAUCACUUUAAAACGGCAAGAUAACUUAGAUUAUCCUUAUUUUCUUUUGCUGGACAUACAUAUCCCGUGAGAGACAUUGUCGUUAUCGGUGGUACUGUAGUUAAAGUUGGAGUAUAUUUUUAGUAUUUUAGUUUUUAUAUUAGGAUUUAAUCAGUUAUUAAGAUGGAUUUUUUCUGGAAAAAACAUGGAUACUUUUUUCUAAAAUUUUUUAUUAACUCUUUUGAAAUUUGUUAAAUUUUUAAUUAUUUUUAUUAGUUUUUGAAUUUUUAUGAAUUAUAGGUAGGCUACCACACGAAUUGAUCACGUCAAUAUUGUUAAAAUUUUAAUAAUCUUUUUAAUUCAAAAGAAAGUAAUAUAACUAAAUUGUAAAGGUUAAGUGUAAAAGUCAAAAUGACAAAAUAAGUCAACAUUAAAAGAUUAAAUUUAUCACGAUGCCUUUUUUAUAUACUCAUAAUUAAUUAUAAUAAAAAGUUAACUUUAUUCAGAUAUAUUUGUUAUUUUAAAUAAAUAUUCAGAAUACAACUUGAAAAUAAUCUCAUGUUUAUAAUUAUAACACGAAAACUUUACUUACUAUAUAAUGGAAGAGUAUUUGGUAUAUUAACAGUGUGCCUUUUUUUAUUGCACAAGUAUGUGUAAAAGAUUGAUAUAUGUCUUUAUUUUUUAAUAUUUUAUUAUACUUUCUAAGACACUUGUCAAUCUUUUAACUUUGCUUAUAAAAUUUAAAAAUUCCACUAAUAAUCUCACCUAGCAAAAUGGAUUAAAAACAUUUAAAGUAAUUUAGUUGAAUUAUGAUAAAAGGUCAAUGUAUUCUAAAAUGCUAAAUGGCAUAAAUUUGAGUUUGUCAAAUUCUCUAGCAUUGGGAGGUAAGUCAAAUUGCAAACUAAGUUGAAUAUUUUUUGGCUUUUCAGUAAUCAUAUUCAUGCUAAUAUUUUUAGAUUUAAUUCUCACUUUCAAUAUUAAAAGAGGGUUCAAAUGCAACUUGGAGUCAACAUGAACAUGAUACUUUGAAAACCCUAAAGGGCACUUGCACUCUUGUUUUGGAGGUGAGGUUAAGAAGACCUACAACAAGUUUUAAUAGAAUUUGAUAUAGUUGAAAAAGAUUCAGAGGAAAAUGGUACCAAAAUCUACAGUCGUGGAAUACGAUGACUGUAUUAAAAUAUAUGAAAUUGGUUGAUGGUUUUAUUUAUUGUCUCUUAAUAUUUUAACUAAUCAAUUAAGUAGUAAUGAGAAGGACAUGACACUUAAUCAUUAUAGUUUCUAGUUAAAGUUUAGGAAGAUGCAUUGACAUCAAUUCACUAAUUUUUUAUGAAAAAUGUUUUUAACCGGUUCAUAUCCCCAAUACCAUUGAACGUUGAAUCAAAUGGUUUUGUUGAUUAGAGAAAGACACUAAGAAAUGUAGAGGAACAUGUAUGCGUAAGAGAGAAUUUGAGGCACAUUUAAUAAGUUAACUUUGGAAAUUUUAUAUGUGGAUAAUAGCAACGAAGAAAGAGACUGUUGAGAAUGAUCAAACUUGGAGCAUAUGUUUAGAUCCAUGUGGAGGUACCUAUUAGGUAAGUGAAACAAGCAAUUGAAAUGAUGGAGAGUUUAGUACACCGGUAUCGUACUAUGAUAAUUUAUGGUCAUUUUUAAUUAAUACAAGUCAAAAAUAAUAAUAUUUAAUAAACCUAAAAUUAAUGGGCAAAUAGUGAUGAGUUAUCCUAAAAUAGAAUUGAAGAGGAUAAGGUCCUACAAUUAAUAAUAAGAAAAGUGAAGACUCUUUGAAAAGAUUAAGGAUGUACUUUGAUUAAGAGUGGUUAUAAAAAAAAAAAUUGGGGGGAAGGGAUAGAGUGGAGUAAGGAAAGUGGUGUGAUUGCCCAUUAACAUAAGUAAGAAAUAUGCGAAUGAUUGCCCAUUAACAUAUAGAGUAGGUAAAAUUGACUUGUUUUUCUAGAAAGACAAUAGAUAAGCCUAAAAAGUUAUAAAAAGUAAUUGUUAAAAUAGUUAAAAUGAGAGGAAAAAAUAAGAUAUUUUUGUUUAUGAGAAUUAAGUGUCGUGAGUCGGGACGAAAAGAUUAAUCAUUGUUACGACAGUAAAUACCUUGAUUACAACGAAAAAGAUAAAAUACCAUUUUACUUUAUAGAAAAUUCUCAUGAUUUUAUAAAAUAUACCAUGAAUAUAUUAAAUCAUAUAAAAAGCGUAAUUCUAUAACUCAUACCUAAUUUAAAUACAGGAUGGUAUUUAGAAUGAUUAUAAGAAAAUGCUUGUUCAUGAAUGUUGUGAGUUUUCCGAAUCUUGGGGACAAUGUACCCUCUGGCUCCCGUCAGGAUUCACCUGGUAAUUUAUAAAAAGGAAUAAACAAUCACUUGGUAACUCACAACUCACAAGGCAUAAAAUAUAAUCACGUCAAGCAGCAAAACACAAACCUUUUUUAAUAUUCCAAUCUAAUACAAGUGAUAAUAUCAACUCUUAGAGCCCUAACUCUUAAAGUAUCAGCACAUAAUUUUAACCACUUACUUUUAAUAAAUACCACCAUCACUACCAUUAUCACCAUCGACAGAGCCUCUCAAUUCAUAUGUCCUGCAAAAAAUGGUGUCAACACUAACAAAAAAACCAAAAUUAUAUCAUUAAAAUAUAUUUGUAUUUCUUAAAAGGCAGAUCAUUCAGUUUUUCUGGACAAGUUUCCCUAUGCAAUCUAAUACAAGUGAUAAUAUCAACUCUUAGGGUCUGUUUGAUUGACGGAAUUGAUUUUCCGGAAAAUCAUUUCCAACUUUUCCAGCGUUUGAUUGGCGGAAAACAUUUUCCAUUUGGAAAAUGAACUCCAAAACAAGGGAAAAUGAGUUACAUUUUAGGGAAAAUGUCUUACUCUUUCAAUUUCUAUAAUUUUAGGCUUUUCCCACCUACCUCUAAUUACACAAAAUAUUUUCAGAUUUAAUUUACUAAUUUUGGCUUUUACAAGGUCAAGAUUUGACUAUCCCAUCAAAUGUCCCAAAUUUAUAAUUUGGUCCCUCUUCUCUUUUCCAUGCUUCAAUCUAACCCCUUCUUUGCUUGUUUUUGAUUUAAAGUGCCCGAAUUUUGUUCCUGUCAAUAUUUAAACACAAAACGCACCAAUUACCAGGGAUUAAUUUGAGAAUAAGUCGAGUUGAACACGUAAAUUAUGCAAAAUGAACAAGUUAUCAUUGACCAUUAGUGCUACGUCAGCACAAACAAACGGUGUUAGUGCAGAGAUACCAACCUAGGUGACAGAAUAUAAAUUCAGGUACCAAUUAGAUAAAAAAAAAUCAUACACCAAAUAAAUACUUUUGAAUAAGUUCGAAAAUAGACGACAAAUUAUCCUUUCUUUUCUCUUUUUAUCUACCUGUAAUAUUUGAAUAUGAAAAGAAGUUACACAACUUUUCAAUUUCAAUAGUAGUUAUUUAACUUUGCCUAGUUGAGUUUUACAUAAAAUUUCUUUCUUUCGUUGAACAUGCUCUCAAUGAAUCACUUCAAACCCCCAAGAUCCUAAUAUUUUGCAGAACAUAUCAAUUGAGAGGCUCUAUCGAUGGUGGUGGUGGUGUUAGAAUCCGUUUAUGCUGGUGGUAGCAUUUUGUAUUUUUUUUUAUCGUAUUUAUUAAAAAUAAGUGGUUAAAAUUACGUGUUGAAAAUUUAAGAUUUAGAGCAUAUCGCCACUCGUAUUAAAUUGUAAUAUAAGCAUCGAUUGUAAAAAGAAAAGUUUGUGUUUUGCUUGUACUGUCUCAUAAAAGACAUUAAGUAAUUUCGUUGUCGUGUUUAUAUUUUAUGCCUUAUGAGUUACCAAAUGGUUGUUCAUUCCUUUUUAUAAAUUACUAGCCGAAUCCUCUUCAGUGAAGGAGCUUGAAAAUUUUUUGGGAGGGUCGGAAUUAAAUUGUAUAUUUGUAUGAUGGUAAAAAUAGAAUUUUAUAAUUUUAAUAGCUUAUAUCUUUAUAAUUUUUAAAAGGUUAAAUCAAAAUUGUAUCAUUUUAAGAGGUCAAAGUAUAGUUUUACUAUUACUAAUUUAAAAUUUUAUAAAUUAUAAAGGGCCUAAAUUAAAAUUUACUAUUUUAAGGGGGCUAUGGCGCCUUGGGUCUCCACUACAUUAUGCCACUGAUCCUCAUGGAAGACAGAGGCUACCUUGACCCCCAAGAUUUAGAAAAUUGCCAUUUGACCUUUUUAAUUUUAUAAAAUUUUUAAUUUAGUUUAUUAAAAUUCUGUAAAUUUUCAUUAAACAAUUUUUAAAACUUUUAAUUAGAUCUCUCAAAUUCUUUUUGGAAAUUCUUAUUUUCUCAAUUAAUUUUUUAAUUAAACUAUUCAGAAUUUUUGAUAAUUCUCAUUAAACCUUUUUAAAAUUCUCGAAAUUUUAAUUAAAUUGGUAAAAUUUGAAAAAUUUUAGUGAAGGGAAUCCCUCCCACAUAUUGAUCAAGAAAGCUUUGAAAAAAUAUUAAUUAAUUAUAUGUUUGAGAGAUUAAUAAUGUACUAUUUGGCUCCCAACAAUAAUAAUUCACUCUUAAUUUUGCUUCUUUUCCCUUUUUCUUUUACUUGUUUUUGUGAAAGAUAUCAUAAUAUAUGUUUUAAAUAAUUAAUGUAAUAAUAGAAAUAUUAAAAAAUAUAGUUAAUAGUAACAAUAUUUUAUACAAGCACAAUGACUUAUUCAAUUCUCCAAUUUUACAAAAAGAGACCAAUAAGUGAUUAGAUGUAAUGACAGGUCACAUUGCAUUCCCAAAAGAACUGCCUAAGUUCGAACAUCAUAAGUAAUAUAAAAACUUAAACAAAGUCAUGUAACAACCCAUAUAUCAAGUAUCACCAAAUACCAUUUCAUUCUUAUUCCAUUGUUUAGUUUCUAUUUUCAAUCAACUGAAUAUCGUCCGAUGGAACUAUAGCAAAACGGGCUCAAAUACACGGGAAUAAGUUGGUCACACAAGUUGACAGUAUAUUAGGGCUGCUCAGACAAGUUGACAUUACAACAGAAUUGCUCACAUAAACUGAUAUUAUAUCAAGGUUAUUCAUCUGGGCUAAACCUUCAAUAUGUAUAACCCGAGAAUUUGAGACAAGCCCAAGAACUCAUCCUAUGUAAAAGGGGUGCCAAACCCUAGUGCAUAGUAGGGUAUGUUGCCGCCCCUUAGUGUUUUGAAUAAAGGGGAACUGUAGUAUCAUAUUAAAACAAUACUAUUUAAUUACUCAUUAUUCAAGUAAAACUUUUGUACUAUUUUCCUAAAAUAGGAUCUAUGAAAUGAUUUAAUUACACCUAUCGCUGUUAUUUUAUCAUAAAAUAGUGGUAAUUUGUUUAUAAGAAUAAAUUCUAUAUUCUGAAAAGCUCAAAGUUUUCGAUUUCUAUAUAGAGAAUUAACUUUCUCACUAAAAGUUCAUGAAAGAUUGGUUGAACUGGGCAAAAAAAUUGGUCGAAUUAGAUGCGAUUGAACUGGUUGAACUAAAAUAUUUUAAUAUAUUUUUAUUUUUUAUGAAUUUUUUAUGAUUUAUUUAAUUGAAUUAGACUAAUCAAUCAAACCAAUUGAAUCAAUUGGAUCAACAAACUAGUAACCUUAUUGGUUUGAUCAUCGAUUUAGUUUUUAAAACCUUAGAUUUCGUCAUACCGUUUCAAUUAUUAUACCUUAUAAAUAAAAUAUAAAGUAAACCAGUGGUGAAAUUAGGGGGAUUGGCAAGGGCCCUGGCCCUCCCUAAAAUGAUUUUUUUUUUCAUAUGGACCCUCUAAAAAAAUUAAAAUUUUAAAUUAAUAAAAAUAAAAUUAUACUUUGGCUCCCCUAAAAUAUAAAAAUUUGAUUUAAUCUAUUAAAAAUUAUAAAGAUGUAGUCUAUUAAAAUGGUGAAAUUGUAUUUUUCUAUCGUAAAAAUUACAAUUUAAUUUUAGCCCAUAAUUUUUUUUUUCUAAUUUCGCACCUGAAAUAAGCUAUAUUUGAUUAAAUUUAUUAUUUUACCUUACAUACAAAACACAAAAUAAACAUUUAACUAUACAAAAUUAAUUGAUGAAUUGUUUUACUCAGUUGAAAGUAGAACAAAUAAUUGAUCCAAGAGGAAAGUGAAAUUUAUCCUUUUAUACGUCGAACAUUAGCGAAAAGGACAAAAAAGAAAUUUUGGGUUAUUUGGCUUUUGUUUCCUGCUGCUCUCCUCAAUCCAUUGACGCUGUUUCACCCCCUUUCUCUCGAUUUCUCAAUGUUUCUUUUCCUGUAAUUUGUUGUGAUUUGAAGUAUAAAUCAGGGAGAAGUAAAAGCUAUCAUAAAAAUGGCGGAGGCAAUUCUUACGGUAGUCUUGCGACAGAUAACAACAAUCUUGAGUGACCAAGCGGUAAAAGAGAUGACGAUGUGGGGAGACCGCGAGGCUGCUCUCAAAAAUCUUGAAACAUAUCUGAAAUCCAUCCGAUCCGUUCUCAAAGAUGCAGAGGACCUUCAAAUUACAGACGAUGCAAUCAAACUGUUGCUAGAAGAUCUGAAAAUUGUAAUUUAUGAAAUCGAGGAUGUGUUGAAUUUAUGGAGCUGUAAAGUACGGAAGGCAGAAUCUGUUCGUGCCAAGGUAAAUUGUCUACUUGAAUUCAUUGCAUAUCGUCGUAGUUCUGAUAGAAUAAAGAAGAUUUGUGAAAAACUGAGUCCAUUUGAGCUGAAAAACAAGCUGGAUCUGGGCAAGAGUAAAAUUAUAUCUCCUCUGCGGAACAAAGAAAGUACUAGCUAUUGUGAUCUAUCAAAAAUUAUUGGUCGAAGCGGAAUAAAAACUGAGUUAGUGUUCCGUUUAGUUUNNNNNNNNNNNNNNNNNNNNNNNNNNNNNNNNNNNNNNNNNNNNNNNNNNNNNNNNNNNNNNNNNNNNNNNNNNNNNNNNNNNNNNNNNNNNNNNNNNNNNNNNNNNNNNNNNNNNNNNNNNNNNNNNNNNNNNNNNNNNNNNNNNNNNNNNNNNNNNNNNNNNNNNNNNNNNNNNNNNNNNNNNNNNNNNNNNNNNNNNNNNNNNNNNNNNNNNNNNNNNNNNNNNNNNNNNNNNNNNNNNNNNNNNNNNNNNNNNNNNNNNNNNNNNNNNNNNNNNNNNNNNNNNNNNNNNNNNNNNNNNNNNNNNNNNNNNNNNNNNNNNNNNNNNNNNNNNNNNNNNNNNNNNNNNNNNNNNNNNNNNNNNNNNNNNNNNNNNNNNNNNNNNNNNNNNNNNNNNNNNNNNNNNNNNNNNNNNNNNNNNNNNNNNNNNNNNNNNNNNNNNNNNNNNNNNNNNNNNNNNNNNNNNNNNNNNNNNNNNNNNNNNNNNNNNNNNNNNNNNGCAUCUUUCUAACACCAACAACAUUACUGCCAUCCUAAUAAACCAUAAGUACCAUUUCCACUCCAUCAUCAUCAUCAUCUUUCUGUUUUCACUUCUCUCUCAGCUAUAUGUUACUUUUUGUUAACUUCUAUAUGUAUAUAAUCUAAAGAAGCCUAAGCUUCUUAUUUAUAUACAAGCAGAACAUUUUGCAUCCCACUUAUUCAAUAUAAUAUAAAAAUAAUAUAUAAUUAAUUAAUUCCUCAAAAAUUGGAUCAAUCUAGGCUUCUUAUUUACGUAAAUUCCUUAUUGCAAAAACUCUUGGUAGAAAUUCGUUAGGAAAGGAUGAAUGGACCACAAGAAUGCUUAUCAACUCUUGACUUUGGCGUCCAAUGCUAAAUUUAUUUUAAAAUUUCUUCAUGGAGACAAGAUGGGAUGACAAGAAUGAUAAGUUUUAAGUCAUUUAAGUUUACACAAUUUUAAUCACUCAUAAAAACAAGUAUUGACAUUCUAUUAAAGAAUUUAAACAUGGCUUAACGUUGAUUUUAAAUCUAAUGUUGAUGUUAAUCUUGAAAAAAGAAUGGCCAAAAAAAAUAUGAAAAGUGAGAGGUGGACAUAAAAUAGUGUAGUUGGGGUUAUAAAAUUCUUCAUGUAGACAUAAUAUUUUUUUUAUGCCUUUUUUACACUUAUAUAGAGUUAGUCUUGACUUUGCUUUAUUAAUAGAAAUUUUAGGUCUUCAUUUUUUGUUUUAUUCAUGGACAUAAUAUUUUCUUAUUUUUAUUUUAUGGUCUAUGAUCGAGGUUUAUGACUAUCCCCUUUCAACAACGUCGUCUCAACUGUUCAAACAUACACUUGCAGGUAAAAUAAUACUUUUUAAAAUCACAAAUAUUUAAAAUAAUACAUUGCAGCUAUAUAAAUGCUUUCUUGUUUAAGAUACUAAUAAAGUAAUUAACAAAGUAAUUAUUAUACCUAUAAUAAUUCAAAAUGCCACUUGUUAUCUAAUGAAGUAUAGGGGUGUAAAUGAGACAUCCGUACCCGCAAGCUAUUCGAAUUUGGCUCAAAAAAUUUUGAAAUUGAUUCGGUAAUUAUUGAGCCGAGCUAUAGGUCGAUCCGGAUUCGAGCUUAGUAAUACUUGACUCGAGUAGUUUGAGAGCCUUAUUGAACUUUUUAUAUUUUUAUAUUAUUAGAUUACAUUAUUGCUAUUAAUAUAUAUUAUUAACCCUAAGUUUAAUUAUUGAGGCGAGCUCAAACUCGAGUACAAAAAUUGAUAAACAUAUUUAAUUUCGAGCUUAAAAAUAUAUGUUCGAUCGAGCAUCAAGCUUUGAAUUUCAAAUUAAACUUGAGUUUAACAGUAUUGAGUUCAAAUAGAUUCAAUUACACCCUACAAUAAAAUAUACCAACAAAACCUACAUUCCAUCUUUGCUAUAAAUUUUAUGUAUGUGUGUGUUUAACGUGAGUUCCAUCUAUGUCCAACUUGAUGACGAUGAAAGUUCCUAUGGUGUAAAAAGUUUUAGUUAUGUGGAAAAAUAAGGCCUUCUCUUCACACGUUUAAUAUGCUUACUUGUGUCGGUCAUUUCGAUCUUCACAUCAAUUUUCAAAAAGUUGGAAAACUUAUGUCUGCUUUUAUGAUUCUUUUAUGUGUGUGUUUAACGUGACUUCCUUGUGAGUUCCAUCUAUGUCCAACUUGAUGACAAUGAAAGUUCCUAUGGUGUAAAAAGUUUUAGUUAUGUGGAAAAUUGGUGGAAAACUUACGUCUUUUUCACUUGCUUUUAUGAUUCUUUUUACAUGAUAUUACUAUAUAAUUAAAUUGAAAUACUGAUAAAUUUGAACCCAUAUGAUGUAAGUCUAGGCAUCAUCUAAUUUAUUGAUAUUUAAUUAAUUAAUAUAUAUACUUUCAAUUAUAAGAAUUGAAACAUAACUUUCAAGUCAAUUGGAGUAUGCCCCUGUUACACGUCAAAAGAAGUAGAUUUUGAACUCAACAUGAACCUGUGAGAUUUGAUGCCUAAAAUAUAGGUAUAAGGUUUCAAUUCAUGGAAAUGUUGGAAAUCUUGGAAAUUUCUUAGUCUCCUCUCUUUGGAUGUUUUUGAACAAAAAUGUUUUAAGUCUCUUCCGAUGCUAAACUUCUGAUUGGUCGUCGGUUCACUGACCCUUUGGUACACAGCAAUAUGAAGCAUUGGCCAUUCAAGGCCAUUGCUGGUCCUGGUGAUAAGCCAAUGAUUGUACUACUAUAGAUUUGAAUAUUUGUACACAUUUGAUCGGCUCUUCGUAAAUUUAAAUCUUACAAAUUCGGAUAAUAUUUGAACUUUGAAUGUAUGUUUUGUUGGUGAGAAUAUAAAGUUGAUAAAGAUUUGGUAAAUAGAGUAAAAUAUUAUUUUUAUUAGAAAAAUUAUUUGGUACACUGCCAAUCGAGGUAAUUAAAACAUGUCAUUAUAAAUAAUAAAAUUAUGAUGACUCAAAUAUACGAACACGUCAAAAUUUAUGUACAACGAAUUAUUAACAUGUAAAUGUAUAAUACGGUACGCAAAAAUAAGAUAAUUGCUUGUUUUUUUAAUUGAAUUGUUAUAACAUAUUAUACAAAAUACAUUGUGACUUAAAGCAUAAAAUGAACUUGAUAUCAAAAUAUUAAAUUUUUUUUAAAAUUCAAUGAUACGAAUAAUUAUGUAAAAUAUAACAUGAUGCAAAAUAUCUUGAGAGGAAAAGAGGAAUAAAGAAUUGCAUUAUUUGUGAGGUUUUAAAAUAUUCCAGUUUUAGAUUCAAUUUUCUAGUAUGUUUGGUUUAAUUUUACAUUAGAUUUCCUUUUCAGUAUGCACUAGUGAACGCUUAGCAGUCAGUUUAAUUUAAUUCAAAGAGAUAUUGCAUAUACAUAAUAAUGGAUUAUGAUUUUACAUUAAAUUUCAUAGAAGAAAAAGAAAUAGAUGGUUGAAAAUGAUAAAACCAUAAGAUAAAAGAGCUUUUAUUCAAAAUGCAAAAAUCAACAAAAUAUUCAUUAUCGCUCAACUUAGCAUAAUUAAACAUUUAGGUGUGGAAACAAGUCACAAUUUGAGUAGCUAAACACAUUGCUUGAAAAUGUGAUAAGUAAGAAAAUUGCCCACAUUUGAGUAGCGACAUGUGGUGAAGCAUUUCCCAACGAGAGAAAACUAAGCUCUUCACCAGUAUGGAUUUAUGUAGAGGACAACAAAAAUUGUCAACAACACAACUACAUAAGAAACCAAAAAGCUCACAAAAAAAUCAUAAGUAUCUAUCAAACCAUCUUCUCCUUUAUCUUCUGAUACAAUUGAUAUCGCUGAUGGUGAAUCGGUUUUGGAACAACUUUUAUGCAAUAUAUCUCCACAACGAAAAGGAUUUCCCUCAUAACUGUUUUCAAUAAAGGUCCCAAAUUGAGCUUUUGGUUCGGGAAUACUACCUGACAAAUUGUUAUAUGCCACGCUGAAAACCUCCAAAGAGUUCAACUCUACCAAUUGAUUGGGGAUUUCACCACACUCAAGUUGUUGUAAGAAAGGUCCAAACUCUCAAUGUGCUGAAGUUUUGAGAAUGAUGAGGGUAUAACUCUGGUCAACUUAUUGUGUGACAAGUUUAAAGAAUGGAUUUCACUCAAGUUCCCUAAUUUUGGUGGGAUAUGACCAGUUAAGUUUUUGCAAGAUAAAUCAAUCCCAAUAAUAUAUGAAAGGAUGUUGCCCUUGUACGAAUAGAACCCACUCUUUGUUGUGAACUCUAUUACUUCUUCUAAGUAGCUGUCAGGGUUGUAAGGAUUUAUACCCCUUUCCCAUUUUCUCAUCACAAUGGAUGUUGAUUCAUCCUUUUCUAUAAAUGGAAGAUAGAACCCAGUUGCUAGACUCUCUUUCUCUUUCAGUGGAAGAGAUAAAUUUCCCAAACAAGAAGGUAUAGGACUAGAAAACAUAUUUUGAGAAAGAUCUAUGAUGCUUAAAGAAUGCAACUUGCAUAACUCAAUAGGAACUUUAUCAUGAAAAUGAUUAUCUUUCAGGAGAAGAACACUCAAAGAAGAAAGCGUGUAAAUCCAUUUUGGAAUACUACCUGUCAAAUUGUUUCCUCUAAGAUCUAAAGUCACUAUUGAAGAGUUAUUAUAAAAAAGCAAGUGAUAGUGUGCCUCUCAGUCUAUUCCCGUGGAGGUGGACAUGCUCUAUGUAUGGUGGAUUAAAACAUGACGGUAUAGAGCCAGAUAAAUUAUUUUGAGAAAGAUCCAAAAAUUCCAACCUAUUCAACUUUCAAAAUUCCAUUGGAAUAGAACCUUCAAAACCAUUGUUGGACAAAUUUAAUCUCCACAAAAAUGAUGCAUUCCCUAUCCAUCUUGGGAGCUUUCCAUGCAACUUGUUACUGAGAUCAAUUUCGCUUAGUGAAUUUGGAAACUCAAAAAGAAAUGUUCACACAAAGUUUUUUCCAACAUAUGUCUGUCAUUUGUGGGGUCUUGAAUUUAAUAUCAAUGGUUGAAUUUUCAUAGCUAAUAUGUGCGCAAAAGGCCUAGUGGGUGGAAUUUUAUGUCAGGAAAGCGUUUCUACAAUGACAUAAUUAAUUGCAUUACUUUUCAAAGAUUGACUAUUGACUUUGGUGAGCUUAUUAGGUUAAAUUCUGCUGCUGGUCACUGUUCUUUGUGAAAGUUGUAAAUUUAGUCUAUUUACUUCAAUUUGAUCAAUUUUAAUCCCUAUACAUUUUGAUUUUUAAAAUUUUAGUUGUGACCCAAACAAUAGAGUUAAAUCAAUUUAAUUAAAACCAAUUACUAGUCCUAUAUUAUGUGUACAAUUGUUGAUUUAGUCCAUACUCUCCAAUUGGAUCAUUCUAAGUACCUAUAUUUUUCAAAUUUUAAAAUUUCAGUCUUGAUGCAAAUGACAAUCCUUAGUCCGUUAACUAGAUUUUUAGUAACAUAUGAAAAUAAUAAGAUGAUAUGACAUUACAAAUAUGAUAAUAUUUUUGCGUUAAAUAUGUCAACAAUGACAUAAUUAAUUGCAUUAACUUUCAGACGUUGACCAUUGACUUUUGCUUCAACCUUGAGCUUAUAUAGCCCCUACAAUAAUUUAGGUUAUGGAAAUAAUCUUACAAUUAAUGCCUGAGAAAUUAUUAUAGAUCAAUUUAUAGUUUUAAUCCCUAUAAUUACUCAAUUGAAUUGAAGAUUCAGAUUUUCUUAUUUAAUUUGAUAUAUUUUCUUCUCUUAUUAAUGUUAAUGUUAUGGAUUAGUUUUUUUAAGACAACAUUAUUUUAUUCAAUGAAUAAUAUCAUACAAUUCGAGGAGAAAAUAACAAACACUCGUUGUACUCGUUAAAGGACAAGUUCCAUCAACACAACAAAACCUUUAACUUCAACAUUAAUAGAACAUUAUGGCAUGUUGAAAUCGGCUCUGUCACAACUCAAGCACAACAUAUCAGGAGUGAUUACAAGCACUUAAUAUGGUAAGAAAAUUAACCCCGGAUGGUCCAAAGCGGUGGGCAUAAAUCAGCAAAAGAACUGAGCAUCCACCAAACUAGAGGGGAUGCGGCGACAAAACUAACCCUAAAAUUACUCUCAAAAGCAAGACUAAAAAGCGUACUACAAGAGUAGACAAAAACUUCGAAAAGUAAAGACUUAUUAAACAAUGGAAAAAUAAACAAAAAAAACAUAUAAAACUUAAGAUAACAUGAGUCUAAACCGAGUCAUGAAAUUAUUUAUUAUUUUGAAACUCUCAAAACAUAAACAAAUUAAGAAGUCAACGAAGAGGUACCCACUUUCUAAAAGAAAGUGUUGGUGGUCGGUGGUGUUUCAAUGAUGAUAGGCAUUGUCACCUGUUCAUCACAACUUGUAAAGAUAACAAAAAUACCCACAAAAUAAAUCUGUAAAUUGAAAAGAACGAAGACUCAUGGAGUGAAUGAGAAGAAGAAAAAUAAAAAGGGUUAAUAGAGACAAAGCAGGGCGGUAACUAGUUCAGAGGCUAACACCGCUGCUAGGCUAAAAAAAGAAGAAGAAGCAAACAUGUUAUGGAUUAGUUAAAAUAACUAACAUCAUUGAAAAUUUCAUUACUUGGCUGAUUUGGAUUUUUUUUUUUAAAAAAUUGAAACUAGAAACCAUAAAUGAUCUAACAUUUAGAAACCAUAAAUUGGGUUCAAUUGCUUUGCUGUCCAACUCCAUCCAUCUAAAAUCGCAAGGAUGUACCCAUGUUCAAUAUGCAGUACAGACCCAAAAAUUGACCAUAUAAUGUGGCUCAAGAGAAUUUUCGAAUGGUUUUAAAGAAUUAUGAGAACACAAUGAAUAAAGUUAAGGCAUCAUUUAUUCAGCUUGCUAUAAUGCAGGUCAUUCCAAUAAAGAAGCAUUUUUUAACUAUAUUUUCCGUUACCCCAAUAACAAUGGCACAGAAUGUUCUCCGAUGAACAUAGAACUCACCAUUUUUAGGAACACGUGUAGUUGAGGAUGAGAAUUCGGAUCAACUGUAACUUCAAAUGGUGGAAUGAAAACAUUGUCCAGAAUAUUCUGAAAAGAUUUUUCAAUUCCCAUUUGCUUGUACACAUUAUACAAUCGUGGUGACUGCAGAAUUAAGUCAAAAUCAAGUGAAGAAGGUUACCUUUGACUUGAGAAAUAUAUCACAGAGAGAGAGAAAGAGAAAACAGUAAUCUGGAAAGAUGAUGCUUAAUAUGGACAUGAUACCCUAGAAACCGAUCGAUCUUAAAUUUUAAUUUCUAAAAUAUUAUUAGCUUGUGCAUACUUUCAAAUACUUUUCAUUAGAGUUACCAUAAGACUAAUUUUUCCAAUUUUAGAUGAUUCAAGAAACUAUUUGGGGGCAAUUCUUAAAUAAACAUGUCCAAACAGUAGUCAUUAACAAGAAAGCAUCCAAGAAAACCAGCAGUUAAUACUUAAAUUAACAUUAUCAAAUGGAGAUGUAAAGAAGAAAGAAUCCUACUGCAAAGCUAGAUAGCAGGAGAAUCACUAGAAUGAAGAGAAAUACUAUUGGCACUAUACCUGGAUUAACCAAACAGUAGUCUCACUAUAAAUUUCAUUGUUAAUAAACCAACUUGCCAAACUGGUCCCAUUCACUUUGUUUCCUUCCAUAUAUGGACACCCUGUACUCUGCCAUCUAGAAAAUAUAUAUAUUAUUCAGUGUAGUCAGAGGCGCAAGGAGCACUCUAGGUGCUAGAAUCCUUUUAUUGUACAAGGCACAUGGCGCACAAAAAAAAAAAAAAACUUGCUUAUGUUAAGGCACAUGUAUGCGUGUUUUGGUAUGUCCAUGUCUGUAUAUAUAUAAGCCGAAGAUAUAUAAUUAUAAUAAUAAACUAUAAAAGUGCUCCAGUCUGAAGUACAGAACAUGCCAAAUUUUCUUUCUUUUGUCAACCAUAUGCAUAUUUCCAUAUGAUGCCAUGCCUGGUGUUGAAUACUCAAAUAUUGAGAAGUUGAGAGUUCGAUAUUAUCCCUUUGUUACAAUUAAGAAACAAUUAAAGAGAUAGUAAAGAGAACUUCAAUUAGAAGGCCUUUUCCCCCUACAUGCACCAGGCAGGCGCUUAGCCUGAAAAGGUCAAAGGCCCUUUUACUGUCUGGUGAUAAGGCAAAAAACAUUGGACAAAGUUGGUGGGAGGAUAGAAUACUAAAAGAGCCCAAUGUUGUCACUUUUCUAAAGUAAGCUCAUAUGCCUUUUUUGUACCCAAACAAUAUCUUACCCUUUAAUUUGUACCUAAAGAAAUUAUUUCUAAUAGAAAGUUUACUUUUGUUAUGAUCAAUGCUGGAGGCCAAAACUGAUUUGGGCUAAGGAAUUGGUGGUGAGAGUUGGAAGGCAAGAAGAAAGAAAGUUCUUUUGAGUGUUAUAUUUUUCAAAAAAUACAAAUUGUUCAUUUUUUUUACCACAUCAUCAUGCCAGGUCAGCUUCCAUGUGGAUAAAGAAAAUUUUGGCGGCAUUGAAACAGAGGCUUCAUGGGCUUUUAGUAAUUUAGCCCUUGGAAGGAAUAUGACCAUCCAAAAAAAGGCAGUUGAUGCUUUAAGGUCAAUUAGCCGAAACAAUAACAACAAUUCCUAGGCUUCAAUAAAAUAAUUUAGACAACAAAUAAAGCUUGAAGGUUGAGUUUUGCACUGCAGCAGCAUUGGGCUUUACAAGGUGAAAACCCACAUUGCACAAAAAUAUCAAAGUUUCAGAUCUAUCAUAAUUUAAAAUUCUAACUAAACUAAACGCCAAGAAUGCUGAAUGCCUAAUCAAAAAACAUAAGAUUAACCCAAGGACCUAAUUGGGUAUGCUAAAAUUUGUCUUGGAAUGAAAUUAAUAAUAUCCUUACUAUUUCACUUUUUUUUUCUUCAUAUGUUUGGUGUGAGCAUGAUACAGAUUAGACUGAUUUUAAAGUAAAAGUAAAACGAUACCAAACCUAAACAUUUUGGUUUUUUUUUAAUUUUUUAUCAGAGCCCUGUUUGAUGCAUUUUUAGUUUUGUUUUCUAAUAACAAAUGGAAAGUUAAUUAAAAAAAAACCCUAAUCCAAUGAGUUCUUUUAUAGAUAUAAGAUAAGUCCUGCAAAGUUUUUGUUUUUUAGAAAUAAAAUUUUAUUUUUGUUUUUUAAUUCUUCAUACCUAUUUUAAUAUCUAAGUUCCGGAUUCCUAACUGCCCUUUCAAUUAUAUAGUAUUCAAGAUUUGAACUUAUAUUUUUCUAUAAAAAUAUAAUGUAUUUUAUUAUUGUAUCCUACAUUCAUUAAUACUUAGUAGAAAUAACCUAAUAAAAUGAUUUUUUUCAUAUAUUAAUAGAGAUAAGAUUCGUGCAAAAUUGUUGGUUGAAAAUUCAUUAGGAAAGGAUGAUUGUACGAAUGUACCAUCAUUAUAAGUGAGCUCAACGAUAAGCCUCCUAUCAAUCACCAGUGUGCAGAAAACAUUUGAAAUCGAAACACCCGUUCAUACAUCAUACAUCAUCAUAAGUGAGCUCAACGAUAAGCCUCCAAUCAAUCACCAGUCUACAGAAAACAUUUGAAAUCGAAACACCCCGGACAUCUCCAACAAAUCUGCCAUAACGUUAGCAUCUCUUCCAUUUUUUCUAAACAAAACCUCACUAAGCUCAUCAAAUGUGCCAAUAUUUCCAAGGCCUAGAUUUCUCAUUGAUACACCAAGAAAGCUCGACUAUGGAGUCGGAUUCAACCAUAAGCUUUCAGUCUAUAAUCCACUAGGAAUCCAAAAAGAAACACUCUCGAACACCUAAAGAACCUGAAACAUAGCAAUGACAUGACCCUUUGAAUUUCUAAGAACCUCACCUCACCACGUCGAGCUAAGAUUACCUAAUGUCGAACCUUCACGGUUAAACUUUUACCAGCCUUCACCUUACUCUUGAUAUGAUGAUUAUGGAUACUCCCUUCACAAUCCCACAAACACUCCCACCAAAUUGACUCAACAAAAUUUGCACCUAUAGGUUUUCUGUUUAUAUUUGAUUUUGUUCACACAUUGCCUAAAACUACUCAUGAUCCCUCUCCAACCUAUAAAUACGAGGAUAAUGCGCUUCAACGCGCUCAAACCCACGUCCUCCUACAUUAGCAACAAUACUCAUGUCAAUCGAGUUAAAACACAAUCAAUAGAUUUUUUUUAAAAAAAAUCUUUAAAUGUUAUAUUAUUAUAUAAGAAUUUGAAACAUGACUUCCGUAGGUUUUAAAUCUAAUGUUGACACUAAUCUUGAAUAAGUCAUUCCACUCCCAUCUUAACUAAUGGCCAAAGAGAUAUCAAAAGUGGGAGAUGGCCAUAAAAUUGUGUAGUUUGGGUUAUAAAAUUUUUGGGCAAACUACAUAUAUUAUCAUUUAAUUAUAUAUUUUUUUCAAUUUAAACACUUAAAGUAAAAAAUUUAUAAUUUAAGCACCCACAUUAUAUAGUUUAGUUAUUUUGAUCACUCCAGUUAAAAUAAAAAAUGGCAAACUGAAGCGACAAUUAAAAAAAUGUAUAAUAACAAAUUUAACCCUCAAAUUUUAUAUAUUAUAUCAAUUACAUAUUACAACUAAUUUUAUAAUUAUUGAUAUUGAAUAUGUCCCUCACUACGUUAGGGAUUUUUUUUAUAAUUUGUAUUUAAUUAAUAUUUAAAAUUAAUUUCAAAAUAUGUGAAAAUUUUAUAAUUAUUUGGUGUUAGUCCCUUUAUUAUACCCAAAUUUAGGAUUAAGCCCCUAUAUUUUAAUUUUGACAUAAUUUGUUUCUUUCACUUUUAUAAUCUCAUUAAUUAUUUCAAGUAACUAACACUUUUAACAAUAUUGCCAAAUAAAAUAAUGUCAUAUUUUUUUUUCUUAAAGCCAUCACUUCUAACUAAAUCAUGACUUAAUCACUUUCUAAUUAAUCAUACUAACUUAGAUUUUUCUUUUGUUGGAAUCAGUACGUUUAAGGAAAACCCACCUUAACAUUUGUAGAUGUCUUCAACAAUUUCCUAAGCACGAUACAAUAAAGCUUGGUGUGUAUAAUUUUGUUUUAUGGAAGCUCCAAAUUAUGUUGAUUCUUGAAUGAUACGGUCUGCAUGGGUUUGUUUUGGGUGCUAUUAGUGUACUAGCACAGUUUGUAGAGGAUAAAUAUGGGAGAUUAGUAGAAAAUUCUGAUUAUGUUUUACAUGUGCAACAAGAUAAGCUAUUGGCUUCUUGGUUACUUUCAACUGUUAGUGAUGAAAUCCUAGCCUAUCUUACUAGUGCUCGUACUAGUUAUUAUAUGUGGGAAACUAUUGAAAAGAAGGGUUGCGACUAAGUCCACGGUAAAAUUGUCCAGUCAUGUGUUGUAUUCACAGAAAAAGGGUCAUUUGUUUGUUAAAGAAUAUUUGUCUAAGAUCAAGUCCAUGUGUGAUAUGUUGGUUGCAACGGGUUGUUUGAUUUCAAAUCAAGAAAUGGUUAGCAUCAUUCUUGCAAGGUUGCCAGUUGAGUGUGAAUCAGUACGGGUAGUAGCUUCAGCUACUGGUGUGUCACUUGAUCUGUUGAUUGAGAUGCUGCUUGAUUGUGAAGCUCGAAAAUUGAGUUCUUGAAUAGUGUUCUCGUACAACCUAACAUAGCUAGUAAACAAGAUUGUGAUGAGGGUGAUCGGACCAAGGGUUCUGAUUAUAACAGUGGCUAUCAAGGGAACAAACAGACAUAUAUAGGUGGUUUUCAAUGCAAUAGAGGUUCCAUCGAGGUUGAGGCCGUGAGGGUUGUUUUUCUAACAAUCGGCCCCAAUGCCAGUUGUGUGGUAAAAUUGGACACAUUGUCCAAAAGUGUUAUUACCGUUUUGAUGAAAAGUUUUGCAGGUAUUGCUAGGAUGGUAAUAUGGUAUAGUGGGCUGCAUCUUGAUUGUUUGUUUCUCAUGCUGAGGCUAUAAUUUUAAUCAUACCUAUUAUUGUUUCUUGUGUCCUGCAAUUUCAUCAUUUGCAGGCUGUUUCACUAAUUGCAUCCUAUUUACAAGUUCCCUUGUGUUAUCCUCUGCGCUUGGGUGGUUCUCGCUCAUAUAUUAAUGACCAUGCGUCUUCAAUAGACCAUGCAUCUUCUGAUUUGUCAUUGGAUACAACACUUUCAGCAAAUGUAAAGCCGGUAGAAUUUCCGCUGUUUUUAGAAGGUCAAGACACGACAAGAGCAGCAUAUGCUGUGUUCUUGUUAAACAAGGUAAGCUUUUGCAUAUUAGUAAUUUUUUUUUCCAAGAUGAAUUAUUCUCCUUUGGCAUUUUAUAUUAUAUAAUUAGUCACUACAAAACAUAAAUAAAUAAUAAUACUCCAUUUUUACAAUAAAAAUUCACUAAAGAAAAUACAUUUGAAGUCUAUCAUUGCUUUUUCGAAUAAGAGUCGGUCAAGAAAGUUAUGCGCAAAUACUUAUAUCUUUAUUUCAGAUGCUUUCAAUUCUAUUGUCACUUAAAUCCAAGUACUUUAAAUUUGUCAAAUUAUUCAAUUUUGAAAUUCAAUCCCAAAUAUUGAUCAAUUAUAUAUAUUCAUGAUAUGAUAAAAGCAAAGACAUCUUUCAACAUUAACUUUCCCUUAAACAAAAAUUGGUUUUAAAGUAAAAAAGAAACAUAUAAAACCAGUCUAGCUUGAAUAUGAAUCAAUAUAUAAACACUAUACUUAUACCUUGGUUUGAGAUGCUUUCAAUAUUGUUGUCGCUUAAAUACAAGUAUUUCAAGUUUGUCAAAUUAUUCAAUCCCAAAUAUUGGUUAGUUAUAUAUGAUAUGAUAAAAUCAAACUUGAACAUACAUUGAUUUUUAAAGUUGAAAAUUACUUGUUAAUUUUUUUUCUUUCUUACCUAUAUGAAAAUUUUACUAAAGUAAAAGUUGAAUUACAACGGAUAAAAAGAAUGGAAAACUAGGUACCAAGCCUAGAAGACCAUCCUCAAACUCCACUAUACAAAUAAAAACUACUCAAACUCCACUAUACAAAUAAAAACUAACACCGGACCAAACUUAAUUUACCUCUUAGAUGACUUGAUCCUUCAAACUGGUUGUAUGAUAGAUCUAAAUACCGGAGAGAUGAAAGCUCACUCAAAGAUAACAAAAUGCUAUCAUUCAAGUAAUUGUAACUUAAGUCAAGGAUCUCCAAAUUACUCAAUGUGAAUGAUAGCUUUCCAAAGCCUGUAGAAGUGUUCUUUUAAACAUAUACAAGCAGUUAGUGACUUUUCUUCCAUAAAAUAAAAUAUAAGUAAUUGUAAAUUAACAAUGGUGAGAAUAGUGGAAUAGUAAAAGAUAUAAUUAAGGAAAAAAAAUAAAGGCACGACCUUCAUUUUCAAGGUUACCACCUAUGGCAUUUCCCGACAAAUAAAGUCUCUUCAAUUCCUCAAAAGGAAGAAACAUAGAGGCAUUGAGAUACCAGACAAUGAGAUUCCUAUUAUCCAUGCCGUAUUCCCAAUUGUCUUCCCAUUUUGUAGAAAUAAGGGAGAGUUGUAUGAGUCUCCUAGUGGUGGUGUUACACUCAAAUCCUUCCCAUUUACAACAAUCUGAACCCUUCACCUCAACCCAACUUUGCAAUGGAUUACGAUAAACGAAGAAAGGCUUGAGAUGCAAGAGAGCGAUUCUCUCAUGCUCCAAACAAGCAUCAGUAGUACACCAUCUGCAUCCUUCUAACACCAACAACAUUAUUGCCAUCCUAAUAAACUAUAACCAUUUCCACUCCAUCAUCAUCAUCUCUCUGUUUUGUAUACAUAUGGACUACAAUUCAAGUUUCAUGCUUAUAAUUAUACCAAAUCAAAGUUCAUGUAUCAAAUUGCACAUUAAAUCAAAAUUUAUGUAUACAUUUGAUAUUUAUCUCAUUUAUGGGAGAUUAACUUUCUAAUGGUAUUGUUUUGUUUACAUUAAUCCAAAUAAUAGGAAAUGAUGAAUUAGUUUAACGCAAAUUGUAAUUCUAUUAAUGUUUCUUCUCAAACUUUUGGUUGCUCUUAUUUACAUGUUUUAUUAAUUGAUAGAUUUAAAUUCUUGGAAUAUAUUCGGUUAGAAUGAAGUGCCCCGAAUCCUUAUUUAAAUAAAAUACAGUGUUAAAAUAAAAGAAAAGUAAAAUCCCUACAGAAUUAUACUUCUUUUAUUUUAUUUUAGAAUAAGGCUUUUUAAAUCUUAUUAAACUCCAUCUAUUUGAUAUUGAUUAGAAUAAAGAGUUUCACUCCUAUUAGAAUAAAGUUUUACAAGCCUAUAAAUAGACAUAGUCUACUCCUCUUGUAAUUAAUUCAAAUUCGACAUAGUGAAUUUUCUUCUCCUCUGCCCGUGGUUUUUUCCCGAAAGGGUUUCCACGUAAAAUUUGUGUGUUCUUUAUUUUUCUAUUUCUAUUUUCUUUGUGAUAUAUUAUCAUUACCGACAUUUAUUUUCACAAAUUGGUAUCCGAGCUUCUGGGUUGUUCAUCGCAAUCACUGUAAUGACGUCUUUGAAGUAUGAAAUUCUACUGUUGGAUCGCAACACCAGAUUCGCAUUUUGGCAGAUAAAGAUGCAGGCAGUUCUUGCACAGAUGGACUUAGAGAAAGCCCUGCUAAGGUUAGAUAAGAUGCCUUCAACAUUGAUGGAGGAAGAGAAGAAGCACAAGGAUUGAAAGGCGUUAACACAAUUACAUCUGCAUUUGUCUAACGAAAUUUUGCAGGAUGUGAUAAAGGAGAAUACCGCCGCUAGAUUAUGGAAGACGUUGGAACAACUAUGUAUGUCGAAAACUCUAACUAGUAAGCUGCAUAUGAAGCAGCGUCUUUAUGCUCAUUGUUUGGAGGAAGGUGCGUCUAUGCAUGAACACUUGACAGUGUUUAAAGAAAUUCUCUCAAAUUUGGAGGCCAUGGAGGUUCAGUAUGAUAAGGAAGAUUUAGGGUUGAUUCUACUUUGUUCGUUGCCCCCGUCUUAUUUAACCUUUAGAGAUACAAUUUUAUAUAAUCGCGAGUCUUUCACAGUUGAUGAGAUUUAUAAUUCUUUAACCUCGUAUGAUAAGAUGAUGCAUCUUAUGGUUAAAACUGACUCUCAAUGAGAGGGUCUCAUUAUUCGUGAGAGAUAAGAUCAGAAUAUUGAUGAUGAUCAUGGAAGGACACAAGAACGGAAUCCUCGUGGUAAAUCUAAAGGUAGAUCGAAGUUUUCAAACAGAGGUAAAACUUGUAACUUCUGCAAGAAGAAAGGGCACAUUAAAUCUAAGUGCUAUAAGCUACAGAAUAAGAUCAAAAGGGAGACUGUGAAUCAAAAUGGAAAACAACCAGAAAAUUUUGGUAAGGCUAAUGUUGUAGAAUACUACAGUGAUUGUGAACUUCUAGUCGCUUCUGUCAAUAAUUUUAAAGUGAGCGAGGAGUGGAUCCUUGAUUCGGGUUGCACCUUCCACAUGAGUCCCAAUAGUUAUUGGUUUACAACUUACGAAAUAGUGUCUGAAGGUGUUGUUUUAAUGGGAAAUAAUACUUCAUGUAGAAUUGCAGGUGUUGGAACAAUUAAAGUUAAGAUGCUUGAUGGAGUUGUCAGAACACUUAGUGACAUAUGACAUGUUCCAAAAUUGAAGAGAAAUUUAAUUUCAUUGAGUACUCUUGAUUCAAAAGGGUACAAAUACACAGCUAAAAGUGGUGUUUUGAAUAUUUCUAAAGGUUCCCUCAUUGUGAUGAAAGGAUAGAGAAAGACUACCAAGUUUUAUGUUUUGCAAGGUUCUAUUGUUACUGGUGAUGCAGCUGUCGUAUCCUCUUCCUUGUCAGAUGAUGAUAUUACUAAACUUUGGCAUAUGCGCCUAGGGCAUAUGAGUGAGAAUGGCAUGGCAGAAUUGAGCAAAAGUGGACUUCUUGAUAGGCAAUGAAUUUGCAAACUGAAGUUCUGUGAGCACUACAUUUUUGGGAAGCAAAAGAGAGUUUGAUUCACCAGAGGAAUCCAUAACACAAAGGGAACGUUUGAGUAUAUUCAUUCUGAUCUGUGGGGGCCAUCCAGAGUACUUUCGAGAGGUGGAGCUAAUUAUAUGCUAACUUUUAUUUAUGAUUUUUCCAAAAAAGUGUGGGCGUUCUUCCUGAAGCAGAAAAACGAUGUGUUUUUUGUAUUUAAGUCUUGAAAAACCAUGAUUGAAAAACAAACGGGAAAGUAAAUAAAACACCUCCGCACAGACAAUGGCUCAGAGUUCUGUUUUGAUAAGUUUAAUAAAUUGUGCAAGUCAGAAGGGUUCAUGAAACACUUGAUAGUUCAUCAUACUCCACAGGAAAACGGCGUUACAGAAUAAAUGAACAGAACGAUCAUGGAGAAGGUUCGAUGUAUGUUGUCAAAUACCAACUUACCAAAGUCAUUUUGGGCUGAAGCAGCCUCUACUGCAUGAUUUUUAAUCAACCGAUCUCUAUCCAUUGCCAUUGAGAAAAAGACUCCACAAGAGGUAUGGUCUUGUAAUCCUGCUGACUAUUCUGAUUUAAAGAUUUUUGGUUGUCAUGUGUGUGUGCAUGUUGAUAAUGGAAAAUUGGAAUUGAGAUCCAUUAAAUGUGUUUUUCUUGGUUAUAAAGCUGAUGUAAAAGGGUAUAAGUUAUGAUAUCCUAAAAAUAGAAAAGUUGUGAUUAGCAGAUAUGUUAUUUUUUAUGAAACUGCUAUGCUACCUAACUUAUCUCUUAAAGAAUCUCUCAAUAAAGAAAAUCAAAAGUAGGUGGAGCAUCAGAUUAAUACAGAAUCUACAACAGAGUCGACUACUGAAGCCAGUACAAAAAUUCAAAAUAGAGUUGCUCCUUCACCAUAAUACUCUAUCGCCAAAAAUAGAACUAGAAGAGAAAUUAGACCUCCAAAGAAGUAUGUCAAGUCUGAUCUAGUUGCUUAUGCUUUAAAUGUGGCUAAAGAUAUAGAUGUAAAAUAAGAGCCAUCUAAUUAUUCUGAGGCGAUUAGUUGUGAAGACUCAGAAAAGUGGAUGUUUGCUAUGCAAAAGGAGAUGGAAUCACUCCACAAAAAUAAAAUAUGGGAUCUUGUGAAACUUCCUAAAUGUAAAAAGAUUAUUCGUUGUAAAUGGGUGUUUAAAAAGAAAGAAUGGACUCCAAGAGUUGAAGAACCCAGAUAUAAAGCAAAGUUUGUUGCAAAUGGUUACAGUCAAAUUCCAGGAGUGGACUUCACAGAUGUGUUCUCUCCAGUUGUGAAGCAUAGUUUGAUUCAAGCUUUACUUGGUAUUGUGGCCAUACAUGAUUUGGAGCUUGAACAGUUAGAUGUAAAAAAUGCUUUUUUGCAUAGAGAAGUUAAGGAGGAUAUUUACAUGCAACAACCAGAGGGUUUUACAGUCUCAGAAAAAAGGACUAUGUUUGCUUGCUGAAAAAGUCUCUUUACAGUUUGAAACAGUCACCAAGACAGUGGUACAAGAGGUUUGAUUCAUUUAUGACUUCUCAUGAUUUUAAAAGAAGUAGCUUUGACAGUUGUGCUUACUUUAAGAAAAACAAUGAUGGUUCUUUUGUGUAUCCACUCUUUUAUGGUGAUGAAAUGUUGAUAGCAGUGAAAGAUAAAUGAGGGAUAAGAAAGGUCAAAGCCCAACUAAGUGAAGAAUUUGAGAUGAAAGAUUUGGGACCAGCAAAGAAGAUACUUGGUAUGGAGAUUCUCAAAGAUAGAAAAGUAAGUAAAUUGUACCUAAGUCAAAAGGGGUACAUUGAGAAAGUUCUUUGCAGAUUCAAUAUGCAGAAUGCUAAGCCUGUUAGUACUCCUUUAGCAGCCCAUUUUAGACUUUUAUCGGCUUUGUCUCCACAAUCAGAUGAUGAGAUUAAGUACAUGUCACAUGUUCCAUACUCUAGUACAGUGGGAUCUCUCAUGUAUACUAUGGUUUGUUCACGUCCAGAUUUAUCAUAUGUAGUUAGUGAAGUUAGCAGAUACUUGGUGAAUCCCGAUAAAGAACAUUGGAAAGUAGUUCAGUGGAUUUUAAGAUACUUACGAGGUACUACUGAUGUUUCCUUACAGUUUGGAAGAACUAGAGAUGAAGUCAUUGGGUAUGUUGAUGCUAAUUUUGCUGGAGACUUUGAUAGAAGAAGAUCUCUCACAGGUUAUGUCUUUAUAAUCGGAGGUUGUGCAAUCAGUUGGAAAGCCACUUUGCAAACUACAGUUGCUUUGUCCACCACUGAAGAUGAGUACAUGGCGAUUACUGAGGCUUGUAAAGAAGCUAUUUGGUUGAAGGGACUCUUUAGUGAACUCAAUAAAGGCUUUCAAAUCAAUACAGUAUUUUGCGACAGUCAGAGUGCUAUCUUCUUUACAAAAGAUCAAAUGUUUCAUGAGAGAACAAAACACAUUGAUAUUCGGUAUCAUUUUGUUCGUGAUAUUAUUGCUUGUGGUGAUAUUGUUAUGAGCAAAAUUAGUACUCAUGAAAAUCCUGCAGAUAUGAUGACUAAGUCACUUCCUAUAACCAAGUUUGAGCAUUGCUUAGACUUGGUUAGUGUUCAUUGUUGAAGUUAAACCCUUAAGGGGUUUUAUGGAAUAGGUGGAAAACUUGAUCGUUGAGAGUUCGCGAUGAAGAACUUGUUCAUUAAGAAUUCGUGUCAAUGUGGAGAUUGUUAGAAUUAAGUGACCCGAAUCCUUAUUUAAAUAAAAUACAGUGGUAAAAUAAAAUAAAAGUAAAAUCCCUAUAGAAUUAUACUUCUUUUAUUUUAUUUUAGAAUAAUAUUUUUUAAAUCUUAUUAAACUCCAUCUAUUUGAUAUUGAUUAGAAUAAAGAGUUUCACUCCUAUUAGAAUAAGGUUUUACAAGCCUAUAAAUAGACAUAGUCUACUCCUCUUGUAAUUAAUUCGAAUUCGACAUGGUGAAUUAUCUUCUUCUCUGCCCGUGGUUUUUUCCCGAAAGGGUUUCCACGUAAAAUCUGUGUGUUCUUUAUUUUUUCUAUUUUUAUUUUCUUUACGAUAUAUUGCUAUUAUCGACAUUUAUUUUCACAUAUUCUAAUUAAUUAGAUAUUUCCUUCCUUCCAAAAGCCUUUCAAAAUAGGUUUAGUUUGACCAAGAUACUCUUGUAGAAAAUUUUAGUUUUGUGGGAAAACGAAAAACUAGAUUUAUUUUUUAUUCUAAUUGGUUUCAUAUGCAAGGUAUAUAAACUUUUGUGUCGCUGCAAUUUUUUUCCAACAUAUGUAUGUGAUUUGUGGGGUUUCAAUUUUGAAUUUUUUUUAUAAUUUAAUUAAAUUGUGAAAGUAUUUGAAAGUUUUUAAGUUGAUACAAUGUUUAGAACUACCCCAACACCCACCCAACCCUUAAAUAGGAGGAUAAACAUGCUUCAGCACGCUCAAACUCACAUUCUCCUACAUCUAUGAUAAUACUAAUGCCAACCGAGUUAAGACUCAACUAGCCUUGAAUUUUGAAUUUUACUUCUGAUAUAUUUUGAAUUUUGAAAUUUUAAUUUUGACCCAAACAGUAGCAGUUAAUUUAAUUUGAUUAAAUUUAAUUACUAGACCUAUAUUAUGCGUACGAUUAUUGAUUAGUCUAUACUCUCAAAUUGGGCAAUUCUAAGUACCUAUACUUUCUGAAUUUUGAAAUUUCAGUCUUGAUGCAAAUGACAAUUGUUAAUCUAUUAAUUAGAUUUUUAGCGAGUAAUAUGUAAAAAUAACAAACUGGCAUAACAUUACACAUAUGAUAAUAUGUUUAUUGCACCGCAUUUGAAAAUAGCCGAAUUUAACAAAUAUCGUUAGUGAGGAUUGGAAAUUAGAGUCUAGGGAUUAAAUCCACAAGUUCAGUAAAUUACAAGAACUAAUGGUAGAAUUUAACCUUUAUAUAACCUUUAAAUUCUAACCGUGGUUUGCACACUACUCAGCCGACCAUUGGCUGUGGUGGGAACACAAACUGUUUGAAUUUGACAUCAGUGAUUGAAUUUUCAUAGCUAAUAUGUACGUUCCUUCAAUUUCUCCAUAGGAGGGAGUGGAAUACAUUAUAUAAGGUAAUAUUUGAUAUAUUCGGUAAAUGAAUAAUUGCAAGAUAUCUCAUUAUCUAGUAAAAUAAAUAAUGAAAAUUUUAUAAAUAAAUAUUAAUAAAAUAUUAUUACAUAUAUCAACAAUGACAUAGUAAGUUGCAUUAACUUUUAGAUGUUGACUAUUGACUUUUGCAUCAACCUUGAACUUACAUAGGCCCCUACAAUAAUUUAGGUUAUGGAAAUAAUCUUGCAAAUAAUGCUUGAGACAUCAUUAUACAUCAAUUUAUAGUUUUAAUUCUUGUACUUACUCAAUUGGAAUAAAGAUUUAGUUUUUUAUUUUCUUUUGAUACAAUGUCUAGAAUUAUCCAUAGCCCUUUUCCAACCCUUAAAUAAAUGAAUAAUGUGCUUCAGCGUACUCGAACUCACAUCUUCUUACAUUGACAAAUUGCUGAUGCCAAUUAGUUAAUGUUAAUGCUAUACUUUAGUUAAAAAUAACUAACAUUAUUAAAAAAUUCAUUAGUUGGCUCAUGUGGAUUUUUUUUCAAAAAAAUUGAAAUUAAGAACCAUAAAUUCUUUAAGACUUAAAAAUUAAAAUUAUGUGGUUAUUAAAAAAGAUUUAUUUUUUAUUAAAUUAUUAUUUAAAAUAAAUUUAUCUCAUCAUAAUGAUAUGAUUUUUUUCUUUAAAAAAUCCACAUUAACCAACUAAUAGAAUUGUAUAAAGCUGCCACCAAUCUCUUAGCAUGAUGGCAAAAGAUUCAGAGGCAGCCAGAAAAUCUUUUGAGGGGCGUGAAUAAAGUUAUAUAUUUUUAUAAUAGCAAAAGUGAAAUUUUAUUAUUAUAAUAGUUUAUAUCUUUAAUUUUUAAAAUAUUAAAUAAUUUUUUUCUUAUUUUUGAGGGGAUAAAGUAUAAGUUUAUCAUAUACUAAUUUUAAAAUUAUAAAAAGACUAAAUGUGAAAUUUUUCAUUUUAAGGGGUGGGGCCCUGUCAGGUCUCCUUGGCUUCACCUUGAUAAAAGUAUUAUGUAAUACGUAUAAAGUUUGAGUUUAAUCCCAAACAAUCUCAUUUCUUAUCCCUCAUUAUAAAAUAAUAAAAUAAAUAGAGCAAUUGAUAUGAGGAGACAAGUAUAAUAGGGCAAUUUUAACCUGGGCCAGAUUUCAAAACAAAACCCAAACCAAAUAAUAAAAGAGUCCAAAAUAAUUAAAACAAUCCAUCCAUUUUACAAACAAACCCAAAUUAGCAGCCCAAAUACAAAUUAAAACUCAAUAACCCAAAACUAACUAUAGCCCAAUUAGCUAAACACUUAAACGCAACAAAAAAAACCCUAUCCCCCUAAGCCUCCAACGCUGCAUGACCACCUACGCCGCACGUCGUCGCUGCCGCUCGAGGCUCGCCUAUCUUCGACCAUCCACGCAUCUGACACUUGCAAAACCAAGGCAACACGCAACAACAAAGGCCAAAUAGAGGAAACAACAAGGAAACAGACAAAAAAGGAAGAAACAAACAGUUUUGAUUCGGCUAUAAAAGCCCGAAUCUCACCCUUGUAAUUUUUUUGCGAACAUUAGAAAAUAAAAAAACAAAAACAACACUUUCAAGGUGAAUUUCUACUUUUAUUUCUGUUUUAAAUACUUAUUUGAUUCUAUAUUCAUAUUUUUAUUUUAUUUUUUAUAUAUAUACGAAAAUAAUAAAAUAAAAAAAGGAAGAAAGGGCUCACCGGAGACGCCCCGUGAUCGUGCCGUCAGAAGGCUCUUCUCCGUUGUUGCCAUCGGAUCCGAGAGGGGGUCGAGAGUCUUCCUCUUUCGCUUUUUUGGGUCGAGAGGGCUGGGCUUCCAAGGGAGCUGCGAAACGGGGGCUAAAAAUGCCCUUUUGCGCAACACCGACCACCGGCCACGACAGCACUACGACGGCGACCAUGGCCGGCCAAGGGGUGGGCUGAGAGAGAGACCAAGAGAUACUGAGAGAGUUCUCUGUUUUUUUAGAAAAAUGAAAGUUGAACCGUUUUUUUCUUCUUUUUUUUUGCUAUUUAUAUAGGGUAUAAUACGACGCCGUUUUGGACUUAAGCAUCAGUGGCCAAAACAAUGCCGUUUUGCAUCAGACCUGAAAAUCGACUCGAAUGCGGCCAGGAUCUGCGCGUUUUAGCUUUGAGGAGCUAUUUGCAUAUUCAGCCCUUCCGCUUUUGUAGUAUAGUGCAAUCUGGUCCUCGUUGUUUUUAUAUUUUGGCCGCAUAAUUUUUUGAUUGUUUUACUUUGGUCCGAGCUGAAACGCUGCGCAUAGGGGCUAGGAAUAUUGCCCAGUCGGUCCCUCAUUCCUUAAGCGCGCUCUAUUUCAGUCCCUAGCAACCCUUUUUUUUAUUUGUAAUUUAAACCCCAAAUUCUGGGUCGAUUUUAGUAUCAUCCUUAGUCCAUUUAAUUUAUUUGUUCACUAUUUUUUAUUUAAAAAACUCUUUUAUUAUUAUUUGUUUUAAGUUUUUUUAUUUAUCAUUUAUUUUAAAUUGUUUUACAUACUAUUUAUUUAAAUUUUUUAUAUAUUAGUCAUUUUAAACCAUUAUAUGUACAUUAUCUUUUAAAUUUUUAUAUACAUAUAUUUUUUUUAAAAAAAACUGUUGUAUGUUUCUUAUUUAUUUAUUUUAAACUGUUAUUAUUAUUCAUUUUAAGUUUUUAUAUACUGUUUAUUUGAAGCCGGUUAUUAUUUAUUUUUGAAUUGUUCUUAUAAAUUAUUUACUUUAAAUUAUUAUUUACUUUGAAAUUUUUUUGCAUAUUAUUUUGUUUUGUUUUUUUUAUUGUUAAUAUUAGUAUAAAAAUUAUAUACAUUGUGUGAUUAUUACCGCCAUGUGUACUAUAAUUAGUUUCUUCGUGUUUUCAUAUUAUUAUCACUCAUUAACAUAACAUUUUUUUCAUAAAUUGUUAUUUUAUGUUCUAUGUUAUCAUUCCAUUUCACUUCAUCACUUCGAAAGUUGCAUUCAAUUUGUAUUUACCCAUAAUAAACCGUUCUAUUUUGUCACAAAUAAAACAAAUGCACCUCGUUCAAGCAUUGUACUCACAAUUAUUCAAAACGGGGAAAAGUUUUAAAAUAAGACAAUAUUUCGCAUUUUGGAGAUUUGAGAAAUUGUACCCUAACUUACGGGGUUUCAAUUUUCUCGUUGAACCUAAAUAGCAAAAUAUCCUUCUAAUUUUCAAAAUUUACGAAAUUCCAAUAAAGUUAAAGGCUAGCUUAUUCUCAAGGGUUCUAAGUGUCGUGUCCUAACUUACGGGAUGUGACAUUUAUUAUCUCGAGACGAGAGGAUCUUUGACAUUCGUUUCAAUUUAUUCAAGCAAAUUCUUUUAAAUUAAAAUAGCGUUAACAAAAGGGGGAUCGUGUUUUAAAUUCUUUCGAAGUUUUUCAAUUUUUAACAUUUAGACAUUAAUUAAUCAAUUGAAUACCAAUUUUGGGCGUGACGAGGGUGCUAAUCCUUCCUCGCAUGUAACUGACUCCCGAAUCCGUUUUCUCAAAUUUCAUAGACCAAAAUCACUGUUUUGAUAAAUUAAAAUAUUUUAUUAAAACAACUAAAUUAUGAGGUGACCUAAUCACACCUCAUAAAAAAAAGAUUGGUGGCAACUCUCGUUUUAAUUUCCAUUUUCAAACCAACGUCGACCCUUUUAAAAAAAUGGUUUCAAUAUUAAGUUAUAAGUUGAAUGAAUUAAAAAUAUGUGAAAAGUGUAAAUAGAGACUCUUCAAUCUCAUUUCCUCUAAUGCUCUUUUUUUAAAUUUUUUUUUAAAUUUUUUAUGUACCUUUUAAAUAGUUAAUGAAAAUAAAAAUAUUUUGAUAAUUUUCACUUCGAAAUGCAAAAGCCAACAACAGUUUUUGACUACAAAAGCGGUGUGUUCUUCAUCACUUCUCAGUGGAAAAACACUUCUGCAAUGUAACAACACUUUUAACCCAAAACGGCUUUUUCACCACAAUAGAGAAUGCACCCUAAAAUUGUAAAUAGAAAAAAGAAGGAUCAAACAUUGUUUCUACCCUGUUUUUGUCUCCUCUUUGAAAAUACUUUCCAAAAAGUUUUAUCAUUUUUUUUUCUGUUUACAAAUUCCUUAUAGAAGUGCUUUCUUUUGAUCCACUUGCAUCAUUGUAAUAAGUUUGCAUUGCCUUCUAACUUUCUAUGUUGAUUACAGUUUAUUAAGUUUUCUGUUGGAUCUUAUAGUCAAAUUCCUUUACAUCAUGUAUGUUAAUUUGCUUAGCCCUGAUAAAUGUUAGAUAUAGGGUUAUCAGUGUCGAAACCACUUUUUUGGCGAACAAAAAUUAGUUGUUGACUUUAAAAACGAAAGUUGGAGUCGCCAUCGAUCCUUUAUUGGGGUGUGAUCGGCUCACCUUAAAAACGAUUUUGGUCUGCAAAAUUUGAGAAAACAGGUUCGGGAGUCGGUUACGCAUGAGAAAGAGUUAGCACCCUCUUAACGCCCAAAAUUGGUACCGAAUUAAUUAAUUAAGGUCUUAAUGCCGAAUAUCGAAAAUCUGUGAAGAAUUUAAAAAUACGAUCCUCCCUUUUUGUUAAUGUUAAUUUUAUAAAAGAUGCUUGGAUAAAUCGAAGCGAAUGCUAAAGACCUUUUUGUCUUGGAAUAAUAAAAUGUCACACCCAAUACGUUAGGACAUGACAUUUUAGUCCUCGAGAAUAAGCUUGUCUUUUGAUUUUCAAAGCUCGUGCGGUGAAGUUUAAAAAGGAUAUUCAAUUGCUUUAACUCAGAUGAAAAAUCGGAGCCCAAUACGUUAGGGCACAAUUUCUCAAAAUUCCGAGCAUUGAAUAUUGCCCUUAUUAUUAUUAUUUUUAAAAUCUUCAUCUCGAGAAAAUGACAUGUCAUAUCCAAUAUGUUAGGACACGACGUAUCGAAUUUUCGAGAAUGAGCUUUUUAUUUAUGCUUUAAUUAAAAAAGGAUACCCGGUUUCUUAGAUUCAACGAGGAAGAUUGGAAUCCAAUAAGUUAGGACACAAUCUUUUCGAGGAUCCUAAAUUCCGAGUGUCGCGUUAUUUUUGAAAAAAAACUUUUUGAAUAAAAAUGCUCUCGAUACUUGAAUGAUAUUAAACGUAACCUUUUAACAACGAAUAAAAUGCGACGGGACGAUAAUGUAUAACGCGGAAUGACGAUUUGUAAACAAAAUAUACUCUAACGAAUGACAAAUAAUCAAUAAAAACAAAUAAACAUUAUCAUACAUAUAAGAGCAAUAAUCACAUGUAAAUAUUAACAUCAACAUUUGAAAGCUAAUGACCUAAAAGCCUAUCGCAAAUACAACAAAUUUAAAAUAACUAAAAAAAAAGCAUGAGAGAAAAGAAAUUUGAAAUUAUCAACAUAUAUACACAAAAUACACGUAUAUAAAAAUUUAAAAGAAAUAAUUAAUAGGAAGACUUGAAAUAAUUUAAAAAUAGAAUUAAAAAUGAAUAAUAAUAUCUAAAUGAAUUUUAAAAUAAAUAUUAUAAGAAGAAAGUCAAAAUAAAUAAAACCCAAAAUAAUACACAUAUAUUAAUCUAAAUAGGUAAUAGAUAUAAAUUACGUAUUAUAAAAGAAAACUAUUUAAAAAGGGUAAAUUCUAUUGGAUUAACAUAAAAAUAUAAAAUAAUUUAUUAUGAAAUUAAAUAAUAAUAUAUGAUAAUAAUAUAAAAAAACUUAAAAUAAUAGUGCAUAAUAGAAUAAAAUAAUGAAUAUAAAAAGGUUAGAUAAAUUGAUAAAAAAUAAUACUAAUAAUAAUAAUAGUAGCAGUAAUAAUAAUAAUAAUAAUAAUAAUAAUAAUAAUAGUAAUAAUAGUAAUAAUGAUAAAUUAAUAUUAAAGUAAUUAAUUUGAUAGCAAAAAUAACAAAACAGAUUACUAAUUUGGAAUUAAAACAGAAAUUUAGGGGUAAGACGUGCAAUAAAAUGAAAUGAAAAGGACCUAAUUGAAAUUAAUUUAAAAUCAGACUGACUAGCAAAGAAAUUAAACGCACAAGUCUCACCUGGCAAUCAAGUCAGAUCAUCAGAAACGGCGUCGUUUCGAACGUUUGUCUCCUCAACUGACAGAAGGACGAAAUUGAAAGAAAUAUCGAAUUAUGUGGCAAAAUUAAAAAAGACAAAGAAGGAUUAAAAUGAAGUAAAUAAAAAACAGAAGGACCAAACAGGAGAAUAAGCCAUUGAAACAAAACACGCGGAUCCUCCCCGGGUCAAAUCGGAUCAUCGGGUCAACCAACACGGAGACGUUUUGAAGCCAUUAAAUCGGGCUUAAACGGCACCGUUUUAUUAUCGUUAAAAACCUAAAAAAAUAAAACCCUAAUAAUUUGUUUUGCCAUCCUAAAACAGAUCAAGAGCCUAGCCUUCUCCCCACCGGUCUCCACUCACGAACCCAAUCUGACUCCGAUUCAGACGGAGCAAACCAGAUUCCAAUGGCGUCUGCUCUGGUAAGACGCUUCUUCUCUCCCUCUUUUUUUUUCGUUUGGUGCCAAAGAAGAAAACAAAGAAUCAAAGAAAUAAAAGAGAAAAAAAAACGAAGAAAAUCACCUUUCGAAAAAACUUUCUGUUUUGAUUUUUUGUUUGUAUUCAAUAUGCGUAAAAAAGGAUUACAAUGGCCUUCUCCCUCUUUAUAGCCGAAUAUUCGAAAUAAAAUGAAAGAAAAUACAAAAAAUUCUCUCUGCUGCGUUGUUUUCGUCUUCUUUGCAGGUAAGGAGGCUAGCUGGCGUAAGGAGGUGGUGGACGUGGCACAGCACACUCGGGGAAGGCCCUGGUGGCUGCGGCGCUGGAAGGAGGGCUGUUGCAGCUAGGGUUUUCUGAUUUUUUUUUGGGCUAGGGUUGGGUUGAUAGUUGUAUUGGGCUAGGUAUUUGGGCUGGGUGUAGUUGGACUAGAUGUAUCUGACUUUGGGUUUGUACCGGGUCACUGUAAAUGGGUUUGGUUUUUGUUGUUAUUGGGCUGUGAACUAUUUGAGUUUUAAUUAAUUUUUAUUUAUUUGGUUUUUUAUUGUGGGCUGGGCAAAUUGGGUAUUACAAUCAGCUAAUUAGGAAAGACUGUGAUGAUAGUCACACCUUACAUCCAAAAGCAAAGCUUUUUUUACAUGUGUAUGUAAGGUUGCUAAGCAAAUCUGGUGAGCCUUCACUGCUGUUUUAAGGUUAAGUUAAUGUUCCUUUUCGGCAAAGAACAUUAUCGAGAUCACGGUAUUUUGAUCGCCUUUUGCUUCUUGUUAUUCGUUCUGAAACGAUUGCAUAAUCUUUACUGUGAUUGCAGGAUAUAGAGCAACUUUUGAAUUUCAUCGCUGUAAAGUGUUUAGGACCACGACAUGUUCUUGCAAAUUUGAAGAAGCUUCUAAGGUCUGUCCAGUCUUCAGAAUAUAUAGAUACCUGAAUUAAUUUUGAUUUUGUAGGAUCAACUAUAAUUAGCUACUUAUUAGAGUAUGAAUAGACAACCUCACCUUCUUCACACACUGACACGUGCGGAUUUUUUGCCAAUCCCAUUUCAAAGGAUCACACUUUUUUGUUGUUUACAGAAUCAUAAUUAAUGUUAAUUAAAGUGGAAUAUUUCAGAUUUCUGAUGAUGAGCAUAUUCUUGAGUAUUGCAGUAAAAAAAUGGGUGCGGAACUUAUUUGAACUUUGAAUGUAUGUUUUGUUGGUGAGAAUAUAAAGUUGAUAAAGAUUUGGUAAAUAGAAUAAAAUACUAUUUUUUAUUAGAAAAAUUAUUUGGUAGACUGCCAAUCGAUUUAUAAUUAUCAUGACGCAAUAUUAAGGGUAAUUAAAACAUGUCAUAUUACAAAUAAUAAAAUUAUAAUGACUCAAAUAUACGAACAUGUCAAAAUUUAUGUACAACGAAUUAUUAACAUGUCAAUGUAUAGUAUAAUAUGGUACGCAAAAAUAAGAUAAUUGCUUGUCUUUAAUUGAAUUGUUAUAACACAUUAUACAAAAUACAUUGUGAAUUAAAGCAUAAUAUAAUCAUGAUAUCAAUAUAUUAAAUUUUUUAAAAAUUCGAUGAUACGAAUAAUUAUGUAAAAUAUCACAUGAUACAAAAUGACUUGAGAGGAAAAGAGGAACAAAGACUUGCNNNNNNNNNNNNNNNNNNNNNNNNNNNNNNNNNNNNNNNNNNNNNNNNNNNNNNNNNNNNNNNNNNNNNNNNNNNNNNNNNNNNNNNNNNNNNNNNNNNNNNNNNNNNNNNNNNNNNNNNNNNNNNNNNNNNNNNNNNNNNNNNNNNNNNNNNNNNNNNNNNNNNNNNNNNNNNNNNNNNNNNNNNNNNNNNNNNNNNNNNNNNNNNNNNNNNNNNNNNNNNNNNNNNNNNNNNNNNNNNNNNNNNNNNNNNNNNNNNNNNNNNNNNNNNNNNNNNNNNNNNNNNNNNNNNNNNNNNNNNNNNNNNNNNNNNNNNNNNNNNNNNNNNNNNNNNNNNNNNNNNNNNNNNNNNNNNNNNNNNNNNNNNNNNNNNNNNNNNNNNNNNNNNNNNNNNNNNNNNNNNNNNNNNNNNNNNNNNNNNNNNNNNNNNNNNNNNNNNNNNNNNNNNNNNNNNNNNNNNNNNNNNNNNNNNNNNNNNNNNNNNNNNNNNNNNNNNNNNNNAUGGUCUUCUAGGCUUGGUACCUAGUUUUCCAUUCUUUUUAUCCGUUCUAAUUCCACUUUUGCUUUAGUAAAAUUUUCUUAUAGCUAAGAAAGAAAAAAAAAACUAUUAACAAGUAAUUAUAUAUAUAUAUCAGGUUUUCAAUUGCUUUCAAGACUCAAUAACUUGGAAACUCUCGAUUUAAGUCGGAAUUCUUUUAAGAAUAGCAUUUUGUUCCAUAUGAGAAAUCUUUCAUCCUUGAAGACUUUAAGAUUGAGCGGUAAUCAGUUGAAAGGAAGGCUGGAUCAUAUUCAAGGUAGACUAAUUUUACCUGUUUCUUUUUAACUUUAAAAAUCAAUGUAUGCUCAAGUUUGAUUUUAUCAUACGAUGAAUGUAUAUAACUAAUCAAUAUUUGGGAUUGAAUUUCAGGAUUGAAUAAUUUGACAAAUUUGAAGUACUUGGAUUUAAGUUGGAACGACAUUGAAAGCAUCUCAAACAAAGGUAUAAGUAUUUGUGCAAAACUUUCUUGACCGACUCUUAUUCCAAAAGGCAAUGACAGACUUCAAAUGUAUUUUCUUUAGUGAAUUUUUAUUGCAAAAAUGGAGUAUUAUUAUUUAUUUAUGUUUUGUAGUAACUAAUUAUAUAAUAUAUAAAUCAGGUUUUCAACGGCUCAUUAAAUUGGAAAUUAUUGAUAUAAGUUGGAAUUAUUUGAAGAAUAGCAUUCUUUAAAAUAAAUUCAUGUUGAAGGAAAAGUUGUUGCAAUAAGUCAUUUGAUUUUAUCAUAUCAUGAAUAUAUAUAAGUAAUCAAUAUUUGGGAUUGAAUUUCAAAAUUGAGUAAUUUAAGUAGGAAGGUAUCUCAAACAAAGUAUUUAUAUAUUGAAUCAAUUCAUGGGAAAGCUUGUAAAUUGGCUCUUCCUUCUCAAACAAUCAUUUUUCCUAACUUUUUAUAUCUUGAAUGAUAUUAACUAUACUCAUUAUUUUCUUCCAAUGAUAGAUGGAACACAAUGGAGGCUAACAAACUUAGAGGAACUUGAUUUGAGUGGUAAUCUCUUUCGGAACAACACAAUUUCCUUUCCUCAAGGGCUUUCAAGCCUAAAGUCUUUGACUUUGUACAACAACCAUUUGCAAGGCUCAUUAGAUACUAUAGGUACCAAAGCUAUAACUUUGUUUUUCUUGAUAAUUCUUUCUAGAACCUUUUAAAAUUAAUUGUUUCAAAUUUGAACAUUCACAUUUCACUUUUGAGGAUUUUCAUCUUCACUUCCAGUUUUAGAUUUACUUUUUUUUUCAUUUUUAUUUCAUUAAAAUAUUAAGUAGAAAUUAAAAUUAUUAACAUAAUGAUUUUUUAAAUUGUACGUGGAUAUGUAUAGGAUUGAGCAAUUUAACAAAUUUGAAGAAACUCGAUUUAAGUGGGAAUCAAAUUGAAAGCUUUCAAACCUUUAAAGGUAUGCAUUUAUAUUUAACUAAUUACCUAAAUUCUUACAUAUAAUUAAAUUUUAUGCCAAUUCAUUUCAGUGAUGAAAUUAUAUAAAUCUUUUGUAGAUGGUGGUAGAAAAUUGGAGUUGACCCACUUGGAAGAGCUUUAUUUAGAUGGAAAUCACUUCAAUACUAGUGUAUUUGCAUCCCUUAACAAGCUUUCAAAUUUGAAAUCUUUGAGCAUAAGUGAGAAUCAAUUGAAAGGAUCAAUAGAUAUGAAAGGUAAAAAUAUUAGUUUUUUAACAAGAAUAUAAUAAUGUUUGAAGAGAAUAUAAUGAAGUUGAUUUGUUGUUUUUGUUUUCCUAGAUUUGGAAGCAUUUAUCAAAUUAAGGGAACUAGAUAUGAGCUAUAAUGAAUUGAGAGAUUUUGUGAUCCACCAAGGUAUCAUUUAAUUAAUUUUCCUUUUUUUUUAAUUUAGAAAUUUAGUUUUGAUCUAUGAUAUUAUAAUAACAGUUAUUGUCAUAAAUAUUAAUAAAGUUAUAUCAUAUCAUACUUGAAAGUAAAAUAUGGGUUUGGUGAAACAUUUUCUAAACCCUCCAUUAUAAUGUGUUUCGACUUUGGUUUGAAACUAAAAUUCUUUAAAUUUUUCAUAAUUUUUAAAUAUUAAUGUUUAUAAUUAUUUUGUUUGUAUAACUAUGUUUUUAAAAUAAUUUAUUGAAUUUUUAUGAGAUAAAAAAUAAUUAUAACGAUAAAAAAUGAUAUUAUAAGUAAAAAUACAUAUAUUUAUGGGAAAAUAUGUAAUAUAACUAUAUUUUAAUUUCAUAUAUUUUUAAUAGUAUAAAACAUAAAAAUACAUAUUAGAGUUAAAUAAAUGGCAUUUUUUGGCCAAAAAUAAAUAAAUGUCAAUUUUGAAUAAUAUAAAAAAAAACUUCAAUUUUAUGAAAUUUAAACAUACAUUUUGAGGUGUUUAAACUUUUUUUUUUAACUUUUUAUAAAUUUCAAAAUGCACAUGUUGUUAAUUUUUUGGUUUUAAAAAAUGUGAUAGGUCUAUGUACUCUUUACAAAUUUGUAAUUUAAUUCUUGUAUUUUUAUUUUCGGGAAUUUGAUCCCUCUAUUUUUUAAAUUUUAAAAUCCAAGUUCAAUUGUUAACAUUGUUAUUUUUUUAAAAAAUAAUUUAUUGGUGUUGACAUUUUAAAAUAAAAGAACUUGGUAGCGAUGUAACUAAAAGAUGAUGUAAUGAACAUGGAUUUAAUAAAAUAAUUUCAACCGUAUAAAUAGUUAGACUUGAAUUUUGAAAAAAAAAAUUUGUAAAGAGAAAAAUAUGCACAUUAGAUUUAAAUAAAAAUAAUAUUUUUUUUAGUUUAAAAUUUUCUAUUUUAUAAUAGAACCAUUGAUUUAAAUAAAUGAGAUUUUGAAGAAUUUCCAAAAAAAAAAAACUAUGUAGGUGAAAUUUAAAUAGAGAAUUUGAUAAGCUGAAAUUCUCUUUUGGAAUUCAUAAAUUUUAAAAUUCAGAAGCAUGUAUUUUGACAAUUUUGAUUUAAUAUGGUGAAUUUAAUCAAAAAAUUAUUUAUUAGAUUGUAAAAUAUUUCUUAACAUUUAUAAUUGAGUACAAAGUAAAUUAAGUUUAAGGGAAAAUAUUGGGUACUAUUAAUGAAAUUCUUUUCUUUUAUCAAUUUUUUUUUAAAAAAAUCGGGGUGGUACUAUUAAUGAAAUUCUAAACUUCAUAAGUAGGAUUGAGAUAAUAACAAAUUUCUUAUAUGGUAUAGUAAAAUAUUAAAAAAUAAAUAUUUAAAAGAAAUAGGUUAGUGGCCAUUUUUUAACUUCACUUGUAGAGUUAAAAAACUCCAUUACCAGUACCAAAUACUAACAUUAAGGUUAAAUGCUAAUUGAUUUCAAACAUAUUUGAGUUUUUUAAAAGAAUAUUCUCAUAUAUUUAAAAGAAAACAACACAAAGUUAGAAGAUCUCAUCUUGAAGGGUAAUUCAUUUACCGGUCCUCUCACAUUACCGUCAGCUCCUAACUCUAAAGUGUCUUUAAUUGACAUAUCCCAAAACAAAUUGCAAGGUCAGAUUCCAACCAACGUGUGUUCACAUUUUCCACAUUUGAGCCACUUAUUCUUAUCCAAGAAUGCCUUCGAAGGUGAUAUCCCUCCUUGUUUGAGUGGCAUGAAGGAUUUAUCGAUUUUAGAUUUAUCAGACAAUCAAUUGUCUGGAAGAGUACCUGAAGAGUUAAUCACAAAAAACUCGUUGACCAUUUUGAGACUAUCAAACAACAACCUCAGUGGACAUGUGCUUCCUGUGAUUCUCAAUGCAAAUGGGCUGUCAAAAUUAUAUUUGGAUGGAAAUAAUUUUUCUGGGGAGAUGGCAAAUGUUGAUGUCUCUAUUUCUGAGUUUCCAACUUCACUAAGGGAAAUUAAUCUCGGAAAUAACAAGUUUUAUGGAAACCUCCCAAGAUGGAUGGGGAAUGUGUCAUUUUUGGAGAGAUUAGCUUUGUCCCAAAAUGGUUUCGAGGGUUCUAUUCCAAUGGAAUUUUGCAACUUGAAUCGCUUGGAAUUUUUGGAUCUCUCUGAAAACAAUUUAUUUGGCUCUAUACCGUCCUGCUUUAAUACCCUAAACAUAAAGCAUGUCCACCUGCACGGGAGUAGACUAAGUGGCCCACUACCAAUCGCUUUUUAUAAUAUCUCUUCACUGGUUACGUUAGAUCUUAGAGGAAACAAUUUGACUGGUAGUAUUCCAAAAUGGAUUGGCACACUUUCUUCAUUGAGUGUUCUUCUCUUGAAAGAUAAUCAUUUUCAUGGUGAAGUUCCAGUUCAGUUAUGCAAGUUGGAUUCUUUAAACAUCAUAGAUCUUUCUCAAAAUAUGUUUUCUGGUAUUAUACCUUCUUGUUUGGGAAAUUUAACCCUUUCAACGGAAACAAAUAAGAUUCUAACUGAUUCGAAAAUUAGUCCAAGGUUAACAGGGGACGGAUUAGUGAAAACAUUGGGAGCUCUCGGAAAUUAUUACUAUCCUGAAGGCUACUUAGAAGAAGUAAUAGAGUUCACAACAAAGAGUGGGUUCUUAUCGUAUGAGGGAAACAUCCUUACAUAUAUGACCGGGAUUGAUUUAUCUUGCAACAACUUAACUGGUCAUAUCCCACCAGAAUUAGGGAACUUAAGUGAAAUCUAUUCUUUAAACUUGUCGCAUAAUAAGUUGACAGGAGUUAUACCCUCAUCAUUCGCAAAACUUCAUCAAAUUGAGAGUUUGGACCUUUCUUACAACAAUUUGAGUGGUGAAAUCCCCAAUCAGUUGGUAGAGUUGAACUCUUUGGAGGUUUUCAACGUGGCAUACAACAACUUGUCAGGUAGUAUUCCCGAACCAAAAGCUCAAUUUGGGACCUUUAUUGAAAACAGUUAUGAGGGAAAUCUUUUUCUUUGUGGAGCUAUAUUGCAUAAAAGUUGUUCCAAAACCGAUUCACCAUCAACGAUAUCAACUCUAUCAGAAUAUAAAGGAGAAGAUGGUUUGAUAGGUACUUAUGAUUUUUGUGUGAGCUUUUUGGUUUCUUAUGUAGUUGUGUUGUUGACCAUUUUUGUUGUCCUCUACAUAAAUCAAUACUGGCGAAGAGUUUGGUUUUCUCUCAUUGGGAAAUGCAUCACCACCUGUCGCUACUCAAAUGUGGGCAAUUUUCUUACUUAUCACAUUUUCAAGCAAUGAGUUUAGCUACUCAAAUUGUAAUUUGAUUUUCACACCUAAAUGUUUAAUUAUGCUAAGUUGAGCGAUAAUGAAUAUUUUGUUGAUUUUUGCAUUUUAAAUAAAAGCUCUUUGAUCUUAUGAUUUUAUCAUUUUCAACCAUCUAUUUCUUUUUUCUUCUAUGAAAUUUAAUGUAAAAUCAUAAUCCAUUAUUAUGUAUAUGCAAUAUCUCUUUGAAUUAAAUUAAAUUGAAUACCAAGCGUUCACUAGUGCAUACUGAAAAGGAAAUCUAAUGUAAAAUUAAACCAAACAUACUAGAAAAAUGAAUCUGAAACUGAAAUAUUUUAAAACCUCAAAAACAAUGCAAUUCUUUAUUCCUCUUUUCCUUUCAAGUUAUUUUGUAUCAUGUUAUAUUUUACAUAAUCAUUCAUAUCAUCAAAUUUUAAAAAAUAUUUAAUAUUUUGAUAUCAUGUUCAUAUUAUGCUUUAAUUCACAAUGUAUUUUAUACAAUAUGUUAUAACAAUUCAAUUUAAAAAACAAGCAAUGAUCUUAUUUUUGCAUACCGUAUUAUACAUUUACAUGUUAAUAAUUCAUUGUACGUAAAUUUUGACAUGUUUGCAUAUUUGAGUCAUUAUAAUUUUAUUAUUUGUAAUAUGACAUGUUUUAAUUACCCUUAAUAUUGUGUCAUGAUAAUUAUAACUCGAUUGGCACCAAAUAAUUUUUCUAAUAAAAAAUAGUAUUUUAUUCUAUUUACCAAAUCUUUAUCAACUUUAUAUUCUCACCAACAAAACAUACAUUCAAAGUUCAAAUAAGUUCCACACCCAUUUCUUUACUGCAAUACUCAAGAAUAUGCUCAUCAUCAGAAAUCUGAAAUAUUCCACUCUAAUUAACAUUACGAUUCUGUAAAAACCAAAAAUGUGUGAUCCUUUUUUAAAGCUCUUUUUUUUUUCCUUUAAUGAAAUGGGAUUGGUAAAAAAUCCGCACAUGUGUCGUGUGUGAAGAAGGUGAGGUUGUCUAUUCAUUCUCUAAUAAGUAGCUAAUUAUAGUUGAUCCUACAAAAUCAAAAUUAAUUCAGGUAUCUUUAUAUUCUGAAGACUGGACAGACCUUAGAAGCUUCUUCAAAUUUGCAAGAACAUGUCGUGGUCCUAAACUCUUUACACCGAUGAAAUUCAAAAGUUGCUCUAUAUUCUGCAAUCACAGUAAAGAUUAUGCAGUCAUUUCAGAACGAAUAACAUAACAAGCAAAAGGCGAUCAAAAUACCGUGAUCUCGAUAAUGUUCUUUGCCGAAAAGGAACAUUAACUUAACCUUAAAACAUCAGUGAAGGCUCAUCAGAUUUGCUUAGCAACCUCACAUACACAUGUAAAAAGCUUUGCUUUUGGAUGUAAGGUGUGACUAUCAUUACAGUCUUUUCUAAUUAGCUGAUAACCCUGUAUCUAACAUUUAUCAGGGCUAAGCAAAUUAACAUACAUGAUGUAAAGGAAUUUGACUAUAAGAUCCAACAGAAAACUUAAUAAACGAUAAUCAACAUAGAAAGAAGGCAAUGCAAACUUAUUACAAUGAUGCAAGCGGAUCAAAAGAAAGCACUUCUAUAGGGAAUUUGCAUUUAAGGCAUCGUAAACAGAAAAAAAAAUGAUAAAACUUUUUGGAAAGUAUUUUCAAAGAGGAGACAAAAACAGGGUAGAAACAAUGUUUGGUUCUUCCUUUUUCUAUUUACAAUUUUAGGGUGCAUUCUCUACUGUUGUGAAAAAGCCUUUUUGGGUUAAAAGUGUUUUUACACUGCAGAAGUGUUUUUCCACUGCAGAAGUGAUGAACAACACAUAGCUGUUGUAGUCAAAAACUGUUUUUGGCUUUUGCAUUCAAAAGAGAAAAUUAUCAAAAUACUAUUAUUUUCAUUAACUAUUUAAAAGGUAUAUAAAAAUUAGAUUAAUUUAUAUUUUAUAUAUUAUUAUAUUAAAUUGUUUAAAUCUUAUUUAUUAUUAUAUUUAAUUUUUUCAAAAUAUUUUAUAUAUUAUCAAUUUUACAACUAAUUAACAAAAUAUUUUACUAGGGAAUACGUAUAUGUGAAUAUCUAUAAAUGGCAUGCCUGGAUAUGCAUAUCCUUUGAUAUCAAAUAUUUUGAAAAAAAUAUUAUCAAUUCCACUGAUAUAUUAUCAAUUCCACUGAUAUAAAGCUCUUUAUAUUACCAAUAUAAAUAUAAAUAUUUUGAAUAUAAAUAUCCAUUGAUAUAUUAUCAAUUCCACUGAUAUAAAGCUCUUUAUAUUAUAAAUAUUUUAUAUUUUUUUUCAAAAAUAUGGAUAUGCAUAUCCUUUGAUAUCAAAUAUAAAGGUAAUAUUUAUAGGAAUUGUUUUUUAAUUAGAUAUUUUUAUAUAUCAGUGGAAUUGUCAAAAUAUUUUCAUUAACUAUUUAAAAGGUAUAUAAAAAGAGCUUUAUAUUGCCUCAAGCGCAAGGCACAAAAUGAAGCGCUAGCCUGUGUGCAGUAAAGCGCAAUACGUAUAUGUGAGAGUUUUUGCAAGUCUGUGUGUCUAUAACAUAAAAGUUUAAGAUAUAUAGUAAACUCUAAAGUGUGGUCUGGUUUAUCCACAAAACUUGAAAUUUUUUUAUAGGUGAAUGCUCAAAUAUUGAGAAUUAUAGAGUUUGAUAUUAUCCCUUCCUUAUUAGUAAAGGUAUAUCAAAUGAAAACAGUGAAAAAUAAAAUAAAUUAUUGAGAAAUUCAACAAGGCAGGUUUUUCUAAUGCCCAUUGCCUUACAAAAAAAGUGUGCCUAGGUGCACCAGGCAUGCGCUUGAUCAAAUGGACCUCACCUGGAAGGGUCCAAGGCGUUUUGUUGUAUAAAACUAAGGCGUAGGCAUGCCUAGGCGCAUGCCUUGACGACACUGACCAUAUGUUGGCUUUAUUGCAAAGCAUUAGCAAUUCAAAACUACUAGCACAUUACCUAAUCUACUACUGCUAGAAUAGGACUCAAGUUCUUGCUCCUGUGCAGGUCCAACCAAGAUCUUUACAGGAUACAGUAAUGAAACUUGUGAUAUCAUAUAUUGUUGCCUUGCUCGAAGCUUCCUUUGCACAUUUUUAAGUUUAACACAACCCCUUUCUUCAGUGAGUAAUCUAUUUGCUUCCUGUGAUAAAAACAACAUAUAAUCAAUCAUGCCAUGCAUGCAAGACUACCAACCAUCUUAAAAAAGAGACAAAGAAGUAGGACAGCAAGAAGGGGAUAACCCUUGACUAUGCAAAGGAAUUCAUAGAAUGAGAAUCAUCUCAUCUAAGCCCCUCAACCACCUUCACAGGGGGUGGAGCUGCAAAAAGAGAUGUCUUAUUGAUCCAAGAGGAGAAUAAAUAACAUCUAAAGCUGAAUAAGAAGAAACCUUCAAAUGUAUCAUAAAUUCAGCAUUCAUGAUAAUAUCAAAAUGAAAUUCCAAAGCUAAUUUAAGCUAGAAUAAAAAUGCUUCACCUGUAAUCGCUUCCUUGCUACAGAAAGAGAGGUACCAGCAACCAACAAUGAUCUUACUUCAGUACUAAGCAUUUCCUCCUGUUUUUUAGCAUCCUCUGUUGCAACUUUGCAACGAGUUGACAUUUUGCCAUAACUACUUUCCUUGCCUCUAGUCUCUCACGCAUUUCCUCAAGCUCGUUCAGUUUAUUCAAAGACUCAUUUUUUACCUGCACAGCAUGUUCCCGCCCAUUAAUCAGUGGGCCAAUUGAUUAGGUCACAGAAGACAAAACUAAAUUACCACUCACCAGGUCCCCUUGAAGUGUCAUAUGGCUUUAACAAUUCAACGUGCAAUAUCUAGUAAAAGUAAAAUAAACAUAGAAGAAAGCAAAUGCAAUUCUUAAACGCCUUUAAAUGGACAACAUGAAACAGUUUAAGAGCCCUAUAAAACAGUAAAGUGGAAAAAAAAUCUGAAAAGGAAAAAGAAAUGAAUUGAAACAAUAAAUCCAUCAGGUACAAACAGCAACAAAACUUGAAAUAAGCUUUGGCUUUAGCCCAUUAAAGCCCGGGCAUCCAGCCAAAUAAACAGUGACUGCCAUGUCAACUUUUUGAGACGGUAGAAAAGAGAUCGAAAAUCUCAAUUUCCAAAAAUAAGGACAUAAGAAGUAAAAAAAUGCACUUAUUCUUACAGUAGAAGAGCAAAAUGAAACUAAAUGAAGCAUAAGGGAACUGAUGCGAAUUGACAUUGUCAUUUUUGGGACUAAAAAGAAUACGCAGAUUGAAUAUUUAAGAUUUGGAAGGGAAAAGUUCCAUUCACCAACACAAUUAUCGUCGCCCUUCAUCCUAGUAAAGCUUAAUUGACAAUUUUUCUGUCUCGUGUUCUUGCUAAAGCAUUUGAGCAACCCAACAGAAAUCAUUAUAUUUCAAACUGAAAUGAUUGGCUUUAUCAAUUUCACAACCUAUACCGCCCAACCUAGUAAGUAAUUUAGGUGCAGACACCAGAAAUCUAUUUCCUUUGCACUCUACAACUAAAUAGCCUACCACUUAUCAAUCAAACACAGCUGAAAACUUCAGUGAGGAAACAUUAUGAAAACUGAAAAAACUAUAACUUCAACUUGAUUCAUAGCUCGGCAAGUUCAGGGAAUUGGGACUUCUACCACCAUGAUCCAGUUCGAUGUGAAACAGUGAUCUAUAUCACGCAUAUCGGUUCCCGCAACAAGAGGUAAAACAGCAAAUUAGGUAAACGAUGAUCCUACUAUAUUUCAGAAUAGCAACAUUGAGCAUGAAAGCUAAAGUUAUAGCAUAUUAUGGGUCCUUGCUCUCUACAACUACAUAUAAAAUUACUAAACAAUAUUACUACAUUAAGGAUCCAGAAAAACUUUGUUUCAAUUGUUGAUCACUUGAUCCAACUAUUUUAGAAAGUUUAUUCUUCUUUUUCCUUUCCCUUAUUUUCUAAAUCAGGAAAAACAGUAGCACAUAAACUGGAUUACUACUCCAAGUUUCUAAAAUUUCAGCAAUAUCCCUUUAACCUUUUCACUCAAGUCACUACCCCCCCAAUUAACAAAUAUAUUCCCAGUUUCCCUUUCACUUCAAACCCCCUUUUUUUUUUCUCUACCCAAAUUCAGCUUAAGUUCAAAAACCCAAAAUUGGUUUGCUAAAAAUACAUAAUUUUCAAACACAAAGGUAACCUAAUUUUAAUCAGAAAAAAAAAGCAUUACCUGAAUUAGUGAAUGGAGUUUCUCUUGAAGACUUUGUUUUAAAACUAUCUUAUACUAUUUGCUUUAAAUCGAUUUUUAUUAGCUAUUUAAAACUCGUUUUCAUGUAUUAUUUAUUUUUUUAUCACUUAUUUAAAUUGUUUUACAUAUCUAUUUUUUAAACCCUAUUUUAUUAUAUUUUACUUAUUUUAACUUUUUUACAUAUUUCAUUAUAAAUAUUAUUAAUUAUCUAUAUUGAGUUUUUCAUUCCAUAUGUAUUACUUAUUUAGAUAAAUAUAUACUAUUUUGUGUAUUACUUAUUUUGAUUUUCUUCUUAUACAAUAUUACUUUAAAAUUCAUUUAGAUAUUAUUAUUUCACGUAGUAUUUAUUUUUAUCUUCAUUUUUUAUUUAUUUCAAACUCAUAUAUUGUUUAUUUUGAAAUUUUAUGCAUAUGAUUUAUUGUUUAUAUUGAUGAUUUUAAAUUUCCUUUCUUGCAUGUUUUUUUUAUUUAUUUUAAAACUUGUUAUACUUUAUUUGUGUUAAUUUGCUUAGUUUUUCUUUCAAAAUUAACUUAUAAUUCAUUAGCUUUUAAUGUUAGUAUUUGCACAAUAUGUGAUGUAAGAUUAUUGCUUUCCUGUAUUGCUUAUCUGUAUAUAUUGAUUAUUUGUCAUUCAUUAGUAUACAUUUUGGUUUACGAAUUGACUAAUUUACCAAAAAAAGCCAUUUUUUUAUAAAUUACCGAAAUAGGCCGGUUUUUUAAUUAUUUACCGGAAUGGGCCAUUUCCCCCGAAAUCGCGCCACGUCGAAGCGAUGUCAGGGGACGGGGCAGAAGGUCGCGUCCACGUCAGAGCGACCUACUGACGUGGAAGGAAAUCGCUCCCCUGAGGGCGCGAUUUCCUUCCACGUCAGCAGGUCGCGCUGACGUGGACGCGACCUCCUGUCACUUUGCGCGGUACCGGGAAUGCGAUUUUGACCCUGAUUUUUACGCCUAGGUUUUAUGGCUUUUAGGGUUUAGGGUGCAGGCUUUUUAGGAGUUAGGGGUCCGGGAAAAUUAUUUUUCGAGUUGACGUUUCUGGUUAAAUAGUGGGAAAUCGCUUAUACUAGGAUGCUAUUUAAGAAGAAAUUGUGAAAUAGUGGCCUCGUGGACGCGAUUUCGCUACAGUGGUCAUGUGAGAAAUAAUUUUUUUAGACGUUUUCUGAGGAAAUAGUAUAAAAUCGCUGAUACCAGGAUGCUAUAUGAGAAGAAAUUGUGAAAUCGCGCCCUCGUGGACGCGAUUUCGCUACAGUUGGUCAUGUAGGAAAUAAUUUUUUUUGACGUUUCUGAGUAAAUAGUGUCAAAUCGCGCCCUCGUGGACGCGAUUUCGCUACAGUAGCAAGUUUGGGCUGAGGUUAUAAAUUAGGCAGAGAAUUUUCUUAGAAUGCAUAACUCAGAGCAGAAACAUUUUAGGUUAGGGUUAGGGAAUUUAGAGUUUCAAAAUGAGUGAAUGUAUUAGUGCUGUUAUUUACUACGAUGGUGAGGUUUGCCACACCGAGAAUGGUGUUGUUUUUUUGUCGAAGAAUACGAUGCGACUGUCAUUUAGCCAAAACAUAGAUUUGACAGAACUCCGUAAAAGAAUUAGGCGUAAAAUCUUCGGAACCACGCCAAUGAAAGUUCAGUCAAUGACGUAUCGAUUUUGUUCUUCUGUUGAUUCGGUGACAUAUGACUCGUUCGACAUAAAAGGUGCUCGUAGCUUAGAGGCAAUGGUGCAGACUCAUCUUGCUAGCGGAGCAACUUAUAUUGAGUUAUAUGUACAAUUUACGUCACCAAAUGAUGUACUUUCGUCCGGUGUUCGAGAUGUAUACACGACCCCUGGCCGACACUCGGUUAGUGUGUUACAAAAUACGGAACAGCCCAUGUUCGGUAGCGGUGUCGAAUGCACAUCCCCCCAAGACACUCUGUCGGUGGAUGGGACAUGUACGUCGGUGGCUCGACGGUUGACGCUGGAAAUACGAGCUGGUACGUUCAUUCUCUUAUUUUAUUUUAUUUCAUAUUUUGGGAAAUUUAGAACGAUAAGCGAAAAUGAAUAUAUUCAGAUUAGCAGGGGACAUGACCCAUUUGUUUAGUGUUCUUGUUUUGCUUCUUAAGAUCCACACAAUCAAGUCUUGUGCUGGUACGUUCAUUUUCCAAAUAUUUACUUUACUUUUUGUUUCUGGGCUUAUUUCAUUUUAUGUUGUACUUUUUUCCCAGUAAUUUACUGCUUAAUAUAAAAGAAUCGAAUAUUUAGGUUAAAUUGUGGGUGGGUUUUUGCUAGUUUAUUGAAUACUCAAAUUGGAGCCAUGUAAAAUGUGGAAACUUUAGCUUGAUAGAAAAUGUGACCCCCUUUUUUUUUAAUGUAUGGAAUAAAAAUUUUUGUAUUUUGUGAAUUUUUUUUUAGUAAUUUGAAUUUGUAUGUAUGUUCAUUGGAAGUUUAGAAGCAAGGAGUUCUGAUCAUUAGGACUUUAUGUGAUUCAUUCAUUUUGAGUUAUAGUGUAGUUAGUUGUUGGAUUUAGUGUCACUGUUGGCAUCUUAUUUUAGCUGAUUUCCUUUCUAUUUGUACCGAUAAACCUCUAGAGGUUUUGAAAUUAGCAACUGAUUUUUUUUAUGUGUGAGAGUUUUUAUGGAAAUCAAUAAGCUAAUUACAUUUUGCAGGAUCAUACAGUCGGGUUAGUGGUUUUUAUGUCAUGCUGGCCUAUGGUUUUGAGAUGAACAUCAUGAAAUCUGUAUAAGAUGAGGGUAUUAAACUAUAAACAUAGCCGAGGUAGCGAUUUAUUUCGUAUCAUGCUAUUGGAAGUUUUUUUGGGGCGGCAAUGUCAACUAAAUUUAUAUUCUUUUGAUCAAGUCGAUUAUUUCCAGUUGCACAACUAGCUUGUUGGAAAUAUUUUCUUUCUUUGCUCCUGUCCUUUUCACUUUCAUAUUUUAUGGGUGGUGUGAUGAUGGGAAGAUUCAUGGGUGGCUAAAGCCAUCUUACUCACUAGAAGUGAGGCUGUUAUUUUUAGAAGUUAGAGAUGCUAUAUCAAUUGAGGAUGCCGUGAGCAAAAGCUUGCUAAUAAUAAGUGACUGUUCAUAUGCGUGGGUUCUAUCACAUGUUGAUGGAGUAUUUGGUGCUCUUUCUUCACUAAUUUCAUAUGUAUAGAUAUAAUUGUAUAACAUCUCGACGUUGAUUACUGUUACGAGGGGAAAAAAACACAGCAUGUAAUGAAACUCAAAAAGUAGGAAUCCUAGAUCCUUGUAUUCAUUCAUAGGCAUUUUACAACAUUUGAUUUAACUUGAGCAAGAUUCCGUUUUGGGCCUGGUCUUUUCCUGUUCGUUCCCUUGUUUAUAUAUGAUGAAGUUGGUUCAGCAUGCAGGAAACUCGACAGCAUGCAGGCCAUGAAGACCAAGUCGUGCAGGAGCUGCUGGAACGAGCUGAACUUUUCCUAUUUUGUUCAUCUAGUAAUCUUAAGUUAAUGUAAUGUACUUUAGUUCAUUUAGAACUAUGUUAGGUUUAUGAUUGAUGUAAUUUUGAUGACAAUUGAGCUGUUAAGUCAGCUUUGUUUAAGUGUGUAAGCUUAGUUUUUCAAGUUUCAAUGUAUUAGUGGUAGUAGGUGAUGAUUAGGUAUCAUUAUGCAGAUUUUGACAAGCAAAUUGCUUGGUUUAUGUAUUGGCAUUAUGCCAUUGUUCAACAUAUGAAUGAAAUCAACUUUGUUCAUCAAUAUUCUCUCAAAUUUCCUCAGCUUAUUUUCUUUUUUCUUCAACUCGAAAUUGUUUGUUUGCUCAGCAAGAUUCGAGGCUUGCUCGACAAGAAACUUGCUGAGUCUGUUUGAUUCUGCUGUUGCACCAACAAUUGGUAUCAGAGCUUAUUUCUUAAGGGACCUGUUAUACAAAUCCAUGGCUUCAUCAAGUUUUUCACCAGCUGCACCUCAAGUCUUCAAUGGAGAAGGCUAUCACAUAUGGGUGGUCAAAAUGAAGACCUACCUGCAGGCAUUUGAUCUGUGGGAGGUGGUCAACUCUGAUGUUGAACCAGAGCCACUUAGAGCUAAUCCAACAGUGGCUCAGAUCAGGCAGCAUGCUGAUGAAAGGACCAAGAGGCACAAUGCUAUGUCUUGCAUCCAAAACUCAGUGUCUGAUGUGAUUUUCACAAGGAUUAUGGCCUGUGAAUCACCAAAACAGGCCUGGGACAAGUUGCAGGAAGAGUUUCAAGGGACUGAGAGGACAAGGCAACAACAGUUGUUAAACUUGAGGAGAGAUUUCGAGAAUUUGAAGAUGAAGGAAGAAGAAACUGUCAAGCAAUAUUCUGACAGGAUUAUGGCUGUGGUUAACAGCAUCAGGCUCCUUGGAGAGCAGUUCAAUGAAGCUAGGAUAGUGGAGAAGGUUAUAGCAACUCUGCCUGAGAGGUAUGAGGCAAAAAUCUCAUCUCUCGAGGACUCAAGGGACCUGUCCACCAUCUCCCUGACAGAGUUGAUCAAUGCUCUAUAUGCUCAAGAGCAGAGGAGAGCAAGCAGACUGGAGGAGCACCAAGAAGGUGCCUUUCAGGCAAGAACAAAUACUUCCUACAAAGGCAAGAAGGCUUGGAGAGACAAGCCAAAGGAUGAUGCUGCAAGGAGAGAAGGUCAAACUUGCAAGCACUGCAGAAAGGCUGGUCAUUCAGAAGAAAAAUGCUGGUUUAAUCCAGAUGCUGUGUGUCAGCAUUGUAAGAAAAAGGGCCAUGUUGAGAGAGUUUGUAAGAGCAAUGCCAAAACAAGGCGCAAUCAGGCUCAACAGAUGAAAGCUGAGGCUCGAGUAGCUAAGGAGGACAGUGACCAAGAGGAGCAAGUCUUUACUGUGUCAUGCUCAGCUGCUCAGGAAAGGUCCUCAUCUGGUUGGCUCCUAGACAGUGGAUGCACCAACCACAUGACACCUGAUGCUGCAAUCUUCAAGUCUUUAGACAGAAGCUGCAGAACUAAAGUCAAGAUAGGAAAUGGUCAUUUUAUUCAAGCUGAAGGCAAGGGUGAUGUUCUGAUAUGCACUCUUACAGGUACCAAAGUGAUUUCAAAUGUGCUGUUGGUGCCUGAAAUUGACAGAAACCUGCUCAGCAUAGCUCAGUUGCUGGAAAAAGGUUACUUAGUUGUGUUUAAAGACCACCAAUGCCAAAUCAGUGAUCCAAGUGGAUCCAAACUGAUGGCAGUCCCUAUGGCUGAUAAGAGCUUUGUGGUUGACUGGACAAAAAAGUCAGACAUUGCCUACACAGCCACUUCAGAUGAAUCCAAGCUGUGGCAUCAAAGACUGGGACAUGCCAACUUCAGAUCGAUGGCCCGAAUGAUCAGAGAAGACCUGGCUGAAAACUUCAUCAACUCAGUAGACCAUGAUGAUGUAUGUGAAGUAUGUCAGCUAGGAAAGCAGGCCAGACUCCCAUUUCCCUCGAAUCAAGCCUAGAGAGCCUCUGAAAAACUCCAACUGGUGCAUACUGAUGUGUGUGGACCUAUGAAGACUGAGUCAUUAAGUGGAAACAGGUAUUUCAUACUGUUCAUUGAUGAUUUCUCGAGAUAUUGCUGGAUUUACUUCUUAAAACAGAAAUCAGAGGUGGCCACUGUGUUUUGGAAGUUCAAAACUGCUGCUGAGACUGAAACAGGCUGCAAGGUGAAGACCAUAAGGUCUGAUAAUGGGACUGAGUACACCUCAGCUCAGUUCCAAGCCUUCUGUGAUAAGGCAGGCAUCAAACAUCAACUUGCCAACACAUAUACACCUCAGCAGAAUGGGGUAAGUGAAAGGAAGAAUAGGAGUUUGAUGGAUAUGGCCAGGUGCUUGAUGAUUCAGAAGAAUCUGCCUAAAGCACUAUGGGCAGAAGCAGUUAACACUGCAACAUACAUUCAAAAUAGACUUCCAACCAGGGCUUUGGAUCAAAAGACCCCAUUCGAGGCCUGGUUUAGCUUCAAGCCAUCACUGGCUCAUCUGAAGGUCUUUGGAUGCAUCUGUUAUGCACAUGUACCUGCUGUUAAAAGGGACAAAUUGUCUGAAAGGGCUCGACCUGGUGUUUUGGUGGGCUAUAGCACUGUUAAGAAGGGCUAUAGGAUUUUAGAUCCUUCAACAAACAAAGUGUCAGUAAGCAGGGAUGUGGUAUUUGAUGAGAGGUCAUGUUGGAACUAGGAAAGACAUGAACCUGAAGAAGUUUUUGAAGAACUUGCAGCAGACCAAGCUGAGCCAGACCAAGAUGUCCCUGAAAUGGAUAUUGAUGAUGAACCAGUCAGAGGAACAAGGCCAUUGGCUGAAAUUUAUGAAAGGGCUCAUGUAGCCAUAGUUGAACCAAGCAACUUUGAAGAGGCUGAGGCUCAGCAAGGGUGGAAGCAGGCAAUGGCUGAGGAGAUCAGCAUGAUUGAGAAGAACCACACCUGGAAAUUGGUUGAAAGGCCAGUCAAAAGGAAAGUGAUUGGGGUGAAAUGGGUGUACAAAGCCAAGCAGAAUGCUGAUGGUACCUUGAACAAGCUGAAAGCAAGGCUAGUUGUCAAGGGGUUCAGUCAGAGGUAUGGCUUGGACUACCUGGAGACCUUUGCACCAGUGGCCAGGCUCGACACCAUCAGACUGCUGAUUGCCUUAGCAGCACAGCUUGAAUGGAAGAUCCAUCAACUUGAUGUGAAAUCAGCUUUUCUGAAUGGUUUCUUAGAUGAAGACAUCUAUGUUGAACAACCACAAAGGUUUGAAAUAGCUGGCAGAGAGCAUAUGGUCUACAAACUGAAAAAGGCCCUAUAUGGAUUAAAGCAGGCUCCAAGGGCCUGGUAUAGCAGAAUUGAUGGCUACUUGACUGAUCUAGGAUUCGAUCGAAGCAAGAGUGAGCCAACACUGUAUGUCAAGAAACAAGGGACACAAAUACAACUCAUUGUGUCCCUGUAUGUUGAUGAUCUUCUGGUGACAGGAGGAGAUCGAGUAGUGCUGGCUGAUUUUAAGACCAAGAUGCAGGAAGUGUUUGAAAUGUCUGAUCUUGGGGAGAUGUCAUACUUUCUUGGAAUGGAGGUGUCUCAAGUAUAGAAUGAGAUAUUUCUAAGCCAGAGAAGCUUUGCCACAAAGAUUCUGACCAAGUUCUCCAUGCAAAACAGCAAGGCAACUAAAACACCUAUUGCUGUUGGAGAAAAACUAUCGAGCCAAGGUGAUUUUAAGAAAGUUUGUGAAACAACCUACAGGAGUCUAGUUGGUUGCUUGCUAUACUUGACUGCCACUAGACCAGACAUUAUGUAUGCUGUAGGAUUGCUCUCAAGGUUCUUGCAUUGCUGCAAUGAGAAGCAUUUCCAAGCUGCAAAGAGAGUGCUGAGAUAUGUCAAAGGCACUUUAAACUAUGGUUUGAAGUACAGUAAAGAAGGAAAUCUGAAGCUGAUUGGCUACACUGAUAGUGACUGGGCUGGCUCGAUAGAUGACAUGAAAAGCACCUCAGGGUAUGCUUUUAACCUUGGUUCAGCCAUGUUUUGUUGGAGCUCAAAGAAGCAAAGUCUAGUAGCUCAAUCUACUGCUGAAGCAGAGUAUGUGGCAACAGCAAGUGCUAUCAACCAAGCCAUAUGGCUAAGAAAAAUAUUGGCUGACUUGAAUGUGCAUCAAGAGCAAGCUACUGAGAUCUUCUGUGACAACCAAUCUGCAGUAGCAAUUGCUAAAAAUCCAGUGUUCCAUGGAAGAACAAAACAUUUCAGCAUAAAGUUGCAUGUUGUUCGAGAAAUGGAGCAAGCUCAGGAAGUAAAGCUGGUCCACUGUAAUUCAGAAGAUCAACUUGCUGACAUUUUAACCAAAGCUCUUAGUGUCACAAGGUUUGAAUAUCUAAGAAAGAAGCUAGGUGUUUGCUCCAUGCAAACCAAGGAGGAGUGAUGAAGUUGGUUCAGCAUGCAGCAAACUCGACAGCAUGCAGGCCAUGAAGACCAAGUCGUGCAGGAGCUGCUGGAACGAGCUGAACUUUUCCUAUUUUGUUCAUCUAGUAAUCUUAAGUUAAUGUAAUGUACUUUAGUUCAUUUAGAACUAUGUUAGGUUUAUGAUUGAUGUAAUUUUGAUGACAAUUGAGCUGUUAAGUCAGCUUUGUUUAAGUGUGUAAGCUUAGUUUUUCAAGUUUCAAUGUAUUAGUGGUAGUAGGUGAUGAUUAGGUAUCAUUAUGCAGAUUUUGACAAGCAAAUUGCUUGGUUUAUGUAUUGGCAUUAUGCCAUUGUUCAACAUAUGAAUGAAAUCAACUUUGUUCAUCAAUAUUCUCUCAAAUUUCCUCAGCUUAUUUUCUUUUUUCUUCAACUCGAAAUUGUUUGUUUGCUCAGCAAGAUUCGAGGCUUGCUCGACAAGAAACUUGCUGAGUCUGUUUGAUUCUGCUGUUGCACCAACAAUAUACCUCCACUGUGCCAUUGUGUAUUUGUGUUCGAUUUUCAGUUCUGUCUCACAAUCCCUGUCAUGUCUUAUGAGUGAUUUUCUGGCUCUAAAUAUCUAUGAUAUAUUUGUGCAGGCAUUUCACUGAAGACUCAGGAACUCUAUGCUAUUGUCUUUGCUACUCGUUACUUGGACAUAUUCACUAAUCAUAUCUCGCCUUAUAACACAAUCAUGAAGCUAAUAUUCCUGGGCAGCUCUUUCUCAAUUGUAUGGUACAUGCGGUAUCACAAAAUAGUUCGUAGAUCUUAUGAUAAGGACCAGGAUACAUUUCGACAUUACAUCCUUAUACUCCCUUGCCUGAUUCUUGCCCUUCUUAUAAACGAGAAGUUCACCUUCAAAGAGGUAUCGACAUCCUUUUGUUUGUUGGAAUAUGAUAACAGUAUGUUCAUAUUAAUUACUGGUUAACUUAGAAGCUCCCUAAACUGUUUAUCUGUUUUAUAUUAAUUAUUCAUUAUUAUCCUUCUGGUUAUAUUUUUAUAUAUUGAUUAUUGUCUUAAAAAAAAUUGUUGAGCAGGUCAUGUGGACAUUUUCCUUGUAUUUGGAAGCUGUUGCGAUACUUCCUCAGCUUGUAUUGUUGCAAAGGACUAGAAAUAUUGACAACUUGACUGGACAAUAUGUGUUUCUCCUUGGGUAACCACUGUAUUCUUUAAAAAUCCUAAUCAGUUGCAAGUUUUCUAUUUUAUUACCUUGCAAUUUGCAUGAAGGACCCUUAUUUCCUGGCUCAGUUCCCUAAAAUGUUGCCUCCUUCCUGAGGAAACAAAAGAGAGAAAGUCUCUAAAUAGAGUUGCCAUCAUAUUGCCGCUUGGUUGCCACUGAUUUCUUUUUGAUGAAAAGUUGAUAUGAUUAUAUGUUGGACCAAAGUUAUCUAUUUUCAGAUGUGAUUAACUGCAGUUGAAUUUUGCGAGUAUGACUGUUCUUGUGUAACUUUUGUUAUGUGCUUUCAUGUCGUUUUUAGUCUUUUACACUGUGUUCUGUCUAUCUUUGUUUGCUAUUAUCCUAAGUUAGGAGACAAGGUGCCAUUAGGAGCAAUGUGACGUCAAAAUUCAUUUCCCUUUAGCCUUCAGUUCUACCUUUUCUUCCCUUUCUUUAUGUAGUUUUUGGGAGUUGGGGAUCACAGCGAUGAUAGUCGGUACAUGUGACUUGAAAGAUGCCUAAAAACUUCAAGAGCAUAGUGUUGUAUAAAUCUUUUGGAGAAAUUUUUUUGGUACAUUGAUGCCAACUUACAAUAACCCUUGCCACUACAACCGUGGCUUUGUUGGCUUAUGUAUGCACUCUCUUUGUCUUUAUAGGUCACCAAAUUCCUAAUGUCUAAUUCUUGGUUAUGGACUAAUAUAGUUGCUUGUUAUUGCAGUGCAUACAGAGCAUUGUACAUAGUGAACUGGAUUUAUCGGUACUUUACUGAAGACCACUUUGUCCACUGGAUAAGUAUGUACUCUUCUCUGUCUCCCUUCAUCUUUUACUCCAAGUCGGUAGCCAUGGGUGUAUGACGAGUGUGUCAAUAUAUCUACCCCAACACAUUUGUGAUAUACUAUGCUAUAUGUGUUAUUUCUAACACCUUGUUUACAUGAUUGCUGCCUUUCAGCUUGGAUUUGCGGUCUUGUCCAGACAUUGCUUUAUGCUGAUUUCUUCUACUAUUACUUCCAGAGGUAACCCCCUUUCUGACACUCUGGAAAGCACUUCAUACCUAUGUGAAUGAUUGCAACUUAUUUGAUUAUUAUGCCUGCAGCUUGAAGAACAACAUGAAGCUCCAAUUACCAGCUUGAGAUUUUAAUGGUGCAAGUUUUGUAGUAGCAUACAUAAACUUACAUCAUAUGGGUUCAAAUUUAUGAGUAUUUCAAUUAAUUUUAAUUUCACUAUGUUAUAUUGUAAUAUCAUGUAAAAAGUAUCAUAAAAGCAGGCAUAAGUUUUCCACCAAUUAGAACAUUUUGAAAAUUGAUGUCAAGCCCGAAAUGACCGUCACAAGUAAGCAUAUUAAACGUGUGAAGAGAAGACCUUAUUUUUCCACAUAACUAAAACUUUUUACACCAUAGGAACUUUCAUCGUCAUCAAGUUGGACAUGGAUGGAGCUCACGUAAAAAUAAUUUUUCAUAUAAAAACUAAAAACUAGAAAUUGACUUGUAAUAAUUCUCAAGGUUAAGGUUGACGUGGUCAAUAGUAAUGAACUUAUGUUUAAGGUUUGGGUUAUUUUUCUCAAUUAUAGAUUAGUAUUUUGUUCAUUGUAAACUUUGCUAACAAAAUUUAAUAUAUGACACAUAUCUGAUUUAAUUUAUUUUUAUUUUAUAAAACUUUCAUUAUUUGUUUUACUCAUUAAUGAAAUUUGGUGUGAAUACAUUAAAUAUUACCUUUUAUAUAUUUCACUCCCUCUUACUAUAUCUCAAUGGAGAAAUUGAAGGUCAUUCAAGGAAAUGGUAAUGUCCAUUUUCCACAAAACUAAAAUUUUCCACACGACAGAAACUUUCUUGGUCAAACAAGUUGGAUUUGGCUUCACCAAUAACUUAAUAAUCUGUACUAAAAUUUUCCACGCAAUAGAAUACGAACUCGUUCUCGUAAAUAUUUUAAAAAAUAAAAAAUUUAAUAUUAUGAGUUAACGAAUUAUCAAUUUAAUUAAAAAAAGUUGAAAGAUACAUUUUUUAAAAUUUUAUGAAAUUAUAUAUUAAUAUAAUUAUAAAAUUAUAGUUUUAACUUUAUAAAAUUUAUUAUUUAUCUUUGAUCUUGAAGAGAGACAAAGUAAAAUACCUAUUCUUGGAGCCAUAACGACAACUAGGAUUAUGAUUGCACAUUUUCUAAGUCUUCAUUUUUGUUAAUUAGGAAAGCUGAUGGGCAUCUCCACUAAGUUUCCACCCACAAGAAUAUACGUAUUAAUUUGUUUUUCUCAAUUUCCAUGAGGGGGGAUAUAAGCUUAAAGUUGACGUAGAAGUCAAUACUCAACAUUUGAAAGUUAAUGCAGUGAACUAUGUGCUUGUUGAUAUAUGAAAUGAUAUUUUCUUAACAAUUUCCUCCAACUAGUUCGUAGAUGGUGCUAUAUUACAUCACAAUGGGUAACCAAAUGUAUAUAAUUGAGAUUUUUAAGCAAAUAUUAUAUUUUAUCUUUAUCCAUGAAUAGUCUAAUAAUAAGGAUUAAUAUUUGGUACAUUGUCAGUGGAGUUUUUAAAUUCCAUAAGUAGGGUUAGAGGAUUGACACAUGCCAAUUUUUUAAUGUUGCUUGUGGGAUGCACUUGAAUUGUGGUUCAUAGAAGGAAAUUAUUAUAUAAAGGUUUAAUUCUACCAUAGUUCUUGUACUUUACUGAAGUUGUAGAUUUAAUUCCCAGACUUUAAUUUGAUAUUUUAGAUAUUUGUUAAAUUCAUAAAGUCCUACUAUUUCCAAAUUUGGUGUGGCAAACAUAUUAUCAUAGGUGUAAUAUCACUAAAAUUCAAAAGAAUGAGAAAUUUGUACAUAUUAUCAGAUGUCAAUAUCAAGUUGAGCAUUUCAAAAUCUAAAGUAAUAGUUCAAGUAUUUAUUUUUCCAUAAAACCAAAAUUUUCUACAUGAUGGCUUUUUUUUUGGCUAUUAGUUAAGAGGAAUUUUUUUAAUAACCCAAUUUAAUUAACUAAUUUAAAAAAUGGUUCAAGUAAAACUCAAGUCAUAUUAAAAAUAAUUAUUUAUAAAUUUUAUGUUUCAAAAACUAAUGAAUGUUCAAAGAAUAGUGAAUUAUUAAAGAGAAGUUAUAUGAUAAUGGAUUGUUUUAAAGUAGUGGUCUAGUAGAAAUAAAUAGUUUUUUAUAAAAAAAUAUUAUAUAAAUAAUUAAAUUUUAUAGUUACUCCUAUUUUUUUUAAAAAUAGUGAAUGUAAUAUUUUUUAAAAUGUUAAAUUAACUCAUGAUAUUAAUUAAAUCAAGAAAUUUUAUAAUAAUAGAGAUGAAAAAAACUAAAUUUUCAAAAUCAAAACCUAAAACGUGCAAGAAUAAAAGCAAUCUGAAGACUUAAAAUUUCCAUUAAUAAAACCAAAAUCAAAGAAGUAAAAUUUCCAUGAAUAAAACCAAAAAUGAAGACCUAAAUUUUCCAUUAAUAAAGCCAAAUCAAGACUAAGUUUGUAUAAGUGUAAGAAGGGUAUAAAGGAAACUCACAAGAAAGCCACAUGAAGAAUUUUAUAACUCCAACUACACGAUUUUAUGUCCACCUCUCACUUUUCAUAUUUUUUUUUGGCCAUUCAUUUUUCAAGAUUAACAUUAGCAUUCUUGUGGUCCGUUCAUCCUUUCCUAACCAAUUUCCACCAAGAGUUUUUGCAAUAAGGAAUUUACCUAAAUAAGAAACCUAGAUUGAUCCAAUUUUUGAGGAAUUAAUUAAUUAUAUAUUAUUUUUAUAUUAUAAUGAAUUAGUGGGAUGCAGUAUGUUCUGCUUGUAUAUAAAUAAGAAGCUUAGGCUUCUUUAGAUUAUAUACAUAUAGAAGUUAACAAAAAGUAACAUAUAGCUGAGAGAGAAGUGAAAAUAGAGAGAUGAUGAUGAUGGAGUGGAAAUGGUUAAGGUUUAUUAGGAUGGCAGUAAUGUUGUUGGUGUUAGAAGGAUGCAGAUGGUGUACUACUGAUGCUUGUUUGGAGCAUGAGAGAAUCGCUCUCUUGCAUCUCAAGCCUUUCUUCAAUUAUCAAAAUCAAUUGCAAAGUUGGGUUGAGGUGAAGGGUUCAGAUUGUUGUAAAUGGGAAAGAGUUGAGUGUAACACCACCACUAGGAGACUCAUACAACUCUCCCUUAAUUCUACAAGAUGGUUUGACAGUAUGGGAUACAAAACGGAUAAUAGGAAUCUCAAUGCCUGGUAUCUCAAUACCUCUAUGUUUCUUCCCUUUGAGGAAUUGAAGAGUCUUUAUUUGCGGGGGAAUGCCAUAAGUGGUAACCUUGAAAAUGAAGGUCGUGCCUCUAGUUUUUCCUUAAUUACAUCUUUUAUUAUCCCACUACUCUUACCAUCGUUAUUUUGCAAUUACUUAUAUUUUAUUUUAUUUUAUGGAAGAAAAGUCACUAACUUGUAUAUAUUUAAAAGAAUAUUUCUAUAGGCUUUGGAAAACUAUCAUCCACAUUGAGUAAUUUGGAGAUCCUUGACUUAAGUGAAAACUACUUGAAUGACAGCAUUUUGUUAUCUUUGAGUGAGCUUUCAUCUCUCUGGUAUUUAGAUCUAUCAGGCAACAAAUUUGAAGGAUCAAGCCAUCUAAGAGGUAAAUUAAGUUUGGUCUGGUAUUAGUUUUUAUUUGUAAAGUGGAGUUUGAGGAUGGUCUUCUAGUAAUUCCACUUUUGCUUUAGUAAAAUUUUCAUACAGCUAAGAAAGAAAAAACAAUUAACAAGUAAUUUUUAACUUUAAAAAUCAAUGUAUGUUCAUAUUCAAGGUAGACUGGUUUUAUAUGUUUCUUUUUUACUUUAAAACCAUUUUUUUUGUUUAAGGGACAGUUAAUGUUGCAAUAUGUCUUUGCUUUUAUCAUAUCAUGAAUAUAUAUAAUUGAUCAAUAUUUGGGAUUGAAUUUCAGGAUUGAAUAAUUUGACAAACUUGAAGUACUUGGAUUUAAGUUCGAACAGAAUUGAAAGCAUCUCAAACAAAGGUAUAAGUACAGUAUUUAUAUGUCAAUUCAUAUUAAAGGUAGACUGGUUUUAUAUGUUUCUUUUUUACUUUAAAACCAAUUUUUGUUUAAGGGACAGUUAAUGUUGCAAUAUGUCUUUGCUUUUAUCAUAUCAUGAAUAUAUAUAUAUAUAUAACUGAUCAAUAUUUGGGAUUGAAUUUCACGAUUGAAUAAUUUGUCAAACUUGAAAUACUUGGAUUUAAGUCGCAACAACGUUGAAAGCAUCUCAAACCAAGGUAUAAGUAUUUGUGCGUAGUAACUUUCUUGACUGACUAUUAUUCCAAAAGGCAAUGACAGACUUCAAAUGUAUUUUCUUUAGUGAAUUUUUAUUGCAAAAAUGGAGUAUUAUUAUUUAUUUAAGUUUUGUAGUAACUAAUUAUAUAAUAUAUAAAUGAGGUUUUCAAUGGCUCAUUAAAUUGGAAAUUAUUGAUAUAAGUUGGAAUUAUUUGAAGAAUAGCAUUCUUUAAAAUAAAUUCAUGUUGAAGGAAAAGUUGUUGCAAUAUGUUAUAUCAUGAAUAUAUAUAAGUAAUCAAUAUUUGGGAUUGAAUUUCAAAAUUGAGUAAUUUAAGUAGGAAGGUAUCUCAAACAAAGUAUUUAUAUAUUGAAUCAAUUCAUGGGAAAGCUUGUAAAUUGGCUCUUCCUUCUCAAACAAACAUUUUUCCUAACUAUUUAUAUAUUGAAUGAUGUUAACUAUACUAAUUACUUUCUUCCAAUGAUAGAUGGAACACAAUUGAGGCUAACAAAUUUAGAGGAACUUGAUUUGAGUGGUAAUCUCUUUCGGAACAACACAAUUUCCUUUCCUCAAGGGCUUUCAAGCCUAAAGUCUUUGACUUUGUUCAACAACCGUUUGCAAGGCUCAUUAGAUACUAAAGGUACUAAAGCUAUAACUUUGUUUUUCUUGAUAAUUCUUUCUAGAGCCUUUUAAAAUUAAUUGUUUCAAAUUUGAACAUUCACAUUUCACGUUUGAGGAUUUUUAUCUUCAAUUCAAGUUUUAGAUUUACUUUUUUUUUUCAUUUUUAUUUCAUUAAAAUAUUAAGUAGAAAUUAAAAUUAUUAACAUAAUGAUUUUUUGAAUUGGACGUGGAUAUGUAUAGGAUUGAGCAAUUUAACAAAUUUGAAGAAACUCGAUUUAAGAUGGAAUCAAAUUGAAAGCUUUCAAUCCUUUAAAGGUAUGCAUUUAUAUUUAACCAAUUACCUAAAUUCUUACAUAUAAUUAAAUUUUAUGCCAAUUCAUUUCAGUGAUGAAAUUAUAUAAAUCUUUUGUAGAUGGUGGUAGAAAAUUGGAGUUGACCCACUUGGAAGAGCUUAAUUUAGAUGGAAAUCACUUCAAUACUAGUGUAUUUGCAUCCCUUAACAAGCUUUCAAAUUUGAAAUCUUUGAGCAUAAGUGGGAACCAAUUGAAAGGAUCAAUAGAUAUGAAAGGUAAAUAUAUUAGUCUUUUUAACAAGAAUAUAAUAAUGUUUGAAGAGAAUAUAAUGAAGUUGAUUUGUUGUUUUUGUUUUCCUAGAUUUGGAAGCAUUUAUCAACUUAAGGGAACUAGAUAUGAGCGGCAAUGAAUUGAAAGAUUUGGUGAUCCACCAAGGUAUCAUUUAAUUAAACUUCCUUUUUUUUUUAAAUUUAGAAAUUUAGUUUUGAUGUCAAAUAUUAUAAUAACGGUUAUUGUCAUAAAUAUUAAUAAAGUAAUAUCAUAUCAUACUUGAAAGUAAAAUAUGGGUUUGGUGAAACAUUUUCUAAAUCAUCCAUUAUAAUGUGUUUGGACUUUGGUUUGAAACUAAAAUUCUUUAAAAUUUUCAUCAUUUUAAAAUAUUAAUGUUUAUAAUUAUUUUGUUUGUAUAAAUAUAUUUUUUAAAAUAAUUUAUUGAAUUUUUAUGAGAUAAAAAAUAAUUAUAACAAUAAAAAAUGAUAUUAUAAAUAAAUAAAAACAUAUAUUUAUGAGAAAAUAUGUAAUAUAACUAUAUUUUAAUUUCAUAUAUUUUUAAUAGUAUAAAACAUAAAAAUACAUAUUAGCGUUAAAUAAAUGGCAUUUUUUGGCAAAAAUAAAUAAAUGUCAAUUUUGAAUAAUUUAAAAAAAAUCUUUAAUUUUGUGAAAUUUAAGCAUACAUCGAGAGGUGCUUAAACUUCCAUUGCAAUCUUUUUAUAAAUUUCAAAGUGCAUAUGUUUUUAACUUUUUGGUUUAAAAAAAUAUGAUAGGUCUACGUACUCUUUACUAAUUUGUAAUUUAAUUCUUAUACUUUUAUUUUCAAGAAUUUAAUCCCUGUUUUUUUAUAAAAAAAAUCAAAAUCCUAGUUCAAUUGUUAAAAUUGUUAAAAUUUUAAAAUAGUUUGUUGGUGUGACAUUUUGAAAUAAAAAAAAAAACUUAGUAGUAAUGUAACUAAAAAAAUGACGUAAUGAACAUGGAUUUAAUAAAAUAAUUUUAACAAUAUUAAUAAAAUAAUUUUGAAUUUUGAAUUUUAACUUAACUCUAUUUUUGGGCCAAGAUUUAAUGCUUUAAAAUUUUCAUUUAAUCCGCUGAGUUUACUUAUAAUUCUUUUGAGUUUUAUUUAUUGGUGAGUAAAAUACCUAUUUGAUUUUUUUAUAUACUAUUGGCAUCUUUAAAGGUAAUAUAAUAAUUUUAGUGUAGACGUGUUUUAUUUUAUAAAUAUUAUUUAUAGUGUAGACAUGUGAAUUUUGAAUAAUUUAAAAAUAUCUUCAAUUUUAUGAAAUUUAAACAUACAUUUAGUGUAGACAUGUUUUAUUUUAUAAAUAUUAUUUAUAGUGUUGUUGAUUGGAGUUUGAAAAUUAUACAACUUAGCUAUAUCAGUUAAUUACUUAUAUUAAAAAAUAAUAUAAGAAAAUACUAAAAAGAAAAAAAAUAGUAUAAUUAAUAAAAUGGAUGAAGAGUUAUAUUAAAGUUUCAACAUCUUCUCUCUAUCAAAAUUUAUCUCAGAUAAAUCAUGAAUAAUCUAACUCAUAAAAAAUAUAUAUAUAUUUAUAUACUUCAUUUCAUUCACAGAAAAUAAAGCAUUCUACUUAGUAGAGGCUUUCUAUAAUACCGUUAUCUAAUACCUCUUGACAUUGCUUAGAUUCAAAUGUGUCGAGCAGUUUGGAGGAAAUAUAUCUUGACUAUUCUACUCUCAACACCAACAUUUUGCAAAGCAUUGGAGUAUUCGCUUCUCUUAAAACAUUGUCUUUAUAUCAUUGUGGACUUAUUGGUCCCUUACCUAAUCAAGGUAAAUAAUUUUAUGGCUCAAUUUGAUUUCUUUAUGAACUUUCUGUAAUAUAUUAUCUCCUAUUCUGUUUUAUAAAGCAAAAUUUAAUUGAAACUUCUUCCAUGAAUUUAUUUAUAAAAUUUUCAGGAUGGUGUGAUCUAAGGAACCUUGAAGUGUUGGAUGUGAGUGGGAAUGCACUUGAGGGGAUGCUUCCUCAUUGUUUUAGUAACUUGACAUCUCUUCGUGAGUUAUAUAUUUCAAGAAACCAUUUUCAAAUUCCGCUGUCAUUUGCACCAUUUGCAAACCUUUCAAACCUCAAAUCCCUUUGGAUUAAUGAAAACAAGAUGGUAAUGGAACCUUCCUUUUAUACCUCAAUCCCAAAGUUCCAAUUGGAAGUCAUCAGUUUGCUAAAGUGCAUAACAUCUCAACAACUCAGUCGUAAAGUUCCUACCUUCCUUUACUACCAAUAUGACUUGAGAUAUGUGGAUCUUUCGCAUAACAAUUUCAGCGGAACAGUCCCAACUUGGUUGUUAGAAAACAACACAAAAUUAAAAGUUCUUAUCUUGAAGGGUAAUUCUUUUACUGGUCCUCUCUCACUUUCGUCGGCUCUUAUUUCUAAUGUAUCUUCAAUUGACUUAUCUGAAAACAAAUUACAAGGUCAAAUUCCGAUUGGUAUAUGUUCAACUUUUCCACAUUUGAGUCAAUUAUUCUUAUCCAAGAAUGCUUUUGAAGGUAAUAUCCCACUUUGUUUAAGUGGCAUGAAGGACUUAUCAACUUUAGAUCUAUCAAACAAUCUAUUGUAUGGAAAAGUUCCAGAAGAGUUGAUCGCGAAAGGCUCACUGACCAUUUUGAGACUAUCAACUAACAACCUCAGUGGAAAUGUAGUUCCUGUGAUUCUCAGCGCAAAUGGGCUGGAGAAUUUAUAUUUGGAUGGAAAUAAUUUUUCAGGAGAGAUGACAAAUGUUGAUGUGUCUACUUUUGAGUUUCCAAAUUCACUACGGGAAAUUGAUCUCAGUAACAACAAGUUGCAUGGAAAGCUCCCAAGAUGGAUAGGGAAUGCAUCGUUUUUGGGGAGAUUAGCUAUGUCCAACAAUAGUUUUGAGGGUUCUAUUCCAAUGGAAUUUUGCAAGUUGAAUAGCUUGGAAUUUUUGGAUCUUUCUCAAAAUAAUUUAUCUGGCUCUAUACCGUCAUGUUUUAAUCCACCAUACAUAGAGUAUGUCCACCUCCACGGGAAUAGACUGAGAGGCCCACUAUCACUUGCUUUUUAUAAUAGCUCUUCAAUAGUGACUUUAGAUCUUAGAGGAAACAAUUUGACAGGUAGUAUUCCAAAAUGGAUUUACACGCUUUCUUCUUUGAGUGUUCUUCUCUUGAAAGAUAAUCAUUUUCAUGGUAAAGUUCCUAUUGAGUUAUGCAAGUUGCAUUCUUUAAGCAUCAUAGAUCUUUCUCAAAAUAUGUUUUCUGGUCCUAUACCUUCUUGUUUGGGAAAUUUAUCUCUUCCAAUGCAAACGAACAAGACUCUAGAAAUUGAGUUCUAUGGGCCAUCUAUAGAAGAGGAUGAAACAACACGCAGUAUGAUACUAAAUUUGGGAAUGGAUUCUUACUAUCCUGGUAGCUACUUAGAAGAAGUAAUAGAGUUCACAACAAAGAGUGGGUUCUAUUCAUACAAGGGCGACAUCCUUUCAUAUAUGACUGGGAUUGAUUUAUCUUGCAACAACUUAACUGGUCAUAUCCCACCAGAAUUAGGGAACUUGAGUGAAAUCCAUUCUUUAAACCUUUCACACAAUAAGUUGACCGGAGUUAUACCCUCGUCACUCUCGAAACUACAUCAAAUUGAGAGUUUGGACCUUUCUUACAACAACUUAAGUGGUGAAAUCCCCAAUCAAUUGGUAGAGUUAAACUCUUUGGAGGUUUUCAGCGUGGCAUUUAACAACUUGUCAGGUAGUAUUCCCGAACCAAAAGCUCAAUUUGGGACCUUUAUUGAAAAUAGUUAUCAGGGAAAUCCGUUUCUUUGUGGAGUUAUAUUGCAUAAAAGUUGUUCCAAAACCGAUUCACCAUCAACGAUAUCAACUGUAUCAGAAGAUAAAGGAGAAGAUGGUUUGAUAGAUACUUAUGAUUUUUGUGUGAGCUUUUUGGUUUCUUAUGUAGUUGUGUUGUUGACAAUUUUUGUUGUCCUCUACAUAAAUCCACACUGGCGAAGAACUUGGUUUUCUCUUGUUGGGAAAUGCAUUACCACCUGUCGCUACUCAAAUGUGGGCAAUUUUCUUACUUAUCACAUUUUCAAGCAAUGUGUUUAGCUACUCAAAUUGUGAUUUGAUUUCCACACCUAAAUGUUUAAUUAUGCUAAGUUGAGCGAUAAUGAAUAUUUUGUUGAUUUUUGCAUUUUGAAUAAAGGCUCUUUUAUCUUAUGGUUUUAUCAUUUCCAACCAUCUAUUUCUUUUUUCUUCUACGAAAUUUAUUAUGUAUAUGCAAUAUCUCUUUGAAUUAAAUUAAAUUGACUGCCAAGAGUUCACUAAUGCAUACCGAAAAGGAAAUCUAAUGUAAAAUUAAACCAAACAUACUAAAAAAUUGAAUCUAAAAUUGGAAUAUUUUAAAACCUCACAAACAAUGCAAGUCUUUGUUCCUCUUUUCCUCUCAAGUCAUUUUGUAUCAUGUGAUAUUUUACAUAAUUAUUCGUAUCAUCGAAUUUUUAAAAAAUUUAAUAUAUUGAUAUCAUGUUCAUAUUAUGCUUUAAUUCACAAUGUAUUUUGUAUAAUGUGUUAUAACAAUUCAAUUAAAAAACAAGCAAUUAUCUUAUUUUUGCGUACCAUAUUAUACAUUGACAUGUUAAUAAUUCGUUGUACAUAAAUUUUGACAUGUUCGUAUAUUUGAGUCAUUAUAAUUUUAUUAUUUGUAAUAUGACAUGUUUUAAUUACCCUUAAUAUUGCGUCAUGAUAAUUAUAAAUCGAUUGGCAGUCUACCAAAUAAUUUUUCUAAUAAAAAAUAGUAUUUUAUUCUAUUUACCAAAUCUUUAUCAACUUUAUAUUCUCACCAACAAAACAUACAUUCAAAGUUCAAAUAAGUUCCGCACCCAUUUUUUUACUGCAAUACUCAAGAAUAUGCUCAUCAUCAGAAAUCUGAAAUAUUCCACUUUAAUUAACAUUAAUUAUGAUUCUGUAAACAACAAAAAAGUGUGAUCCUUUGAAAUGGGAUUGGCAAAAAAUCCGCACGUGUCGUGUGUGAAGAAGGUGAGGUUGUCUAUUCAUACUCUAAUAAGUAGCUAAUUAUAGUUGAUCCUACAAAAUCAAAAUUAAUUCAGGUAUCUAUAUAUUCUGAAGACUGGACAGACCUUAGAAGCUUCUUCAAAUUUGCAAGAACAUGUCGUGGUCCUAAACACUUUACAGCGAUGAAAUUCAAAAGUUGCUCUAUAUCCUGCAAUCACAGUAAAGAUUAUGCAAUCGUUUCAGAACGAAUAACAAGAAGCAAAAGGCGAUCAAAAUACCGUGAUCUCGAUAAUGUUCUUUGCCGAAAAGGAACAUUAACUUAACCUUAAAACAGCAGUGAAGGCUCACCAGAUUUGCUUAGCAACCUUACAUACACAUGUAAAAAAAGCUUUGCUUUUGGAUGUAAGGUGUGACUAUCAUCACAGUCUUUCCUAAUUAGCUGAUUGUAAUACCCAAUUUGCCCAGCCCACAAUAAAAAACCAAAUAAAUAAAAAUUAAUUAAAACUCAAAUAGUUCACAGCCCAAUAACAACAAAAACCAAACCCAUUUACAGUGACCCGGUACAAACCCAAAGUCAGAUACAUCUAGUCCAACUACACCCAGCCCAAAUACCAAGCCCAAUACAACUAUCAACCCAACCCUAGCCCAAAAAAAAAUCAGAAAACCCUAGCUGCAACAGCCCUCCUUCCAGCGCCGCAGCCACCAGGGCCUUCCCCGAGUGUGCUGUGCCACGUCCACCACCUCCUUACGCCAGCUAGCCUCCUUACCUGCAAAGAAGACGAAAACAACGCAGCAGAGAGAAUUUUUUGUAUUUUCUUUCAUUUUAUUUCGAAUAUUCGGCUAUAAAGAGGGAGAAGGCCAUUGUAAUCCUUUUUUACGCAUAUUGAAUACAAACAAAAAAUCAAAACAGAAAGUUUUUUCGAAAGGUGAUUUUCUUCGUUUUUUUUUCUCUUUUAUUUCUUUGAUUCUUUGUUUUCUUCUUUGGCACCAAACGAAAAUAAAAAGAGGGAGAGAAGAAGCGUCUUACCAGAGCAGACGCCAUUGGAACCUGGUUUGCUCCGUCUGAAUCGGAGUCAGAUUGGGUUCGUGACUGGAGACCGGUGGGGAGAAAGGCUAGGCUCUUGAUCUGUUUUAGGAUGGCAAUACAACUUAUUAGGGUUUUAUUUUUUUAAAUGGCUUCAAAACGUCUCCGUGUUGGUUGACCCGAUGAUCCGACUUGACCCGGGGAGGAUCCGCGUGUUUUGUUUCAAUGGCUUAUUUUAGUGUUUGAUGCUUCUUUUUUUGAUUUACUUCAUUUUAAUCCUUCUUUGUCUUUUUUAAUUUUGCCACAUAAUUCGUUCUUUAUUUCAAUUUCAUCCUUCUGUCAGUUGAGGAGACAAACGUUCGAAACGACGCCGUUUCCGAUGAUCUGACUUGAUUGCCAGGUGAGACUUGUGCGUUUAAUUUCUGUUCUAGUCACUCUAUUUUAAAUUAAUUUCAAUUAGGUCCUUUUCAUUUCAUUUUAUUGCAUGUCUUACCCCUAACUUUCUGUUUUAAUUCCAAAUUAGUAAUCUGUUUUGUUAUUUUUGCUAUCAAAUUAAUUACUUUAAUAUUAAUUUAUCAUUAUUACUAUUAUUACUAUUAUUAUUAUUACUAUUAUUAUUACUACUACUAUUAUUAUUAGUAUUAUUUUUUUAAUCAAUUUAUCUAACCUUUUUAUAUUCAUUAUUUUAUUCUAUUAUGCACUAUUAUUUUAAGUUUUUUUUAUAUUAUUAUCAUAUAUUAUUUAAUUUCAUAAUGAAUUAUUUUAUAUUUUUAUGUUAAUCCAAUAGAAUUUACCUUUUUUAAAUAGUUUUCUUAUAAUACGUAAUUUAUAUCUAUUACCUAUUUAGAUUAAUAUAUGUGUAUUAUUUUGGGUUUUAUUUAUUUUGACUUUCUUCUUAUAAUAUUUAUUUUAAAAUUCAUUUAGAUAUUAUUAUUCAUUUUUAAUUCUAUUUUUAAAUUAUUUCAAGUCUUCCUAUUAAUUACUUCUUUUAAACUUUUAUAUAUGUGUAUUUUGUGUAUAUAUGUUGAUAAUUUCAAAUUUCUUUUCUCUCAUGCUUUUUUUUUAGUUAUUUUAAAUUUGUUAUAUUUGUGAUAGGCUUUUAGGUCAUUAGCUUUCAAAUGUUGAUGUUAAUAUUUACAUGUGAUUAUUGCUCUUAUAUGUAUGAUAAUGUUUAUUUGUUUUUAUUGAUUAUUUGUCAUUCGUUAGAGUAUAUUUUGUUUACAAAUCGUCAUUCCGCGUUAUACAUUAUCGUCCCGUCGCAUUUUAUUCGUUGUUAAAAGGUUACGUUUAAUAUCAUUCAAGUAUCGAGAGCAUUUUUAUUCAAAAAGUUUUUUUCAAAAAUAACGCGACACUCGGAAUUUAGGAUCCUCGAAAAGAUUGUGUCCUAACUUAUUGGAUUCCAAUCUUCCUCGUUGAAUCUAAGAAACCGGGUAUCCUUUUUUAAUUAAAGCAUAAAUAAAAAGCUCAUUCUCGAAAAUUCGAUACGUCGNNNNNNNNNNNNNNNNNNNNNNNNNNNNNNNNNNNNNNNNNNNNNNNNNNNNNNNNNNNNNNNNNNNNNNNNNNNNNNNNNNNNNNNNNNNNNNNNNNNNNNNNNNNNNNNNNNNNNNNNNNNNNNNNNNNNNNNNNNNNNNNNNNNNNNNNNNNNNNNNNNNNNNNNNNNNNNNNNNNNNNNNNNNNNNNNNNNNNNNNNNNNNNNNNNNNNNNNNNNNNNNNNNNNNNNNNNNNNNNNNNNNNNNNNNNNNNNNNNNNNNNNNNNNNNNNNNNNNNNNNNNNNNNNNNNNNNNNNNNNNNNNNNNNNNNNNNNNNNNNNNNNNNNNNNNNNNNNNNNNNNNNNNNNNNNNNNNNNNNNNNNNNNNNNNNNNNNNNNNNNNNNNNNNNNNNNNNNNNNNNNNNNNNNNNNNNNNNNNNNNNNNNNNNNNNNNNNNNNNNNNNNNNNNNNNNNNNNNNNNNNNNNNNNNNNNNNNNNNNNNNNNNNNNNNNNNNNNNNNNAAACUAAAUUUACUUUGUACUCAAUUACAAAUGUUAAGAAAUAUUUUACAAUCUAAUAAAUAAAUUUUUUAAUUAAAUUCACCAUAUUAAAUAAAAAUUUUAAAGCACCUAAAAUUGUCAAAUACAUUCUUUUGAAUUUUAGAAUUUAUGAAUUCCGAAACAGACUUUCAGCAUCUCAAAUUCUCUAUUUAAAUUUCACCUACAUAGUUUUUCUAGAAAUUCUUCAAAACUUCAUUUAUUUAAAUCAAUGGUUCUAUUAUAAAAUAGAGAAUUUAAAACUAAAAAGAUAUUAUUUUUAUUUAAAUCUAAUAUGCAUAUUUUUCUCUUUACAAAAAAUAAAUUUUCAAAAUCCAGGUCUACUAUUAAUACUGUUGAAAUUAUUUUAUUAAAUCCAUAUUCAUUUCGUCAUCUUUUAAUUACAUUGUUAUCAAGUUCUUUUAUUUUAAAAAAAGAUCACACUUUUUAGUUGUUUACAGAAUCAUAAUGUUAAUUAGAGUGGAAUAUUUCAGAUUUCUGAUGAUGAGCAUAUUCUUGAGUAUUGCAGUAAAAAAAUGGGUGUGGAACUUAUUUGAACUUUGAAUAUAAACGAACGUGUCAAAAAUUUAAGUACAACGAAUUAUUAACAUGUAAAUGUAUAAUACGGUAUGCAAAAAUAAGAUAAUUGCUUGUUUUUUUAAUUGAAUUGUUAUAACACUACACAAUACAUUGUGAAUUAAAGCAUAACAUAAAGAAUUGCAUUGUUUGUGAGGUUUUAAAAUAUUCCAGUUUUAGAUUCAAUUUUCUAGUAUGUUUGGUUUAAUUUUACAUUAGAUUUCAUUUUCAGUAUGCACUAGUGAAUACUUGGCAGUCAAUUUAAUUUAAUUUAAAGAGAUAUUGCAUAUACAUAGAAAGAAAUAGAUGGUUGAAAAUGAUUAAACCAUAAGAUAAAAGAGCUUUUAUUCAAAAUGCAAAAAUCAACAAAAUAUUAAUUAUCGCUCAACUUAGCAUAAUUAAACAUUUAGGUGUGAAAAUCAAAUCACAAUUUGAGUAGCUAAACAUAUCGCUUGAAAAUGUGAUAAGUAAGAAACUUGCCCACAUUUGAGUAGCGACAGGUGGUGAUGCAUUUCCCAACGAGAGAAAACCAAGCUCUUUGCCAGUAUGGAUUUAUGUAGAGGACAACAAAAAUUGUCAACAACACAACUACAUAAGAAACCAAAAAGCUCACACAAAAAUCACCUAUCAAACCAUCUUCUCCUUUAUCUUCUGAUACAGUUAAUAUCGUUGAUGGCGAAUCGAUUUUGGAACAACUUUUAUGCAAUAUAGCUCCACAAAGAAAAGGAUUUCCCUCAUAACUGUUUUCAAUAAAGGUCCCAAAUUGAGCUUUUUCGGGAAUACUACCUGACAAGUUGUUGUAUGCCACGCUGAAAACCUCCAAAGAGUUCAACUCUACCAACUGAUUGGGGAUUUCACCACUCAAAUUGUUGUAAGAAAGGUCCAAACUCUCAAUUUGAUGUAGUUUUGCGAAUGACGAGGGUAUAACUCCUGUCAACUUAUUGUGCGACAAGUUUAAAGAAUGGAUUUCACUUAAGUUCCCUAAUUCUGGUGGGAUAUGACCAGUUAAGUUGUUGCAAGAUAAAUCAAUCCCGGUCAUAUAUGAAAGGAUGUUGUCCUCGUACAAAAAGAACCCACUCUUUGUUGUGAACUCUAUUACUUCUUCUAAGUAGCUGUCAGGAUAGUAAGAAUCCAUUCCCAAAUUUAGUAUCAUACUGCGUGUUGUUUCAUCCUCUUCUAUAGGCCCAUAGAACUCAGUGUCUAGAAUCUUCUUCGUUUGCAUUAGAAGAGAUAAAUUUCCCAAGCAAGAAGGUAUAGGACCAGAAAACAUAUUUUGAGAAAGAUCUAUGAUGCUUAAAGAAUGCAACUUGCAUAACUCAACAGGAACUUUACCAUGAAAAUGAUUAUCUUUCAAGAGAAGAACACUCAAAGAAGAAAGCGUGUAAAUCCAUUUUGGAAUACUACCUGUCAAAUUGUUUCCUCUAAGAUCUAAAGUCACUAUUGAAGAGCUAUUAUAAAAAGCAAGCGACAGUGGGCCUCUCAGUCUAUUCCCGUGGAUGUGGACAUGCUCUAUGUAUGGUGGAUUAAAACAUGACGGUAUAGAGCCAGAUAAAUUAUUCUGAGAAAGAUCCAAAAAUUCCAACCUAUUCAACUUGCAAAAUUCCAUUGGAAUAGAACCUUCAAAACCAUUAUUAGACAAAUCUAAUCUCCACAAAAAUGAUGCAUUCCCUAUCCAUCUUGGGAGCUUUCCAUGCAACUUGUUGUUACUGAGAUCAAUUUCCCAUAGUGAAUUUGGAAACUCAAAAGUAGACGCAUUAACAUUUGUCAUCUCUCCUGAAAAAUUGUUUCCAUCCAAAUAUAAAUUCUCCACCCCAUUCACGCUGAGAAUCACAGGAACUACAUUUCCACUGAAAUUGUUAUUUGAUAGUCUCAAAAUGAUCAGUGAGCCUUUCGUGAUCAACUCUUCUGGUACUUUUCCAUACAAUUGAUUGUUUGAUAGAUCUAAAAAUGAUAAGUACUUCAUGCCACUUAAACAAAGUGGGAUAUUACCUUCAAAAGCAUUCUUGGAUAAGAAUAACCGCCUCAAAUGUGGAAAAGUUGAACAUAUACCAGUCGGAAUUUGACCUUGUAAUUUGUUUUCAGAUAUGUCAAUUGAAGAUACAUUAGAAAUAAGAGCUGACGAACGUGAGAGAGGACCUGUAAAUGAAUUACCCUUCAAGAUGAGUUCUUCUAACUUUGUGUUGUUUUCUAGCAACCAAGUUGGUAAAGUUCCACUGAGAUUGUUAUGAGAAAGAUCCACAUAUCUCAAGUCAUAUUGGUAGUAAAGGAAGGUAGGAACUUUUCGACUGAGUUGUUGAGAUGUUAUGCACUUUGACAAACUGAUGACUUCCAAUUGGAACUUUGGGAUUGAGGUAUAAAAGAAAGGUUCCAAUACCAUUUUGUUUUCAUUACUGGAGAGGGCUUUGAGGUUUGAAAGGUUUGCAAAUGGUGCAAAUGACAGUGGAAUUUGAAAAUGGUUUCUUGAAAUAUCUAACACACGAAGAGAUGUCAAGUUACUAAAACAAUGAGGAAGCAUCCCCUCAAGUGCAUUCUCACUCACUUCCAACACUUCAAGGUUCCUUAGAUCACACCAUCCUGAAAAUUUUAUAAAUUCAUGGAAGAAGUUUCAAUUAAAUCUUGUUUUAUAAAACAGAAUAGGAUAUAAUAUAUUACAGAAAGCACAUACAGCAAUCAAUUUGAGCCAUAAAAUUAUUUACCUUGAUUAGGUAAGGGACCAAUAAGUCCACAAUCAGAUAAAGACAAUGUUUUAAGAGAAGCAAAUACUCCAAUGCUUUGCAAAAUGUUGGUGUUGAGAGUAGAAUUGUCAAGAUAUAUUUCCUCCAAAUUGCUCAACACAUUUGAAUCUAAGCAAUGUCAAGAGGUAUUAGAUAACGGUAUUAUAGAAAGCCUCUACUAAGUGAAAUGCUUUAUUUUCUGUGAAUGAAAUGAAAUAUAUAAAUAUAUUUUUUUUAUGAGUUAGACUAUUCAUGAUUAUCUGAGAUAAAUUUUGAUGGAGAGAAGAUGUUGAAACUUUAAUAUAACUCUUCAUCCAUUUUAUUAAUUAUACUAUUUUUUUUCUUUUUAGUAUUUUCUUAUAUUAUUUUUUAAUAUAAGUAAUUAACUGAUAUGGCUAAUUUGUAUAAUUUUCAAACUCCAAUCAACAACACUAUAAAUAAUAUUUAUAAAAUAAAACAUUUCUACACUAAAAUUAUUAUAUUACCUUUAAAGUUACCAAUACUUUUAAAAAAAAAUAAAAAUAGGUAUUUUACUCACCAAUAAAUAAAAUUCAAAAAUAUAUUUAUAUAUGAAAUUAAAAAAUUUAUAUGUAUUUUUACUUUUAAAAAAAUAAAAACAGGUAUUUUACCAAUACUCUAAUAUGUAUUUUUAUGUUUUAUACUAUUAAAAAUAUAUGAAAUUAAAAUAUAGUUAUAUUACAUAUUUUCUCAUAAAUAUAUGUUUUUAUUUAUUUAUAAUAUCAUUUUUUUAUUGUUAUAAUCAUUUUUUAUCUCAUAAAAAUUCAAUAAAUUAUUUUAAAAAAUAUAUUUAUACAAACAAAAUAAUUAUAAACAUUAAUAUUUUAAAAUAAUGAAAAUUUUAAAGAAUUUUAGUUUCAAACCAAAGUCAAAGCACAUUAUAAUGGAGGAUUUAGAAAAUGUUUCACCAAAUCCAUAUUUUACUUUCAAGUAUGAUAUGAUAUAACUUUAUUCAUAUUUAUGACAAUAACCGUUAUUAUAAUAUAUGAGAUAAAAACUAAAUUUCUAAAUUAAAAAAAAAGGGAAGUUUAAUUAAAUGAUACCAAAUCUUUCAAUUCAUUAUAGCUCAUAUAUAGUUCCCUUAAGUUGAUAAAUGCAUCCAAAUCUAGGAAAACAAAAACAACAAAUCAACUUCAUUAUAUUCUCUUAAAACAUUAUUAUAUUCUUGUUAAAAAUCUAAUAUUUUUACCUUUCAUAUCUAUUGAUCCUUUCAAUUGAUUGUCCCCUAUGCUCAAAUAUUUCAAAUUUGAAAGCUUGUUAAGGGACGCAAAUACACUAGUAUUGAAGAGAUUUCCAUCUAAAUUAAGCUCUUCCAAGUGGGUCAACUCCAAUUUUCUACCACCAUCUACAAAAGAUUUAUAUAAUUUCAUCACUGAAAUGAAUUGGCAUAAAAUUAAAUUAUCUGGAAGAAUUUAGGUAAUUGGUUAAAUAUAAAUGCAUACCUUUAAAGGAUUGCAAGCUUUCAAUUUGAUUCCAACUUAAAUCGAGUUUCUUCAAAUUUGUUAAAUUACUCAAUCCUAUACAUAUCCACGUACAAUUCAAAAAAAAUCAUUAUGUUAAUAAUUUUAAUUUCUACUUAAUAUUUUAAUGAAAUAAAAAUGAAAAAAAAAAGUAAAUCUAAAACUUGAAGUGAAGAUGAAAAUCCUCAAACGUGAAAUGUGAAUGUUCAAAAUUGAAACAAUUGAUUUUAAAAGGUUCUAGAAAGAAUUAUCAAGAAAAACAAAGUUAUAGCUUUAGUACCUUUAGUAUCUAAUGAGCCUUGCAAACUGUUCGACCUCAUAUCCAAGGACUUUAGGCUUGAAAGCCAUACAAGAAAGGAAAUUGUGUUGUUCCGAAAGAGAUUAUGACUCAAGUCAAGUUCCUCCAAGUUUGUUAACCUCAGUAGUGUUCCAUCUAUCAUUGGAAGAAAAUAAUGAGUAUAGUUAAUAUCAUCCAAGAUAUAAAUAGUUAGGAAAAAUGAUUGUUUGAGAAGGAAGAGGCAAUUUACAAGCUUUCCCAUGAAUUGAUAACUACAUUUUACAAGUAAAACUUAAUUGAUUCAAUAUAUAAAUACUUUGUUUGAGAUUCCUUCCUACUUUAAUUACUCAAUCCCAAAUAUUGAUUACUUAUAUAUAUUCAUGAUAUGAUAAAAGCAAAUGACUUAUUAAUUGCAACAGCUUUUCCUUCAACAUGAAUUUAAUGCUAUUCUUCAAAUAAUUCCAACUUAUAUCAAUAAUCUCCAAUCUAAUGAGCCAUUGAAAACCUGAUUUAUAUAUUAUAUAAUUAGUUACUACAAAACAUAAAUAAAUAAUAAUACUCCAUUUUUGCAAUAAAAAUUCACUAAAGAAAAUACAUUUGAAGUUUGUCAUUGCCUUUUGGAAUAAGAGUCGGUCAAGAAAGUUAUGCACAAAUACUUAUACCUUUGUUUGAGAUGCUUUCAAUUCUGUUCCAACUUAAAUCCAAGUAUUUCAAGUUUGUCAAAUUAUUCAAUCCUGAAAUUCAAUCCCAAAUAUUGAUUAGUUAUAUAUAUUCAUCGUAUGAUAAAAUUAAACUUGAACAUACAUUGAUUUUUAAACUUGAACUUAUAUCAAUAAUUUCCAAUCUAAUGAGCCAUUGAAAACCUCAUUUAUGAGCCACUGAAAAUAAUUUUUUCUUGAUUCAUAUCAUAUUUUAAUAUAUUAGCAUAUUGUUUUAAAAACUCAAAUAUGUUUAAAAUCAAUUUAGCAUUUAACCUUAAUAUUAGUAUUUAACACCGGUAAUGGAGUUUUUUUAACUCUACAAGUGAAGUUAAAAAAUGACCAAUAACCUACUUUUAAAUAUUUCUUUUUUAAUAUUUUACUAUACCAUAUAAGAUAUUUGUUGUUAUCUCAAUCCUACUUAUGAAGUUUAGAAUUUCUUUAAUAGUACCACCCCGAUUUUUUAAAAAAACCAGAUUUUUUUAAUUUGAUAAAAGAAAAGAAUUUCAUUCAUAGUACCAAAUAUUUAUAUUAUUUUUUUAGUAUUUUCUUAUAUUAUUUUUGAAUAUAAGUAAUUAGCUAAUAUAGCUAAUUUGUAUAAUUUUUAAACUCCAAUCAACAACACUAUAAAUAAUAUUUAUAAAAUAAAACAUGUCAACACUAAAAUUAUUAUAUUACCUUUAAAGUUACCAAUACUUUAUAAAAAAAAUCAAAUAGAUAUUUUACUCAGCAAUAAAUAAAAUUCAAAAGAAUUAUAAGUAAACUUAGCGGAUUAAAUGAAAAUUUUAAAGCACUAAAUAUUGGCCCAAAAACAAAGUUAAGUUAAAAUAUGUCAUAUCUCCCUUUUACUCUUUACAAACGUGAAGUUUUAAAAUUCAAGUCUAAUUAUUAAUACUGUUAAAAUUAUUUUAUUAAAUCCAUGUUCAUUAUGUCAUUUUUUAGUUACAUUGCUACCAAGUUUUUUUUUUAUUUCAAAAUGUUACACCAACAAAUUAUUUUAAAAAAUUAACAAUUUAAAUAAUUAAACUUGGAUUUUGAAAUUUAAAAAAAAUAGAGGGACUAAAUUCCUGAAUAUAAAAGUAUAAGAAUUAAAUUACAAAUUUGUAAAGAGUAUGUAGACCUAUGUUAAUAACAUGUGCAUUUUGAAAUUUAUAAAAAGUUUGCAAUGGAAGUUUAAGCACCUCUAAAUGUAGGUUUAAAUUUCAUAAAAUUGAAGUUUUUUUUUAAAUUAUUCAAAAUUGACAUUUAUUUAUUUUUGGCCAAAAAAUACCAUUUAUUUAACUCUAAUAUGUAUUUUUAUGUUUUAUACUAUUAAAAAUAUAUGAAAUUAAAAUAUAGUUAUAUUACAUAUUUUCCCAUAAAUAUAUGUAUUUUUUAUUUAUAAUAUCAUUUUUUAUUGUUAUAAUUAUUUUUUAUCUCAUAAAAAUUCAAUAAAUUAUUUUAAAAAUAUAGUUAUCAAACAAAAUAAUUAUAAACAUUAAUAUUUAAAAAUUAUGAAAAUUUUAAAGAAUUUUAGUUUCAAACCAAAGUUCAAAAACAUUAUAAUGGAGGGUUUAGAAAAUGUUUCACCAAACCCAUAUUUUACUUUCAAGUAUGAUAUGAUAUAACUUUAUUAAUAUUUAUGACAAUAACCGUCAUUAUAAUAUCUGAGAUCAAAACUAAAUUUCUAAAUUUUUUUUAAAAAAAGGAAGUUUAAUUAAAUGGUACCUUGGUGGAUCACCCAAUCUUUCAAUUCAUUGCCGCUCAUAUAUAGUUCCCUUAAGUUGAUAAAUGCUUCCAAAUCUAGGAAAACAAAAACAACAAAUCAACUUCAUUAUUAUAUUCUUGUUAAAAAUCUAAUAUUUUUACCUUUCAUAUCUAUUGAUCCUUUCAAUUGAUUGAACCUUAUGCUCAACGAUUUCAAAUUUGAAAGCUUGUUAAGGGAUGCAAAUACACUAGUAUUGAAGAGAUUUCCAUCUAAAUUAAGCUCUUCCAAGUGGGUCAACUCCAAUUUUCUACCACCAUCUACAAAAGAUUUAUAUAAUUUCAUCACUGAAAUGAAUUGCCAUAAAAUUUAAUUAUAUGUAAGAAUUUAGGUAAUUGGUUAAAUAUAAAUGCAUACCUUUAAAGGAUUGAAAGCUUUCAAUUUGAUUCCCACUUAAAUCGAGUUUCUUCAAAUUUGUUAAAUUGCUCAAUCCUAUACAUAUCCACGUCCAAUUAAAAAAAUCAUUAUGUUAAUAAUUUUAAUUCCUACUUAAAAUUUUAAAGAAAUAAAAAUGAAAAAAAAGUAAAUCUAAGACUUGAAGUGAAGAUGAAAAUCCUAAAACGUGAAAUGUGAAUGUUCAAAAUUGAAACAAUUAAUUUUAAAAGGCUCUAGAAAGAAUUAUCAAGAAAAACAAAGUUAUAGCUUUUUGUACCUUUAGUAUCUAAUGAGCCUUGUAAACCGUUCCAACUCAUAUCCAAGGACUUUAGGCUUGAAAGCCCUUGAAGAAAGGAAAUUGUGUUGUUCCGAAAGAGAUUAUCACUUAAAUAAAGUUCCUCUAAGUUUGUUAGCCUCAAUUGUGUUCCAUCUAUCAUUGGAAGAAAAUAAUAUCAUUCAAGAUAUAAAUAGUUAGAAAAAUGAUUGUUUGAGAAGGAAGAGCCAAUUUAGAAGCUUUCCCAUGAAUUGAUAACUACAUUUUACAAGUAAAACUUAAUUGAUUCAAUAUAUAAAUACUUUGUUUGAGAUACCUUCCUAUUUUGAAAUACUGCAACAUUAACUGUCCCUUAAACAAAAAUUGGUUUUAAAGUAAAAAAGAAACAUAUAAAACCAGUCUACCUUUAAUAUGAAUUGACAUAUAAAUACUGUACUUAUACCUUGGUUUGAGAUGCUUUCAAAUUUCAAUUCUGUUCCAACUUAAAUCCAAGUAUUUCAAGUUUGUCAAAUUAUUCAAUCAUAAAAUUCAAUCCCAAAUAUUGAUUAGUUAUAUAUUCAUCGUAUGAUGAAAUCAAACUUGAAUAUACAUUGAUUUUUAAAGUUGAAAAGAAACAGGUAAAAUCAGUCUACCUUGAAUAUGAUCCAUCCUUCCUUUCAACUCAUUACCACUCAAUCUUAAAGUCUUCAAGGAUGAAAGAUUUCUCAUAUGGAACAAAAUGCUAUUCUUCAAAGAAUUCCAACUUAAAUCAAGAGUUUCCAAGUUAUUGAGUCUUGAAAGCAAUUGAAAACCUGAUAUAUAUACAUAAUUACUUGUUAAUUGUUUUUUUCUUUCUUUGCUAUAUGAAAAUUUUACUAAAGCAAUAGUGGAAUUACAACGGAUAAAAAGAAUGGAAAACUAGGUACCAAACCCAGAAGACCAUCCUCAAACUCCACUAUACAAAUAAAAACUAACACCAGACCAAACUUAAUUUACCUCUUAGAUGACUUGAUCCUUCUAAUUUGUUGUGUGAUAGAUCUAAAUACCGGAGAGAUGAAAGCUCACUCAAAGAUAACAAAAUGCUGUCAUUCAAGUAGUUUUCACUUAAGUCAAGGAUCUCCAAAUUACUCAACGUGGAUGAUAGUUUUCCAAAGCCUAUAGAAAUAUUCUUUUAAAUAUAUACAAGUUAGUGACUUUUCUUCCAUAAAAUAAAAUAAAAUAUAAGUAAUUGCAAAUUAACGAUGGUGAGAGUAGUGGAAUAAUAAAAGAUGUAAUUAAGGAAAAACUAGAGGCACGACCUUCAUUUUCAAGAUUACCACUUAUGGCAUUCCCCGACAAAUAAAGACUCUUCAAUUCCUCAAAGGGAAGAAACAUAGAGGCAUUGAGAUACCAGGCAUUGAGAUUCCUAUUAUCCAUGUCGUAUUCCCAUUUUGUAGAAUUAAGGGAGAGUUGUAUGAGUCUCCUAGUGGUGGUGUUACACUCAACUCUUUCCCAUUUACAACAAUCUGAACCCUUCACCUCAACCCAACUAUUCAAUUGAUUACCAUCAUUGAAGAAAGGUUUGAGAUGCAAGAGAGCGAUUCUCUCAUGCUCCAAACAAGCAUCAGUAGUACACCAUCUGCAUCCUUCUAACACCAACAACAUUACUGCCAUCCUAAUAAACCUUAACCAUUUCCACUUCAUCAUCAUCAUCAUCUCUCUGUUUUCACUUCUCUCUCAGCUAUAUGUUACUUUUUUUUAACUUCUAUAUGUAUAUAAUCUAAAGAAGCCUAAGCUUCUUAUUUAUAUACAAGCAGAUGCAUCCCACUAACUCACUAUAAUGUAAAAAUAAUAUAUAAUUAAUUAAUUCCUCAAAAAUUGGAUCAAAAUCUAGGCUUCUUAUUUACGUAAAUUAUUUAUUGCAAAAACUCUUAGUGGAAAUUCGUUAGGAAGGGAUGAAGGGGCCACAAGAAUAUUGAUGUUAAUCUUGAAAAACGAAUUGCCAAAAAAAUAUGAAAAGUGAGAGGUGGACAUAAAAUCGUAUAGUUGGGAUUGCAAAAGUCUUCAUGUGGCUUUCUUGUGAGUUUCAUUUAUACCCUUCUUACACUUAUACAAACUUAGUCUUGACUUGGCUUUAUUAAUGGAAAAUUUAGAUCUUCAUUUUUGGUUUUAUUCAUAGAAAUUUUACUUCUUUGAUUUUGGUUUUAUUAAUGGAAAUUUUAAGUCUUCAGUUUGCUUUUAUUCUUGCACAUUUUAGGUUUUGAUUUUGAAAAUUUAGUUUUUUCAUCUCUAUUAUUAUAAAAUUUCUUAAUUUAAUUAAUAUCAUGAGUUAAUUUAAUACUUUAAAAAAUAAAAUAUUACAUUCACUAUUUUUUUAAAAAUAAAAGUAACUAUAAAAUUUUAUUAUUUAUAUAAUAUUUUAAAAAAAACUAUUUAUUUCUACUAGACCACUACUUUAAAACUAUCCAUUAUCAUAUUGUAAUAGGCCCAAUUUGCCCGGGCCCGGUAAAUAAAUAAAACCAAUAAAAUCAAAUAAAAAAUAGUCCCAAAACAGUCCAUUUACAAUGACCCAAUACCAACCCAAUGGCCUAAAUCUCUACCCAAGCCCGAAUCUAAACCUAAACAGGCCCAAACCCCACUAAACCUAAUGGCCCAAUACCCAGCUUGGCUGAGACAAACCCUAGCCUUCAGCAGCUUUCUGCUCUUGCGCUGCAGCCAAGCCGCUCCUCACGUACGAGCCUCAUUCAUGCGCCGCACCGAGCAACGCCAUCGCCAGGGACCACGCCUGUACUGUGCCACGUGAGCCUCCGUACAUGCGCGCCCGUUCACCUCUGUACCAGUACCUGCAAAUACACACAAGAAGCAGCGAAGCAACAAAAAAAAAAAGAAAAUAGCAGUAGAAAAAUAGGGGAUUUUCAGUUUUUAUUUGAUUUUUCUGGCUAUAAAAGCCAAACACGCAGAUUGUAUCAUAGGGGGAACUCACACAUAUUGCAAAAAAAAAGGGGCAGAAAAUCAAUACAAAAAAAAAAAGAAAAGGUUUUCUCUUCCUUCAGGUCUCUUUUCUUCUCCAAUUGUUUCUUUUCUUUUUCGUUUGUUAUUAGCCUCAUAUAAGUAUAGAUAUAUAUAGAGUAAAUAAUAACAAAAAGGGGGGGUUAAAACGUACCUGGUGAUGCCUUUGAAUCCACGCGAAGAAGCCAAAAAGCCUUGAAUGGUGAGGCUCCGACCACCAUUCGCAGUGGAAUCAAGGCGGAGGGGCGGACUGACGGCACUGAAGGGUGAAACCCUAGCAGAGGAAACAAUAAGCAAUUUUUUUUAAAAACGAGUCUGCUAAUGUUUUUUUAGGGUAAAUUUUGUUUAAAUAAUGAUACAAUACGGAGCCGUUUUGGGCUAGGGUUCCUAGCGCCCAAACGACAUCGUUUAGAGGCCUUACCCAAUGACCCGAUCCAGAUGGCGGCUAGAUCCGCGUGUUUGGUAGGAGGAGGGGAAAUUUCGCGAAGAGUCCCUCUUGUUUUGUGCCGUUUCGGUUUGAUUUUCUUCAUUGUUUUUAAUUUGAAUCGCGUAUUUUAUUUUGUUUUCAAUUUGAUCCAUAGUUAAACGGCACCGUUUUCACUAAUCGGAUUUGAGCAUCCGAACAUUUGUGUUUAUUUUCUGUUUUAGUCCUCUCUGUUAUUUUUUAUUAUGAUUUUUACCCUCCUAUUUUAUUUUCACCCUAAUUUAGUCCCGAAACUGUUAGAUUUCACUUUAUUUAUGCAAUGUAUAUAUUUAUUUAUUUUAAACUUUAUAUUAUUUAUUUUAAAUCGUUCUAUUACUAUUUAUUUUAAGCCUUUUUUACAUAUUAUAUGUUUUAAAUUAUGUUAAUCAAUUAUUCAUUUUAAAUAUAUAUUAUUUAUGUUAAACUACAAAUGUAUAUUAUUUAUUUGGAAUUGUUCUUAUGCACAUCAUGCAUUAUCAUUUUAAAAAAAAUAAUAAUAAUAGAAUUUGUUUGCAUAUUGUUCAUUUAGGAUUCCUUCUCACACAUUACUUAUUUUAAACGUUUUACAUAUUAUUUUAAAUUGUUUUAUAUGUUUUUUUUAAAUGCUUUGAAGAUUAUUCAUUUUAACUUGUUUUACACAUUAUUUUAUUAUGUAUGGAAUUGCUUUAAUAUAUAUAUACGUGAAUAAAACGUAUUGUAACUGGUAAUUUCUAAAAUUUUAUUCUACGUUUUAAAAUUUUUAUCAUUUCGAUUAUGUUGAUUGGUUUACUUGGGAUUAAAUUAUUAUUGCAUUGAUUAUUCUUUUUUUUUUUGAUUUUUUUGUUAGAUUGAUUAUUAGUUUAUUUGAUUAUCAAUGUUGAUGUAUUAUAUGUUUGGUUGCUCCAAAUUGUAAAUUUAGCUUGCUAUUCACCAUUUGAUUAGUAUAUUGAUAUUUUAUUAUAUUGUUUGUAAAAAUUGCAUUUCAUUAAAGCAUUACAAUUGUUUUAUUUCAAAAUUCUCAAAAAGCUUGGUAUUUAAAAAUUCUCGAGAGGAUUGUGCCCUAACUUACUGGGCUUCAAUCCUCCCUUUUUGAUUCUAAAUAACCGAAUACCUUUUUUAAUUUGAACAUAGAAGUUUCAAAAUAAAAGCUCAUUCUCGGGAAUUUGACACGUUGUGUCCUAACGCAUUGAAUAUGACUAUUAUUUUCUCGAGAUGAGGAUUUUAAGGCAAUGUUCGAUAUUUAGGAAUUUUGUGAAAUCGAACCCUAACUUACUAGGUCUUGAUUUUCUCAUUUGACCCAGAUAAUCGGAUAUCCUCCUCAAAAUGCAUAGGUUUUAAAAGACGAGAGAUAAACUUAACUUGGAGGACUUAAAAUGUUGCACUCUAACUUACUAAGUGUGACGAUUUAUUUCUUUGAAAUAAGUGAGUCUCGUCGUCCAAUUCAUUUUAUUCAAAAUAAAAGGAUCAAAUUUUAAAAUCUUUUCAAAAUUUUGACAUUAAGACAUUAAACAUUCCAAUCGGUACCAAUUUUGGGCGUCACGAGGGUGCUAACCCUUCCUCGUGCGUAACCGACUCCCGAACCCGUUUUCUCAAAAAUUCGCAGACCUAAAAUUAUUUUCAAGGUGAUCCGCACACCACAAUAAAAGAUCGGUGGCGACUCCAUUUCCAUUUUCAAAAUUGAUCCCCAUUUUUCAAAUUACAAAAAAAUGGCUUCGACAGCUUGGCGACUCCACUGGGAACGAUUUAGAGAGUCAAGCCAUAAAAUUGAUUGUUUUUGUCUUAUUGUCGAAAAUUAAAAUUUGAUUUGAAAAAUUACGCUCUUUUCUUUGCACUUGUUUGCAUGAUUAUUGUAAAUUAAGUUGCAUAUUUUGGCAUCAUUUUGCAUAAGACUGUUUAGUCUUGUCCUUUUAAGUGGGAGUGAGAAACUAGUCCUUCGUGAGGUUUUCACCUUCGUGCAGGAUAGUGGAUCACUUCCGGGAUACAUCCGUACCUAUGUCUUCGUGAGAUUUUCAUCUCCGUGCAGCCAUAGGGAAAUGUAUUCCCCUGAACCGAACUCGGUCUGUAUGAGCCUAUAAUGGGUGAAGAUCGAGGAAUCUACUGGUUCGGGUACCUUGACUUUAGAAACAACCCUCAUAUAGUGGACUUAGGAACCCAUCCUAGGUAGAGCCACUCCGAACCCCUAGUGGUCACCCGACUAGGCACUUUUGUUUUCCUUGUUUGCUUCUGUUUCGCACUAACCUAUCUUGUUUUGUUUUGAUUAUGAUUGCAUUUCAUUUGCAUCUUAGGAAGGAGACAUUGAUUCAAGUUCGAUUACUAAAUUAAAAAGCUUGUCAUGGAAUACGAAUUCCUUGAUAAAGUGGAAAACAAUACGACUUUCCGAAUAUAUUCUGAGAAACAUAAGAAGGGCGAUCGAAGAGUUCGCAACCUCGCUUCGUGGCCUAAGGAUUCAAGGCGAUUGUCUGAGAGCCUUCGACGUUCCACCCCCUUUAAAAGCUGACGAGCCUUAAGAAGAUGGAUAGAUGAUGGAUCGUGACCAAGAUCAAGAAAAGGAGCUAGUAAUGGCAUCUAUUGGUAAGAUUACCUCAAACGUGCGGAUGAAGAAAAAGAUCGAUGUUGGUUCUUGGAAUAUGAGGGCGAGGUCGUACAUGUAUCCGUUUUAUGUAAGGGAAUUUGCUUUCUAGAAAAGUUUUCUAAAUGUAAUUGAAUCAGAAUCAACGUCUCUUUAGGCAUUCAUUUCAUGUAUUUGCAUUACAUUGCAUUACAUGCAUUAAAAUCCAUUGAAAAAGUCUAAACGAGUAAAUUUAUUUCAGCUAACCUGGAAAACCAACCGACCAAACACCCUUACGAUAUCCAAGAAAAGACUAGAGAAAUGGAAUGAAGGUUGGAAAAAUUAGAGCGGAUGCAGAUUCAGAUGCGGGAGAGAUUGACUGAAUUUCAACAGGAGAUGAGAGAUCAGAUGCUAGAAUUACAGAGAACCUUGAUGAACCAGUUCAACUGACUACUAGCUGGAGAGUUAGAAAAAAAGAAGGACCCGGUGGUCCACUUUGGGGUUGAUAAUAAGGAUCUUGCCCAUUCCCUAGAUUAUACUCCGACAAGUGUCCAAGUCCAGCCGGAUGGGCGUCCACAUGGGGCACUCUUUACUAUCAGAUCACAACAGUAUCAAACUGGUACAGCAACACCGGUGGGUUGCUUGACAAACCCAAGGUCCAAUGCGAGGAACAAUUUUCCUGUUGCUCUCGAUGGCCCGGCUGAAACAAAGCAGGCAAGGGUGGAGUACCUAGGUACUACAAAGGCCCUAAGGAAGAAGGGGAAUAAAUGGGAUAAUGUAGGUAGGUAUAACAAGGGCCACUCAAAACCAAUCACUGCGGGCCAACAAAAGAUGGCAACCACCAGCCAUCAGAGCCCUUUAAAGCAAGACCCUUAUGUGAAACAAGGCACUGAGAACCUCCAGUUCACGCCAAUUUCGGUGUCGUAUAAGGAGCUGUAUCAAAGCUUAUUCAAUAUGCACAUUGUUGCCCCUCUCUACACGAAACCUCCACAGCCUCCGUACCCUAGAUGGCAUGACGCAAAUGCACGAUGUGAAUAUCAUGCAGGAAAUAUGGGGCAUUCCAUAGAAAACUGCAUUGCCUUUAAAAAAACUGAUUGAAAGGCUUAUCAGUAUGGGCGUCAUUAAAUUUGAUGAUUCCUCUAGUGUAUAAAAUACGCCGCCUAAUCAUAUUAAUGACGAGGCGAAUGAGGUGUACGAAGUAGUGUUGGGAAAUGUUCACAUCAACGACGUGUCUGAAGACACAAAUGGAAAGGGAUCUUGUUAGAUGUCCGCCCUUAUAAAUUCUGGAGUGUUCUAAAUAAUUAGACUGCGGAAGAAAUCCAUAUAGUCUCUAGAGCUUUUUAAGGUAAUGUUCAGAACAUUUUUGUUGGUUUUAGCCUAGAAAUGAUAGAAAUUCCUUUGUGAAAUAGGCUUAUGUCUGAACGUUGUUAUUUUAAUGAAAUACAUCUUUGCAAUUACUUCUGAGCCAAUAUUUUCAUUCUUUGCGAAUAAGUCCAUAUUCUUUCACUCUUUUGGAUUUUCUUCCAAACCAUCAUUCAUUCAUUCAUAAUUAUGUGAUAUAAAUAAUUAUUCAUAAAUUUAUACAUUCUUUUGUAUAUUCUUCGGUGCUUAUUAUGGGUCCCCAGAUAUCAAUUACUUGAAUGACACUGCUAAAGACUCAGAUUUUCCUUUUGAGCAAGGCAUGUGUUCAGAGGGAUCUCAGGACUUUGGGAAUGACAUAGAUCUAGCUUAUCUCAGACUUGUUGAGGAUGAUAGAACAAGAGAACCGACAGAUCCUACCUCACAAGGAAUCAUUAGGAAUUGUGGGCUUAGUGAAGAUUAGAAUUGACCUGACCUCAAAGAUGAAACAAGACCUUGUUCAGAGAUGUCUUUGUAGGAUCAUGCCAGGAUAUGCCGGGUUAAGCGCAACAACACAAUGACAAAAUUUGCAGUGUGAAUGACGUAAUGGAAAUUCUUUGCCGGGGCAAUGCACUUCUUGUUAACUCAGUAUAGCUUUGCCCAUUUGAAUUCGAGUUUCUAUUUCUUCAAGUUUUGUUGGAUUUUAUCUUGAUUGAAGAGGAGGAUCCAAAAUUUUCUAUCGUAGUUUCGCCCCAGAAGGCUCUAUGAAAGAAACCUAAUACCAAAGAGGGUUUUUCGCAUAUAGGAUGAAAGUGGAAGAUCUUAUCGAAAGGGAUAUCAUAGGCUUGCCCAAUCCUAAGGGUUUAGAUUCAAAAAAAAAAUCAAAAUAAAAAAAAGAAAAAUCAAAGUCAAAAGUAAAAAAAAAAAGAAAUCAAUCAAAGUCAAAACAAAUAUGAAAAGAGAAAAAGAAAGAAAAGGAGAGGCCAAGGCGAAAACCCGCAAAGGGAACUUUGUGACCAAAGGUGGUUUUGAGUUGAAAACCCGAAAAAGGUGACUCAAAUUUUGAGUAAAUUGAGGCAUGGACAUCACAAUUAUCGAAGAUUUCUAAUGGGCAUUGCUUCACUAUUGAGAUCAUUAAUUACUUCAUCAAAUGGAUAGAGGCUACUGCAUACGUUAAUGUCAUCAUAUGCCGAUAUAGAAUUCCAGAUUGGAUGGUAUUGGAAAUUGCAUUGAACUUGAAUGACAGCACGACAGCUGAAGGCUGCAAUCAGUUCAAAAUCAGGCACCACGGUUUGCCACUGUAUUGCAAGAUGAUGAAGUUAAAAAAAAGAAUGAAAAAUGAAAAUGAAAAAUGAAAAAUGGAGAGGCUAAGGGAAAACCCGCAAAGGGCACCUUAGGCCAAGGGGAUUUGAGUUGAAAACCCGAAAAGGGCGGCUCAAAUAUUUGUUCAGAAUGGGGCAUGAGGCGAUCAGAGCGAUUUGAAUUUUGAUAAUAUUGGGGCAUGUGGUGAUCUUGCUAUGCCUGAAUCAACAGGAGAGGAUAGGCGACAUCUUGGGGCAUCGACAAAGCACUGUAGAUCCCCUAAACACAUGUCCAACUCAAAAUAGUCUUCAGAGAGUCUGUACAGAGAAGUUCAAGCUGCGAUAUCUAGGGCACCCAAUUCUCAUAUUAUUUGUUGUUCUUGGAAUACUUUUUUCUUUUCCAAGAUAUACAUUCCCAAUUGUCAUCCUUCUUUACUAUUUUCGAUAAUUUGUUCUUUCGAGCUAUGCUCAGAACCAACUUUAUUCUUAUCCAUUGUUAUAACCCUUUUUGUAAACAUGUUGCAUUGGAAUAAUAAUUAAUGGACUAAUAAAACUUUCACAAGGGAAGUUUUGCAUAUUACUUUGAAAAGUUUCUAAGAAAUAUAGGAACCUGAAACAGGACUAUUGUUUAGAACGCACCAGGUAAAGGUUGGAAAUUUGAGAGGGAAGAGUCUAAAUUUGGGCUUUCUCUUUGGAUUUCAUUGUUAAAUGCAUUGAUUGACAGGAUGCCAUGAUUGGUGACAAAGCUUAAGUAUACAAGCAAGCAAUUAUCACCAGGUAAGAGGAGGAGGUUACCUCGGAGAAGAGAGCCUUCAUCUGCGCAUAAGUCUUUGGUACGACACCUUGGGAAUGGUGUAAGGAACUAGAACGACUCGGAUCCUGUAUCCUUGAAUUAUGAUAAGGAAGGAUUGAGGAAAGGCCAUAUAUUUCUACGCUUGGAUUACAGUGGGAGAAUGAAGGUACAAAAUUUGUGUCCCAGUGGUUUACAGUGGGGGCAAUCUGACUAAGUGAUUCUUCAGAAAAGCCAAUCGAGCAAGAAGGUGUUGUAACAACGUCAGCCUAAAAAAAACUCAGAGUAAUGACAACCUAAGCGGGAUCGUUCUCGAAAAAAAUAAAAUUCCGCAUUCAUGCAAACGCCAUUCACACAUGUCUAGUUAGGAGCAUUUGAUUCAUUCUGAUCAUACCAUCCUAAUCAUUAGGCAUAAUUAGGUUCAUUAUACAGGUCAUGUUCCCCAGAGAACAGAUCAGUGAAUAUUGCGGAUCUUAUCUUCCCCAGGAGUAAGGAAAUAGAUCUAAGCACGAAUCUUAUCUUCCCCAGGAGUAGGGAAGCAGAUCUAAGCGGCGAAUCUUAUCGUCCCCAGGAGUAGGGAAACAAAUUUAAGCCACAAGUCUUAUGUCCCUGACCAACAGCGGAGUAGUUUGGAAAUUACAAGUCUUAUCUCCCUAAGCAGUAGUGGAGCAGACCGAAGAAGCAAAUUUUAUCUCCCUGAGGUUACAGUGGAGCAGAUCGAAAUCGAUAAUCCUAUCUCCCUGAAGUUGUAGUGGAGCGGAUUAAACAACAGAUCUUAUCUCCCUAAGCAGUAGUGGAGCAGAUCGCAUCAAGUUUUAUCUCCCUAAGUAGUAGUGGAGCAGAUGAAAAAAAAACCAAUCCUAUCUCCCUAAAAUUACAGUGGAGCGGAUUAAAACAAUAGAUCUUAUCCCCUUAAGCAGUAGUGGAGCAGAUCGCAUCGGGUCUUAUCUCCCUGAAGUUGCAGCGGAGCAGACUGAGCGAACAAGUCUUAUCUCCCUAAGCAGUAGUGAGCAGACGAAAAAACCAAUCAUAUCUUCCUGAAAUUGCAGUGGAGCGGAUUAAAACAAUAGAUCUUAUCUCCCUAAGCAAUAGUGGAGUAGAUCGCAUCAGGUCUUAUCUCCCUGAAGUUGCAGCGGAGCAGACUGAGAAAACAAGUCUUAUCUCCCUAAGCAGUAGUGGAGCAGACGGAAAAAAAACCAAUCCUAUCUCCCUGAGAUUGCAAUGGAACGGAUUAAAACCACAGAUCUUAUCUCCCUAAGCAAUAGUGGAGCAGAUCGCAACAAGUCUUUUCCCCCUGAAAUCACAGUGGGGCAGACUGAAGAAGCAAAUCUUAUCUCCCUGAGGUUGUAGUGGAGUAGAUUGAAUUCGAUAAUCCUACCUCCCUGAAGUUGUAGUGGAGCGGAUUAAAGUAAUGGAUCUUAUCUUUCUGAAGUUACAGUAGAGUAGAUCGCAUCAGAUUGAAGUCAGAAAUCUUAUCUCCCUGAGAUUACAGCGGAGUAGAUUGAAACUAGUAAUCCUAUCUCCCUUAGUUUACAGUGGAACGGAUUAAAAUAAAGGAUCUUAUCUCUCUGAAGUUACAGUAGAGUAGAUCGCAUCAGGAAUUAUCUCCAUGAGAUCACGGUGGAAUAGACCGAAGAAUUUUAGAUCUUACUUCCUAGAUAAUACAGUGGAACAGAUUAAAGCCACAGCAGCGAAUCUUGCUUCCCUGACAUCACAGUUAUGAGUUACAAAUCUGAUCUCCCCGACGUUGGGGUGGAGUGGAUCAAGGCACCGAUUCCUAUACCUCUAAAGAUGCAGUAGGAUGGAAUGAGGUAACUCGAAGAAGAAGAACACUAGGGUUCAGCACGACCGGGCAAAAUUGGUCCUCUUUAGUCUUUGCUCUAUUCUCGUUACACGACAAUGAGCAAAGAGGGGCAGCUGUAAUAGGCCCAAUUUGCCCGGGCCCGAUAAAUAAAUAAAACCAAUAAAAUCAAAUAAAAAAUAGUCCCAAAACAGUCCAUUUACAAUGACCCAAUACCAACCCAAUAGCCUAAACCUCUACCCAAGCCCGAAUCUAAACCUAAACAGGCCCAAAACCCACUAAACCUAAUGGCCCAAUACCCAGCCUGGCUGAGACAAACCUUAGCCUUCAGCAGCUUUCAGCUCUUGCGCUGCAGCCAAGCCGCUCCUCACGUACGAGCCUCCAUUCAUGCGCCGCGCCGAGCAACGCCAUCGCCAGGGACCACGCCUGUACUGUGCCAUGCGAGCCUCCGUACAUGCGCGCCCGUUCACCUCUGUACCAGUACCUGCAAAUACACACAAGAAGCAGCGAAGCAACAAAAAAAAAGAAAAUAGCAGUAGAAAAUAGGGGAUUUUCAGUUUUUAUUUGAUUUUUCUGGCUAUAAAAGCCAAACACGCAGAUUGUAUCAAAGGGGGGAACUUACGCAUAUUGCAAAAAAUCAAUAUAAAAAAAAAGGUUUUCUCUUCCUUCUGGUCUCUUUUCUUCUCCAAUUGUUUCUUUUCUUUUUCGUUUGUUAUUAGCCUUAUAUAAGCAUAGAUAUAUAUAGAGUAAAUAAUAACAAAAAGGGGGGGUUAAAACGUACCUGGUGAUGCCUUUGAAUCCACGCGAAGAAGCCAAAAAGCCUUGAAUGGUGAGGCUCCGACCACUAUUCGCAGUGGAAUCAAGGCGGAGGGGCGGACUGACGGCACUGAAGACUAGGGUGAAACCCUAGCAGAGGAAACAAUAAGCAAUUUUUUUUAAAAACGAGUCUGCUAAUGUUUUUUUAGGGUAAAUUUUGUUUAAAUAAUGAUACAAUACGGAGCCGUUUUGGGCUAGGGUUCCUAGCGCCCAAACGACAUCGUUUAGAGGCCUUACCCAAUGACCCGAUCCAGAUGGCGGCUAGAUCCGCGUGUUUGGUAGGAGGAGGGGAAAUUUCGCGAAGAGUCCCUCUUGUUUUGUGCCGUUUCGGUUUGAUUUUCUUCAUUGUUUUUAAUUUGAAUCGCGUAUUUUAUUUUGUUUUCAAUUUGAUCCAUAGUUAAACGGCACCGUUUUCACUAAUCGGAUUUGAGCAUCCGAACAUUUGUGUUUAUUUUCUGUUUUAGUCCUCUCUGUUAUUUUUUAUUAUGAUUUUUACCCUCCUAUUUUAUUUUCACCCUAAUUUAGUCCCGAAACUGUUAGAUUUCACUUUAUUUAUGCAAUGUAUAUAUUUAUUUAUUUUAAACUUUAUAUUAUUUAUUUUAAAUCGUUCUAUUACUAUUUAUUUUAAGCCUUUUUUACAUAUUAUAUGUUUUAAAUUAUGUUAAUCAAUUAUUCAUUUUAAAUAUAUAUUAUUUAUGUUAAACUACAAAUGUAUAUUAUUUAUUUGGAAUUGUUCUUAUGCACAUCAUGCAUUAUCAUUUUUAAAAAAAUAAUAAUAAUAGAAUUUGUUUGCAUAUUGUUCAUUUAGGAUUCCUUCUCACACAUUACUUAUUUUAAACGUUUUACAUAUUAUUUUAAAUUGUUUUAUAUGUUUUUUUUUAAAUGCUUUGAAGAUUAUUCAUUUUAACUUGUUUUACACAUUAUUUUAAUAUGUAUGGAAUUGCUUUAAUAUAUAUAUACGUGAAUAAAACGUAUUGUAACUGGUAAUUUCUAAAAUUUUAUUCUACGUUUUAAAAUUUUUAUCAUUUCGAUUAUGUUGAUUGGUUUACUUGGGAUUAAAUUAUUAUUGCAUUGAUUAUUCUUUUUUUUUGAUUUUUUUGUUAGAUUGAUUAUUAGUUUAUUUGAUUAUCAAUGUUGAUGUAUUAUAUGUUUGGUUGCUCCAAAUUGUAAAUUUAGCUUGCUAUUCACCAUUUGAUUAGUAUAUUGAUAUUUUAUUAUAUUGUUUGUAAAAAUUGCAUUUCAUUAAAGCAUUACAAUUGUUUUAUUUCAAAAUUCUCAAAAAGCUUGGUAUUUAAAAAUUCUCGAGAGGAUUGUGCCCUAACUUACUGGGCUUCAAUCCUCCCUUUUUGAUUCUAAAUAACCGAAUACCUUUUUUUAAUUUGAACAUAGAAGUUUCAAAAUAAAAGCUCAUUCUCGGGAAUUUGACACGUUGUGUCCUAACGCAUUGAAUAUGACUAUUAUUUUCUCGAGAUGAGGAUUUUAAGGCAAUGUUCGAUAUUUAGGAAUUUUGUGAAAUCGAACCCUAACUUACUGGGUUUUGAUUUUCUCAUUUGACCCAGAUAAUCGGACAUCCUCCUCAAAAUGCAUAGGUUUUAAAAGACGAGAGAUAAACUUAACUUGGAGGACUUAAAAUGUUGCACUCUAACUUACUAAGUGUGACGAUUUAUUUCUUUGAAAUAAGUGAGUCUCGUCGUCCAAUUCAUUUUAUUCAAAAUAAAAGGAUCAAAUUUUAAAAUCUUUUCAAAAUUUUGACAUUAAGACAUUAAACAUUCCAAUCGGUACCAAUUUUGGGCGUCACGAGGGUGCUAACCCUUCCUCGUGCGUAACCAACUCCCGAACCCGUUUUCUCAAAAAUUCGCAGACCUAAAAUUAUUUUCAAGGUGAUCCGCACACCACAAUAAAAGAUCGGUGGCGACUCCAUUUCCAUUUUCAAAAUUGAUCCCCAUUUUUCAAAUUACAAAAAAAUGGCUUCGACACAUAUAACUUCUCUUUAAUAAUUCACUAUUCUUUGAACAUUCAUUAGUUUUUGAAACAUAAAAUUUAUAAAUAAUUAUUUUUAGGGUAAACUACACCCAUGGUCACUUUUGUUUACCUUAGGUUACAUUUCAGUCACUUAUGUUUGAAAUGUUACGUUUUAGUCACUUAAGUUAUUGUGUUGUAACAUUUUAGUCACUGAGCCGUUAGUUGUCGUUAAUGGCUGACGUGGCACGUUAAAUUAUCAUUUCAAACAAAAACUUUAGGUUAAAUUAUACAAUUGGUUUCCAUAAUUUUUCGUUUUGAGCAAUUUAAUUCUUUUAUGCUCUUUAACUUUCUUUCUUUUUUUUUUUCUUUAUUUUCCAUUCUCUUCUGCUUCUCCCUGUUUUCCUACAUUCUUUAUUUCUUUUAACAUAUCAGGAAGUCGAAUUGGUAGUGAAGAAAGAAGCAUGGUAUGGGUUUAUGGGUUUUGGUUAUGGGCAAAUGAUGACAGUCGACUUCCUACUUCUUUUUUCACUGUCAAUUCGACUUCCUAAUAUGUUAAAAGAAAUGGGAAAAGUAUGAAAACAGAGAGAGAAACAAAAGAGAAUGGAAAAAAAGAGGAAAGUUUAAAGAACAUAAAAGAAAAAAAUUAAAUUACUUAAAACGAAAAAAAUAUGGGGAUCAAUUGUAUAAUUUAACCUAAAAUUUUGUUUGAAAUGAUGAUUUAACGUGCCACGUCAGCUUACCGUUACACCAUUAACGACGAUUAAUCGCUCAGUGACUAAAAUUUUACAACAUGAUAACAUAAAUGACUAAAACGUAACAUUUUAAACAUAAGUGACUAAAACGUAACCUAAGGUAAAUAAAAGUGACCAUGGGUGUAGUUUACCCUUAUUUUUAAUAUGACUUGAUUUUUACUUGAAUCAUUUUUGUAAUUAGUUAAUUAAAUUGGGUUAUUUUAAAAAAAAUCCUCUUAACUAAUAGCCAAAAAAAAGCCAUCAUGUAGAAAAUUCUGGUUUGUUGGAAAAAUAAAGACUUGACCUAUUACUCUAGAUUUUGAAAUGUUCAACUUGAUAUUGACAUAUGAUAAUAUGUACAAAUUUCUCAUUCUUUUAAAUUUUAGUGAUAUUACAUGUAUGAUAAUAUGUUUGCCACACCAAAUUUGAAAAUAGUAGAACUUAAUGAAUUUAACAGAUAUCUAAAAUAUCAAAUUAAAGUCUAGGAAUUAAAUCUACAACAUCAGUAAAGUACAAUAACUAUGGUAGAAUUAAACCUUUAUAUAAUAAUUUCCUUCUAUGAACCACAAUUCAAGUGCACCCGACAAGCUAAUUAAUAAAAAUUUAGUGGUAGAAUAUGUAUAUUCUUGUGGGUGGAAAUUUAGUGGAGAUGCCCAUCAUCUUUCCUAAUUAAUAAAAAUGAAGACUUAGAAAAUGUGCAAUCAUAAUCCUAGUUGUCGUUAUGGCCCCAAGAAUAGGUAUAUUAAUUUGUCUCUCUUCAGGAUCAAAGAUAAAUAAUAAAUUUUAUAAAGUUAAAACCAUAAUUCUAUAAUUAUAUUAAUAUAUAAUUUCAUAAAAUUUUAAAAAAUGUAUCUUUCAACUUUUUUAAGUAAAUUGAUAAUUCGUUAACUCAUAAUAUAUAUUUUUUUCAAAAUAUUUAUGAGAACGAGUUCGUAUUCUAUUGUGUGGAAAAUUUUAGUACAGAUAUUGGUGAAGCCAAAUCCAACUUGUUUGACCAAGAAAGUCUCUGUCGUGUGGAAAAUUUUAGUUUUGUGGAAAAUGGACAUUACCAUUUCCUUGAAUGACCAUCAAUUUCUCCAUUGAGAUAUAGUAAGAGGGAGUGAAAUAUAUAUAAGGUAAUAUUUAAUGUAUUCACACCAAAUUUCAUUAAUGAGUAAAACAAAUAAUGAAUAAUAAUGAAAAUUGGAGGAAAUUGUUAAGAAAAUAUCAUUACAUAUAUCAACACUCACAUAAUUCAUUGUAUUAACUUUCAAAUGUUGACUAUUGACUUCUACAUCAACCUUGAGCUUAUAUAGGCCCCCCUCACGGAAAUAAUCUCACAAUUAAUGCCUAGAGGUGCUUAUGGGCCGGGCCGGGCCCAGAAAAAAUUUUGGCCCGGGCCCGGCUCGGCCCGAAAUAUGGGCCUGAACUUUUGCCCAAGCCCGGCCCGGUAAAAAAUUCAUAAGCCCGAGCCCAGCCCUUUUUUUAAAAAAAUACCAAAAAUUUAUUUUAAAAUUAAAAAAAUUUAAAAAAAAGUAUUUUAAAAAUAUUUUAAAUAAAUACCAAAAAUUCACCCUGCAUCUAAAAGGAGGUCCAGCACUCGAAUCCCAUUCCCCAUAACUAAAAACUAUGUCACUGUGACUUGGUCAUAUCUCCGCUCAAAGUCGGACAUGGGUAGUUAAAGAAAAAUGAAGAGUCGAUGCAUGAUAGACUAAGGACUAGCUCAAAAGUGCUUUUAGAAAAAAUUGCUCUUGAAAAGAGGUGUGGAAAAGUGUGCUUGUUAGUUUUUAGUGUUGUUCAUUGCUGCCAAAAAUCGCAAUUGAAAGUUAAAAUGUUCUUUUUAGACAUGAUAGUAGAAAGUAAAAAAUUAGUCAAGUCAUAUGAUUUUUAAAUAAUUUAAUAUAAUGAUACAUGAAAUAUAACUUUUAAAUACCUUUUAAGUAAUUAAUAUAAAUUAGUUGUAAAAUUGAUAAUAUAUAAAAUAUUUUGAAAAAAAUAAAUAUAAUAAUAAAUAAGAUUUAAACAAUUUAAUAUAAUAAUAUAUAAAAUAUAAAUUAAUCUAAUUUUUAUAUACCUUUUAAAUAGUUAAUGAAAAUAAUAGUAUUUUGAUAAUUUUCCCUUUGAAAUGCAAAAGCCAAAAACAGUUUUUGACUACAAAAGCUAUGUGUUGUUCAUCACUUCUGCAGUGGAAAAACACUUCUCCAUGGUGUAAAAACACUUUUACCCAAAAAGGCUUUUUCACCACAGUAGAGAAUGCACCCUAAAAUUGUAAAUAGAAAAAGGAAGAACCAAACAUUGUUUCUACCCUGUUUUUGUCUCCUCUUUGAAAAUACUUUCCAAAAGUUUUAUCAUUUUUUUUUCUGUUUACGAUGCCUUAAAUGCAAAUUCCUUAUAGAAGUGCUUUCUUUUGAUCCACUUGCAUCAUUGUAAUAAGUUUGCAUUGCCUUCUUUCUAUGUUGAUUAUCGUUUAUUAAGUUUUCUGUUGGAUCUUAUAGUCAAAUUCCUUUACAUCAUGUAUGUUAAUUUGCUUAGCCCUGAUAAAUGUUAGAUAUAGGGUUAUCAGCUAAUUAGGAAAGACUGUAAUGAUAGUCACACCUUACAUCCAAAUUUUUACAUUGAGGUUCCUUAUUAUUUUUUCUUGUUUCACCAAUUGCAUCCUAUUUACAGUUCCUUAGCGUUAUCCACUGUGCUAGGGUGGUUCUUGUUCAUAUAUUAAUCACCAUGCGCCUUCAGCAAAUGCAAAGCCAGCCAGCAUCUUCUGAUUUGUCAUUGGAUACUACACUUUCAGCAAAUGUAAAGCCGCCAGAAUUUCAGCUGUUUUUAGAAGGUCAAGACACAACAAGAGCAACAUAUGUUGUAUUCUUGUCAAACAAGAUAAGUUUUCGCAUAUUAACGAUUCUUUUUCCAAGAUGAAUUAUUCUCCUGUUGCAUUUUUAUUUGGGUUCAAAUGUUCUGUGAAGUUAGCUUGCCAGUGCUUGUUUGUUCAUCAGCAUUUACAGCUCAUUUGUCAUUGGUCAGCAGAAUUUCCGCUGUUUUUAGAAGGUCAAGACACAACAAGAUCAGCAUAUGUUGUAUCUAACAUUUAUAUUCAACAACUGGAAACCAUGUCAUAAAUACAUAUGAGAAAUAUUUAAAAAUCCUUGGUUGAAUACUCGUGCACUAACAUUUUUUAAAAGUUAAUUUUGUGUUUCUUUUUUCAUCUCUUUUAUUAUAAAAUUUCCUGAUUUACUUGAUAUCACCACUUAAUUUAGCAUUAAAAAAAUGAAAUAUUUUUAUAAAAACUAUUUAUUUCUACUAAACCACUACUUUAAAACUAUCCAUUAUCAUACAACUUCUCUUUAAUAAUUCACUAUUCUUUCAACAUUCAUUAGUUUUUCAAACAUAAAAUUUAUAAAUAAUUAUUUUUACCUACAUUUUGAAUGAUGCAAUUUCUAGCUAUACACUAAAAUACUCCAUUUAUCAAUUUAAUUUAAUUCAAAGAAUUAUGAUAAUAAUUGAAAUUUCAAAAAAGAAAAACAACUAAAUAAUUGAAUAUUUAUAUACAAAAAUAAAACAAACAAGACAGACUUAAGCUUUCUUACCCCAAAGACAAGAUCUUUAUUCAAAAUGCAAAACUAGCAAAAUACUCCCUAAAAUUCAUCUAAACACAUCUUCUAAAGAUGUAAUACCCAAGAAGAUUGCCCACAGUUGAGUAACGGCAACUGCUGAUGCACUUCCCGACGAAAGAAAACCAAACUCCUCGCCAAUGUGGAUUUAUGUAAAGGAUAACAACAAUUGUUAACAACAUAACUACAUAAGAAGCCAAAAAGCUCACACAAAAAACAUAUGUGUCUAGAAAACUAUCUUCUCUUUCAUCAUCUGAUAUUGUUGAUGUUGAACCGGUUUUGGAGCAACUUAUAUGAAGCAUAGGUCCACAGAGAAAAGGGUUCCCCUCGUAACUGCUUUCAAUGAAAGUCCCAAAUUGGUUUUGUUCUGGAAUACUACCUGACAAGUUGUUGUGUGCAACACUGAAAACCCCCAGAGAGUUCAACUCUACCAGCUGGUUUGGGAUUUCACCACUCAAGUUGUUGUAAGAAAGAUCCAAACUCUCAAUCUGCUUAAGUUUUGAGAAUGAUGAGGGUAUAACUCCGACCAACUUAUUGUGUGACAAGUUCAAAGAAUGGAUUUCAUGCAAGUUCCCUAAUUCAAGUGGGAUUUGACCGGUUAACUCAUUGCAAGAUAAAUCAAUCCCAGACAUGUACUCAAGGAUGUCGCCUCCAUAUGAGUAGGAUCCACUCUUUGUGGUAAACUCUACCGAUUCUUUCAUGUAGCUAUAGGAAUGCAUCAUGUGCUCGAAAAGUAUACCCGUCUUUAAUAGUUUCAAUUCAUCCAGUUCUGAAAAUGUUGGCGACAUUAAAUCUGGUGUCAUGGUCUUAUCCUUAUUCAUUGGAAGAGUUAAAUUUCCCAAACAAGAAGGUAUAGGACCGGAAAACCUAUUUUGAGAAAGAUCUAUAAUGCUCAAGGAAUACAAGGUGCAUAACUGGACUGGAAUUCUUCCCUGUAAAUGAUUAGCUUUCAAGAGAAGGACACUCAAAGAAGAAAGUGUGUCGAUCCAUUUUGGAAUACCACCAGUAAAAUUGUUUCCUCUAAGAUCUAAUGUCACUAGUGAAGUGCUUUUAUUAAAAGCAAGUGACAAUGGACCACCCAGUCUAUUAUUGUGCAGGUGGACAUACUCUAGGUUUGGAGGAUUAAAACAAGAUGGUAUAGAGCCAGAUAAAUUAUUUUCAGAAAGAUCCAAAAAUUUGAAGUUAUUCAAGUUGCAAAAUUCCACUGGAAUAGAACCCUCGACACCAUUGUUAGACAAGUCUAAUCUCUCCAAAAGUGACAUAUUCCCUAUCCAUCUUGGAAGCUUUCCAUGCAAUCUGUUGUUACUGAGAUCAAUAUCUGUUAGUGAUGUUGGAAACUGAAAAGUAGAGACAUCAAAAUUUGUCAUCUCUCCAGAAAAAUUAUUUCCAUCCAAAUAUAAUUUUUGUAACCCAUUUGCAUUGAGAAUCACAGGAACUACAUUUCCAUUGAGGUUGUUGUUUGACAGUCUCAAAAGAAAUAGUGAGCUUUUCCUGACCAACUCUUGAGGUACUUUUCCAGCCAAUUGAUUGUUUGAUAGAUCUAACAUUGACAAAUUCUUCAUGGCGCUUAAACAAGGAGGGAUAUUGCCUUGAAAGGCAUUCUUGGAUAAGAAUAACUGCUCCAAAUGUGGAAAAGUUGAACAUAUAUUGGUUGGAAGCGGACCUUGUAUUUUGUUGUCAGACAUGUCGAUUGAAGAUACAUUUGAAUUAGGAGUCGACAGUAAUGUGAGAGGACCUGUAAAAGAAUUACCCUUCAAGAUGAGAUCUUCUAACUUUGUGUUGUUUUCUAACAACCAAAAUGGGACAGUUCCACUGAAUUUGUUCUGAGAAAGAUCCACAAAUCUCAAGUCAUUUUGGUAGUAAAGGAAGGUAGGAAGUUCAAGACUGAGUUGUUGAGAUGUUCUGCACUUGGACAAACUAAUGAAUUUCAAUUGGAAUUUCGGGACUAAGGUGUGGAAGGAAGGUUCCAUUUCCAACUUGUUUUCAUCAGCCAAGAGGACCUCAAGGUUUGGAAAGUUUGCAAGUGGUACGAAUGAAAUUGGAAUUUGAAAAUGAUUACUUGAAAGAGAAAUGGCUCUGAGUGAUGUAAGACUUGCUAAAGGAGUUAGAUUUCCGGAAAAUCGAUUGUUGGAGAUAUCUAACUCACGAAGAGAUGUCAAGUUACUGAAACAAUGAGGAAGCAUCCCCUCAAGUGCAUUCCAACUCACAUCCAACACUUCAAGGUUCCUUAGAUCACACCAUCCUGAAAAAUUUAUGAAAUCAUGGAAGAAUUUCUAAUUAAAUUUGGUUUUCUAAAACAGAAUAGGAGAAAUCAGAUAAAGAAAAGGUCGUAUAGAAAAUUUUACCGUGAUCAGGUAAGGAACCAAUAAGUGCACACCUAUAUAGAGACAAAGUUUGAAGAGAAGUGAAUACUCCAAUGCUUUGCAAAAUGUUGAUGUUGAGACGAGAAUAAUCGAGAUUUAUUUCCUCCAAGUUGCUUAAUUCUAAUCAAUGAAAAGAGGUAGUAGGUGUUAAUGAAACGUAAGUUGUUUUGGAAUAGAAGAAGUAUUAGAUGUUAAUCAAGAAAAGGUGUUUACCUGAUGAGAAAGCCUCUACUAAGUUUUCUAGCGGAAUGCUAUCGUCGGUGACAAUACUUUGGAGACGAAGAACUUUUAACUUUUUCAAUCCCUUGUUUUCUGUGAGCCAAAAUAUUUUGAUAAAAAUUGUGAAAACUUCAACAUGAUUGCACUAAUUGUUUUUCUUUUCUUUCUAGCAUUUUAAGAUAAAUAAUGUGUAAAAUAGAAUUUUCCUUUAUUGAGAUCAUUAUAUUACUUUAAAUUUAUCACCACUAAAUAGAAAAUUAUUAUUAAAUCAAAGUUUUAAAUUUAUUAUUACUUAAAUGUUGUUUAUGCUGGGUGAUUUUGAUGAGAAUAAUUUAUUAUAUAAAAAUAAAAGUAUAUUUCUUAAAGUAAAAUAAGAGAAAUAUUUUAAAUUUUUUUGAAAGUGUUUAUAUACAUAUUACACUUAAUCACUCUUUUGAAAAUUCUAAUUACUCUUUUAAAUUUUAUGUUAAUUUUAAAAAGUAUAUAUAAUUUCAACAGAAAUAUUACUUUAAUAUUAAAAUGAAGAGCUUUUGUGGGUAAAAAAAAUUAUAUGAGUUUAUUUAAUUACAAAAAUAAUUUAAGAAUUUAUUUAAAAAAUAUGUAGUAGUUUUAGGCUCGAUCCUAGGGGUUAUUUGAGAGUGCGGUCGCCCAGGGCUGGAAGGGGCCCAAUUUUUUUUUCAGAUUUUAAUAUGGGAAAAUAUUCAGACUAAAAUAAAUAAAUAAAUUGCCUAGAGCUUUCAAAUUUUCACCAUAAAUACUUCAUCUCUUAUGGCUAAAAAAUUUUCAGCUUUUAUUGUAUUACAUUUUAUAAUAUUUUUAAAAAGACUCGUUUAAAGACUUUUUUAAGUAUAUUAACCUAUUUUAAAAUUCCACAUUUUUAAAAUGUCUUAAUUUUCAAAUUAAAGUACAAACACACUAUAAUCCACAAGCCUUAAUUGCCAUGUCAACAUAAACCACCAUUUAGAAGAUUGUUUUCAUUUUUUAAAAAAUAAAAAAAAAUUAUUUAAAUGAUACCUUUGUGGACCACAAAGCCUCUCAAUUGAUUCCCACUCAUAUCUAGUUUCUGUAAGUUAGUAAAUGCAUCCAAAUCUGGGAAAGAAACAGAUAAGCUUCAUUAAAUCAUUCCAAAACAUGAUUAAUAUUUUUGUCUAUAGAGGCAUAAUUUGUCAAAAAAUAAUAAUUUUACCUUUCAUAUCUAUUAAUCCAUUCAAUUGAUUGAAACCUAUGCUCAAAGAUUUCAGAUUUGAAAGCUUGUUUAGAGUUGCAAAUACACUGUUAUUGAAGAGAUUUGCUUCUAAAUUAAGCUCUUCUAAAUGGGUUAACUCCAAUUUCUUACCUUCAUCUACAAAAGAUUUAACGUAAUUUCAUCAAUGAAAAAAAUGAUAUAAAUUUAAUUAUGUGUAAUAAAUUAUUUAACUGAACCCUAAAUUGUGGGUUAAUGGUUCAAGUGUUCGAAUUAUCAUUGUGUAAAAAAAACAAACUUAAUUAACGGACCAAAAUAUAAAUACAUACCUUUGAAGGAUUGAAAGUUUACCAUUUGAUUCCACCUUAAAUCCAACGUCUUCAAAAUUUUCAAAUUAUUCAAUCCUAUAUAUACUCAAGUUGAACAAAUAUUUUAAUAAAUUGGCUGAAGUGAAAAGGGUAAAAGUAAGGAAGUUGAAAAAUCCCCAAAAGUGAAAGUACUAAUUUGAAACAAAUAAUUAUAAAGGGUCCUACAUAAGUAAGGACUUUAUGCUUGAAAGCCUUCAAGGAAGGAAAAUGUGUGGUUUCCAUGGGAUCUAAUUAUAAUCCUUGUUUGCUGGAUUCCAACUUUUUUAUUUGGCCAACAAAAAAUAAAUAAAUAAUAUAAAAAAAUUGUGAUUACUAAGGCUUCAACCUUGAAGUUUAAAUAGAAUUAUUCAAUCCCAAAAAUUGACCAAAAAUUUCCCUCAAACAAAACUUAACUUUAAAGUAGAAACAAAACCAGAGAAAGGCAAUCUACCUUGAAUAUGAGGCCACUUUCCUUCUAAUAGGUUGUAAGCUAGAUUUAAAUAUUGGAGAGAUGAAAAUUGGCUCAAAGAUAAUAUAAAGCUAUCAUUCAGAUGAUUUUGACUUAAGUCAAGGAACUGCAGAUUUCUGAAUGUGGAUGAUAGCUUUUCAAAACCUGCAGAGUUAAUAAUAACAAGUAAUCGCAAAAUUAACAGUAAGUUGUGUUGAAAAUAUGUGUACAUAAUAGAGUAACUAAAGAUGAAAUGAAGGGCAAAUCAAAUAUAGAACCUUCAUUUUCAACACAACCGGCUAUGCCACUCCCUGUCAAAUAAAGCCUCUUUAAUUCCUUGAAGGGAAGAAACAAAGAGGCAUUCAGAUACCAAUAAUCCAAGUAUCCGGACCUCAUAGAAUCAAGAGAGAGUCCAAUGAGUCUCCCAGUGGUGGUGUUGCACUCAAUCCCUUUCCAUUUACAACAAUCUGAACCUUUAACCUCGUCCCAGCUGUCGAACUCAUUAUAGUGAUUGAAGAAAGGUUUGAGUUGCAAGAGAGCAACUCUCUCAUGCUCCACACAAGCAUCAAUAGUGCACCACCUGCAUCCUUCUAACAGUAGCAGCACACUCAUCACUGCCAUCCUCAUAAACCACAACCAUUUGGAGUCCAUCAUCUCUCUGUUUUUGCUUCUCUCUCAAUUGUAUGCUACUUCAAACUUCUAUUGCAUAAGCCUUCAUGAAACUUGUUAUUUAAAGACAAGGACCUAAGGCUGAAGGCAACCCACUAGUCCACGCUGAAAUAGUCCACUGAAUGUGACGAUAUAUAGGCCCUACAAAGUGUGGUUGUGGAAAUAAUCUAAACACCUAUCCUCCAAAUUAAUACUAUUCCUUGAGAAAUUAUUAAAGGUCAAUUUCUGGUUUUAGUCCCUACGCUAAAUUCAUUUUGAAGGUUUAGUUUUUAUAUAAUUUAAGAUCAAAUUUUUAUAAUUAAAUUAUCAUUUACGUCUGCUUUAAAAUUAUGAAAAAAAUAUUUUAAAAAUAUAACGAACUCCAGCUACAGCUUCAAAAUAUGAUGAAGAUGUUUUAGUAGAAUAAAUCGCAGAAUCCGCCAUCUUUGACUUUUGUUUUCUUAUUGUGAGAAUAUCUUAACAUUAUAACUUUUGAAUAUAUUUUGUUAUUUCAGUUAUUAAUUUAGAUCAUAUACAAAUUUCUUUCGUGAUAGUCUCAUUUAGAUUUGAAGUUUGUUGUUGGAUUUGAAGUUACAGGAAAAUAUGUUGAAAAUUUGGGUUUAAUAUUAAAUAAAAUGGGUUGGUAAAAUCUAUUAAUGUUAGUGGCGUUUUCCCACAAAUGCCACUAUAGAACAUGAUCUUUAGCUGCGCUUUUACUACAAACAUUGCUAAAAAACAUGAUUUUUUGUGGUACUUCUAGCUAUAAAUGCCACAACAUGCUUGACUCUUUUAUAGUGUUUUUCCAAAUGAACGCCGCAAAUUUUAGCGGCGCUAUCUAAAGCGACUUUUUACUGGCACUUAUCAAAGCGCCGCAAUCUGUUUUAGCGGCACUUAUAAGCACCGCCAUAGGGCCAAAAAAACACCGCUAAAAACCUAUUUUGCUGUAGUGAUUUACGCAUUUAUAAGCCUACAAAAUAAUCACGGAUUCAAUUUUAGAGUCCGUUAUCAGCCCCUAAUCGGGACAUCAAAUUGACCAAAAAGGGCCCACAUGACCUACCUGUUCAACUUGCGUAAUUGCACACGCCUAAGUGCUCCACACGGCCUGGCACACGGCCAACUACACAUCAAUGUGGUGCACAUGAACUUGUGACGCAGAGUAGCUUUGAAAAUUGUAACCUCCCAAACCCGGCCUAGAUGUUAUGACUAGAUUGAGAAGGCUACAAUAGCCACCGAAAUGGCUAAGCUAACUUACGUUACUUUUGAAGACCUUAAAUAAACUCAUUUUAGAGAAAACCGUAGUUGUACUUUGAGUUAGCUUAAAAGCAUUCAUUCAUUAGGUCGUGUAUACUUAGGAUUCAUUUUAUUGUUGAUAGUGUUGUUUUACAAAAAUAGUUUGCUUAUCGCUCUUCUUUUAAAAAAAACUCGAUGGUAAACUAAUGUGCGGAAAAACCAUUUUUCAAGUCAUUUUGGAAACUUAGUUGCCUUAACGAUUUGUUUUUCAGAAACAAUUCCUUUUUAAUGCAGCGGAAACUAGGGAACAAUAUCAAAUUUUACUUAAGCUCGAUAUCAUGCAUUAUUCAGUUAUUAUGCUUGAGUAAUCCAUGCAUGCAAAAAUCCCAAAAGAAAAGUUACUAAGCCACAAACCACAAGUCAUUAAAAAUUACAAACCAAAACUAAUAGAAUCUGAUUAAUACUUUUUAAAAAUAGUCCGAGGUCCAAGGUGAUUCUUCGAAUGCCAAGUCCGAUCCUAAUUUUGAGGUUUACACAUUCAUUUGACAUACUCAGCACGUCCUCAAUAAUCACAUACUUUUAGUAAAUGAAAACAAUGUUCCAAACUUUCAAAUUACCAUUGUGUUGGUAUUAAUCAAUAUCGUUCAAUUUCGCAUACUUUAUGAAUUUUGAUUAUGCAUAAAUAGCACCCUAUACAACAUAUAUGUAUAUAAUAUAUGCCAAGAAAAUUUAGAAAUACAAUAAAUCAACCUAAAUGAAAUCAUUCAUCAUCAUUUUUCAAGAUUUUAAAUUAUAUUUUCUCAUUCCCAUUGUCAGUGUAUUUCAACUUGUAAACAAAGAUGAUGGCUACUAUAAAUGGAAUCAUUGAUAUAUCAUGAUAUUUGAAUUUGACAACUAUUUUUAUACAUUUUAUUACCAAAAGUAAGGGUAUUAAUUUUUUAAUGUUUAAUUGUGGUUUAGAGUUAAUUUAUUUAAAGUUAAUUGUUAAUAUUAUUAAAUUCAAAUUUUCGUAAUUGUAUUAAUAAAAUAAAUUUAGUGUUAAAAGUGAGUUUAUUCAAUUUUAUAUUUAAUUUGUUAAAUGUAAUCUAAUGAUUUUUUUGUGCUCUAGUGUUGAUUUAAUUAAAGUUAAUUAUUAAUAUUAUUAGGUAACUAUGAGUUCUCAUCAAAUUAAUCCUAAAAUUCAAAUUAAAUGCUAAAAAAUUAACAUUAUUACUUUUAAAUAUCAAAAUGUAUAAAUUUUAUUAAAUAUAGAUACUAAAUCAAACAAAAAUUAUAAAUUUUGAGUCGUUGCAAAUUUUUCCAACAUUUUUGGGGUCUUGAAUUUGAUAUGCAAAAAGUUGGUGGGAAUUUUAAGUCAGCAAAUCCUUUAAAAGGGCAAUGACAUAAUUAAUUGCAUUACUUUAAUGGUUGAAUUUUCAUAGCUAAUAUGUAUGCAAAAAGUUGGUGUGAAUUUUAAGUCAGCAAAUCCUUUAAAAGGACAAUGACAUAAUUAAUUGCAUUACUUUUCAAAGAUCGACUACUGACUUUGGUGAACUUAUUUAUAGAAGGUUAAAUUCUGCUGUUGGUCACUGUACUUUACGAAAGUUGUGAAUUUAGUCUCUAAACUUAAAUUUGAUCAAUUUUAGUCUCUAUACCUUUUGAAUUUUGAAAUUUUAGUUCUAACCCAAACAGUAGCAGUUAUCAAUUUGAUUAAAUUCUAUUACUAUCGAUUUAGUCCAAACUUUCUGAAUUUUGAAAUUUUAGUCUUGAUGCAAAUGACAAUCACUGGUCUAUUAAUUGGAUUUUUAGUAAAUAAUAUGUGAAAAUAACAAGUUUGUUGACACCAUUUUUUUGAUAAAAAUGGGGUCGACUUAGAUUUUGAAAAUAAAAACGAAAAUGGGAGUCGCCACCGAUCCUUUUUGAUAAGGUGUGAUCGGGUCACCUCAAAAAGUGAUUGUUUUUAAUAAGCGAUUUGAUUUUAUUAAAACAACGAUUUUAGUCCACGAAAUUUAAAAAAAUGGGUUCGGGAGUCGGUUACGUUCAAGGAAGGAUUAGCACCCUCGUAACGCCCAAAAUUGGUACCUAGUUGAUUAAUUAAUAUCUUAAUGUCGAGAAUUGAAAACUCGAAAAGAAUUUAAAAUACGAUCAUUCCUUUUUAUUAAUGUUAAAUUUAUAAAUGAUGCUUGGAUAAAUCGAGGUGGAUGCUAAAGACCUUCUUGUCUCAGAGUAAAUAAAAUGUCAAUCCAGUACGUUAGGACACAACAUUUUAAAUCCUCGAGAACAAGCUUAUCUUUUUAUUUUCAAAACUCGUGCAUUUAAAUUUCAAAAGGAUAUUCGAUUAUUUGGAUCAAAGGAGAAAAAUCGAAACCCAGUGAGUUAGGGCACGAUCAUUCAAAUUUCCCAAAUACAGAAUAUCACUUUUAUUAUUUUUUUAGGAAAAUCCUCAUCUCGGGAAAACAACAUGUCAUAUCCAAUGCGUUAGGACACAACGUAUUGAAUUUCCGACAAUAAGCUUUUUAUUUAUGCAUUUUUGGUUAAAGAGAAUUCUCGAUUAUUUAGAUUCAACGAAGAAAAUUAGAACCCAAUACGUUAGGGCUCAAUCUUCUCGAAGAUCCAAAAUACCGAGUAUUACCCUUAUUUUCAAAAUUUUCUCUUUAUUACGAAUUUGAGUAAAAAUUGUAAAUGACAGAAUAACAAUUAUGAUAAUGUAAAUAAAUAAAUAAAUGAAUAGAAUGAAAAAAAGUAAAAAAGACAUAUAUGUAUGUGCAUAUAUAUAUAUAAAUUAUAAAAAAUAUAUAUGAUAUUAUAAAAAUGUAUGCAUGUAUAUAUAUUAAAAGUAUAUGUAUAUGUGUAUUUCGAAAGUAUAAAGUAUAUAAGAUAUAUAUAUGUAUAUGUUUAUAAAUUAUAAAAUAUAAAACAUAUAAGUACGUAUAUAUAUAUAAAUGAAUCAUGAAAUGCACGUGUAUAUAUGUAUAUAUUAGAAAAUGUAUGAAUAUAUAACAAAAUUUGGAAUUAAGGAUGUAAAUGAGUGAAUAAUAAUAACAAUGAAUUAAAAUACAAAAUCAAUGAUGCCAUACAAUAGUAUUAAUAAUAUCAAAAUAAUUAAUUUAAUGAUAAAAUAACUAAAACAACAAAUAGAGGAUUAAAUUAGAAACUAAACUAAAAUUUGGGGUCAAAUAAAAAUAACUUAAAGAGGGUGACUCGGGACUAAAACAAAAUGCGCUGAAGGAGCAAGGGACUUCCAGGGAAAUAUUCCCUAGUCCUGAAACGCAGCACUUCAGCAAGGAUUAAAAUGAAAUCAGAAAAAAAUUUAUGGGCCAAAAUGAAAGAAACAAAAGGGACAAAUUGCACUGAACUAUAAAAGAGGAGGGGCUGAACGCGCAAAUAGCCCCUCCAGGCAUAACACGCGGAUCCUGACCGCAUUCGGGUCGGGUCUCGGAUCGGCUCCUGGUUUUAUGCCAAACGGUGCUGUUUUGGCCAUGGAUGCUAAGGUCCAAAACGACGCCGUUUUUAAACUAUAUAAACACUCAAAAAAUCAACAAAAAAAAAAUUCAUCCCUUAUUUUUUUCAAAAAAACUGAGAGUCUCCCUAACUCUCUCUCAACCCCCAUCCCUCAUAUUCGGCCGACGACCUUCUUAGGCCUCCGUCGCGCCACCUCGUAGCCGGAGGUCGGCGCCGGAAAUGAAAGGCCAUUAAACCCCUUUUGUGGAGUCCUUGAGAGCCAGGCUCUCUCAACCCGCGAGGAGUGAAACAAAAGGGGAACCCUCGACCUUGGCAGACCCGACUCAACGAUGGAGGAGAGAGCCUCUGGCGGCACAGUCACGGCCAACUCCAGUGAGUCACCCUUCCCUUUUUGUCCUUUCUUUUAGUACUAGUUUUAAAAUCAGAUUUUUUAAAAAAAUGAUAAAUAAAAUAAGUAAAUAAUUCAAAAAAAAGAAUCGGAGAAGACAGCAACCUUUGUUUCUAUUUCUGAAAUUCGUAAAAAAAUGACAGACGAAGAAUACAAUGUUAAGAUUUUGGCCUUUAUAGCCGAUUUAAAAACCCCUAAAUUUCUAUUUUUUGUCGUUUUGUUGUUUGGCCUGUUCUGCUGUUGUGUGUGGUUUACUGCCUUGCAGGUGUCAGAGGCUGACGGUCGGUGAUAGGCGAGUAACGGCCUGCGUGAGGAGUGGCAGAGGAGGCAGAACAUGCGGCGCUGGGCAUUGGGCAGAGGCGUGCGGCGCUUUGGGGUUUGCUCUUGGCUGAAAUUGUUUAAAUUGUUUAAGUUUGCUGUAAAUGGACUGGAAUAGUUUUUAUUUUUUAGGCCCGGGCCAAAAUUGGGCCUUACAAAGUCGAUAUGACAUUACACAAAUGAUAAUAUGUUUGUCACACCAAAUUUUGGAGAUAGCAGAACUUAAUGAAUUUAACAAAUAUCGUUUACGGUGAUUGAAAUCUUAAAAUUUGAAAAGUACAAUAACUAAAAUAUCAAAUUAACUUAUAGGGAUUAAAUCCACAACUUCAAUAAAAUACAGGAAUUAAUGGUAGAAUUUAACCUUUAUAUAAUAAUUUCCUUGGUGAAAAAAACGCACAUUAUCAUUUCCUUGAAUGAACUUCAAUUUGUCCAUUGAGAUAUAAUCGGAGGGAGUGGAAUAUAUAUAAGAUAAUAUUUGAUGUAUUCGGUAAAUGGAGAAUAUUAAAUAGAGAGAGCAAGCCAUUCGCCUCACGGAACACAUUAACGAAAGACACAAGCUUAAUACAGUCACUAAAUCCAUCAAUUUCAUUAACAACCUGCUAAUAAUUCAAGACAAUUGUUGGGUCCGGAUGGAUUAUAUUUUAAAAUUUUCUUUCAAAAUACAGAAGUUCCUUUGACAAAAAUGAAAAUAUUAUUUAAUUAUAGGGUUAGUAAUUAGUACACUAAUAAUCUACUUAAUGCUAUUGAUUUUUUUUUAAUAUUAUACAACACCUUUAUAAAACACGUGUCAACCCUCUGACUCUGCUUAUGAAAUUUAAAAACUUCAAUGACAAUGUACCAACUAUUAUUCUUAAUUAUUAUACUAUUCAUGAUUUAAGGACAAAGAUCAAAUACAAUAUUUGCUUAAAAAUCUGUAAUAUAUAUGUAUAUAUAUAUAUACAUUUGCUCACUUAUUGUGAUGUAAUAUAGCACCAUCCAGCUAACCCUAGCUUUCUAGCAAGUAGUCGGAGGAAAUUAUUGAGAAAAUAUCAUUAAAUAUAUCAACAAUAAUUGCACUAACUUUCCGAUGUUAACUACUGACCUUUGCGUCAACCUUGAGCUUAUAUAGGCCCCCUACAAUAAUUUAGGCUAUGGAAAUAAUCUUACAAUUAAUGCCUGAGAAAUAAUUAUAGAUCAAUUUAUAGUUUUAAUCCCUAUAAUUACUCAAUUGAAUUAAAAAUUUUGUUAUUCUUAUUUAAUUUAAUUUGAUAUAUUCUGUUCCUCUUAUUAAUGUUAAUGUUUAGAGUCCCCGCUUGUACAUUGGUGAUUAGGUCUCUCACCAUUAAAUUACUCUCUUAAGAACCUAACCUGCAAAUUCACAACAUAAAAAAUUUACAGUCAAAUGUAAUCACACAAAUGACAUUCCUCACUUAAACAGAUUAAGUCGUUGCAAAUAUCUAAACAUAAUCAAAGUCGUCGUUAUGGCCCCAAGAGAAGGCACGUUAACUUGUCUCUCUCACACAUAGGAUGAAAUUAGUCUAAACCUAACCUUGGUAGAGCCGACCAUGUCGGGCAGACCACCCUACAUAAAUCUGAUUAUUUUAUCAUAGUUUAUUCAUCACUGAAGGAAGUAUGCAAAAUUAGGCAUACCAUUUAUCCUCACCUCUCUCGCUGACAAAAGAUUCAUGUUAAGUAUAUUCACCCUACAUAAAUUAUCAAGAGGAAUCACAGAUUUAAGGACCGUGGAAAAGAAUUCCAGAACCAGUUAUAUACAAGCAGGGCCUAUGACAUCCCCACUAAUUCUCAAUCAUAUAAAAUAAUAUAUAAUUAAUUCGUCUGGAAUGUUUAAGGCAUGGUGGUGAAUAUAUCAUGAGCGAUGUUGCUGAGUUUCUUCUGAAGAAUUGGCUAGCUAUUAGUGUCUAAAGGAUCUUUAGUUAUAUGGGGCUUAUGUUUCGGUUGCUUGAACAAUUGCUUUUCAGAGGGCAGAAUAGUAGAGGGGGGUUUUGGGGGUCUGGUGGUAUGGAGUUAUGAUGUUAUCAAUAUGAGAUUUUGGUGAUUUGUACUUGAUAAAGGGACACUUUUCGUGAGGGAUUGCUACAUUUUGCAGAUUAUAACAUUGUUUACAAGUGCUUAAAAUGUGUAAUAAUUUGAUCGAGAGAAAAAAUGACCAAAACAAAUGUUCUCAGCAUUUUUGCUUCAUUUAGAACUUGUAAUUAAUUUUUUUUAUCAGAGAAGUUGUAAUUAAUUGGAUUUGGAAUGAAUUGAUAAUAUCCUUACUAUUUCACCUUUUUUAUAUGUUUGGCGUGUGAGUAUGAUACAGAUUGAACUGAUUUUUAAAGUAGAAAUAAAACGAUAACAAACCAAAACAUUCUGGUUUUCAAAAUUUUGAAUCCAAAUCAAUCGAAUUAGUUUAAUUAUAAUUGAAUGUUUUAUGUGUUAUGAUGAUGAAGGAAGUUGAUGAGGUGACUUGCUUCAUCUUUCAAAAUAUGAGGUUCGUUAGACACAUCUUUACUAUUGUUUUUUAAUAACAAAUGAAAAGUCAAUUUAAAAAACAAAAAUCCAAACCAAUGAAUUUCUUUUAUACAUAUAAGAUAAGCUUACUGCAAAGCUCUUGUUUUUUCAAAAUAAAAUUUUGUUUUUGUUUUAUUAAUUUUGUAUGAAUCAAAUUAAUAAGUUUAAUUUUUUUAAGGGUAAAUUAAACCAACAGUUACUCAACUUUGAUGCAGCUGACAAAAUAGUUGAUUUGGUUUCAAUUCAGUCACUCAACUUUCAAAAAAUAACAAAUCAGUCACUAACGUUACCAAAAAGUGACAAAUCAAUCACCCAUUAACAUUUUCCGUUACAGACCUAACGGGACAGGUGACAUGGCUAGUUAACUUGCCACGUUGACAUGGCAAUGCAUUUAAAAUUGGUCUAAUUAAGAAUUUGGUCAUUGUACAUUAUGAAAACAUAAAAAUUAUUUCAAUUGAGUAUCAAUAUUAAAUCUUGUCCAUUGACCCAAAAAUCAUCAUUUCAACAAAUUGUAUGUAAGAAAUUAGUGAAAAUCAACAAUUCAGUAAUUUAUAUCAAAAUUGAGGACUAGCUUUUCAUUUUUUUGUAAAUUACAUGGAUGACAUUCACAAUUAGACCUAAAUAGUGACAAAUUACAAAUUUAAACCCUAAAUACCUUUGUUCAGAGGAUCCGUAGCCAACAGAAUCAAUAAAACCGAUGGAGAUGAAACUCAUGCAUUUGGCGUGAAGAUGAAACUGGACAGAGUAGAACUCGCAUUGUUCGUCACCGUUGUAGGUGUCACAGUCACACGAGAAUCGCAUCGACAUGGCGCGUCGGCUAGUGAGAGGGAUUAGAUCAAGUCGAUGGGCAAUGAACUUGUCGUUGACGACGGAAGAGUUAACUUCAAUUUUGACGAGGUCGAUGGCUAUGUUGGGAACCUCGGCUAUCAUGACACGAUGGAGGGCAUUGGCCAUGGAGGCGUUGGUGUCAUGGCAGCAUAGUUGUCUUUGAGUUCUCGGAUUUUGACCCUUGGGAAUCGCUAGUAUGAAGCUCCUUCCAUUUUCUCUUCUUCUCCAUUUCUUCUCUUCUUCUUCUUCUUCUUCUUCUUCUACUGCCCAAGGCUCUUAAAUGGGGUUGUUUAAAUGACAGCUAGCCUACCGUUAAAUGUCAUGUCACUUUUCUGUUACAAACGUAACGGAAAAUGGUUAAAAAGAUUGAUUUGUUAUUUUUCAAAAAUUAAGUGAUUGAAUUGGAACUAGAGUGACUGUUUUGUCAAUUGCAUCAAAGUUGAGUGAUUGUUGUUGCAAUUUACCCCUUUUUUUUUAAUAGAGAUAAGCUUUGUGGUGGAAAUUUGUUAGGAAAGGAUGAUUGUAGGAAUGGUCCACAAAAUUAAUUGCAUUCCCUUUUCUUGAUGAAUUCUUAUCUUUGGGUCAACUCUUAGCUUAAAUACACUGCUAAAUUUAUUUUAGGCUGUACAAUAUAAAUGGAGCAAUUGAUGUCAGGAGAUAAGUUGGAAGUACAAUUAAAUUUUUUCAUAAGAGGAGAUGGGAUGAGAAGAUUUGAACCCAACAAUUAUUGGAAUUUAGAUUAUAAAAUUGGCGUGAAAUCAUGAAUUUAGAUUAUAAAAUUCUUUCCAUUUUAAUAAUCAUUUUAGAACUAGUUUGGUUUCCAAUCUAUAUUUUGUGUUGUGUUUUGUUUAUGUCAAAUUUUAAGGUAAAACUUUGAAAGUUAAAAUACAUUCUAAGUCCCUAUACACUUUGUACUUUUAGAAUUUAGUUCUCCUAGUUUUUAUUUUUAUGAAUUUAGUCUUUCUAUUUUUUGGUUUUCAAAAUUCAAGUCCCCAAUUAUUUUCACUGUUAAAAUUCUUCUAUUAAACUCACUAGUGUCACCUUUUGAAAUUACCAAAAAAAAAAAAAUCAUUUUGUAGUCAUGUAAUAAUAAAGAAUAACGUUAAAAAUAAUGAUGUGGAUUUUUAUUUAAAAUACUCAUCCAAACUGAUCAUGAUAAAAUGACUUUUUUUUUGUUGGAAUAGUGUUUUUAAGAAAAAUUGACGUCAAUAUUUUGAUUGGAAUAGUUUACAAUGUUAAUUAUUUAGACUAACUAAUGACAUUACAAAAAUAAAAUAAUGAAAUUAUGCCAAAAAUUAAGGAAUAUAAAUUAAAUCUCAAGUUUUAACAUAAUAUAGGGGCUAAUACUAAAAUUUGACCAUUAAUUUCCAUGUAAUAUAAAAUAAAAAUAAAAAAGUUGUGUGAAGCAGCCCAAGCUUAUGACAGAAAAAAAAAACACGGCCCAAAGCUAAGGUUACGUGUUAGAAAGGGAAUGUCAUGAUAGGGGUGAGUAUUCGAUCAAGUCGAGUUAAAUUGAGUCAAAAAAGUUUAAGUUAGUCGAGUUUACGAAUCCUAUUUUAGUAACCGAACUCAAUUUGAAUUUUUUUUCUGAAUCAUAUUGAGUCAAAAAGUUUCGAGUCAAGUUGAGUCGAGCUAAAGAAUCCUAUUAUUUAUACUCAAAACUUAUAUUUACAUGGACCGAUUAUUUAACUAGUAGAUGAAGUACAAGAUUAUUUAACUACAUAAACAAUAUAAUGGUUUUGCCUUUUAACUUAAUGAGUAAAUAUUUAUCAAAACGAUAUAGUUUUGUCUUUUAAUUUAAUAGUUUUGACUUUUAACUUUGGAAAAGAUAAAUUCAGAUUUUCAGAUAACUCGAAUUGUGUAAUUCAUAUUCAAGUUGAAUAUAAAAACUUAAUUUUUUUUAUUCGGGUUGAUCCGAAUAACUUGAUUAACUCAAAUAACUCGAACUAUUUAAUUCAAAAUUUAAAAUUUUUAUCAAAAUUUUCAGAUCAAAUCGAAUUUUGCUCACCCCUAGUAUUGGACAUUAUUUUUAUAUACGGGUGUAUAUAUAUGUGUGCGUGUGUGUGUGUUUGAUGUGAUUUCCUUGUGAGUUCCAUCUAUUUUUAGAAGUUUUUCCACGUAAAAUAUGUGUAUUUAAUAUUUUCAAUUCUUUUAUUAUUCUACUUGCUCGUUGCAAAUACGUUUGAUUCACAACAUUUUAACCUAAACUUAAUUGUAAAUGAUAAGAGAUAUUUUACGAUUAAAUAAAAAAAUUUAAACCACUAAACCAUUACCCUAAUAUGUCAAAACACAUGCAUUUUUUAAUUUCAAAAUUUAUGAAUUCCGAAGUAAAGAGCAUACGAUAUUUAUAUUAAUGUAAGAAAUGUAGGCUUGCUAAGUUUCGCAAAAUCAUAUUACACUUUUAAUUGAAUAUAAUGGUGGGAUGAUUCAAUUAUUAAAAACUAAGUUCGGGCAAAAAUGUAAAAAUAAUCUAAAAUUAAUUGAAUUAUUAUAAUAAAUUUAUAUAACUUAUGGAGUGAACCAAAUCAUGACAUAAUAUCAAAAAUAAUUAAGACAUGUCAUAUUACAAAUAAUAAAAACUCAACUUUAUAAGCAUAUCAAAAUUUAUUAUCAUGGCGUAUAAUAUGUUAUGAAAAAAGAAAAAAGAAAAAAGAAAAAGAAGAGAGACAAUCGCUUCAUCAUGAGAUAUAAGCCCUUGAAACCAAAAGUUAGUUGAAGCUGUUAGGAUCGACUCAAUUAAGCAACAAGUAACAAAAAAUAGUGGAGUAAAUUGAGAAAUUGAACACACAAAUUUAACGUGGAAAACCCCUCCAAAGAGGAUAAAAACCACGGGCAAAAAUAAUUUUACUAUAAUGACAAAAGAAUAAAGAGUACAAAAGAUGGAGAUAAAAAGCUAAACUCCAAAAAACCCCAAAAACAAAGAACCCUCAAAACGUAAACACAAUGUAACGCCCCAGAAUUUUUAUUUUUGUUCUUGCAAAGGUAUAACACAAUUGUGUAUCUACUUUAGUGGUUAAGUGUUUUGGGUGUAUGAGAGGUCUCAAGUUCAAGCCAAGACUUGGCGAAAUUUUGGUAUUUUUAUGAAUAAGCUCUAUCUUUGGUCAGUAGGCUUUUAAGUAAGAGUCGACAAAUAAUUAAAAGAAUGGGCUUGUUCGUUUGGUGGAUAAGUGGAGUGUUGGUGUGAAGGAGGUUUUGUGUUCAAUUCUCUAUGGUGGCAUGGAGAUAGUAUUUUUGCUCCAAUUUUGGCUAAGAGUUGUGUUUGGGCAAAAUUCUGAGUAGUUGUGUUUUAGUGGGUUAAUAGGGAGUGAUUUUUGGAAAUAAUGGGGGAGAGGUUAUCAGAAAAUAAUCUGAUUGUCUUUUUAUUGCAUAAAAAAGUAGAGUUUCGGUUUUCUCUCCAAUUACCCAAACUUUUUCUGACGUUUUCUUCUUUUUUUCCCUCCGCUGUCGAUUCUUUCCCCUAGUUGUUGCCAAAAUUUCCAUUAUUUUUUCCCCUUCCAUUUCUUUCUUUUAUUUUCCAAUUGAUUUGGUUGUUUAUCGUUGGUUGCGUGUGUUCGGUAAGUAACGGUUUUGUCUAUUGUUAAUUGUUCUUAGUUAAUCUCUGAAAGGGGGAUUCCUUUUUGGUGUUUCGGAGUUAAUCAAGGGGCUAGUGGUUAUGAAUCGAUGCUGUGAUUGUGUGAAGUCAUGAUUACUCAAGCGAGGUAAGGGUUUUGUUAGGUUUUUAGUUGAGUUCCUUCCAAAAUUGGUUAAUUAAAAAUGAAUUAAGUGAUUAAUCUGGAGAUUUGUUGGUCGAUUUUUAGGUUAUGGAGGCUUAGGAGUGCUUACGCAUUAGAAAUGAUACCAGGUGUGUACCCGAAAAGCAGAAAAUGAGAUUCGGCGAAAAGCAUAAAUUGCUUGCUAUUUGGACAGCAGCAGUGGGCUAACUUUAAAAAAUCAUCAUAAAUUGUGAAAAUCGAAUUAAAGGAUGAAAAAAGUAAGGAAUUAAAUAUUAUUGAGUCUAGUUUCUCAUAGAGAAAUGGUGUAAGUAAUGGAAUUGUAAAUCGUGAGAUAUAAUAAAUUUUGUGAGACAAGGUCAGAAUGAAUUCAGGUUUCCCUUUUUUGACUUUGGAAAAUCAUUAAAAAUUGUAUAAAAAUGAUUAUGGGUUAAAAUUUAUAUGAUUAAAAUUCUUAAUGAGUAUAUUUUCAAGAGAAACAAACCUUAACAUCAUCUGAAUCUCGUACUAAGAGAUAAUUAAUUUUUAGAGAAGAAGGGUCGAAAUUAUCAGACAGCAGAACAGGGACAAUUUUGAAGAAUUAACUGUACUCAUUGGCUAAACCAAAAAUUCUAAAAAUUUUAAGGUAAGAAGAUAUGUGAGUCUGUUUUUCGGGAAAAUCAAGCGGAUCUUAAUUUUGAAUUCUGUAGCUCUAGUUAUAAAUAAUUUAGUGACAAUGACUCAAGUAGACAACUCUGAAUGAUCAUAUUAGUAAAUAGUGGAAACAUAUAUGAAUAUUUAGCUAGCAUGGGUUACAUUAAAAAUGGAUCACACGGCCAAGGCCAAUUUGGGCCGAGUGGGCCACGCGGGCACAUGGGCGUGUGGGUCCAUUUUUACCAAAAUGUUUCUAAGGCUGCACAGGUUGCCCAAGUCGACUGUGAACCUACUGUAAGGUCGGUAAGUGCUACUUAAACCCCUAAAUGUGUGAAAUUGACUGAAUGAUAUUUGUACUGAGCAUGUUAAUAUCUAAACUGAAUAUAUGUACUGAAAUUGCAUAAUAGCAUAUCAUCCAUGGUAUGUUGCAUUGCAUUGGGUUGAGGGUUGUUAUUUGGAGGAAAUGUACUAAAAGGCUUUAAGCCUAAUUUACUGGAAUCUCAGCUACAAACUACUGUUUUGUGCCGCAAUAUUCAAUACUACUUGAAGUGUAGGAAUGGGUGGGUUGAUUAUAUCCCCACAUGGUGUGUAGAGGCUGGUUGGCAAAUGGAGUUUUAGUAAGCACAAGCAUCGUCAUCUGUCCAUCAUAACUUGGAAGACAACAAAGAUACUCAUAAAAUAGAUCUGCAAACUGAAAAGAGAGAAGUCAUGUGGAGUGAAUAAGAAGAAGAAAGAAAAAAAGGUUGGUGGGAGGAAGAAAAAGGGUCGCGAUAGCCAAUUCGAAGGUUGUCAAUGCCAUUGGGCAAAAUAAAACAUAAUAAACAAACGGCUUGGAGAAAAAAAUUAAGAAAGAAGAAAAAAUUUAGGCAAAAUUUAUAUUAAUGUAAGAAAUGUAGACUUAUUAUGAUAUUACAUUUUUAAGUGUGAUCAUUCAAUUAUUAAAAAUGUAUUUAUAACAAAUUAUGUAAAAUUUUAUAUAAGCAUAUAAUAUGUUAUGCAAAGAGAAUCACUUUUCUUAGUUGAAUUGUUAUAACACAUUAUACAAAAUAUAUUUUAAAUUAAAGCAUAAUGUGAAUACGAUACCAACCAACAAAUUAAAUUCGAUGAUUUAUGGAUAAUUACAUUUAUUACUCAAUUUAAUUUAAUUCAAAGAGCUAUUGAAUACACAUAACAAUUAAUUAUGAUUAAACUUUAAAUUUCACAGAAAAUAAAAAGAAAUAGAUUGUUGAAAAUGAUAAAAUGGAAAGAUAAAGCUACAAACUUCCUCCCCACAAACCUAAGAGCUUUUUAUUCAAAAUGCAGAAAUCAACAAAAUAGUCCUCACAAUCCAACUUAGCAUAGUAAAACAAUUAGGUGGGGAAAUCAAAUAGUAAAUUCCUUUUUCCUUGAAUCAACACCAACCGACUUUGUUGAAAUCUUCACUAUAGCUAAUCACAUUGCCUGAAGAUGUGAUAUGUAAGAAAAUUGGCCAUUGUUGAGUAACGACAGGUUGUGAUGCACUUUCCAAUAAAAGAAAACCAAACACUUCGCCAAUAAGGAUUUAUGUAAAGAACAACAAAAAUUGUCAAGACCACAACUAUAUAAGAAACCAGGAAGCUCACACAAAAAUCAUAUGUGUCUAGCAAACUGUCCUCUCCUUCAUCAUCUAACGAAUUUGAUCUAGUUGAUGGUGCAUCUGGUUUGGAGCAACUUUUAUGCAAAAUAGUUCCACAAAGAAAAGGGUUUCCCUCGUAACUACUUUCAAUAAAGGUCCCAAAUUGAGCUUUUGGUUCAGGAAUACUACCUGACAAGUUGUUGUGUGCCACACUAAAAACUUCCAAAGAGUUCAACUCUACCAACUGAUUGGGGAUUUCACCACUCAAGUUGUUGUAAGAAAGGUCCAAACUCUCAAUUUGAUGAAGUUUUCAGAAUGAUGAAGGUAUAACUCCGAUCAACUUAUUGUGUGACAAGUUUAAAGAAUAGAUUUCACUUAAGUUCCCUAAUUCUGGUGGGAUAUGACCAGUUAAGUUGUUGCAAGAUAAAUCAAUCCCGGUCAUAUAUGCAAGGAUGUUGCCCUCGUACGAAUAGAACCCACUCUUUGUUGUGAACUCUAUUACUUCUUCUAAAUUCUAUUACUUCUUCUAAGUAGCUGUCAGGGUAGUAAGGAUUUAUAUCCCUUUCCAAUUUUCUCAUCGCAAUGGAUGUUGAUUCAUCCAUUUCUGUAAAUGGAAGAUAGAACCCAGUUGCUAGACUCUCUUUCUCUUUCAUUGGAAGAGAUAAAUUUCCCAAACAAGAAGGUAUAGGACCAGAAAACAUAUUUUGAGAAAGAUCUAUGAUGCUUAAAGAAUACAACUUGCAUAACUGAAUUGGAACUUUGCCAUGAAAAUGAUUAUCUUUCAAGAGAAGAACACUCAAAGAAGAAAGUGUGUCAAUCCAUUUUGGCAUGCUACCUGUCAAAUUUUUUUCUCUAAGAUCUAAAGUCACUAGUGAAGAGCUAUUAUAAAAAGCAAGUGAUAGUGGACCUCUCAGUCUAUUCCCGUGGAGGUGGACAUGCUUUAUGUUUGGUGGAUUAAAACAUGACGGUAUAGAGCCAGAUAAAUUAUUUUGAGAAAGAUCCAAAAACUCCAACCAAUUCAAGUUGCAAAAUUCCAUUGGAAUAGAACCCUCGAAACCAUUGUUGGACAAAGCCAAUCUCAAUAAAAAUGAUGCAUUCCCUAUCCAUCUUGGGAGCUUUCCAUGCAACUGGUUGUUACUGAGAUCAAUAUCGCUUAGUGAAUUUGGAAACUCAAAAGUAGACACAUCAACAUUUGUCACCUCUCCUGAAAAUUUAUUUCCAUCCAAAUAUAAAUUCUGCAGCCCAUUUGCUUUGAGAAUCGCAGGAACUACAUUUCCACUGAAGUUGUUAUUUGAUAGUCUCAAAAUGGUCAGUGAGCCUUUCGUGAUCAACUCUUCUGGUACUUUUCCAUACAAUUGAUUGUUUGAUAGAUCUAAAAUUGAUAAAUCCUUCAUGCCACUUAAACAAAGUGGGAUAUUACCUUCAAAAGCAUUCUUGGAUAAGAAUAACCGACUCAAAUGUGGAAAAGUUGAACAUAUACUGGUCGGAAUUUGACCUUGUAUUUUGUUUUCAGAGAUGUCAAUUGAAGAUACAUUAGAAAUAAGAGCUGACGAAAAUGAGAGAGGACCUGUAAAAGAAUUGCCCUUCAAGAUGAGAUCUUCUAACUUUGUGUUGUUUUCUAACAACCAAGUUGGGACCGUUCCACUGAAAUUGUUAUGAGAAAGAUCCACAUAUCUCAAGUCAUAUUGGUAGUAAAGGAAGGUAGGAAGCUUACGACUGAGCUGUUGAGAUGUUAUGCACUUUGACAAACUGAUGACUUCCAAUUGGAACUUUGGGAUUGAGGUAUAAAAGGAAGGUUCCGUUACCAUCUUGUUUUCAUUACUCAAGAGGGCUUUGAUAUUUGAAAGGUUUGCAAAUGGUGCGAAUGACAACGGAAUUUGAAAAUGGUUUAUUGAAAUAUCUAACACACGAAGAGCUGUCAAGUUACUAAAACAAUGAGGAAGCAUCCCCUCCAGUGCAUUCCCACUCACAUCCAAUACUUCAAGAUUCCUUAGAUCACACCAUCCUGAAAAAUUGAAAAAAUUGGUGGAAGAAAUUCUAAUUAAAUUUGGUCUUAUUUAAGAGAAUAUGAGAUAUUACACAAAGCUCGUACAAAAUUCAAUUUGAGCCAUAAAUUUAUUUACCUUGAUUAGGUAGGGGACCAAUAAGUCAACAAUCAUAUAAAGAGAAUGUUUUAAGAGAAACAAGUACUCCAAUGCUUUGCAAAAUAUUGGUGUUGAGAGUAGAAUAGUCAAGAUAUAUUUCCUCCACAUUUCUCGACACAUUUGAUUCUAAGCAAUGUCUAGAGAUAUUAGAUAACGAUAUUGUAAAUAGAAAAUUAUAAUUGAUCAUGAGAAAGAAGUUCAUAUUGACGAGAAAUGCCGAGGACAGCAAUCGCCAUCCCAUGUCAAAAAAAUCAUUUGAGAUAAAUAAUGUUUGAUUUUCUCAGUCUUUUAUUUUUUGUGAAUGAAAAGAAAUAUAAUUUACUUGAAGUUUUUUUAAUUAUUCGAAAAUGCCAUUUAUUUAUUUUAGGCCAAAAAAUUCCAUUUAUUUAACUGUAAUAUAUAUUUUUAUGUUUUAUAUUAUUAAAACCAUAUGAAAUUAAAAUGAUAGUUAUAUGACAUAUUUUUCCAUAAAUAUGAGUAUUUUUUAUUUAUAAUAUUAUUUUUUUUAUUUUUAUAAUUAUUUUUUAUCUCAUAAAAAUUUAAUAAAUUAUUUUGAAAUUAUAUUUAUACAAACAAAAUAAUUAUGAACUCUAAUAUUUUAAAAUUAUGCAAAAUUUAAAAUAUUUUACUUUCAAACCGAAGACCAUAGGAUUUAUAAAAUGUUUCACCGAACCCAUAAGCUGAAUUUUUCCAUGUAUGAUAUAAAACAUAAAGACAAAGAUGAGCAACACAAAGACAGAAAAUUAUUAUUUGGUAGUUUGUUGAUUUACUUUAAGGAUUUAGCAGUUUCAAUCAUGUUCCUGUUAUGCUUUGAUUUUAUUUAGGUUCAUCCAUGUAAAACAAAGAAACAAAAACAUUAAUUAGUUGAAAAAUAAUUAAUUGUGUUAUAACAUAAUCCAAACCUUGUAUUAACAAAUAUUCUGUUUUUUAACCUUUUUCAACGAUGAAGUGGGGAGCACCGAUUCAGGGGCCAAGCAACAACUUUGUAUUGGAGGAUCGAUAUAAAAUUAUUUUUUUUGGAGGGACUAAAGUUAAAAUUAUUUGUGUUAAAAUUGUUGAAAUUGAAUUUUUAAUGUUUAAAGUGACUCAAAAUGCAAUUUUUAUGCAUAUAAUUAAAAAGCUACAGAGGAUUAUAUUGAAUAAUUAAAUUUUAAAAGGACUAAAAAGGGUAUUAUACCCUUGAUUAAAAUAUGUCAUAGGUCCUUGUACUUUUCAAAAAUUUGUAAUUUAGUCGAUAUACUUUUAUUUCUAAGGAUUUAGGCCCUCUACAUUUUCAAAUUUUAGAAUUUAAGUUCAAUUGUUAACAUUAGUUUUUUUUCCAAUGUUUUGAAAUAAAGAAAAUAUUCAAUUGGUAGCAAUGUAACUAAAAAAAUAGCAUUAUAAUGAACCUAAAUUUAACAAAAUAAUCUUAAUAGUGUCAACAAUUAAACUUAAAUUUUAAAAUCUAAAAAGUAGAGGGAUUAAAUUCGUAAAAAUAAAAAUAUAGAGACUAAUUUACAAAGAGUAUAAGGAUUUAUGUUAUAUUUUAACCUAUACCCGUUAGCCUAGGGGGGCCAAGACCUCUGUCUACCCCUUUGGCUUUUCCUCUACACCAAUUGAACAUUAGUUUAAUUGACAUUGUUGAUAUUGCAACAACUCUUUUUCUUUAUUUUCUUCGUCUUAUGAAAAAUGUUAAUUUUUAGUUUUGGACAUUUUUAAUAUGCUUAAAUUUGAGAUUUAAUUAUUAUCCUUUAUUUCUAAUUUAAAUUAAGCUUUAUAUUUUUAUAAUUUUACUAGUUAGUUCAAAUAGUUAAUUCAUUAACUUUUCAAUUAAAAUAUUAUGUAGUUAUAUAUUAUUUAAAAGUGGAUUUUUAAAUAGAUUAAAUUCUUAAAAAUAAAAGUUGAAGGAAAAAAAAUAAAAUUUAAACAAAAACGAAAGUUUAGUCAAAUGAUACCUUUAUGGAUCAUAAAAUCUAUCAAUUCAUUUGCCCUCAUAUUCAAAUGCAUCCAAAUCUGGAAAAAAAAGGGUAACAUAUAAACCUCAUUAUAUUAUCUUAAAACAUUAUUAAUGUUUUUGUUAAUUGAGUCAAGAUUUUGGGAAAAGAAAAUGUUUUUACCUUUUGCAUCUAUUGGUCCUUUCAAUUGAUUGCUUAUGGUCAAAGUUUUCAAAUUCAAAAGCUUGUUAAGAGAUGCAAAGACACUAUUAUUGAAGAGAUUGGAAUUUAAAUUAAGCUCUUUUAAGUGCGUCAAUUCCAAUUUUCUACCACCAUCUGCAAAAGAUUUACAUAAGUUCAUCACUGAAAAAAAUUAGCAUAAAAUUUAAUUAUAUAUAAAAACUUAGAUAACUCAUCAAAUAUAAAUACAUACCUUUGGAGGAUUGAAGGCUUUCAAUUUAAUUCUCGCUUAGAUCAAGUUUCUUCAAGUUUAUCAAAUUACUCAAUCCUAUAUAUUUUCACGUCCAAUUCAAAUAAUUAUGUUAAUAAUUUAAUUUUUACCGAAUAUUUGAAUGAGUUUCAUAAAAUAAAAACAAAAAAUUGGUUUGUUAGGCAAUUUUUUUAGGUGUUGUAGAAAUUUUAAGUUCCUCCAAGUUUAUUAUGCUUAAUUGUUUUUCAUCUAUAGUAGGAAGAAGAAUAGUUUCUAAUUAAUAUUAUAGGCUUUGAAUAUUUUAUAAGUUCAUCCCUUUGAAAAUUUAAUUUAUUCAAUAUAUAAAAAUCAUACUUGUACCUUUGUUUGAGAUGCUUUCAAUUCUGUUCCCACUUAAAUCCAAGUAGUUCAAGUCUGUCAAAUUAUUCAAUUCUGAAAUUCAAUCCUAAAUAUUGAUUAGUUAUAUAUAUUCAUGAUAUGAUAAAAUCAAAUAACAUAUUGCAAGUUUGCAACAACUUUUCCUUCAACAUAAAUUGAUUUUAAAGUACAAAAGAAACAAGUAAAAUCAAUCUACCUUGAAUAUGAAGCAGCCUUCCUUCCAACUGAUUACUACUCAAUCUUAAAGUCUUCAAGGAUGAAAGAUUUCUCAUAUCGAAUAGAAUGCUAUUCUUCAAAGAAUUCCCAGUUAAAUUAAGAGUUUCCAAUUUAGUGAGUCUUGAAAGCCACUGAAAACCUGAUUUAUAUACUAUAUAAUUAGUUACUACUAAACAUAAUAAAUAAUAAUACUCUAAUUUUACAAUAAAAAUUCACUAAAAUCUGUCAUUGCCUUUUGGAAUAAUAUUCUAUCAGAAAAGUCAUGCACAAAUACUUAUACCUUGGUUUGAGAUGCUUUCAAUGUUGUUGUAACUUAAAUCCAAGUACUUCAAGUUUGUCAAAUUAUUCCAUUCUGAUGAAAGUCAAUCCCAAUGUUGAUCAGUUAUGUUUUCAUGAUAAGAUAAAAGCAAAUGAAAUAUUGCAAUAGCUUUUUCUUAAACCAAAUUGAUUUUAAAGUAAAAGGAAGCAUGUAAAAUAAGUCUACCUUGAAUAUGAAAUAAUAUAUAAAUACUAUAUUUAUACCUUUGUUUGAGAUGCUUUCAAUUUUGUUCCCACUUAAAUCCAAGGACUUCAAGUUUGUCAAAUUAUUCAAUUCUAAAAUUCAAUCCCAAAUGUUGAUCAGUUAUAUUUUCAGGACAAGAUAAAAGCAAAUGACAUAUUGCAAUAACUUUUCCUUAAACCAAAUUGAUUUUAAAGUAAAAAAGAAACAGGUAAAACCAAUCUACCUUGAGUAUGAAUCAACUUUCCUUCCAAAAGAUUGUAUCUCAAACUUAAAGUCUUCAAGGAUGAAAGAUUUCUCAUAUAGACCAUAAUGCUAUUCUUCAAAGAAUUCCCACUUAAAUAAAGAGUUUCCAAUUUAGUGAGCCUUGAAAGCCACUGAAAACCUGAUUUAUAUACCAUAUAAUAAGUUACUGCAAAACAUAAAUAAAUAAUAAUACUCCAUUUUUUAGUUAAUUUGAGUAAGUUCUUGUUAGUCUUUUUUUCCUCUCAACCAUAUGAAAAAUUAUUGAAGCAAAAACUAAGUUACAGGGGAUAAAAGAAUGGAAAAUCACUGUCAAACGUCACAAUACAAAUAAAAACUAACAAUAGACCAAACUUAAUUUACCUCUUGGAUGACUUGAUCCUUCGAACCGGUUGUGUGAUAAAUCUAAAUAUCGGAGAGACGAAAGCUCACUCAAAGAUAAUAGAAUGCUAUCAUUCAAGUGAUUGUAACUUAAGUAAAGGAUCUCUAAAUUACUUAAUGUGGAUGAUAGCUUUCCAAAACCUGUAGGAGUGUUCUUUUAAUUAUAUACAAGUAAUUAAUGACUUUUCUUCAGUAAAAUAAAAUAAAUUAUAAGUAAUUGCAAACUAACAAUGAAUAGAGAAAUAGAAUAAUAAAAUAUGUAAUUAAGGGAAAAUUAAAGGCACGACCUUCAUUUUCAAGGUUACCACCUAUGGCAUUCUCUGACAAAUAAAGACUCUUCAAUUUCUCAAAAGGAAGAAACAUAGAGGCAUUGAGAUACCAAUAAUCCAUGUUGUAUUCCCAUUUUGUAGAAUUAAGGGAAGUUGUAUGACUCUCCUAGUGAUGGAGUUGCACUUAACUCUUUCCCAUUUACAGCAAUCUGAACCCUUCAGAUCAACCCAACUUUUCAAUGGGUUACCAUAAUUGAAGAAAGGUUUGAGAUGCAAGAGAGCGAUUCUCUCAUGCUCCAAACAAGCAUCAGUAGUACACCACCUACAUCCUUCUAACACCAACAACAGUACUGCCAUCCUAAUAAACCAUAACCAUUUCCACUCCAUCAUCAUCAUCUUUCUGUUUUCCCUUCUCUCUCAGCUAUAUGUUACUUUUUUAACUUCUAUAUGUAUAUAAUCUGCAGAAGCCUAAGCAGGAUCUAUGCAUCCCACUAAUUCACUGUAGUAUUAAAAUAACAUAUAAUUAAUUAGUUCCUCAAAAAUUGAAUGAAUCUAGACUUGUGCUGCUCUAACUUAUACGUUAGGAAAUAAAUGUUGACACAAUUUUUUGUUUUAUUUAGAAGUUGUAGUUAACUAUAUUUGCUAAAAUUUGUCUUGGAAUGAAACUGAAUUCAAAUCAAUCAAAUUAAUUAUAAUAAAAAUAAAAUUUCAAAAAACUGUUCAAAAUAUGAGUUAUGUUGAAGCCCUGUUCGACAUAUUUUAACUUUUAUUCUUUAUAUAAAAAUGAGAGUUACAAUAAAUAGUAAAAAGAAAAUCUAAUCAAAUGCACUUUUCCAUAACAAAAUUAAUUGCAUUCCUUGUGGAAAAUGAACUCUUGACUUGGCCGACCAUCCUCGACUGAAAUAGGCUGCUAAUUUUAAUUUAGACUGUAGAAAAAAUUUUAACCCAAUUAAUGUCAUUUGAAAUUAAAAUUACUUUAUAAACCUUUUGUUAGCCCUUAAAUUAAUAAACUUUUGUAUGUAGCUAAUUGAGUUUUAACUCAAUCGGUAUUGGUAUUGUUGUCAGUACAGGAAGACGUAAGUUUAAGUGUGCAGAAACGUGUGUUUUAUCCAAUUUAAGGAUUAGGGUAGAUUAUGAAUAAUUCUUUGAAUUGUAUUAACUUAGAAGCUUUGAGAUACUCACAAUUGAAUUAAACAUUCAAUAUAUAUAUUUAUCUUAUUUUUUUUUCUAUUUCCGAUAAAUAAGAAAAGAUCAUUCUUUACGCCACCAUACGAUUUUAGUAUCACAAUCAAAUGAGACUUUUAAAAGUCUUAACACUAUACAAGUAGUUAGUCGACAAAACUUGCACUAAUUUACUCUUUACGCCCAAAUUAUUUACAAAGUGCAAACAACAUUACUUUCACACUAAUUUUUUCCUUCUAUUUAUGUGGGAUAAAUAUCAAAAUUAUAUAUGAAUUUUAAUUUAAUGUGUAAUAUUAUAUAUAAAUUUUGAUUUUGUGUAAUUUUAAAAUGAAAUUUUGAUUUGAUUUAAUUUUCACAAAUCAUUAACAACAUCAUCGAAUUAGUACUAUAUUACAUUGAUAUAUUGCAUGCACAAACAGGUAUACUAAACCAAUAUGAAAAUAAAUAUAUGUAUUCAUUUAUUUAAAUGUGUACAAUUGAAUCAAAAUAAAAGUUUCAUGUAUACAUAUGGAUCACAAUUCAAGUUUCAUACAUAUAAUUGUACCAAAUCAAAGUUCAUGUAUCAAAUUGCACAUUAAGCCAAAAUUUAUGUAUAAAUUUAAUAUUUAUCCCAUUUAUGGGAGAUUAGCUUUCCAAUGGUAUUGUUUUAUUUACAUUAAUCCAAAUAAUUGGAAAUGAUGAAUUAGUUUAACGAAGAUUGUAAUUCUAUUAAUGUUUCUUCUCGAAUUUUUGGUUGCUCUUAUUUACAUGUUUUAUUAAUUGAUAGAUUUAAAUUCUUGGAAUAUAUUCUAAUUAAUUAGAUAUUUCCUUCCUUCCAAAAGCCUUUCAAAAUAGGUUUAGUUCGACCAAGAUACUCUUGUAGAAAAUUUUAGUUUUGUGGGAAAAAGAAAACUAGAUUUAUUUUUUACUCUAAUUGGUUUUAUAUGCAAGGUAUAUAAACUUUUGUGUCGCUGCAAUUUUUUUCCAACAUAUGUAUGUGAUUUGUGGGGUUUCAAUUUUGAAUUUUUUUUUACAAUUUAAUUAAAUUGUGAAAGUAUUUGAAAGUUUUUGAGUUGAUACAAUGUUUAGAACUACCCCAACACCCACCUAACCCUUAAAUAGGAGGAUAAACACGCUUCAGCACACUCGAACUCACAUCCUCCUACACCGAUGAUAAUACUAAUGCCAACAGAGUUAAGACUCAACCAGCCUUGAAUUUUGAAUUUUACUUCUUACACAUUUUGAAUUUUGAAAUUUUAGUUUUGACCCAAACAGUAGCAGUUAAAUCAAUUUGAUUAAAUUUAAUUACUAGUCCUAUAUUAUGCGUACGAUUAUUGAUUAGUCUAUACUCUCAAAUUGGGCAAUUCUAAGUACCUAUACUUUCCGAAUUUUGAAAUUUCAGUCUUGAUGCAAAUGACAAUUAUUAAUCCAUUAAUUUGAUUUUUAGCGAGUAAUAUGUGAAAAUAACAAACUGGUAUAACAUUACACAUAUGAUAAUAUGUUUAUUCCACCACAUUUGAAAAUAGCCGAAUUUAACAAAUAUUGUUAGUGAGGAUUGGAAAUUAGAGUCUAGCCCCCUACAAUAAUUUAGGUUAUGGAAAUAAUCUUGCAAAUAAUGCUUGAGACAUCAUUAUACAUCAAUUUAUAGUUUUAAUUCUUAUACUUACUCAAUUGGAAUAAAGAUUUAGUUUUUUAUUUUCUUUUGAUACAUUGUCUAGAAUCUUUAUUCCAAUUGAGUAAGUAUAAGAAUUAAAACUAUAAAUUGAUGUAUAAUGAUGUCUCAAGCAUUAAAAAUAACUAACUUCAUUAAAAAAUUCAUUAGUUGGCUCUCUAAGACUUAAAAAUUAAAAUUAUGUGGUUAUUAAAAAAGAAUUGUUUUUAUUAAAUUAUUAUUUAAAAUAAAUUUAUCUCAUCAUAAUGAUAUGAAUUUUUUUUCUUUAAAAAAUCCACAUUAACCGACUAAUAGAAUUGUAUAAAGCUGCCACCAAUCUCUUGGCAUGAUGGCAAAAGAUUCAGAGGCAAGCCAGAAAGUUUUUUGAGAGGAGUGAAUAAAGUUAUAUCUUUUUAUUAUAGUAAAAAUGAAAUUUUAUUAUUUUAAUAAUUUAUAUCUUUAUAAUUUUUAAAAGAUUAAAUAAAAAUUUUUUAUUUUUGAGGGGAUAAAGUAUAAGUUUAUCAUAUACUAAUUUAAAAAUUUUAAAAUUAUAAAAAGACUAAAGAUGAAAAUUUUCAUUUUAGGGAGAUGGGGCCCUGCCAGGUCCCUUGACUUCGCCUUGAUAAAAGUAUUAUGUUGCAAGUAUAAAGUUUGAGUUUAAUCUCGAACAAUCUCAUUUCUUAUCCCUAAUUAUAAAAUAAUAAAAUAAAUAGAGCAAUUGAUGUGAGGAGGCAAGUGUAAUAGGUCAAUUUUGACCUGGGCCAGAUUUCAAAACAAAACCCAAACUAAAUAAUAAAAGAGUCCAAAAUAGUUAAAACAAUCCAUCCAUUUUACAAACAAACCCAAAUUAGCAGCCCAAAUACAAAUUAAAACUCAAUAACUCAAAACUAACCCUAGCCCAAUUAGCUCAACACUUAAACACAACAAAAAAACCCCUAGCCCCCUAAGCCUCCAACGCCGCAUGACCACCUGUGCCGCACGCCGCCGCCGCUCAAGGCUUGCCUAUCACCGACCAUCCACGCGUCUAACACUUGCAAAACCAAGGCAACAUGCAACAACAAAGGCCAAAUAGAGGAAACAACAAGGAAACAGAUAAAAAAGGAAGAAACAAACAGUUUUGAUUUGGCUACAAAAGCCCGAAUCUCACCCUUGUAAUUUUUUUAAGAACAUUAGAAAAUAAAAAACAAAAACAACACUUUCAAGGUGAAUUUCUACUUUUAUUUCUGUUUUAAAUACCUAUUUGAUUCUAUAUUCAUAUUUUUAUUUGAUUUUAUAUAUAAUAAAAUAAUAAAAUAAAAAAAGGAAGAAAGGGCUCACCGGAGACGCCCCGUGACCGCGCCGUCGGAGGGCUCUUCUCCAUUGUUGCCAUCGAAUCCGAGAGAGGGUCGGGAGUACUCCUCUUUUGUUUUUUUUUUUGGGUCGAGAGGGCUGGGCUUCCAAGGGAGCUGUGAAACGGGGGCUAAAAACGACCUUUUGCGCAACGCCGGCCACCGGCCACAGGCCACAGCGGCGCUGCGGCGGCAACCCUGGCCUGCCAAGGGGUGGGCUGAGAGAGAGACCAAGAGAGACUGAGAGAGUUCUCUAUUUUUUUAGAAAAAUAAAAGUUGAACUGUUUUUUUCUUUUUCUUUUUGCUAUUUAUAUAGGGUAUAAAACUGCGUCGUUUUGGACUUAAGCAUCAGUGGCCAAAAUGACGCUGUUUUGCAUCAGACCAGAAAGCCAACCCGAAUGCAGUUAGGAUCCUAGCGCAUUUUAGCUUUGAGGAGCUAUUUGCAUAUUCAACCCUUCCGCUUUUGCAAUAUAGUGCAAUUUGGUCCUCGUUGUUUUUAUAUUUUGGCCGCAUAAUUUUCUGAUUGUUUUACUUUGGUUCGAGCUAAAACGCUACGCAUGGGGGCUGGGAAUAUUUGCCAGUCGGUCCCUCAUUCCUUAAGCACACUCUAUUUCAGUCCCUAGGCUUUUUUUAUUUAUUUGCAAUUUGAACCCCAAAUUUUGGGUCGAUUUCAGUAUCAUCCUUAGUCCAUUUAAUUUAUUUGUUCAUUAUUAUUUUUUAUUUAAAAAGCUCUUUUAAUAUUAUUUGUUUUAAGUUUUUUAUUUAUCAUUUACUUUAAACUGUUUUACAUACUAUUUAUUUAAAAUUUUUUUAUAUUAUUCAUUUUAAACCAUUAUAUGUACAUUAUCUUUUAAAUUCUUAUAUACAUAUAUAUAUGUCGAAACCGUUUUUUUGAAAACAAAAAUUUUUAGUUUCGACUUAAAAAUAAAAACUGGAGUCGCCACCGAUCCUUGAUUGAGGUGUAACCGGCUCACCUUAAAAACAAUUUUGGUCUACGAGAUUUGAGAAAAUGAGUUCGGGAGUCAGUUACGCACGAGGAAGGAUUAGCACCCUCGUAACGCCCAAAAUCGGUACCAAAUUGAUUCUUUAAUGCCUUGGUGUCGAAAAUUUGAAAAGAUUUUAAAAGGAAACUUUUUAUUUCAUGAAUGAAUCAAAAUAAUAAGACAUUCUUAUUUCAAAGAAAUAAAACACCACACCCAGUGAGUUAGGGCACAAUAUUUUUAAAUCUUCAAAAUACCCGAAUUUUACCUUUUGCUUUUGAAAAUUCUUAUUUCGAGAAGUCAAAAUAUCAGGACCAGUAAGUUAGGACCCAACAUUUUUGAACUCCCAAGAAUAAGCUUUUAUUUAAAAUUUACGAAUUUAUUGCAAAACAAAUACUUGGCUUUCUAAAUUCAUCGAAAAAUAAUCACGAUCCAGUCAGUUAGGACACGAUCUUUCUCGAGAAUCAUGAAUGCCAAAUAUUUUGGAAAUUUGUAAAAUAUGAUGAUUUUAAUGCCUUGACGAAGCCAAUAUAUAUUUUCUUUAAAAGCAUGAUAAAAUGUUAAUGCAUAACAUGAAACCAAUACUUUAAUUUAAAUCAUAUGUAUAUAUGUAUUUGCAAAUCGCGAAAAUAAAAUAAAUAUAAAUGUAUGGAUAUGUCAUGAAAAUAUGUGUGCAUUUAAAUAUAUGUAUAUAUGUACAAUAUGUAUAAAACCAUGAAAUAUAUAAAAUAAUAAAGAAAAAUGUGUACGUAUAUGUAACAGAGAAUGCAUGUAUGCUUUAAAUUAUAAGAUAUAGGAAAUAAAUAUGUUACAACAAUGUAUAUCUAUAUAAAAUAUAAAUGUAUAUAAAAGUAAGUAAAAGUUAUGCAAGUAGAAUAAUAAAAAAUAUAUAUAUGUAAGGUGCAUGGGUUUAUAAAAAUUAUUUUUAAGAAAAAAUGUAUGCAUAUAUUAUUGUAGAGAAUAAGCAUAUGUAUAUAUAUAGUAAUGGUAAUAAUAAUAAUGAUAAUAAUAAUAAAAAUGAUAAUAGUAAUAAUAAUAAUAAUAAUAUAUGACAUAAUUAAUAAUAUAAAAAACAACAAAUUAAGGAUUAAAUUGGAAAUAAGCGAAGUUUUGAAACCAAAUUUAAAGAUGGGAAUUAAAUAAGGACCAAAUUAAGAUGCGCGCAACAGUAGGAGGAUCGAAAAGAUAAUUUGCCCAAACCUCCCAAAUGCUGCGCAGCAACAUGGACCAAAUUGAAACAGUAUUAAAACAUAUGGCCUAAUUUAAAAAAAUAAAAAGACAGAUUUAAACACCCCUCAUAAAACAGAGGACCAAAUGUGAAAUUGUCCCCUUUCACAGAAAUGCGCGGAUCCUUCCCCGGGUCGGGUCACCGCACGGGUCGUAGGGCUGAAAUGGCGUCGUUUUUGUGCUUACCCUUCGGCCCAAAACAGUGCCGUUUUCGGUAAGCUAUAAAUACAAUGUUUUUUUUUUAAAAAAACUCAUUGUUCUUUCUAUUUCAAAAAAAAAAACAAAAAAAAAAUUUCCUUUUCUCUCAAGCAGGCCCAGAAUCUGGCCAAACUCCGGCGAGUGGCCACUGCGCCGGCCGCCAGUUGCCGGCACCGGCGCCGCCGUUCACGGCGGCGGGGAGUAAAAAAUCUCGCCUUUUUUAAACUGUUUUUAGAUCCCGUUCAAUAGUCAAACUGCUUUGGCUCAAAAGGAUGACCCUUGGCCCCUUCUCCUCUCGGAUCCGAUGUUCUUGAAGGAGGAGAGCCCUCCGACGGUGAACCCGCAAGGCAAAUCAGGUAAGCCCGUUCCCCUUUUACUUCUUAUUUAUUAUGCUUAAAAAAAAACAAACAGAAAGAGCAAACAAGGAAAAAAAAAACCGAAUCUAAGGGAAAAAAAAACCUCCGUUUUGUAUUUUAUUUUUUCAAAUCUUUUUUCUUCGUAUUUUCCUCUCUAUUUUUGUAUGUCUUUACACUCAAGACCCCCUUUUCAGAUCUCCCCCCACGGCUUUUAAAUAGUCGAAAAUAACAACAAAAUAAGCAACAAAAUCAUAUCUCCCUUCAAUAUUGGUUGCGAUUUUUGCUACUACUCUGCUAUUGCUGCGCCAUAUGCUUCUUUUUCGCAGGUGUGGUGGCUCUUGAGUGCGUGCGACGCGUGGGAGCGACAAGCGCGAUGUGCGGCGCUUGCGGAGGGGUGGUGCGCAGGGUGAUGCAGCGCUGAAGCAGAAAGGGCUAGGGUUUCUGGACUGGGCUAGGGUUAAUGUAAUUGGGCUAAAUUUUUGGGUUUAGUCUGUAGAUGGGUAAUUGGGUCUGCUAUGUUUUUAUUUUAUAUGGGCCUGGGCAGAAAAAUUGGGUAUUACAAUAUAUAUUAAAAAAAACUGUUGUAUGUUUCUUAUUUAUUUAUUUUAAACUGUUAUUAUUAUUCAUUUUAAGUUUUUAUAUACUGUUUAUUUAAAGCCUUUUAUUAUUUAUUUUUGAAUUGUUCUUAUAAAUUAUUUAAUUUAAAUUAUUAUUCUUUGAAUUUUUUUUUUUUGCAUAUUAUUUUGUUUUGUUUUCUUUGAUUGUUAAUAUUAGUAUAAAAAAUGAUAUACAUUGUGUGACUAUUACCAUCAUGUGUACUAUAAUUAGUUUCUUCGUGUUUUCAUAUUAUUAUCACUCAUUAACAUAUAUAACAUUUUUUUCAUAAAUUGUUAUUUUAUGUUCUAUGUUAUCAUUCCAUUUCACUUCAUCACUUUGAAAUUAAGUUGCCUUCAAUUUGUGUUUACCCAUAAUAAACCGUUCUAUUUUGUCACAAAUAAAACAAAUGCACCUCGUUCAAGCAUUGUACUCGCAAUUAUUCAAAAAAGAGAAAAAUUUUAAAAUAAGGCAAUAUUUCGCAUUUUGGAGAUUCGAGAAAUUGUACCCUAACUUACGAGGUUUCAAUUUUCUCAUUGAACCUAAAUAGCAAAAUAUCUUUCUAAUUUUCAAAAUUUACGAAAUUCCAAUAAAGUUAAAGGCUAGCUUAUUCUCGAGGGUUUCAAGUGUCGUGUCCUAACUUACGGGAUGUGACAUUUAUUAUCUCGAGACGAGAGGAUCUUUGACAUUCGUUUCGAUUUAUUCAAGCAAAUUCUUUUAAAUUAAAAUAGCGUUAACAAAAGGGGGAUUGUGUUUUAAAUUCUUUCAAAGUUUUUCAAUUUUUAAUAUUUAGACAUUAAUUAAUCAAUUGGGUACCAAUUUUGGGCGUGACGAGGGUGCUAAUCCUUCCUCGCAUGUAAUUGACUCCUGAAUCCGUUUUCUCAAAUUUCGUAGACCAAAAUCACUGUUUUGAUAAAUUAAAAUAUUUUAUUAAAACAACUAAAUUAUGAGAUGACCUAAUCACAUCUCAUAAAAAAAUGGAUUGGUAGCGACUCUCGUUUAAAUUUCCGUUUUCAAACCAACAUCGACCCUUUUAAAAAAAAUGGUUUCAAUAUUAAGUUAUAAGUUGAAUGAAUUAAAAAUAUGUGAAAAGUGUAAAUAAAGACUCUUCAAUCUCAUUUCCUCUAAUGCUCUUUUUUUUUUAAUCAGAGAAGUUGUAAUUGAUUGGAAUGAAAUUAAUAAUCGCCUUAUUAUUUCACUUUUUUUCUUCAUAUGUUUGGCGUCAGUAUGAUACAGGUUGGACUGAUCUUAAAGUUGAAGUAAAACGAUAUCAAACAAAAACCAUUCUGGUUUUUAAAAUUAUGAGUCCAAAUCAAUCCAAUUAGUUUAACUAGAUUUUAAUGUCUUAUGUGUUAUGAUGAUGAAGCAAGUUGAUCAAGGGACUUGCUUCAUCUUUCAAAAUAUGAGUUGCUUAAGAGCCCUGUUUGACGCUUUUUUUUUUCUUAAAUUACAAACGAAAAGGUAUUUUUUUAAAAAAAAUUAACUUAAUGAAUUUUUUAUAGAUAUAAAUUUCCUGCAAAGUUAUUCUUUUUUAAAAAAUAUUUUUUUAAUUUUUUAUAUACCUUUUAAAUAGUUAAUGAAAAUAAGAGUUUUCAUUUCGAAAUGCAAAAGCCAAAAAUAGUUUUUGACUACAAAAGCUGUGUGUUCUUCAUCACUUCUGCAGUGGAAAAACACUUCUGCAGUGUAAAAACACUUUUAACCCAAAACGGGUUUUCACCUAAGUAGAGAAUCCACCCUAAAAUUGUAAAUAGAAAAAGGAAGGACCAAACAUUGUUUCUACCCUGUUUUUGUCUCCUCUUUGAAAAUACUUUCCAAAAAGUUUUAUCAUUUUCUUUUUAUUAAGUUUUCUGUUGGAUCUUAUAGUCAAAUUCCUUUACAUCAUGUACGUUAAUUUGCUUCGCUCUGAUAAAUGUUACAUAUAGGGUUAUCAGCUAAUUAGGAAAGACUGAUGAUAGUCACACCUUACAUCCAAAAGCAAAGCUUUUUUCACAUGUGUAUGUAAGGUUGCUAAGCAAAUCUGAUGAGCCUUCACUGAUGUUUUAAGGUUUAAGUUGAUGUUCUGUUGGUGCAACAACAGAAUCAAGCAAACUCAGCAAGUAUCUUGUCGAGCAAGCCUCGAAACUUGCUGAGCAAACAAACAAUUUCGAGUUAAAGAAAGAAGAGAAUAAGCUGGGGAAAUUUGAGAGAAUAAUAUUGAUGAACAAAACUGAUUUCAUUCAUACAUAAAACAAUGGCUUGAAGCCAGUACAUAACUCAAGCAUAAGGCUUGUCAAAAUCAACAAGUAAUUACCUACCUCCACUAAUUACAUAGAAACUUGAAAUCUUAGCUUGUAAACUUAUACAAAACUGUGUUUACAGCUCAUACAUAAGCUAAUUACAUCAAUCAGAAAGCUAACUUAGUUAGAAAUGAACUAACACUCAUUUCAUCAACUAAAUAUAACAAAAUGAACAAAAUGAGCUUGCACCAGCAGCCCUUGCAUCUGUUCCAGCUUUGCUUGGUCUUCAUGGCCUGUAUGGAAUCGAGUGUUGGCUUCAUGCUGACCAACUUCAACACUCCUCCUUGGUUAGCAUGGUGCAAACACCUAAUUUUCUUCUUAAAUGCUCAAACCUUGUGACAUUAAGGGCUUUAGUCAAAAUGUCUGCAAGCUGGUCCUCUGAAUUGCUGUGAAUUAGCUUCACUUCCUGAGCUUGCUCCAUUUCUCGAACAACAUAUAGCUUAAUGCUAAAAUGCUUUGUUCUUCCAUGGAACACAGGAUUUUUGGCAAUUGCAACAGUAGAUUGAUUGUCACAGAAGAUCUCUGUUGCUUCCCUUUGAUCCAUAUUCAAAUCAGCCAGGAUUUUCCUAAGCCAAAUGGCUUGGUUGACAGCACUUGCUACUGCCACAUACUCUGCUUCAGCAGUAGAUUGUGCCACCAGACUUUGCUUCUUCGAGCUCCAGCAGAACAUAGCUGAACCAAGGUUGAAAGCAUACCCUGAGGUGCUUUUCAUGUCAUCUAUCGAUCCAGCCCAGUCACUAUCAGUGUACCCAACUAGAUUUAGAUUUCCUUUCCUGCUGUACCUUAAGCCAUAGUCCAAAGUGCCUUUGACAUAUCUGAGCACUCUCUUGGCAGCCUGGAAAUGCUUCUCAUUGCAACAAUGCAAGAACCUUGAGAGCAAUCCUACAGCAUACAUUAUGUCUGGUCUAGUGGCAGUCAAGUAUAGCAAACAACCAACUAGACUCCUGUAGGUAGUUUCACAUACCUUCUCAAAAUCUCCUUGGCUCGAUAGUUUUUCUCCAACAGCAACAGGUGUUUUAGUUGGUUUGCAGUUUUGCAUGGAGAACUUGGUCAGAAUCUUUGUGGCAAAGCUCUUCUGACUUAAAAAUAUCCCAUUCUGUGCUUGAGUCACCUCCAUUCUAAGAAAAUAGGACAUCUCCCCAAGAUCAGACAUUUCAAACACCUCUUGCAUCUUGGUCUUGAAAUUAACCAGCACUGCUUGAUCUCCUCCUGUCACCAGCAGGUCAUCAACAUAUAGGGACACAAUGAGUUGUGUUUGUGUCCCUUGCUUCUUGACAUACAGUGUUGGCUCACUCUUGCUUCGAUUGAAUCCCAGAUCAGUCAAGUAGCCAUCGAUUCUGCUGUACCAGGCCCUUGGAGCCUGUUUUAAGCCAUAUAGGGCCUUCUUCAAUUUGUAGACCAUAUGCUCUCUGCCAGCUAUUUCAAACCCUUGUGGUUGUUCAACAUAGAUGUCUUCAUCUAAGAAACCAUUCAGAAAGGCUGAUUUCACAUCAAGUUGAUGGAUCUUCCAUUCGAGCUGUGCUGCUAAGGCAAUCAGCAGUCUGAUGGUGUCGAGCCUGGCCACUGGUGCAAAGGUCUCCAAGUAGUCCAAGCCAUACCUCUGACUGAACCCCUUGACCACUAGCCUUGCUUUUAGCUUGUUCAAGGUACCAUCAGCAUUCUGCUUGGCUUUGUACACCCAUUUCACCCCAAUCACCUUCCUUUUGACUGGCCUUUCAACCAAUUUCCAGGUCUGGUUCUUCUCAAUCAUGCUGAUCUCCUCAGCCAUUGCCUGCUUCCACCCUUGUUGAGCCUCAGCCUCUUCAAAGUUGCUUGGUUCAGCUAUGGCUACAUGAGCCCUUUCAUAAACCUCAGCCAAUGACCUUGUUCCUCUGACUGGUUCAUCAUCAAUAUCCAUUUCAGGGACAUUUUGGUCUGGCUCAGCUUGGUCUACUGCAAGUUCUUCAGAAACUUCUUCAGGUUCAUGUCUUUCCCAGUUCCAACAUGACCUCUCAUCAAAUACCACAUCCCUGCUUAUUGACACUUUGUUUGUUGAAGGAUCUAAAAUCCUAUAGCCCUUCUUAACAGUGCUAUACCCCACCAAAACACCAGGUCGAGCCCUUUCAGACAAUUUGUCCCUUUUAACAGCAGGUACAUGUGCAUAACAGAUGCAUCCAAAGACCUUCAGAUGAGCCAAUGAUGGCUUGAAGCUAAACCAGGCCUCGAAUGGGGUCUUUUGAUCCAAAGCCUUGGUUGGAAGUCUAUUUUGAAUGUAUGUUGCAGUGUUAACUGCUUCUGCCCAUAGUGCUUUAGGCAGAUUUUUCUGAAUCAUCAAGCACCUGGCCAUAUCCAUCAAACUCCUAUUCUUCCUUUCACUUACCCCAUUCUGCUGAGGUGUAUAUGUGUUGGUAAGUUGAUGUUUGAUGCCUGCCUUAUCACAGAAGGCUUGGAACUGAGCUGAGGUGUACUCAGUCCCAUUAUCAGACCUUAUGGUCUUCAGUUUGCAGCCUGUUUCAGUCUCAGAAGCAGUCUUGAACUUCCAAAACACUGAGGCCACUUCUGAUUUCUGUUUUAAAAAGUAAAUCCAGCAAUAUCUCGAGAAAUCAUCAAUGAACAGUAUGAAAUACCUGUUUCCACUUAAUGACUCAGUCUUCAUAGGGCCACACACAUCAGUAUGCACCAGUUGGAGUUUUUCAGAGGCUCUUCAGGCUUGAUUCGAGGGAAAAGGGAGUCUGGCCUGCUUUCCUAGCUGACAAACAUCACAUACAUCAUCAUGGUCCACUGAGUUGAUGAAAUUUUCAGCCAGGUCCUCUCUGACCAUUCGAGCCAUCGAUCUGAAGUUGGCAUGUCCCAGUCUUUGAUGCCACAGCUUGGAUUCAUCUGAAGUGGCUGUGUAGGCAAUGUCUGACUUUUUUGUCCAGUCAACCACAAAGCUCUUAUCAGCCAUAGGGACUGCCAUCAGUUUGGAUCCACUUGGAUCACUGAUUUGGCACUGGUGGUCUUUAAACACAACUGAAUAACCUUUUUCCAGCAACUGAGCUAUGCUGAGGAGGUUUCUGUCAAUUUCAGGCACCAACAGCACAUUUGAAAUCACUUUGGUACCUGUAAUGGUGCAUAUCAGCACAUCACCCUUGCCUUCAGCUUGAAUAAAAUGACCAUUUCCUAUUUUGACUUUAGUUCUGCAGCUUCUGUCUAAAGACUUGAAGAUUGCAGCAUCAGGUGUCAUGUGGUUGGUGCAUCCACUGUCUAGGAGCCAACCAGAUGAGAGCCUUUCCUGAGCAGCUGAGCAUGACACAGCAAAGACUUGCUCCUCUUGGUCACUGUCCUCCUUAGCUACUCGAGCCUCAGCUUUCAUCUGUUGAAACUGAUUUUGCCUCGAUUUGGUCUUACUCUUACAGACUCUCUCAACAUGACCCUUCUUCUUACAAUGCUGACACACAGCAUCUGGAUUGAACCAGCAUUUUUCUUCUGAAUGACCAGCCUUUCUGCAGUGCUUGCAAGUCUGACCUUCUCUCCUUGCAGCAUCAUUCUUUGGCUUGUCUCUCCAGGCCUUCUUGCCUUUGUAGGCAGUAUUUGUUCUUGCCUGAAAGGCACCUUCUUGGUGCUCCUCCAGUCUGCUUGCUCUCCUCUGCUCUUGAGCAUAUAGAGCAUUGAUCAACUCUGUCAGGGAGAUGGUGGACAGAUCCCUUGAGUCCUCGAGAGAUGAGAUUUUUGCCUCAUACCUCUCAGGCAGAGUUGCUAUAACCUUCUCCACUAUCCUAGCUUCAUUGAACUGCUCUCCAAGGAGCCUGAUGCUGUUAACCACAGCCAUAAUCCUGUCAGAAUAUUGCUUGACAGUUUCUUCUUCCUUCAUCUUCAAAUUCUUGAAAUCUCUCCUCAAGUUUAACAACUGUUUCUGCCUUGUCCUCUCUGUCCCUUGAAACUCUUCCUGCAACUUGUCCCAGGCCUGUUUUGGUGAUUCACAGGCCAUAAUCCUUGUGAAAAUCACAUCAGACACUGAGUUUUGGAUGCAAGACAUAGCUUUGUGCCUCUUGGUCCUUUCAUCAGCAUGCUGCCUGAUCUGAGCCACUGUUGGAUUAGCUCUAAGUGGCUCUGGUUCAACAUCAAAGUUGACCACCUCCCACAGAUCGAAAGCCUGCAGGUAGGUCUUCAUUUUGACCACCCAUAUGUGAUAGCCUUCUCCAUUGAAGACUUGAGGUGCAGCUGGUGAAAAGCUUGAUGAAGCCAUGGAAUUGAGUAACAGAUCCCUUAAGAAAUAGGCUCUAGAUACCAAUUGUUGGUGCAACAACAGAAUCAAGCAAACUCAGCAAGUAUCUUGUCGAGCAAGCCUCGAAACUUGCUGAGCAAACAAACAAUUUCAAGUUAAAGAAAGAAGAGAAUAAGCUGGGGAAAUUUGAGAGAAUAAUAUUGAUGAACAAAACUGAUUUCAUUCAUACAUAAAACAAUGGCUUGAAGCCAGUACAUAACUCAAGCAUAAGGCUUGUCAAAAUCAACAAGUAAUUACCUACCUCCACUAAUUACAUAGAAACUUGAAAUCUUAGCUUGUAAACUUAUACAAAACUGUGUUUACAGCUCAUACAUAAGCUAAUUACAUCAAUCAGAAAGCUAACUUAGUUAGAAAUGAACUAACACUCAUUUCAUCAACUAAAUAUAACAAAAUGAACAAAAUGAGCUUGCAUCAGCAGCCCUUGCAUCUGUUCCAGCUUUGCUUGGUCUUCAUGGCCUGUAUGGAAUCGAGUGUUGGCUUCAUGCUGACCAACUUCAACAUGUUCCUUUUCGGCAAAGAACAUUAUCGAGAUCACAGAAUUUUGAUCGCCUUUUGCUUGUUAUGUUAUUCGUUCUUAAACGAUUGCAUAAUCUUUACUGUGAUUGCAGGAUAUAGAGGAACUUUUGAAUUUCAUCGGUGUAACGAGUUUAGGACCUUGGCAUGUUCUUGCAAAUUUGAAGGAGCUUCUAAGGUCUGUCCAGUCUUCAGAAUAUAUAGAUACCUGAAUUAAUUUUGAUUUUGUAGGAUCAACUAUAAUUAGCUACUUAUUACAGUAUGAAUAGACAACCUGACCUUCUUCACACACGACACAUGUGCGGAUUUUUUUACCAAUCCCAUUUCAUUAAAGAAAAAAAAGAGCUUUAAAAAAGGAUCACACUUUUUUGUUGUUUACAGAAUCAUAAUGUUAAUUAGAGUGGAAUAUUUCAGAUUUCUGAUAAUGAGUAUAUUAUUGAGUAUUGCAGUAAAAAAAUGGGUGUGCAACUUAUUUGAACUUUGAAUGUAUGUUUUGUUGGUGAGAAUAUAAAGUUGAUAAAGAUUUGGUAAAUAGAAUAAAAUACUAUUUUUUAUUAGAAAAAAUAUUUGGUACACUGCCAAUCGAGUUAUAAUUAUCAUGACACAAUAUUAAGGGUAAUUAAAACAUGUCAUAUUACAAAUAAUAAAAUUAUAAUGACUCAAAUCUGCAAACAUGUCAAAAUUUACGUACAAUGAAUUAUUAACAUGUAAAUGUAUAAUAUGGUAUGCAAAAAUAAGAUCAUUGCUUGUUUUUUAAAUUGAAUUGUUAUAACAUAUUGUACAAAAUACAUUGUGAAUUAAGGCAUUCUAUGAACAUGAUAUCAAAAUAUUAAAUUUUUUUAAAAUUCGAUGAUAUGAAUAAUUAUGUAAAAUAUAACAUGAUACAAAAUAACUUGAAAGGAAAAGAGGAAUAAAGAAUUGCAUUGUUUUUGAGGUUUUAAAAUAUUUCAGUUUUAGAUUCAUUUUUCUAGUAUGUUUGGUUUAAUUUUACAUUAGAUUUCCUUUACAGUAUGCACUAGUGAACGCUUAGUAUUCAAUUUAAUUUAAUUCAAAGAGAUAUUGCAUAUACAUAAUAAUGGAUUAUGAUUUUACAUUAAAUUUCAUAGAAGAAAAAAGAAAUAGAUGGUUGAAAAUGAUAAAAUCAUAAGAUAAAAGAGCUUUUAUUUAAAAUUCAAAAAUCAACAAAAUAUUCAUUAUCGCUCAACUUAGCAUAAUUAAACAUUUAGGUGUGAAAAUCAAAUUACAAUUUGAGUAGCUAAACACAUUGCUUGAAAAUGUGAUAAGUAAGAAAAUUGCCCACAUUUGAGUAGCGACAGGUGGUGAUGCAUUUCCCAAUGAGAGAAAACCAAACUCUUCGCCAGUAUGGAUUUAUGUAGAGGACAACAAAAAUUGUCAACAACACAACUACAUAAGAAACCAAAAAGCUCACACAAAAAUCAUAAGUACCUAUCAAACCAUCUUCUCCUUUAUCUUCUGAUACAGUUGAUAUCGUUGAUGGUGAAUCGGUUUUGGAACAACUUUUAUGCAAUAUAGCUCCACAAAGAAAAAGAUUUCCCUCAUAACUGUUUUCAAUAAAGGUCCCAAAUUGAGCUUUUGGUUCGGGAAUACUACCUGACAAGUUGUUGUAUGCCACGCUGAAAACCUCCAAAGAGUUCAACUCUACCAACUGGUUGGGGAUUUCACCACUCAAAUUGUUGUAAGAAAGGUCCAAACUCUCAAUUUGAUGAAGUUUUGCGAAUGAUGAGGGUAUAACUCCUGUCAACUUAUUAUGCGACAAGUUUAAAGAAUAGAUUUCACUUAAGUUCCCUAAUUCUGGUGGGAUAUGACCAGUUAAGUUGUUGCAAGAUAAAUCAAUCCCGGUCAUAUAUGUAAGGAUGUUUCCCUCGUACGAUAAGAACCCACUCUUUGUUGUGAACUCUAUUACUUCUUCUAAGUAGCCUUCAGGAUAGUAAUAAUUUCCGAGAGCUCCCAAUGUUUUCACUAAUCCGUCCCCUGUUAACCUUGGACUAAUUUUCGAAUCAGUUAGAAUCUUAUUUGUUUCCGUUGAAAGGGUUAAAUUUCCCAAACAAGAAGGUAUAAUACCAGAAAACAUAUUUUGAGAAAGAUCUAUGAUGUUUAAAGAAUCCAACUUGCAUAACUGAACUGGAACUUCACCAUGAAAAUGAUUAUCUUUCAAGAGAAGAACACUCAAUGAAGAAAGUGUGCCAAUCCAUUUUGGAAUACUACCAGUCAAAUUGUUUCCUCUAAGAUCUAACGUAACCAGUGAAGAGAUAUUAUAAAAAGCGAUUGGUAGUGGGCCACUUAGUCUACUCCCGUGCAGGUGGACAUGCUUUAUGUUUAGGGUAUUAAAGCAGGACGGUAUAGAGCCAAAUAAAUUGUUUUCAGAGAGAUCCAAAAAUUCCAAGCGAUUCAAGUUGCAAAAUUCCAUUGGAAUAGAACCCUCGAAACCAUUUUGGGACAAAGCUAAUCUCUUCAAAAAUGACACAUUCCCCGUCCAUCUUGGGAGGUUUCCAUAAAACUUGUUAUUUCCGAGAUUAAUUUCCCUUAGUGAAGUUGGAAACUCAGAAAUAGAGACAUCAACAUUUGCCAUCUCCCCAGAAAAAUUAUUUCCAUCCAAAUAUAAUUUUGACAGCCUAUUUGCAUUGAGAAUCACAGGAAGCACAUGUCCACUGAGGUUGUUGUUUGAUAGUCUCAAAAUGGUCAACGAGUUUUUUGUGAUUAACUCUUCAGGUACUCUUCCAGACAAUUGAUUGUCUGAUAAAUCUAAAAUCGAUAAAUCCUUCAUGCCACUCAAACAAGGAGGGAUAUCACCUUCGAAGGCAUUCUUGGAUAAGAAUAAGUGGCUCAAAUGUGGAAAAUGUGAACACACGUUGGUUGGAAUCUGACCUUGCAAUUUGUUUUGGGAUAUGUCAAUUAAAGACACUUUAGAGUUAGGAGCUGACGGUAAUGUGAGAGGACCGGUAAAUGAAUUACCCUUCAAGAUGAGAUCUUCUAACUUCGUGUUGUUUUCUAACAACCAAGUUGGGACUGUUCCGCUGAAAUUGUUAUGAGAAAGAUCCACAUAUCUCAAGUCAUAUUGGUAGUAAAGGAAGGUAGGAAGCUUACAACUGAGCUGUUGAGAUGUUAUGCACUUUGGCAAACUAAUGACUUCCAAUUGGAACUUUGGGAUUGAGGUAUAAAAGGAAGGUUCCGUUACCAUCUUGUUUUCAUUACUCAAGAGGGCUUUGAGGUUUGAAAGGUUUGCAAAUGGUGCGAAAGACAACGGAAUUUGAAAAUGGUUUCCUGAAAUAUAUAACCCACGAAGAGAUGUCAAGUUACUGAAACAAUGAGGAAGCAUCCCCUCAAGUGCAUUCCCACUCACAUCCAACACUUCAAGGUUCCUUAGAUCACACCAUCCUGAAAAAUUUAUAAAUUCAUUGAAGAAAUUUUAAUUAAAUUUGAUCCUAUUAAACAGAAUAGGAGAUAUUAUAUCCCAAAAGGCUCAUAAAGAAGUCAAUUUGACCCAUAAAUUUAUUUACCAUGAUUAGGUAAGGGACCGAUAAGUCCACAAUCAUAUAACGACAGAGUUUUAAGAGAACUGAGUACUCCAAUGCCUUGCAAAAUGUUGGUGUUGAGAGUAGAAUGGUCAAGAUAUAAUUCCUCCACAUUGCUCGACACAUUUAAUUCUAAAGGAUGAGAAGAGGUAUUAGAUGUUAAUCAAACGUAAUCUGUUUUGGAAAAGAAAAUCAUGUUCAGAUAAUGGUAUUGUAGAUAAAAGGUUUUAACUGAUGAGAAAGCCUCCACUAAAUUUUGUAAUGGAAUGCUUCCAUCGGUGAAAACGGAUGAAGAUAAAGAACUUUCAAAUUUCUCAAUCCCUUAUUUUCUGUAAGUGAAAGAAAUAUAUAAAUAUUUGUUUUCAUGAAUAAGAUAAAAGUUUAAUAGAGAAUGUCCAAAUCUUAACAUAACUAUUCAUUCAUUUUAUUAAUUAAUAAACUAAUCCUUUUUUAGCAUUCUAAGAUAAAAUAUAAUUUCAAAAUAAUUUGAUCUAGAUUUAAAUAGAUGAGCAUAUUCUUUUAAAAUCUCAAAUAUGUUUGAAAUCAAUUUAACAUUUAACCUUAAUGUUAGUAUUUGGUACUGGUAAUGGAGUUUUUUAACUCUACAAGUGAAGUUAAAAAAUGGCCACUAACCUAUUUCUUUUAAAUAUUUAUUUUUUAAUAUUUUACUAUACCAUAUAAGAUAUUUGUUAUUAUCUCAAUCCUACUUAUGAAGUUUAGAAUUGUUACUAUACCAUAUAAGAUAUUUGUUACUAUACCAUAUAACAUUAUUAUAUUCUUGUUAAAAAAACUAAUAUUUUUACCUUUCAUAUCUAUUGAUCCUUUCAAUUCAUUGCCCCAUAGGCUCAAAGAUUUCAAAUUUGAAAGCUUGUUAAGGGAUGCAAAUACACUAGUAUUGAAGAGAUUGUCAUCUAAAUAAAGCUCUUCCAAGUGGGUCAACUCCAAUUUUCUACCACCAUCUACAAAAGAUUUAUAUAAUUUCAUCACUGAAAUGAAUUGGCAUAAAAUUUAAUUAUAUGUAAGAAUUUAGGUAAUUGGUUAAAUAUAAAUGCAUACCUUUAAAGGAUUGAAAGCUUUCAAUUUGAUUCCCACCUAAAUCGAGUUUCUUCAAAUUUGUUAAAUUGUUCAAUCCUAUACAUAUCCACGUACAAUUCAAAAAAUCAUUAUGUUAAUAAUUUUAAUUUCUACUUAAUAUUUUAAUGAAAUAAAAAUGAAAAAGAAAGUAAAUCUAAAACUUGAAGUGAAGAUGAAAAUCCUCAAACGUGAAAUGUGAAUGUUCAAAAUUAAAACAAUUAAUUUUAAAAGGUUCUAGAAAGAAUUAUCAAGAAAAACAAAGUUAUAGCUUUAGUACCUUUAGUAUCUAAUGAGCCUUACAAAUCGUUGCCGUACAAAGUCAAAGACUUUAGGCUUGAAAGCCCUUGCAGAAAGGAAAUUGUGUUGUUCCGAAAGAGAUUACCACUCAAAUCAAGUACCUCUAAGUUUGUUAGCCUCAAUUGUGUUCCAUCUAUCAUUGGAAGAAAAUAAUGAGUAUAGUUAAUAUCAUCCAAGAUAUAAAUAGUUAGGAAAAAUGAUUGUUUGAGAAGGAAGAGGCAAUUUACAAGCUUUCCCAUGAAUUGAUAACUACAUUUUACAAGUAAAACUUAAUUGAUUCAAUAUAUAAAUACUUUGUUUGAGAUACCUUCCUACUUUAAUUACUCAAUCCCAAAUAUUGAUUACUUAUAUAUAUUCAUGAUAUGAUAAAAGCAAAUGACUUAUUAAUUGCAACAGCUUUUCCUUCAACAUGAAUUUAAUGCUAUUCUUCAAAUAAUUCCAACUUAUAUCAAUAAUCUCCAAUCUAAUGAGCCAUUGAAAACCUGAUUUAUAUAUUAUAUAAUUAGUUACUACAAAACAUAAAUAAAUAAUAAUACUCCAUUUUUGCAAUAAAAAUUCACUAAAGAAAAUACAUUUGAAGUCUGUCAUUGCCUUUUGGAAUAAUAGUCAGUCAAGAAAGUUACUACGCACAAAUACUUAUACCUUUGUUUGAGAUGCUUUCAAUGUUAUUGUAACUUAAAUCCAAGUACUUCAAAUUUGUCAAAUUAUUCAAUCCUGAAAUUCAAUCCCAAAUAUUGAUCAGUUAUAUAUAUAUAUUCAUGAUAUGAUAAAAGCAAAGACAUAUUGCAACAUUAACUGUCCCUUAAACAAAAAUUGGUUUUAAAGUAAAAAAGAAACAUAUAAAACCAGUCUACCUUUAAUAUGAAUUGACAUAUAAAUACUGUACUUAUACCUUUGUUUGAGAUGCUUUCAAUUCUGUUCCAACUUAAAUCCAAGUAUUUCAAGUUUGACAAAUUAUUCAAUCCUGAAAUUCAAUCCCAAAUAUUGAUUAGUUAUAUAUAUUCAUCGUAUGAUAAAAUCAAACUUGAACAUACAUUGAUUUUUAAAUCAAGGAUGAAAGAUUUCUCAUAUGGAACAAAAUGCUAUUCUUCAAAGAAUUCCCACUUAAAUCAAGAGUUUCCAAGUUAUUGAGUCUUGAAAGCAAUUGAAAACCUGAUAUAUAUAUAUUUACUUGUUAAUUGUUUUUUCUUUCUUAGCCAUAUGAAAAUUUUACUAAAGCAAAAGUGGAAUUAGAACGGAUAAAAAGAAUGGAAAACUAGGUACCAAGACUAGAAGACCAUCCUCAAACUCCACUAUACAAAUGACUUAUUGCAACAACAUUUCCUUCAACAUGAAUUUAUUUUAAAGAAUGCUAUUCUUCAAACAAAUCCAACUUAUAUCAAUAAUUUCCAAUUUAAUGAGCCACUGAAAACCUGAUUUAUAUAUUAUAUUAUUAGUUACCACAAAACAUAAAUAAAUAAUAAUACUCCAUUUUUGCAAUAAAAAUUCACUAAAGAAACAUAUUGAAUAUAAAUAAUAAUACUCCAUUUUCCAAUUUAACAUAUUGCAACAUUAAUUUUCCCUUAAACAAAAUUUGGUUUUAAAGUAAAAAAGAAACAUAUAAAACCAGUCUACCUUGAAUAUGAAUUGACAUAUAAAUACUAUACUUAUACCUUGGUUUGAGAUGCUUUCAAUGUUGUUCCAACUUAAAUCCAAGUACUUCAAGUUUGUCAAAUUAUUCAAUCCUGAAAUUCAAUCCCAAAUAUUGAUUAGCUAUAUAUAUUCAUCGUAUGAUAAAAUCAAACUUGAACAUACAUUGAUUUUUAAAGUUAAAAAGAAACAGGCAAAAUCAGUCUACCGUGAAUAUGAUCCAGCCUUCCUUUCAACUGAUUAGCGCUCAAUCUUAAAGUCUUCAAGGAUGAAAUAUUUCUCAUAUGGAACAGAAUGGUAUUCUUCAAAGAAUUCCCACUUAAAUCAAGAGUUUCCAAGUUAUUGAGUCUUGAAAGCAAUUGAAAACCUGAUAUAUAUAUAUAUAUAUAUGUAUAUAUAAUUACUUGCUAAUUGUUUUCUUCUUUCUUCGCUAUAUGAAAAUUUUACUAAAGCAAAAGUGGAAUUACAACGAAUAAAAAGAAUGGAAAACUUGGUACCAAGCCUAGAAGACCAUCCUCAAACUCCACUAUACAAAUAAAAACUAACAUCAGACCAAACUUAAUUUACCUCUUAGAUGACUUGAUCCUUCAAAUUUGUUGAUUGAUAGAUCUAAAUACCGGAGAGAUGAAAGCUCACUCAAAGAUAACAAAAUGCUAUCAUUCAAGUAAUUUUCACUUAAGUCAAGGAUCUCCAAAUUACUCAAUGUGGAUGAUAGUUUUCCAAAGCCUGUAGAAGUGUUCUUUUAAAUAUAUGCAAGUUAGUGACUUUUCUUUAAUAAAAUAAAAUAAAAUAUAAGUAAUUGUAAAUUAACAAUGGUGAGAAUAGUGGAAUAGUAAAAGAUGUAAUUAAGGAAAAAUUAAAGGCACGACCUUCAUUUUCAAGGCUACCACCUAUGACAUUUCCCGACAAAUAAAGUCUCUUCAAUUCCUCAAAAGGAAGAAACAUAGAGGCAUUGAGAUACCAGGCAUUGAGAUUCCUAUUAUCCAUGACGUAUUCCAUAUUGUCUUCCCAUUUUGUAGAAUUAAGGGAGAGUUGUAUGAGUCUCCUAGUGGUGGUGUUACACUCAACUCUUUCCCAUUUACAACAAUCUGAACCCUUCACCUCAACCCAACUUUGCAAUUGAUUACCAUAAUUGAAGAAAGGCUUGAGAUGCAAGAGAGCGAUUCUCUCAUGCUCCAAACAAGCAUCAGUAGUACACCAACUGCAUCUUUCUAACACCAACAACAUUACUGCCAUCCUAAUAAACCAUAAGUACCAUUUCCACUCCAUCAUCAUCAUCAUCUUUCUGUUUUCACUUCUCUCUCAGCUAUAUGUUACUUUUUCUUAACUUCUAUAUGUAUAUAAUCUAAAGAAGCCUAAGCUUCUUUUUUAUAUACAAGCAGAACAUUUUGCAUCCCACUAAUUUACUAUAAUAUAAAAAUAAUAUAUAAUUAAUUAAUUCCUCAAAAAUUGGAUCAAUCUAGGCUUCUUAUUUACGUAAAUUCCUUAUUGCAAAACCUCUUGGUAGAAAUUCGUUAGGAAAGGAUGAAUGGACCACAAGAAUGCUUAUCAACUCUUGACUUUGGCGUCCAAUGCUAAAUUUAUUUUAAAAUUUCUUCAUGGAGACAAGAUGGGAUGACAAGAAUGAUAAGUUUUAAGUCAUUUAAGUUUACACAAUUUUAAUCACUCAUAAAAACAAGUAUUGACAUUCUAUUAAAGAAUUUAAACAUGGCUUAACGUUGAUUUUAAAUCUAAUGUUGAUGUUAAUCUUGAAAAAAGAAUGGCCAAAAAAAUAUGAAAAGUGAGAGGUGGACAUAAAAUAGUGUAGUUGGGGUUAUAAAAUUCUUCAUGUAGACAUUAUAUUUUUUUUAUGCCUUUUUUACACUUAUAUAAAGUUAGUCUUGACUUCGCUUUAUUAAUAGAAAUUUUAGGUCUUCAUUUUUUGUUUUAUUCAUGGGCAUAAUAUUUUUUUAUUUUUAUUUUAUGGUCUAUGAUCGAGGUUUAUGACUAUCCCCUUUCAACAACGUCGUCUCAACUGUUCAAACAUACCCUUGCAGGUAAAAUAAUACUUUUUAAAAUCACAAAUAUUUAAGAUAAUACAUUGCAGCUAUAUAAAUGCUUUCUUGUUUAAGAUACUAAUAAAGUAAUUAACAAAGUAAUUAUUAUACCUAUAAUAAUUCAAAAUGCCACUUGUUAUCUAAUGAAGUAUAGGGGUGCAAAUGAGACAUCCGUACUCGCAAGCUAUUCGAAUUUGGCUCAAAAACUUUUGAAAUUGAUUUGGUAAUUAUUGAGCCGAGCUAUAGGUCGAUCCAGAUUCGAGCUUAGUAAUACUUAACUCGAGUAUUUUGAGAGCCUUAUUGAACUUUUUAUAUUUUUAUAUUAUUAGAUUACAUUAUUGCUAUUAAUAUAUAUUAUUAACUCUAAGUUUAAUUAUAGAGGCGAGCUCAAACUCGAGUACAAAAAUUGAUAAACAUAUUUAAUUUCGAGCUUAAAAAUAUAUGUUCGAUCGAGCAUCAAGCUUUGAAUUUCAAAUUAAACUUGAGUUUAACAGUAUUGAGUUCAAAUAGAUUCAAUUACACCCUACAAUAAAAUAUACCAACAAAACCUACAUUCCAUCUUUGCUAUAAAUUUUAUGUAUGUGUGUGUUUAACGUGAGUUCCAUCUAUGUCCAACUUGAUGACGAUGAAAGUUCCUAUGGUGUAAAAAGUUUUAAUUAUGUGGAAAAAUAAGGUCUUCUCUUCACACGUUUAAUAUGCUUACUUGUGUCGGUCAUUUCGAGCUUCACAUCAAUUUUCAAAAAGUUGGAAAACUUAUGUCUGCUUUUAUGAUUCUUUUAUGUGUGUGUUUAACGUGACUUCCUUGUGAGUUCCAUCUAGGUCCAACUUGAUGACAAUGAAAGUUCCUAUGGUGUAAAAAGUUUUAGUUAUGUGGAAAAUUGGUGGAAAACUUACGUCUUUUCACUUGCUUUUAUGAUUCUUUUUACAUGAUAUUACUAUAUAAUUAAAUUGAAAUACUGAUAAAUUUGAACCCAUAUGAUGUAAGUCUAGGCAUCAUCUAAUUUAUUGAUAUUUAAUUAAUUAAUAUAUAUACUUUCAAUUAUAAGAAUUGAAACAUAACUUUCAAGCCAAUUGGAGUAUGCCCCUGUUACACGUCAAAAGAAGUAGAUUUUGAACUCAACAUGAACCUGUGAGAUUUGAUGCCUAAAAUAUAGGUAUAAGGUUUCAAUUCAUGGAAAUGUUGGAAAUCUUGGAAAUUUCUUAGUCUCCUCUCUUUGGAUGUUUUUGAACAAAAAUGUUUUAAGUCUCUUCCGAUGCUAAACUUCUGAUUGGUCGUCGGUUCACUGACCCUUUGGUACACAGCAAUAUGAAGCAUUGGCCAUUCAAGGCCAUUGCUGGUCCUGGUGAUAAGCCAAUGAUUGUACUACUAUAGAUUUGAAUAUUUGUACACAUUUGAUCGGCUCUUCGUAAAUUUAAAUCUUACAAAUUCGGAUAAUAUUUGAACUUUGAAUGUAUGUUUUGUUGGUGAGAAUAUAAAGUUGAUAAAGAUUUGGUAAAUAGAGUAAAUUACUAUUUUUAUUAGAAAAAUUAUUUGGUACACUGCCAAUCGAGGUAAUUAAAACAUGUCAUAUUAUAAAUAAUAAAAUUAUGAUGACUCAAAUAUACGAACAUGUCAAAAUUUAUGUACAACAAAUUAUUAACAUGUAAAUGUAUAAUACGGUACGCAAAAAUAAGAUAAUUUCUUGUUUUUUUAAUUGAAUUGUUAUAACAUAUUAUACAAAAUACAUCGUGAAUUAAAGCAUAAUAUGAACAUGAUAUCAAAAUAUUAAUUUUUUUUAAAAUUCAAUGAUACGAAUAAUUAUGUAAAAUAUAACAUGAUACAAAAUAUCUUGAGAGGAAAAGAGGAAUAAAGAAUUGCAUUAUUUGUGAGGUUUUAAAAUAUUCCAGUUUUAGAUUCAAUUUUCUAGUAUGUUUGGUUUAAUUUUACAUUAGAUUUCCUUUUCAGUAUGCACUAGUGAACGCUUAGCAGUCAGUUUAAUUUAAUUGAAAGAGAUAUUGCAUAUACAUAAUAAUGGAUUAUGAUCUUACAUUAAAUUUCAUAGAAGAAAAAGAAAUAGAUGGUUGAAAAUGAUAAAACCAUAAGAUAAAAGAGCUUUUAUUCAAAAUGCAAAAAUCAACAAAAUAUUCAUUAUCACUCAACUUAGCAUAAUUAAACAUUUAGGUGAGGAAACAAAUCACAAUUUGAGUAGCUAAACACAUUGCUUGAAAAUGUGAUAAGUAAGAAAAUUGCCCACAUUUGAGUAGCGACAUGUGGUGAUGCAUUUCCCAACGAGAGAAAACUAAGCUCUUCACCAGUAUGGAUUUAUGUAGAGGACAACAAAAAUUGUCAACAACACAACUACAUAAGAAACCAAAAAGCUCACAAAAAAAUCAUAAGUACCUAUCAAACCAUCUUCUCCUUUAUCUUCUGAUACAGUUGAUAUCGUUGAUGGUGAAUCAGUUUUGGAACAACUUUUAUGCAAUAUAUCUCCACAAAGAAAAGGAUUUCCCUCAUAACUGUUUUCAAUAAAGGUCCCAAAUUGAGCUUUUGGUUUGGGAAUACUACCUGACAAGUUGUUGUAUGCCACGCUGAAAACCUCCAAAGAGUUCAACUCUACCAAUUGAUAGGGGAUUUCACCACUCAAGUUGUUGUAAGAAAGGUCCAAACUCUCAAUGUGCUGAAGUUUUGAGAAUGAUGAGGGUAUAACUCCGGUCAACUUAUUGUGUGACAAGUUUAAAGAAUGGAUUUCACUCAAGUUCCCUAAUUCUGGUGGGAUAUGACCAGUUAAGUUGUUGCAAGAUAAAUCAAUCCCAGUCAUAUAUGAAAGGAUGUCGCCAUUGUACGAAUAGAACCCACUCUUUGUUGUGAACUCUAUUACUUCUUCUAAGUAGCUUAGAGGAUAGUAAGAAUCCAUUUCCAGGUUUCCUAUCAUAAUGCGUGUUGAUUCAUCCUCUUCUAUAGAUGGCCCAUAGAACCCAGUUUCUAGAAUCCUCUUCAUUUGUAUUGGAAGAGAUAAAUUUCCCAAACAAGAAGGUAUAGGACCAGAAAACAUAUUUUGAGAAAGAUCUAUGAUGCUUAAAGAAUGCAACUUGCAUAACUCAAUAGGAACUUUACCAUGAAAAUGAUUAUCUUUCAGGAGAAGAACACUCAAAGAAGAAAGCGUGUAAAUCCAUUUUGGAAUACUACCUGUCAAAUUGUUUCCUCUAAGAUCUAAAGUCACUAUUGAAGAGUUAUUAUAAAAAGCAAGUGAUAGUGUGCCUCUCAGUCUAUUCCUGUGGAGGUGGACAUGCUCUAUGUUGGUGGAUUAAAACAUGACGGUAUAGAGCCAGAUAAAUUAUUUUGAGAAAGAUCCAAAAAUUCCAA